rnacentral:lncRNA from 1 species
AGCUCUAUAAAUUCGAACUCUCUAUAUAAAACUGAUCAAGUAACUCACUCAAUCAGCUCUCUGAAAGAUAACAAAAUGGGUACUCCUUUUGUAACUGCAAUCUCCUUCCUUGUCCUUACCUUUGCCACAAAACCGCUUGUGGGACUCGCUGAUCCUUUGGUUGAUGUCAAUGGCAACAAGGUCGAAGCAUCCCGAGACUACUAUUUGGUCCCAGCAAUUCGAGGAGCAGGCGGCGGCGGCGGCCUCACCCUCUUCAGGGGCAGAAACGAACUCUGCCCACUUGAUGUUGUCCAACUAAGUUCCGACUCAGAAAGAGGAACCCGUUUAAGAUUCUCAAUGUAUGAUAAAACUAGUAUUAUCAAUGAAGAUGUGGAUCUGAACGUGAGAUUCUCGACAGAGACUCGCUGCAACGAACCAACAGUAUGGAGAGUCGACAGCUAUGAUCCAUCGAGAGGAAAAUGGUUUAUAACAACUGGUGGUGUUGAAGGAAACCCUGGAGCUCAAACUUUGAAAAACUGGUUUAAGUUUGAGAGAAUUGGAAGAGAUCGAGGUGAGAAAUAGGGAUAAAAAUACCUAUAUUUCUUUAUUUAAGUAUCAGUUUAAUUUUUAUAUUUUAAAAAAUACCUCAAAAAUUUAUAAUGUAAUAUGUUACAUUCUUAUUCUAUUUUUUUCUUUUCUUUUAAUGAAAUAAGUUAAUUUGACAUAUUAUAAUUUUUUUUAUUGAUAUCCUAAAAAUAUUGUUGUAAGGAUAUUAUUGUAAAAAGAAAGGAUGGAAUUGUGACCUAUUUAACAAUAAAAGUAUCUUGAGAUUUUUUUUUUUAAAUAUAGAGAUUAAAUGAAUGUUUAACUCAAAAUAGAAGCAGUAAAUAAACAUUUACCCUAAGUAAUAAUGAUAACUGAACACAAAGUUUGAAGAGACAAAUAAUGAGAAAAUACGACAAAUACCAUCUCACUUAUCUUGUAUUGAUUUUUUUUUUUUUAACUGACUUUACAAAAUUGUAUAUUAAUGUAUCAUUGCUCUUUCCAGUUACGUACAAGAUUGUUCACUGUCCUUCCGUUUGCGAAUCCUGUGUAUCUUUAUGCAAUGAUGUUGGGGUUUCUAACGAUCAUGCUCGACGUUUGGCUCUCACUAAUGGGCGCGCGCUUGCUGUUGUUCUAGUCCCUGGUAAUGAGAGAUCAGCCUCAUGUGCGUCUUGAAUGCCCUUGUAUCAUUACUCUAAAUAAUGGAUCGGGCUAGCUCCUUGACGCUUAUAACAUAAACAAAAAUGUCAUUGCUAGCUAGCCUGUGUACCUUUGAACGAAAUAAAAGUGGCGAAUUUUGACUGUUUAAUCUCUUAGAGCUUUGGUUAUGACUGAGGAGUUAUAUCUUGGGGGAAAAAAAGCUACCUUGACAGGGAUAAAAAAAUUUAUUUGAAAAAAAAUGAAAUACUUCAAUCAACCAUGACAAUAUUCAUAGGCAUAUUCAUGUGACUAAGUUGAAAAAUUAAUAUUCUUUCAAGUGAUAGGCUUAAGCAUUACAGUUAAAAAAAAGUUGUGACAAUCAGCUUAUUCAGAUAUCUGUACCUCACAAUCGUGGAUCUUAUCCCAACUAACAUGCUUUAAGACAAUGAACAAAACCGUGUAGUUAAACACAUUUCAAUUGUCUUCAACCAAACCGUGAAACAGAUAUAAAUUGUCUUGAUGCAAAUAAUUAUGAGUAAUAUCUUGCUAAUAUUUUGGACCGCUUGUUAGUGAAUGUAACGUACAGGGUAUCUCCAAUUCUUAACUAGGAUUCAUAGGGCUAAAUAUAUUAGAAUUUAUAGUAUUUAAGUAAGAUCAUUCUUAAAUAUUUUAUUAGAAUUUGCCUUGUUUUUUUGUAUUUGAGUUUUUUUUUCUAGCUAGUAUAGUUUUAUAUAUGUUAGACCAGUAACUUCUUUCUCGCUUAUUUUAUUAGAAUUUUCCUAUGGAUCUACUCAUGCUCAAAAGUUAAGCUUUAGAUUUGAAAGUUACCUCAAGCUUAUAUUAUUAGUCCAGUAAUCGGGAUGGUAAAAAAAAAAAUUCAACUUGACUUUAUCCCUAAUAAACUAGCCUGGACAUAUUUUUCAAACACUCGGCUAAAUACAUGCUCAGGCCUCACCUUAAAAGCUUGAUACCAACCCGAAAGCUAGAAAAUUGUUUUACAAUAGAAAUACAUAUUUUUUUAAUUAGAAUACACAUUUUAAUAUUUAUUUACCUCACUAAUAACAUAUAUUUGAAGUUCUAAAUCCUUUAACCGAACUUUUAAAUACUAAUCUAAUAAAAAAAAAUUUAUAAACUACCAAGUUGUUUUACAAAUUAAAUUUUAUUUAUAAAACACCUUUUAAUAUAUUUUAAAGUUUAUAACGUUUUAUUUUUAUCAUAUUAGGCAUUAGAAAGAUUUAAUGUUGUUAUGAAUGGGCUAAAUAGAUACAAAAAUAUAUAUUUUAACUUUUUAUUUUUAAGUAUUUCUCUUGCUUUAAGUUGGGUUUAGGUUUUUUAGGUGAAACCUAAGCCCAACAUAAGUGUGUUGAGAAAACAUGUUCUGGGCGGGUUACCUGCUAUGGUGGACCCGACUUAUUUUGUCAUCCUUAGUAUUGGACUAACAUAAAUAUGAGGCAACUAUUAACUUUUGAGUUAGUUUUUAGGUAUAAAUUGAGCAUAUGGGCUUAUGGGUUCUAUACUAUGACGGAACCCAUAAAUUAAUUGUUGAUUGAAAAUGAUAUUUAACAUCUCAAUGUGGUCCUUUUAAGCUAGAAAAUAGGAGUUGGACCAUUGGCACCCACCCAAUCUCCUCAUGCAACCCCAUUUUUAAUUGCAUUUAUUUUAUUUAUGAAAAUGUCCUUUUUCUUAAUACAUUCUUUUAACUUUUAAUUUAAUUUUUUUAUUGUUAAAACUCAAAGUAGUAUUUUGUCUUUUUUUUUGUGGGGGCAAUCUUGUUGUUUGUCUACACACAAAUUAAAAUUUUUUCUAGGUAAUGAAUUUUUAGAUGUCAAUCAUCGGUUUAAAUUAAACUAUUUUAAAUUAUAACUUGGAAGGAACUUAAACACAAAAAUAUAUAACCAGUAAGAAAUAAGGAAAAAAAAAUAUUUUAAGCCUAUUUUAAUUAGAUAGGAAGUGAUGAUAGAAAAUAAAAAAGAAGGAUUGAUUAUGAAUUCAAGAAUUUGUUAAACAAAAAAUCACUGCGUGUUUGAUUCUUGUUUGUUUUGACUAUAAUUUUAUUUAAAGUGGGGUUUUAUAAGGAUAAUAAAUGGGUGCCAAUAGCUUCAUUUGGAAAAUAGUUUUUAGCCUGAUGAUAUGAGCUUCAAGCAACCUUUAACUCUUGUUCUAACUUUUUAGUAUGAGUUAGGCCCAUAAGAUUCGAUAUGAUCACAUCAUAACCCCCUACAUUAAAAUGAUUUUAAUAUGUUUCGAUUUUUUUGCUUUUACUAAUUGUUGAAAACAAAGAGUAGUAUAGAUAAGGAUAACAAUUGAUUUUUGUAAGCAUCAAGGCUUAACUUAUAACAUGAACGAAAAUAUUAAAACGGAAAUGUUACAAUUACCAGGAAAAGAAAUGUUACAAUUAUAAUGAUUAUGAUUGUUUAACGAGUUAAUCCUUGAUGCUUAAUUUAUUUGAUUGAUUCACAAUAUAUUAUUAAGGAUUAACUGGUUGUCCAGGUGUCCUAUAGAUAGACUGUGUUUUGGCGCUCGCUAGGGGCACCUUGCAUUGAGGUAAAUACGGAUGAUUUGGCUACGGGUAAUCCCAGAAUCUCGGAUUGUGGCUUUUUUCAAGGCUUUAAUGGUGCUUUUACGAAGCCGCCUUACUGUGGCUCUGGGCCUUGUUUUGCUGAUAUAAAUGCCAUUCAAGCUGUUAAUACUGCUCUUUCCAUGGGAUGGCAAUUUGUUUGGCCGAAGAGGGAUUCAAAUCUGCUAACUCUUGCUUAUUUGCAGAACUCUCUUUUUCAUCUGCCGGGGCAACUCGUAUUUAGUGGUUGAACUGUCUAUAACAGAUCAGUCAUAUGUAGUUUCGUAGUCAUAUUAAUUUUGAAGGGUAAUUCGGUUGCUGAUUGCUUAGGAAAGGCCGGGUCUAACUGAUUCGAGGCCCUUGGUGAACUUUUUUUUUUUUUUUUUUCUUUUAAAGACAUUCUUACGCUAAACAACAUUAAUUCCGAAAGAAAUAUUAAAUAGCUUAUAAUUCAACUAUCUUUAAUAAUAUAUUGAAUUUCAACAAUUAUCAACAUGAUCCUGACAAAUAAUAAAAAAAGAUAUAUAUUUUUAGGGCCGAAACUACGUUGCCACAUGGGUUUCGUACCCCCUUUUUUUGUCUUUUUCAAGGUUAAUUGUAAUGGAGUCCAUUUAUUUGUUUAAAGAACAAAAAAGCUAAAGACUUUUAUAUUUUCACACAUUAGUCCUGCAUCUAAAAAUUUUCAAUUACAAUGAUGUUUUUGGAAGCCACAAUCUAUUUUAGAAGCACUUUUCAAAGAUGCCGACAUGAAUACAAUACUCCGACAUCAUAGACUUGUCAAUUGGGAGAAUAUAAGUUUUUUUCUUUUUUUUAUUGCAAUAUAUGUAGAGAAGAGAAUGCGUAAAUUGUUAGAGUUGAAGGAAAAAAAAUCCAUUUCACUACCAAACUAAAAAAUAAAAAAAUAAAAAAUUGGUCAUGGCCAUGGUUAUGUUUUCCAGCACUUAGCCAUUAAUCCAACAAAAAUGUAACACAAUCAAUAUAUAUAUAUAUAUAUAUUGUAAGGGCUAAACAUGCGUAUUUAAUUUGUAUUAUAAAUCACUAUGCAUUUUAUAAUAUGAAAAGCUAAUUAAUGUGUUUUACAUAAAAAAAAAAUCUUAUUUUUUAUUUACUUUUCCUAAAAUGAUUAAUAUUAAAAGAUAAUUAAAAUUAUUUACAAUAUAGAAACAAACUAAUAAAAUAAAAUUAUUUCUCUUCUCUUUAAUUACAAAAAAUAAUAAAGAAAUGUUUAAAUUAUUUCCAAAUAGAGUAAUUGUUUAGAUUUAUUUUUUUUACCCUUCUUUAAUUAAGUUAAUGAAAUAUUUUAAAUGAGUGUGCAAUUAAAUUUACCCUUUUUAUUUAAGGACAAAAAUUCAACCAAAAAUACAAAAUCCUUGUUCAAAUGAACAAAAAUGAUUUUAUGAAUUGAUAAACUCAUGAUUUUACGAAUUGAUAAACUAACACUUUAUUAUUAUUAUUAUUAUUAUUAUUAUUAUUAUUAUUAUUAUUAUUAGUAAAUUAAUAUAUUUUUGUACAUAAUCAAAUAAUUGAUAGUAUGUUAAAUAAAUAUUAUGUUACAAGAAAAUAAUAAAAUAAUAAUUAUAUAUUAUAUGAAAUUAAAUUCAUUUUCAUAUUUUGUGCAUUUCAUCCAUUUGAGAUAGUAAAAUCUCUUGCGUUAUAAAAAAAAAGGGUAUAAUAUCUCUCACAUGGAAGGAAAUUGGCUGCCAUUUUGUUAAAUAAAAAAAAAUCAUAUAUAUAUAUUUAUUGUCAAUUAUGGUUAGUAAAAAAAAUACAAUGUUUAGCUAUAUAUUAAAUUAAUUAGUUUAUUAAUUAAUAAGGGAAUUAUUAAUUUAAAUAAAUAUUAACAAAUGUAAGAAUAAGUCAUUUAAUUGAAAACCUAGUUCAAUAAUCUAAAAAGAAUUUAAAAUAUUAUGGACUUACAUGUUAAAAUUUAGCAACUUUUAAUUUUUCUUAUUUUGUAUAAACAAUAGGGGCAUUUAAUGUUAAUAACCUAACAAAUGCAUCUAAGCCGUUAUAUAGGUUGAAUCUAAAGGUGGAUUUGAAAAAGACAAAAAAAUGGGGUACCAAACACCAUGGGUAAUAUAGCUGGACCCUAUUUUUAGUGAUCAUCUUCAAAGUUGAUAAUUUCAUUCACUAUUUCAUUAUUGUUUAAUUCAUUUGAAGUUAAUUGUUCAAUAACUAAUUCUUCACUUAAAUACAUAUCUUUUUUUACUAGCUGUGAAAAAUUUAUCAAGAGCUCGUUUUUGAGAUCUGACUAAUUUUUCUGCUCUGCUUUUUUUUAAAAUUUUUUUUUGUAGCUUUUCAUAUUCUAAUGCUUAUUUUCUAGUUGACAUGCUUUUCAAAUCUAAAUAACAAACAAAUAAACAAACACGAUUUUUCUUUUCUAGAUUAUUCGAGCCAUAUAUCAGUACAAAAAAUAAAAAUAAAUUAAAUUUUAAAAAAGAUAAGAAUAGUAACAAUUAAAAAUAGAAUUAUUGAUACCACUUGGCAAGUUGACUAGUUGAGAUGAAUAUAAUGAUUAGAUGAUGACAAUAAAUUUCGUACAAAAGAAUUUUCUUUAUAGAGAGGAGAGUAACAAAUUGUUUAAUUGAGAAUAUCAUUGAUUCACUAUCUAUUUGUUUUGGGUUUUUAAAUAGAUUUUUAUAGAAUACUAAGAGUUCUAAAAUAUAAGGUUAAUAAUUUUAAUAGAGUAAUUUUUGAAAAAGAGAAGGCAUUGAAUUUUUUUUUAAAUAAAGAAGUAACAUUUAAAGUCAUUAUUCAACUGGAAAAAUAUAUUUAUUUUUAAUAAUAAGGAGAUGUCUAGAAAUUAUGCUUUCCUACAAUAUAUACUUAGCUUAAAAUGAUUUUGAAUAACAAAAAAAAAAUUUAAUUAUACUAACUAAUAAAUAGAUAAACAAAAGUUGCGGCAUCCAUAAAUAUUGGGUUCGCCUAGUGGUAAAGUGUUACAUCCUUAAAACUCAAGGCACGCCAAUGUUUAGCUUGCGGCCUUGUGCCAAGCAUGGCUACGCAGCGGAUGUGCAAGGGAAGGCACGAAAGCAAGUCAAGUUUGCGCGCAAGCUGGGGCGCAACAACAACUAAGCAGGCUGAUGGACAACACACAAGAUAUGUGUGAGGCAGCGCACAAGUGCUCUGAGGGAUAGUGCACACACAAAGGUGCGCAAGGCAUGCGCACGCUAACAGACAGCGGGCAGGCACGUGAGGGAGCGCACGCACACACGCACACUGGCAAGAGCCACACACAAGCAACAGGCCAGGGGGUUGUUGGAGCAAUCCUUAGUGGAUCAAUUUUAUUUUUAUUUUUAUAAUAAUGAUUUUGAUGAUAACAAACAUGUUUUCAAUUGAUAAGUUUAAAAUUUAUUGUUAAUUGGAUUAAUUUUUUAAGCCAUAUAAUAUUCAAAGCAAAGAAAAACCUUAUGGAAAUAAACGGCAAAACGUUUACAGAAAAUGGAAAACCGAUUACAUUCCAGAGAAUGAAUUUUCAGAAAACGGUAAACCGUUUAUAGAAAAUGGCAAACUGAUUGCAUUAACCGUUUAUGGUUAACGGUACACCCAAUGCAUUCCAGAGAGCAAAUUUCAGAUAUCGGCAAAUCGUUAACGGAUAACGGUAAACCGAUUUCAUUCCAGAGAGGAAAUCAUAUAUAACGGUCAAUGGAUAACGGUAAACCAAAUGCAUUCCAGAGAGCAAAUCUCAGAUAACAGUAAACCGUUUAUGGAUAACGGUAAUCCGACUGCAUUCCAGAGAGUGAAUCUUAGAUGACGGCAUACUGUUUAUUAAUAAUGGUAAACCGAUAACAUUUCAGAGAACAAUCAUCUUGCAAACGGUCAACCGUUUAUGUCAAACGGAUAACCGACAUCUUGAACAAGUUUAUAGAAUGAUAACAGUAAUCCGACUUCCUGCUAACGGUGAUCUGGCAAUUUGACUUUCGGCGCAACGGUAACUUGCUUAAGUCAAAACGACAAUCUGACAAUGUGCAGAAAGUCAAUAACAGCUAAUUUUCAGCUCCAUCUAUAAAUUAUCUCAAUCAAAUUCAAACAAGAGGUGAUUCAACUAUUGUGAUUGAGCAAACCAUUGAGCAUACAACUUUCCUUGAGCUUUAAAAUUCUUGUGUUCAUCACAUUUACUCACACUUUUAGAAUUUCAUUUGUAAUCAAUACAUUGUGUGAGAGAUAUUUAUUUUGUAAUGCUUUUUGAAAAAUCGAAUUGAGAGGUUGUAAGUAUUGGGAUACACUUGUGUUAAGAAAUUGAGGAUAAUCUCUUGUUGUAAAGGUUCAUUGACACAUUUGAAGUCAAUUGUAAGAGUGAUUAAAGCCUUGGAGGCUUGCUUAGUGGAAUCUUCAAGCCCGUGAGCUUGGAGGCAUAAAUGUAAGCAUGGUUGGCCGAACCACAUAAAAUUGUGUCUUUGCUCUCUCUUUUCCCUUACUCUUUUAUUUUUUAGUAUUGUUAAAUUUAUUGCUUUUGUUUUCAUUAAGACAUUAGAUUAAAAUUGUUGUGUGGUUUGAUUAGCUUAAAUUUUAGAAUAUUAAUUCACCCCCUCUUGGGUUGCCUAGUUAGUAUUUCAUUUGGUAUCAGACUGAGGUUCUCUUAUUAGGACUUAACCGUCUAGAGUAAAAGAUCCAUGACAACUCAAAAUGAUUCAACUUUUAGGGAAGGACAGUGCAUAACUAGACCACCAUUCUUUGACGGUAAUGACUACCUAUAUUGAAAAACUAGAAUGAAAAUUUAUUUGCAAGCUUUAGAUUAUGAAAUUUAGGAAGUUGUUUGUAAUGGUCUAUUCAUGUCUAUGACUAAAAAUGAAGUAGAAGAUGAUAUUUCAAAACCUUCAAGUCAAUGGAGUGAGUUAGAAAAGAAAAAUAUAUCUUUAAAGAGUCUAAGAUUAGUAGAUACACUAGACAAUAUGAAUUAUUCCAAAUGGAACAAAAUGAAAGUGUUUAUUCCAUGUAUACUAGAUUUAUGGAUAUUGUAAACACAUUAGGAGCCCUAGGAAAAACCUUUUCAAACAGCGAAAAGGUUAAGACGAUCAUUAGAUUUUUGCCAAUGGAAUGGAGACCUAAAAGAACCGCCAUAGAGGAAGCUAAAGAUUUAAACACUUUGCCUAUUGAUGAUUGAAUUGGUUCUCUUAUUUCAUAUGAAGAAGAUUUGGCAGCGAAAAAAGGUAAUAAGGAAAAGAAGAAGAAGAACAUUGCACUCAAGGCAUCAAAGCAUGAGAGUGAUGAGGAAAGUGAGCUUGAUAAUGAAAACAUGACUAUGAUGGUUAAGAGGUUCAGAAAAAUUUUCAAGAAAACCACUAAGCGGAAAAGAUUCUAAAACUAUAAGAAUUAAAAGGAGAAGAAUGAGCCAAUCACCUGCUAUGAAUGUAAGAAGCCUGGACACAUACGAUCGGACUGUCCUUUUCUCAACAAGCUCAAGAAGACGACAAUGGUAGCCACAUGGGAUGACAACAAUGAGGAAGCAAGUGAUAAUAAAGAGUCACAAGAAAUGUGAAAUCUCGUUCUCAUGGCAAUUAGGGAAGAAUCGUUUAACGAACUCGAUGAGGUAUGUGAUCCUACCUAUGAUGAAUUAUAUGAUACUUUUUUAAGGAAUUGCACAAUGAUUGGAUGAAAAUUGGUAAAAAGAAUGCAUUUCUUAAAAAGAAAGUUGUAGAGCUCACAAAUGAAAAUGAAUAUCUAAGUACAAAGAUUGCAUGCUUAGAACUAGAGAAUAAAACUUUGCAUAAUAAAGUUGCAUUAACAAAUGAGAAACCAAGCAUUUCACAUUAGCACUUAGAAUCACAUGUAGAUGAUUUGAAAAAAGAAAAUGAAAUGCUCAAGAAAAAUAACAUUAAACUUAAUGAUUUUGUCGUAAAAUUUACAAAUGGGUAAAAGAUAUUGGAUAACUUGCUUAAUUGAAAAAAAUGUGUGUUUGACAAAGGAGCAUUGACUAUAAGCCAAAUUUGAAAUAAAAAUAUUAUAAGAAUUAUUUUGUUAAAGCUAUCACCACAAGUGAUAAUAAGAGUGUUUGUCAUUAUUGCAAUCAAAAUGGUCAUAUGAAAUAUACAUGUCUAGUGAAAAGAAAUGUAUGCUUUGGAUUAAAAUGUAUUUGGGUUCCAAAAGGAACCAUUACUAACACUCAAGGACCCAAAAAGGUUUGGGUACCUAAGACUUAAGAUUUUCUUUGUAGGGCCUGAAGAAGAAGAAAAAUAAAUGGUACUCGGAUAGCGGAUGUUCAAGGCAUAUGACCGGAAACUGUGCAUGGUUCUUAAGUUUCACUAAAUCGAAAAUGAUGGAGAUGUAUCCUUUAGAGACAACUCAAAAGGAAAAAUUCUCGGAAUUGGUGAUGUUGGUAAAGUUUCCUCAACUCUAAUUGAAAAUGUAUGUUUAGUUGAAAAUUUGAAAUACAAUUUGAUUAGCAUUAGUCAAUUGUGUGACAAGGGUUAUAAAGUAUUAUGCAUUUGUAAUUGUUGAUGAUUUUUUAGAUACACAUAGGUAUUAUUCUUAACUAAUAAGGAUGAUGCUCUUGAUACUUUUAAAGUAUUUUGUAAGAAAAUUCAAAAUAAAAAGGGGUAUGGUAUUGCAUGCAUUAGGAGUGAUCAUGGAGGAGAGUUUGAAAAUUAUGCAUUUGAAACAUUUUGCAACAAUUUUGGCACUGUGCAUCAAUUUUUAUCACCUAGGACUCCACAAUAAAAUCGAGUUGUUGAAAGAAAAAAAUACAUCUAUUCAAGAAAUGGCUAGAACCAUGUUGAAUGAAAAUUAUUUGCCUAAGUAUUUUUGGGCCAAAGCCGUCAACACCGCUUGUUAUGUUUUAAUCAUGUGUUGAUUAAACCUCUUCUUAAUAAAACUCUCUAUGAGCUUUGGAAAGAUAGAAAGCCCAACAUUGGUUAUUUCAAAGUUUUCGGUUGCAAAUGUUUUAUUUUGAACACAAAAGAUAAUCUUGGUAAAUUUGAUCCAAAAUCUGAUGUUGGUAUUUUUCUUGGUUACUCAAACACAAGGUGUAACCACUAGAUCAUCAUUUAGAAAUACUUGUGAGCAUGCUACAUUCAUAUCUCAAAUUGAACCAAAAUCCUUUACGGAUGAGAAAAAUGAUGAAUUUUGGAUUAUGGCAAUACAAGAGGAGUUAAAUCAAUUUGAGAGAAAUAAUGUGUGGAAAUUAGUUCCUAAACCGAAACAUCAGUCCAUUAUAAACACUAAAUGGGUAUUUAGAAAUAAAAUGGAUGAAUCCAAUAUGGUUGUAAGAAAUAAAGCUAGAUUAGUGGCUCAAGCUUACAACCAAGAAGAGGAAAUUGAUUUUGAUGAAACAUUUGCACUUGUAGCAAGAUUAGAAUCCAUUAGGAUGUUACUAGCAUUUGUAUGUCAUAAAGAUUUUAUUCUAUAUCAAAUGGAUGUCAAAAGUGUUUUUUUAAAUAGUUAUAUUAUGGAAGAAAUUUUUAUCAAACAACCCCUGAUUUUGAAAAUUAAAAAUUUCCAAAUCAUGUUUAUAAGUUGUCAAAAGUAUUGUAUGAAUUAAAGUAAGCACCUAGAGCAUGGUGUGAUAGGCUUAAGAGUUUCUUAUUAGAUAAUGGUUUUGUUAGCCUAAAUGGCUAUAAAAUGUUGAUUUUGAUGAUAACAAACCACAUGUUUUAGAUAAACAAAAAAUUACAUAUUAUGUUUUUAUAACAAGAAAAUGAUUUUAUAAAAUUGUUUGUUUUCAGGUUUAUGGUUUAAAUUGAAAAGUUUUGAGAACUUUGAAAUCAACAAAUAUUGUUUUAAAAUUCUAAAAAGGGGCCUAUUUGCAAAGUUUUCUAAAUAUUUUGGCCAUAGUAUAAUUUUAUACAGUUUUAGGGUAAAAUUAUAAUUUUUGAAAAAUAGUUGUUUCACUGUAGCAAGCGGCUAGCCGGAUUUAUCAAAGCGGCAAAUCGGUUAUGGGCAGAAGCUCUCUAGAAUAAAAACGGCUAACCAAAAAUGAAAAACGGCAAACCAGAUGAGCAAAAUUUAAAUCUUUGAACAUAACGGUAACAUAAAGUGGCAAGCCGGUUAACACAAAGCGACAAGUCAGAUAUCACCAAAAAGUCAAUACGGCUGGUUUUCUUCUUUAACUAUAAAUUGGCUCAAAUCAAAUUUAAUAAAAGUGAGAUACAACCAUUGUUAUCAUUGAGUCAUCAUCUACAAUCUGAGCAUAAAAUUUGUAUUCAUUUCAUUCAUUCACACACAUUGAGUUUUCAUUUGUAAUUAAACACAUUGUGUGAGAUAAAUUUAUUUGUAAUCAUUUUUGUAAAAUCAAGUUGAGAGGUUGCAAGUGUUGGGAUACACUUGGGUGAAGAGAUUGGAGAUAAUCUCUUGUUAUAGAGAUCAAUUGACACCUUAGAAGUUAAUUGUAAGCGUGGUUGAAGCUUUGGAGGCUUGGAUAAUGAAAUCAUUAAGCUUGGUUUGCUUGGAGGCAUAGGCAUAGGCAGAGAUUGCCGAACCAAGUAAAAAUAUUUGUAUUUGCUCUCUCCUCCCUUACACUUUUUAUUCUCGAGCAUUGUUAAAUUUAUUUAUUUUCAUUUUAUUAAGACAUUAGAUUAAAUUAUUGUGUGGUUUGGUUAGUUUAAGUUUUAAAAACCCAAUUCACCCCCUUCUUGGGUUGCAUAACUAGUAUUUCAGGUUCCUCAAUAGGAAAAGUGAAUACUACUCUCUUUGCUAAGCAUAAGAAUCAAGAUAAACUUGUAGUUCAAAUUUAUGUUGAUGACAUUAUUUUUGGUUCUACUAAAGAAGUAUUGUGUAAAGAAUUUUCAUCUUGUAUGAGUAAAGAUAUUCAAAUGAGCAUGAUGGGAGAGCUAAAAUACUUCCUUGGACUGCAAAUAAAACAAAAUGAGGAAGGAAUUUUCAUAAAUCAAGCCAAAUAUGUGAAAGACUUACUCAAAAGAUUUGGCUAUGAAAAUAGAACAGCAAAAAGCACUCCAAUGAGUACCACCAUCAAGAUAGACAAGGAUGAGAAGGGUAAGGAGGUUGACAUCAAGACGUAUCGAGGUAUGAUCGAAUCCUUACCCUACUUGACUGCUAGUAGGCCUAAUAUUAUGUUUAGUGUAUGCUUAUGUGCUAGAUUUCAAUCUUGCCCUAAAUAGUCACACUUGCAUGCUGUUAAACAAAUUUUUUUAUAUUUGAUCGGCACUAUAGAUCUCAGCCUUUGGUAUCCUAGAGGAAUAUAUAUAGACUUAACUUGCUAUUCGGAUGUUGAUUUUGCUGGCUAUAAGGUUGAUAGGAAAAUCACUAGUGGAACAUGUCACUUUUUAGGUCACUCGUCUCUCUUUAGUCUCUUGGUUUAGCAAGAAACAAAAUUCGGUUGCACUAUUAACUACCAAGGUUGAGUAUAUUGUAGUCGAAAGUUGUUGUGCUCAAGCUUUAUAGAUGAAAAAAAUUCUUAGAGACUAUGGCAUUCACCUUGAUAAAACACUUAUUUUGUGUGAUAAUACUAGUGCUAUAAAUCUUUCAAAGAAUCUUAUCCAACACUUAAGAACCAAGCAUAUAGAGAUUAGACGCCAUUUCUUCAGAGAUCAUGUUCAAAGAGGGGAUAUUUCUUUGAAUUUUGUUUCAACCAAAAAACAACUCGGUGAUAUUUUCACAAAACCCCUCAAUGAAGAACAAUUUACUAAAAUUAUACAUGAGCUUGGAAUAUUGAAUGUUCCACAAUAGCUUGGCUUUAUGUGAUAUUAAUCUAUUUUUAGUAAUGUGAUUGCUUAUUUGUAUCAAUUGUUUAAAUUGUGUGAAUUCAUGAAUUAUGCAUUAAAUUGAUUUUUAAGACAUUUCAGAUCAAUAAAAUGAUCUUAAAAUGGAUUAAUUGCUGACCAAAAACUAAAGUAGAUGUGCGAAAUCAUUAGUUAAAGAAAACGGAAUGUCGUUUAUUCAAUAAACGAUUAACCGUUUUUGGGACAGAAACUAGGGAAAAUAUUCAGGAAGAUAACAGUUCGCCGUUUUGGUAAAACUUUUGGGUUACAUUCUAGAACGAUAUCAGCUCGCUGAUAUCUUAAUAACGGCUCACCGUUAUCGCGCGAUAAGAGCACAGUAAACCGUUUUCUCCAUCUUUUGCCCUUGAACUGUUUAACCUUCAACCGCGGCUGUGACUUCUCUCUCUCAAAUUACUCAUUUUCCUUGCAAUUUCUCUUCAAAUUGAAGCCAUAGAAAUCUUCUUUAACGUGUUUAGAACAUUUUCAUUCGAUUAAAAACAAUUUUAAGCUUUAAAUUGCAAAUUCCCAAUUUCAAAACCCUAGUGAAAAUCGAAUAUAGUUCCUCCAAAUUCUCCACAAUUUCCUUCAUUUCUUGAACCUCUUAAGCCCAUACACACUCUUUUAUACCUCAAAUUUAUCCAUAGAUGGUGAAGGACCUUCAAUACCGAAGAGACGAGUCAAACAGAGGGCUAGCAGGAGUCCUCUUUAUCCCCCUCAUGUUCCUGAUUUCGAAAGGGUCUACUUCCCUUCUCCUUCUCUUGCUAGGAGAUUCCAAACUCAUUUUAUGACUCGUAAGUUAACCGAUUCCUUUUUUCUUGAUUUAGAUAAUUUUGAGGAGUUGGUUGUAUGUAGUAGUAAUGUAAAGGAGAUGUUGGUACAAUGAGAGAUUCCUUUGAACCUAAAUGAGAAAGUGUACCCAAACCUACUUAGAAUUUUCUACUCCAACAUGGAGCUUUCGGCUACUAGUUUGGAUUGAUUAGUGACAUAUGUCGGAGGCGUACCCAUUGAAUUUACUGUGGAAGAUUUAAGUUCCAUUUUAGAGACUGAUCAUUCAGGUCUAGAGCUCUACACAUCUCGGAAAGAACUUCAAUUUAACCGUUUUUCUCAUGUAGAUGUGGUUAUGAACAUUUAUAGGUGUCGAGACCUUUCCGAUGAUAUUUUUUCUCUACCUUUUCGGUCUAAAUUAUUGCCUAAGAAUGUUAGGAUCCUCUAUAGUAUUCUCCAGCAUAUCGUUACUCUUAGAAAUGGGCAUAGUGACGAGGUUACUCAUUUAGAUAUCGGGUUGCUGGAUUGUCUUCUUCGAAGGCGUUCGGUUAACCUUGGCUAUGUAAUUGUCCAUCACAUGUUGUUGACCCCCGCCAUGAGCAAUCGACUUCUUCCAUAUGGCAGUAUUAUCACUAGAAUUCUGAGGCAUUUUAGGAUACCCAUUACCGAGCUUAUAUACGAUGAGUCUAAGAGGUUAGGUAGUGAGAUUAUCCUCAGCAUUGGUUUUCAUAGGAGCAAUGGGGAAUGGGUAAAGGUUACCUCAUCCAAGAAUGAGGAUACACUCUUGGCUCCUGAAGAUGAUUGUAUAUUGAAUGACAUAUAUUCUGCUAAUCAGCUUCCAGACUUUCGUUAAGGAGCUAGAGACCUUGAGUUCCUCGUUGAGCUGCAGCUGCGCGUGCUGAGGAGCCUGAUGAGCACGAGGAGCAUGAUAUGAAUACCUACAUGCCUCCAGCCCCUACCUCUUCUUCAGCUUAUGAGGAAUUGAUGCAACAGGUUUUGAGCGAGAUUCACACUCUCUCAGUCCAGCAGUAGCAGCUUGUGUCUCGCUUCAAUUCAUUUCAGCAUAUCAUUUUUUAUCAGCAGCAAGAGAUUCGAGAUGGUCAGAGACACAUCUUUACUGAUCUUGGUUUUCCUCUCACUGAGUCUUCAUCGCGGCCACUUUCAUAGUUUAUCUUUAUUUUCCCUUUUGGUUACGCACAUACAUUUGUCAUCUCAUAUUUUGGAUGUUAUUCUAUGUAUGUUUUAGAUGAUAUUUGUUAUGAAAAUUUUAUUGAACUCGCAAAUGCAUGAAUCUAUUGUAGAAUAGAUUAAUGAUGACGAGUGUCGAUCCCACGAGGAGGUUGAUUCUAAUUGUGUGUAGAAUUAAUUUUUUUCUAAAUAGAUGUUUGGAUUUGUGGUGAAAGUGACUUAGAUUAUCUUAAAAUUGGAAUUGAAAUGGUGAGAAUAAAUUGAAGAGAAAUCUAUUGAAAUGAAACACUUGGGUAUCUGGAUCCGUAUCAACAUGCACCAUGGGCUAAAUAUUCCUUAUUAGUGCCAAUUAAAUCAUGAGGGGGGAAUCCACACCUCAUGAACCACACUCUAAUCAAUAUGGUGCUAAGGGCUUAUCGUGCCAAAUAAUAAUAAUCUUGUACUAGGGAGCCGGUGAAACCAGGGCGGUAUCUAGACAAGAUUAUUAUUAUUUGUCGAUGAGAAGUCAAAACAUCCACAAAAACUAGAGGGGAAGAUAAAGUAAAUUUACCAAUUAAAUCCCAUGACACAUGUUGAGACUUCACCUUCAACCCAAACUUGAAAGAAAAUUAGCUACUCAUAAUUGAAUUAAGGGAAAAAUGAAAAUUUAUUAAAAUACGUAGAAAAUACAAGAUGGAGAAGGAAUUUCAGAAAAUGGAGUCCGAAAAUGGAUUCAGAGAUGCCAAAUUAGGGGGGAGGCCCCCUUUUUAUAGAUAAAUUGAGUAAAUCAUGGUCAUCGGAUUAAAAACAGUUUGGACGCUCAGGAUUGCGCCACGUCAUCAGUCAACAAUACGCGGUUUGACCACGCGGUUUGAAUAGUGACACGGUUUGACCCAGCUUGAACAGUAAUGUGGUUUGGUUGAAAAUAAUUCUGUGUAUAUGCAUGUAACGUACGCGUAAUUUUUGGUUCAUUAACAUGUUGCCACGUCACCAAUCAAUAAUGUAUAAGAAUUUUAGUCCAACAGGAUCAUGACAGCUCAUCAAUCAAUGCCACAUCAUCGGUCAAUGCCACAUCAUCGAUCCGUCUAUGUGAACAGUGUCGUGAACAGUAACGUAGACAGUACCGUACAUGUAAAUAGUACCGUACAUGUAAAUAGUACCAUACAUGUGAACAAUGCCAUUUUUUCUUUUAUGCCCCUCUUAAGGUUUUCGACCGUCCUGAGUUCAAAAGUGAUGUCUGUUUUGCCGUCUGAUCUCUUGUUCAUUGUGAAAUGACCAUAGUACCCCUAAAAUAUAUAAAAUACUUAAUUAAAAUAAAACACACGUAAUUAAAUCACAAGAAGCUUAAAUACAUAAAAGUACGGGUGUUAGUAAAACUUGAAGUGUAAAUGAUGAUUUUCUCCUUUAUAAAUAUACAUUUUCUAACACUCAACAAUAUUAACUAUAUAUUUUGGAUGAUUUUCUAUUUUGAUAUUUGGAUUUCAUUUGUUGGUUUUGAUGAUGUGGUUAUAUGCUUGUUGGUUCUAUGCAUACUUUUGUGUUGUUGGCUUGUUGGAUUGUUGGAGUUUGUUGAUUGAGUUGAAUUGGCUUGUGCAUAUUUGGGAGUGCUUUCAAAAUUUUCUGUAAUUCAGGAUAUGUCUACUUUUAUGGGGAGUCUCUGCCCAAUUUUCCCCUCACUUUCUCUUUUUGAUGAUGAAGGGGGAGAAAUAUAUCUUUGUUGUGGUAAAUAAAAUUGAGUGCAUAAAUGUUUUUGGUUCAAAAAUUGAUUGGCCACAAACUAAGGGGGAGCACACAUUAAGGGGGAGCAAUCUUGCUUAGUCUUGAAAUGUUUGUCAUCAUAAAAAAAGGGGAGAUUGUUAACUCUUUUGUUUUUAUAAUAAUGAUUUUGAUGAUAACAAACAUGUUUUCAAUUGAUUAGUUUUAAAAUUUGUUGUUAAUUGGAUCAAUUUUUUAAGCCUUAUGAUAUUCAAAGUAAAGAAAAACCUUUUAGAAAUAAAUGGCAAACUGUUUACAGAAAAUGAUAAACUGAUUACAAUAUAAAGAAUGAAUUUUCAGAAAAUGGCAAACCGAUUGCAUUAAUCGUUUAUCGCUAAUGGUACACCAAAUGCAUUCCAAAGAGCAAAUUUCAUAUAUCGGCAAACCGUUAACGGAUAACGGUAAGCCGAUUUCAUUUCAGAGAGCAAAUCAUAAAUAACGGUCAACCAUUUAUGGAUAACGGUAAACCGAAUGCAUUCCAGAGAGCAAAUCUUAAAUAACAGUAAACCAUUCAUGGAUAACAGUAAUCUGACUGCAUUUCAGAGAGUAAAUCUUAGAUAACAGCAUAACAUUUAUUGAUAAUGGUAAACCGAUAACAUUCUAGAGAACAAUCAUCUUGCAAACGGUAAACCGUUUAUGUAAAACAGAUAACCGACAUCUUUGAACAAGUUUUUGGAACGAUAACGGUAAUUCGACUUCCUACGAUGACUCGACAAUUUGAAUUUCGGGGCACCGGUAACUUGCUAAAGUCAAAAUGACGAUCCGAUAAGUUAAAUUAUUGUGUAGUUUGAUUAGCUUAAAUUUUAGAAUCCCAAUUCACCACUUCUUGGGUUGCCUAGUUAGUAUUUCAACAAUUAUAUUAUAUUAUCCUAGUAAGUGAGGGUGUCAUUUAUAAAUGCUAUAAAAAACAUUAGGGGAGCCAAGUUUUGUAGAGAGUGAGUAGCCUUCUCUAAGCUCACUAAGCUUGAAGCUAUUUGUCAUUCCUUGUUCUUGAUUAUAAGAAAAUGUUGGAAGUUUGUGCUUCUGUAAACAUUGUGUGUCUUUUGUUCUCUUCGUGCAUUAGAUCUUCAAAAAUGUUAAGGUGUGUCUAACACAUAUAGCCUUCGUUGUGAAUUGUUGAGUGGCUGGCUAAGCAGAAACCUUAGUGACAUCACAGGCUUGCCGCAUAGAAGAAAAUAGCCUUGUGAUAGUUUAGUAUCAGAGCCUUGAUUAACAAUAUGUAGGGAGACACUUUGAAAGAUAGAAUGAGUCGGAUGAAAGCUGCUGUCGGGGAAGUACGGUCUGGGGAGGAAUCCUUGGCUGUCAAAAUCGAAGUAACCUCUAUUGAUUUAGCGAAUAUGAAGUUGUCCUUUGAAGGGCUGACUCAAGAUGUUGUUGAAAAGAUCAGUUCAGUGAUGGAAGAUGUUGUUGCUUUGGUGGAGGAGCUAAAGGGCAGCGUUGCCAACCUGAAAAAUGAGUUGGGCCUGCAAAAGCUCGCGUUGAGCACAAUGUUGGGUAUAAAUACUAAUGCUAUUAGUGUUAAUGUGCAAGUGUACAUAACAAGUAAUAUAAUGAUAAGUAUUCAAGAUCGUCUCCACAAGGAUUGAUAUUAUCAGACUUGCUACAAUAAUUUUAACAGUGCAGAUUUUGUUCUAAAUUAAAAUAAAACAAUUAAUGAAACUAAUAUACUAAUUAAAAUAAAAACGCAAUAAAUAAAAUGCAACAAAGUAAAUUGUCACGUCAAACUCAAGGAUAAAACCAUUGGGAAUAUAGAGUAGUUGAAUGAAUAAGUUUUCUUAAUGGUUUUGACUAUUUUCUAAUGGUUGGCUCGGUUGCUACAGUAUCUGCUACAGCACUAGGCAGAAUCCUUAUGCAUCCUCAGCCAUCGCAUGUUGGAUAUCUUAUAUCUAUAUGCAACCUAACAGUGAUAAGUUAUUAUACCAACAUAAGAUAUAACAUUUCACGCUUAGGUUCUAUUUACCCUACAAGGUGAAUCCCUAUGUUUAGUUCAUCACUAAUUUUAAAUUAAGCAUGACCCUUUUGAGACUCAAGUAAAACUCAAUUCAGGAAACCCAAUUUAAGAUCAAGUAUUGCUUUGAUAUGUUCCACUAAGAUAUGUCCUUUUGUGGCUUUUCCUUAGCUAGUAUCAUUAAAUGGGUGAUCAGCCGAAAUAAUGAAUAAAAUAAAUUCUAUUAAAACAAAAUGCUACAGCAAACAUGCAACAACUUAUUUUUUCAGUCAAUAAACCAUCAAGAUUGUUUAUCACUCAACUACAAAUAAAUUUAGUUCAUGAUUUGCAAAAGAAAAAUAAAGAACAAGGUUUCGGCCAAGAAACACAUCCCCAUGAAUAAAUAGAAAACAAGAAAACAAGAAAACAAGAGAAGAAUAAGAACGAUUGAGCUCCCAAUUGAUCUUUGCAAUUUCUCCUCUUGUGCAGCCCUUAAUCUCUCUCUUGAAUUUUUUUUUUUCUUUGUGGUUUUUCUCCUUGGGUGACGGCCCUCUUUAUUCCUUAUGAUGUGUGCUCAUUUUAUAGUUGAAAAUUAGGGUAAACGGAAGCCUAGGGCAUGCAUAAGUCAGAUUAGGAAACUGCAGAUCGCAAUUCUGUAAGUAUCCCGCGCAAAAUUUUCUUUGUCGUUGUUCCAGGAUUGCUACAGCAACAACUACAACAACUGCACUGUUCUAGAUUUGUUUCAAUUCUUUUGUAACUAUGUUCUUUUUCAUCUUUUACAAGCCUAUUACACCAGCAUUCCUUCCUUGAAAUUGGGGCUUCCAAUCACCUACAAUUAUGGAUAUAAUUUAAGCACACAAAAUUAUUCUAAAACAACACAAUUUAUUAAAAAUAAACUAAAAUGGUUAUUCAUGCAAAACAAAACUAAAAUGCAAUAAAAACAGAUCAUUUACUCUCAAAGUAAUCUUGAUUUAAGUCUAAAAGUGUCAUGAUAACUCUCAUUUCAUAGAGUUAUCACACAACUUCCUUGCAUUUGGAGGUAGGGCUUUCGAAAGUAAUGUUCCGAAGUCAAAAUUAUUUGGGGGCACGCGAAGUGCCAAGGAAUUGGAGAACUUUCAGUAAGAUAUGAAGCAAUAUUUCAAGGAUGCUCGGAUACCUGAAGUGGAGCGAGUUUCCAUUACAAGCAUGUAUCUUGAGGGGGAUGCAAAGCUUUGGUGGCGCGGUACACUCCAAGAGGAUGUCGAAGCCAACCGACCAACUAUCGAGACAUAGGACUCACUGAAGCAAGAGUUGAAGGGUCAAUUAUUACCGGGUAAUGCGAGUGGGAUAACGGGUUUAAAGUAUUAACAUAUAUAUAAUCAUUAUAAUGAUUUUGAUGAUAACAAACUUUAAGUGUUCUUGAUCAAAAGGUUGGAGUUUCUCUUUAAUAAACAUUUCAUUAAAUAGCCAUAUAACAUUCUUAAAUGUGUUCAUGAAAUAUGAAUUAUCAUUAACUUUAAACCGAAAAAGCAUCUCCUGCAAAAUGUUGAUUAAAACUUUGAUUCUAGAAACAAAUAGUGAACCAUUAACUUUGAAAUGGUUAACCGAUAAUUUUUAGAGAUGGUUAAUUCCUUAAACUUGAACCGGUUAACGAAAACGGACAAUGCAAGUAAGCUGGGGAGGCUACUGGAAUUAAACGGUAAACCGUUUAUAUCAAACGGCUAACCGAUAAUUUCCAGAAUGUCAUUCCAUACUACUCUUCAAUCGUUUAGCAAGAACAGUUAGCACAAAUUUGUUUUUGUAGGUCUCUAGAAAUUAACAGCAAACCGAUAAUGGCAAACGGUCAACCGUUUAUUUGAAUUUAAGAUCAAUGGUCACUUGGACCAAUCAAAACGUUAUCGGUUAAUGGUGAUCCGUUUUCGCCCAGAAAGUUAACAACGGCUAUAUUUCAGCUCUAACUAUAAAUAAACUCAAUCAAAUUCAAACAAGGACUAAUCACAACAUUUUCAUUGAGCAAAUUAUUGAACAUUAAACUUAUUUGUGCUUUAAAUUCUUGUAUACAUUUUAUUUACUCACACUUUAAAAUUUCAUUUGUAAUCAAACAUAUUGUGUGAGAGAGAUUUAUUGUGUAAUCUUUUGAAAAUCAAAUUGAGAGGUUGUAAAGUGUUAGGAUACACUUGGGUUAAGAGAUUGGGAAUAAUUUCUUGUUGUAAAGGUUAUUGACACUUUGGAAGUCAAUUGUAAGAGUGAUUGAAGCCUUGGAGGCUUGCUUAGUAGAAUCUUUAAGCCCGGUGAGCUUGGAGAGGUGGACAUAGGCACGGUUAGCCGAACCUCGUAAAAAGCAAGUGUUUGAUUUCUCUUCCGUUACUCUUUUAUUAUUUUGCAUGAUUAAAUUUAUUGUUUUUGUUCUUAUUAAGGCAAGAGAUUUAAAUUGUUGUGUGGUUUGUUUUGCAUAAGUUUUUAUAACCCAAUUCACCCCCCUCUUGGGUUACUUAGAUAGUAUUUCAUAAGGAAGCUCAAACAUACUGGUUCAAUCAGUGAUUAUGUCAAAGAAUUUAGUUCUUUGAUGCUUGAUAUCAAGAACAUGUCCGAUGAAGAUAAGCUUUUCAAAUUCAUGAGUGGUUUGCAACUGUGAGCGCAAACCAAACUAAGAAGGUAGGUUGUACGCGACUUGCCUAUGACGAUUGUUGCUGCGAAAGGUUUGGUUGAUUUUAGGUUUGCGAGUUCUUCUCCCUCCGAACCUAAAAAGAAUAAAGAUUCGAGGAAAUCUGACCCUUUUAAGCAUGAUGGUAAAAAGAAAGGGGGCUUUGCGGGGAAAACCAAACCGAAAGAUGGACAUGAGAAGAAAAGCUCGGGAUGCUUCAUAUGUGACAGACCACACCGGGUGAGGGAUUGCCCAAAGCGGACACAGCUGAAUGCUAUGGUCAAGGAGACGGAGGUAGAACCUUCAAUGACUGAGGCAAGUACUUCUCGAAUGAAUACAUUACAGUUGAUGAACACUUUGAGGAAUGAGGUUGUGUGCAAUGACUUCAAUCAAGGGUUGAUGAUCAUGACUGUUUUGGUAGAUGGGAGGGAAGUGCGUGCUAUGCUGGAUACGGGAGCCACAACUAACUUUCUUGCAUCCCACGAAGUGGCACAUUUGGGUUUGAAAAUAACAGCUGUGGGCAGCAAAGUAAUGGCUGUAAAUUCUGUGAGUGUGGGGGUUAAAGGGGCUAUGCAAAGUUCACUACGGGUGGGAAUUUGGCAGAAAACAGUAAAGUUUACUGUCAUGCCUCUUGAUGACUUCGAUUUAAUCCUUGGUAUGAAAUUCUUUAUGGCGUAAUGAUACAAUUGAUGCCCUAUUAGAAGAGCAUCUUGAUCAUGGGAAUGGAAGACGUGCUAGUAAUUUAUAUAUUAUUUUUGUAUUUUCUUAAUUUAAUUUUAUGUUAAAUUAUAUUUUAUUAUGUUAAUUUUAUCUUAAUUUUUAUAUUUUGUUAUUUAGGUAUAAUUUGGGAUUAAAGAAGAAUUAAAUUGAAAUAUUCAGGAAGAAAUCUACUUGAAGGAAUUAAAAAGGAAAAGGAAUAAAGAGAUUUAAUAAAAAAUAAAUUAAAGAAGAUUAGCGGACACACCAUCCAUUGUACCAUUCCAAUUCUUGGUUCAUGGCAGAUCAUAACCAUCACUCCAAUCUGCGGGACAAUUUACAAAAGGCUUGAAACGGAAGGAGAACUCUUACUUGGCAGCGUUGUUGGAGAUAAAACCUUAUCAGAUUGUGGAGAUGCUUGAUAAAUACGCCCAAGUAUUGGAAUAGUUUGCGGAUGUCAUGCCGCCGGAGCUCCCUCGAGCCUUACUACUGAAACGUGCUAAAGAUCAUCGGAAUGAUUUAGAGACUGGUACUAGACCCCCUGCACAUGCUUUUUAUCAGAUAUUGCCUUCGAUAUUAGUAGAACUUCGGAAACAAUUGGAUGAGUUAUUGGAUGCGGGAUUCAUUUGACCAUUCAAAGCACCGUAUGGUGCACCAGUAUUAUUUCAGAGGAAGAACGAUAGCUCAAUGCGAAUGUGUGUGGACUACCGUGCCUUAAACAAUGACGAUAAAAAACAAGUAUCCAGUCCCCAACAUUGCAGAUUUUUUUGAUCGAUAGGGUAGAGCCUCUUACUUCACGAAGCUGGACUUGAGGUCAGGGUAUUGGCAAGAACGGAUUGCGGAAGGUGGUGAAGCAAAAGCAGCUUGCGCAACUCGGUAUGGAUCAUACGAGUUCUUAUUAAUGCCUUUCAAACUCACCAAUGUGCAUGCAACAUUCUGCGAUUUGAUGAACGAUGUUCUUUACGAGUACUUGGACUUCUUUGUGGUGGUGUAUCUCGAUGAUAUACUGGUGUACAACGAGUCUUUGGAAGAUCAGUUGGAUCACUUUAACCAAUGUUCUCACGAUUAUGGGAAUACAAGCUCUUUGUCAAGAAAGAAAAAUGUGAAUUUUGUCACCGGGAGAUAGUAUUCUUAGGGCUAUCAUUGAUUGGCCUGCACCUACAAAAGUGGUGGAACUUCGAUAAUUUCUUCGGUUAGCUAACUACUACCGCAAGUUCAUUAAAGGGUACUCAAACAGGUAAGUUCACUCACGGAGUUGUUAAGGAAAGAUCGAAAGUGGGAAUGGGCUGAAGUGUGCGAGCAAGCAUUCAAGAAACUCAAACAAGCAGUAGCUUUGGAACCGGUGCUUAAGCUACCUGACUUUAGCUUGCCAUUUGAGGUACAUACAGAUGCAUCAGAUAGGGCCAUUAAUGGCGUGCUUGUUCAAGAUGGCCAUCUGGUAGCGUUUGAAAGUCGAAAGCUAGAGGAUACAGAACAACGGUACUCGGCACAUGAGAAGGAAAUGACGACAAUGGUACAUUGCCUAAAUAUAUGGAGACAUUACUUGUUAGGUAUGAUUUUUAUGUUGUUAAGGACAAUGUAGCCAAUGCUUAUUUCAAGACACAGAAGAAACUAUCACCAAAACAAGCAAGAUGGCAACAGUUCCUUGCUGAAUACGAUUUUGUAUAGGUACAUAGGCUUGGAAGGCAAAAUCAGGUUGCGGAUGCCCUCAGCCGCAAAACAAUUGAAACAUAUGUGGCGGCUUUAACUCAAUAGUAACGGAUUUUCUUGACAAGAUUCGGCAGCAAGCGGAAAUAGAUACUAGCUACUGCCAACUCCGCAAGAAGAUCAAGCAAGGCUUGAUGCGAAGAUAUUGGGUUGAUGAUGAUCUAAUUUAUGGACAAGGUGGAAAAUUAUAUAUUCUUUCGGGAGGGGACUUACAAAGGAUCGUAUUGCGUGAUACACAUGAUUCUCGAUAGGCUGGACAUCCAGGGGUGAAAGGAUAAUGGCGUUGCUGGAACACUCAUAUUUCUGGCCUAAAAUAGAAGACAACGUGCAUCUAUAUGUCAAAACUUACCUAGUGUAUUAACUAGAUAAGUCGGAAAAGAGGAAGCCAGCGGGACUUCUUCAACCAUUGCCAAAUCCGGAGAGACCUUUGCAAUCUCUCUAUGGAGUUUAUCUCGAGAAUGGCUAAAUCGAAUAGAUAGAAAUCGAUUUUUGUUGUGGUUGAUCGAUUUUCAAAAUAUGCGAUAUUCAUACCUGCACCUCAUGCUUGCCCAGUGGCCAAGGCAGUGGAGCUAUUUUUCAAGCACAUGGUUAAGUACUUUGGUGUUUCGGAGGACAUCAUUAGUGACUAGGAUGCUUGGUUCACGGGAAGAUUUUGGAAAGUGCUCUUCAAUUUAAUGGGGACGGAAUUGAAGUUUUCUACUGCCAAUCAUCCUCAAACGGAUGGACAAACAGAGAGGGUGAAUCCACUAUUAGAGGAAUACUUACGGCACUAUGUGACAGCAAGCUAAAAAUAAUUGGGUAGACUUGCUAGAUGUGGCUUAAUUUUGCUGUGACAUCCAUUGCUCUUCAACAACGGGGAUGAGUCCAGUGGAGCUAAUUAUGGGACAACAACCAUUGACUCCUCAUGAAGUGGUGAAACAGCACACAUGUGGAAAAUGCUCCGCAGCUUAUCGAUUUGCACGAGACAAGCAAGAAAUGAUUAAACGGGCCAUUGAUAGCUUGGCCAAUGCAUCGCGACAAAUGAAGAAUAUGCGGGUGCUGGAAGAAGACCGCCAGAGUUCAAUGUAGGUGACAAGGUGUUACUCAAAUUAACGCCCCAAAUUUAGAAGAAAAUCAGUAGCAAAACUAUACAUCGGGGGCUGGUACCAAAAUAUGAUGGACUAUUUGAGGUGAUCAAAAGGGUGGGUCAGGCGGCGUAUCGAUUACGACUACCCGAGCAGUUGAAGAUUCAUCCUACAUUUCAUGUGGGUUUCUUUAACCUUUCAGCGAAGACUUGGCUGACAAGGGGCGCCAACAAGCUAAGCGUGCUCCACCGGUAAUUCGGAAGCAAUAUGACAAGGAAGUUGAGAAAAUCCUUGAUCAUAAGCCAAUGGGGCAAAGUAAGAAGAAUCGGAGAAUGGAGUAUCUAGUUCAAUAGAAAGGAGGCAGCGAAGCGAAUGCUAGCUGGCAAAAAGAAGUAUCAUUAUGGCAAUUCUAGAAAAAGGUUAAGGCGUACUUAGACUCCUUGCCAACGAGGGCGUCGGGUUCUUCUGGUAGGGGGGUUUGUUACAGCCUUAAAACUCGAGGCACGCCAAUGUUUGGCUUGCGGCCUUGUACCAAGCAUGGCUACAAGUGAAUGUGUGAGGGAAGGCACGAAAGCAAGGCCAGUCUGUGCGCAAGCUGGGGCGUGACAGCAACUAAAUAGGCUGAUGGAGAACACUCAAGAUAUGUGCAAGGCAGUGCACAAGUGCUCCGACGGAUAGCGCGCACUGAGGGUGAGCGCGCCAAGCAGCAUGUAGCGCACGCUAACGGACAGAGAGCAGGCGCGCGAGGGAGCGCACAACGCACUAGCAAGAGCCACACACAAGCAACAGGCUAGAGGGUUGUUGGAGCAAUCCUUAGUGGCGGCGGCCAGCCACUACAUGAGCAUUGCCUAUAAUAAGGAAUUUGUCAGGGUGGGGUUAGUCCACCACUGUUCAAAAUAUCCUAAUUAAUAGUGUUUGGGCAAAGCAAUAGGGUAUUGAGCUUAUUUGUUUAGUGCGUUGGUGGCAAACAAAGUAUGGCGUGGGAAUACAUUAUACUAUCCUUGUAAGUGGCGGUGUCACAUACAAAUGCUAUAAAUAGCAUUAGGAUGGUGAGCUUAGGGAAGCCAAGUUUUGUAGAGAAUGAGUGGCCUUCUCCAAGCUCACUAAGCUUGAAGCUAUUUGUCAUUCUUUGUUCUUGAUAAUAAGAAAAUGUUGGAACUUGGUGCUUCUGUAAACAUUGUGUGUCUUGUGUCCUCUUCGUGUAUUGGAUCGUCGAAAAUCUUGGGGUGUGUCUAUCACACAUAGUCACCACUGUAAAUUGUCAAGUGGUUGGCUAAGCGGAAAACUUAGCGCCAUCAUAGGCUUGCCGCAUAGAAGAAAAUAGCCUUGUGACAUAAAGCUUAGUUAACACAAGUACUAUCUGCUUAUCGUACGUUUGGUGUGGGAUACUCUACCAUACCCCUAAUUACAAAAAUUUACAUGAAAAUUCGUGGGGCCUUCCUGUAUAUCAACUUUCUUGAAUGAUUUGCAAUCAUUCUUUCUCAUAUUUAAGUGCAGAUUUAGUUUUAUUUUAUAUUAGUUUUUUUAAAAUUAUAUAUAACUCACAAAACCUUCAUAAUAAGUUUCCCUUUAUACUUCGACUUUUUUCUUUUGUUGCGUCACCAAUAUCCAUGCUUUCAUAUUUGCAAAGUACAUUGCUGAAAAUUAUUGUUCAAGACAUCAAAGAUUUGCAACUCAGUGAAAAAAUAAUCAGCCUUAAAAUAACUGUAAUUUAUUCGAGUGUAGAACAAAAAACUGAAGCUCCUGAAGAGUUCCCAGCCAACGCGUAAAGUAAUAUAUCCUCUAUCUUGUUGUUGCCGAGAUCAACAACUUGAAGAUUUGCACAAUUGAGCAAAGAUCUUGGGACUGACCCUACAAGUUCAUUGCCAUUGAAGUUAAGGGUCCUCAAAUUAUUGCAAUUUGAUUAUUUCAGGAAUUGGCCAUGGAAUCUAUUCUUCCUUAAAUCCAACGCACACAGAGUAUUGCUAAAGUUUCUAAUUAAUGCAUUCUGGAAUGGUGCCACUCAAGCUGUUGCUGGGCAGAUCACGAACUUAAAUAGUACUUGAGUUACAGAUCACACAAGGUAUCUUUCUAGUGAACCUAUUUCUUGAUAUCAGAAAGACUUUCAUAUUAGAUGAUGGAGCUGGAAACGAUCCUUGAAGCAAGUUGGAAUGAAAGUCAAGAUAUUCAAGAUUCUUCCACAGAAGUUUCUUCGUGCCUGUAAAGAAAUAUUCUGAUUCAUCAAAUAUCUAAGAGGCUUUCUUUAUUAAAGUGCCUUGGGGAUUGAGGUAUGUAAUUUUCAAUAUAUUUGUGCCAGCAUUCAGCAGUUGUAUGCCCUGAUUUGAAGCAAAUUUGAGAGAUAGGCACUAAUUUAUCACCAUUUGAAGCUUGUGGUUCAAUAACAGACAUAUUGCCACUGCUAAUAAGAUUUUCGCCAAAUGAAUUCUUUCCAAACUGAGCAGACUUAUUACUUCCCAUCAUAUGACCUCUUCCAGAAUUACCAAAAAUACCAGUACUAGGGGGAAAACCUCUUAGAUAAGUACUAAAAAACAUGCAUUUGCCAUUUUUUUUUUUACAAGGCUUAGCCAAGCUAAGAAAUUACAGAUGGGGAAAUUCUCAUCCCGUACAUAUCAUAAGAAAGUUAAGGACCAAUUCCUGUUGGAGGUUCCUAAAAAACAUGAAAUUCAAAAGGCAAAGAUCCUGCAUUCCUAACUAAAAAAUCAGUUGCAAAGUUGGCUUCGUGAUAGAUAUGUUGAAAGGAUACAUGCCAAUCCUUCGUGAGAAGAUUCUUGAUCGAAUUUAUCAAAUAGGUGUGCACAUUCGAGCUCUGACCGCUAGACUCCAUCAUAUGCAGUAUGCAAAGGCUAUCAACCUUUGCCUCUAAAAAUCGAAUACCUUAAUUCCACGCAAGGUUAAGACCUUGGUACAGCCCCUAAAUUUCUGCCAUACUAAUGGGACAAGAUCCAAUAUUCAUCCCGAAGCCCCGAAUCCAAUUUCCAUUUGCAUCACGAAUUAAGCCACAUGCACUAGCUUUUCCAUUAAUUUCUCUUGGUCAGUCAGUUUUUAAUCAGAAAUAAGGUCAUCUAAGGGCUGUUCAGCCAAUACCAACUGACACCUUGCAAUGUCUCUGUUGCAUAUUAGCCUUAAAAGUCUAUUGUAUCUCAUGCACCCAUGCGCUGAUAUCUGACACCACACGAAGGCUGCAUGGGGAAUUGUUGGCAAAAACAAACUGAUUCCGACAGUGCCAAAUUUUCUAUACAGUGAUCUAAAAAGCCAAGGACCAGCUAUCUCCCAUCUCCACACUCUCCCACAUAGAAAUGUUGUUAAAGAGCCAUUCUUUAAAGUAGCAGAGAAGAAAGCAUAUGUACUAGUAAUAGGAAGCAAGGAAAUCUAUACCUGUUUGGCCAAAAUGCAGUCACGGAGUGUGUGCAAAAUAGUCUCUGUGUCAGCUCUGCAGAUAUCACAAACGGAAUUACUAUAAAUGUGCCUUCUAAAAAGUUCCUCCUUUGUCUUGAUUUUUUCAUGCAUUAAAAGCUAAAGAAAUACCCUUACUCGGUGUGGGCCUUCCAACUCCAGAUGAGCUACCAAUCCUUUUUAUCCCCACAAAAGACUUGGUUACUGAUAGAAUCAGAGGCUGAUUUUGUAGUAAAAUUGCCAUUACAUGAAAAACUCCAGAAUGAUUGGUCUUCACCCUCCAAGCUAGAUGGGAGUUUAACCACCGCAAGUUGGAGGAUAUGUUUAUUAGAUAAAAGGUAGCCAAAAACAUCCUAUCAUAAUGACCCGUCUAGGUUAACCAUACCAGCCACACACAUGUUUGCCAUCCCUAAAGGAAUCUGUUGUACGUGAGAUCCAAUAUUACAAACCUCAAACACUCAAUUAUCAUUCCAGAAACUAACACUUUUCUUGUUCCCUAUAGCCCAUUUAAUGCCCUUCACAACAUGAGGCCAAACGUUACAAACUAACUGCUCUCCACAAAUAGGAACCGUGUCCAAAGUAUAGAUUAGUUGGAAUUCCAUAAAAUUGUAAACCAAACUUAGUUCAAGGAACUCUGAUCUAUAACCUUUGGGGUGAAGCAACUAUAUUCCAACCAAUUUUCAUUAAUAGGGUAGUGUUCAUGUGCGAGAGAUUUUUCAAGCUAAGGUCCCGUAGAUUUUUCAAUUGGCAAACUGUUUACCAAUUAAUCAAGCUCAUCUUACGCUCAUUGGCAACACCACUCCAAAUAAAUCUUCGACAAAUUUUGUCAACCCUUGCACGAACACCCUCGAGGAGUCAAGUAGUUUGCAUAGCAUAGGUGUGUUAAGGAAGCUCAUACUUGCAAUGUGGUCAGCAGAGCAGAGGAUCACAGUAGUAGCAACAACAGAGCAGAGCAGAGGAUCACAACAGCAGCAACUUUCAGUUACAAAUUGAUGACAUGGCUUUCCGGCUGGCACCUAGUAGUUAUGUAAUCGGUUGUGCGUGUAUUAACUAGAAGUAGUUAAUUAGCUAUAGUUAGUUACAACAAUUUGAGCUGAGCUUCAGCUUUGUAUAUAAAGAAGCCUCUUGUACAUAUCAGUGUGUGGUUAAUAAAAAUGAUGUUAUAGAGAAUUCUCAGAUCCAACUCUUAUUUUCUUUCAAUUGUCUCACUAGUUUCUCAGCUGCCAAACAAUAUUUUCAUUUUUUAACUUGGUAUCAGAGCUAAGUGCAAUGGCCUCAGUACAUUUAGCUUCUUCUUCUCAAGCGGCAGUCAAUCAAACAGCUGUUAACUCAACAAAUAUGACAUUUACUUUCAAUGUUCCUAUUAAGCUAGAUUAAUCCAAUUAUUUGAUCUAACGAUCUUCAGUUCUUGCCUCGAUACGUGGCAAUAGACUUGAGAAUUCAUUGAUGAUUCCAUCACUUCACCUCCUUCACACAUUGCUCAAAGGAUUAGUGAUGAUCUAAGAUCAGUGGAGAAUCCAGACUUUGUGACUUAAAGAUGAUAAGAUCAGGUGCUUCUUGGCUGGCUGUUCUCUUCAAUGAGUGAAGGUAUUAUUAGUCUGGUGUUCGAUCUAGAGACUUCUCGUGAGGUAUGGAAAGCUAUUGAAGUUCAGUUUGGAACACAAUCUAAAUCCAGGCUUUUGCAUUUAAGAUACAUGAUGAACUCGACUAGGAAAGAUGAUCUGAAAAUUACUAAUUACUUUAUUAGGAUGAAAAACAUAGCUGAUAAUAUGGCUGCAGCAGGAAGUGCUUUAAGUUAUAAUGAUUUAAUCCUGCAUAUACUCAUGGCUUAAGUCUAGAAUAUAGUUUUGUUGGUACCUACAUCACUAGACAAGUAGGUGUGGGAAAGAUGAAUGUGAAUGAAUCUUAUGCUAUGCUCUUAACUUAAGAAGCUAGGAUUGAACAGCAAACUCAUAUGUUAGAUUGGGUGUUCAGAACCAAGUACAACACAGAUGGCUCAGUCUUUAAAUAUAAAGCUAGAUUGGUAACACAGGAGUGUUUGAAAUAUUUGGUAUUCAAGUUAUACCAAGUCCAGUUCAAGUUCUUACAUUAAUCAAGUGAGCAGAAUUUCUGUACAGAAGGAGCAUCUUUGGGAAUUAAAUUGUACUUCAUGAGAUCGAAUUAAUUUUAGAGCCAUACAUCAUUGGAAAUAUAUUUCUGUCAGCUUUCCAAUGAAUUUUACUAAUCUAAAUUUGGAGCUUUCUACAGUAAGUUAUGAUCAGUUAAGUGCAGGCUGGUCAGUUUCGAGUCAAGAAGAAUAUUUCUGGACUUGGACUUUUUUUUAAUGCUCUUUGCUGUGUUUUAAGCAUACCAAUGAUUUAUUAAUGUCUAGCUUUAAUGUUGGUCUUUGAAGUCAAGUCAUUUGAAGGGUUUCUUUGUAGUAUAUUUAUGCUUGGAGGAUUGUUCCAAGAAAGUUAUUGAAGCUUAUGUAGUUGUAACCAAAAGAUAGAGAUUAAUUUUGGAAAUUGAAUGAACUUUGAGCUAUUAUCAAACUUUGUAUCUCUUUGGUGGAUUCCAUUGAGUGGUGAGUGUUUUAAGCUCUGUAUCCUUAGCUUAACAACUUUAGGUGGUGAAAAUUUGUUUGUAUCCUUUUGUUGUUUGCUAUGGUGGUGAGCUUGUGAUUUCUUGAGUGUGUGACGUUGUGCUUUCUCAUCUAUUGUGUCCGGUGUCAAUUGGUGGCUAAGGAAUUUCAUCAAACUACAGGUAUUGAUUAUUCAGAAACCUUUAGUCAUGUAGUAAAGUCCUCGACAGUGAGAGUAAUUCUAAGUCUGGCUGUCAUGAAAGGUUAGAAGGUUAGACAAAUUGAUGUCAAUAAUGCUUUUUUAAAUGGGGAUUUAUUAGAGGAUGUGUAUAUGACUCAGCCUGAGGGUUUUUUAUCCAAAGAAGGCUACAUAUGCAAGCUUAAUAAUGCAUUAUAUGGAUUGAAACAAGCUCCAAGAGCAUGGUAUGAUAAACUGAAAUGUUGUCUUACCACUUGGCAAUUCUUUAAUUCUAAAGUUGACACUUCUUUAUUCUUCAAAUAUGAUAUUAAAGGCAUGAUCAUUGUGUUAAUUUAUGUUGAUGACAAUUUGGUUAUUGGUCCUGACUCAACAUUACUUAAAGAUUUUAUUACUAAACUCAGUAAGGUCUUUGCUUUCAAGGAUUUGGGAUUAGUGGCCUAUUUUCCGGGUUUGGAAGUUUGUUACAUAACUCAUGGUAUGCAUUUCUCACAGACGAAGUACAUUAAGGAUCUGUUGAGUAAAGCCUCAAUGCAGGAUUGCAAGGGUUCUGAUACAUCUCUCAGCAUUGGUUUCAAACUGGAGAAAAAUGGUGUGAAGGACCUUUGGGGCAAGAAUUUGAAGAGGCAGCACUCUAUAGAAGCAUUGUCGGGGGUCUUUAGUACUUGAUUCUCACCAGACCUAACAUUACUUUCUCUGUACAUAAACUUAAUCAGUAUCUCAAUAAUCCUACACUUUAUCACUGGUUGCAAUACAAAAAAGUUCUCAGGUAUCUUCCAGUUACAACCACUCAUGGUCUAUAUCUUCAAAAGGAGGGAACACUUGAAUCUAUUGGUUUAAUAGGCUACUCUGAUGCUGAUUGGGCGUGUGAUGUUGAUGAUCGAAAAUCUAUUAGAGCUUAUUAUAUCUACCUCGAUAAUAAUUUGAUUUCUUGGUCAUCUAAAAAGUAAACUACUGUAGCUAAGUCAAGUAGUGAGAGUGAAUAUGGGACUCUAUUUUCAGCAAGCUCAUAACUCUCCUAGUUACAAUCCUUAUUGUCAGAGUUUAAUAUUGUGCAAGUACCAACUCUAAUUUUUUGGUGUGACAAUCUGAGUACUAGAGAAUUAGCUCGGAAUCCUAUUAUUCACUAUAAGUCUAAGCAUAUUGAAUUAGAUGUUCACUACAUUAGAGACAAAGUGCUUAGAAAAGAGUUGGAAGUGAGAUAUAUUCCAAGAACAAAUUGCUGAUGUUCUUACAAAGCUUUUUUCAUUUCUUAACCUCAACUAAUUUCGAUCCAAGCUCAAUGUCAUCAGCAGGCCAUUGAGCUUGAGGGGGGAUGUUAACAAAGCUCAUACUUGCAAUGUGGUCAGCAGAGCAGAGGAUCGCAGCUGCAGCAGCAGCAGAACAGAUGAUCAAAGCAGCAGCAACAUUCAGUUAUGAAUUGAUGACAUGGCUUGCUAGCUAGCACCUGAUGGUUAAGUAAUUGGUCGUGCACGUAUUAAUUAGCUCAAGCUAUUGUGAUUAGUUACUAGAAGUAGUUCAUUAGCUAUAGUUAGUUACAACAAUUUGAGCUGAGCUACAGCUUUGUAUAUAAAAGAACCUCUUAUACAUAUCAGUGUGUGUGGUUAAUAAAAAUGAUAUUCUAGAGAAUUAUCAAAUCCAAUUCCUAUUUUCCUUCAAUUUUCUCACUAGUUUCUCAGCCGCCAAACAAUAUUUUCAUUCUUUAACUUGGUGGGUAUAGCUUGAAUAACAAUUUACACCAAGGUUACUCGUCCAGCUAGGGAUAAGUGCAAUGAAUUCCUUCCCAAUGAUUUUUUAUCCACCUUAUUCACAAUCUACUGAUAGCUUGCCUUCCUAACUCGAUUAUGAAGUAAAGGCAUUCCAAGAUACUUGCUAAGGUUGUUUAUAAUAGAAAAACCACACACUGUAACGAUAUUCUUGGCCCUAACCUGCUCUACAUUCUUAGCGAAGAAAAUUUGUGUGUUUUCCUUACUGACCAUCUUAUUAGAGCUUAAACAAAAAUCUUCCAAAACUGAAUUGAUAGUUCUGGCUUGUUGGUGAGUUUCUUCCGCCAACAAAAGUAAAUCAUCUGCGAAAAAAAAAAAGAUAGGUUAGUAGAGUACUUUUUCGAGAGAGGUGGAUGGGCACGACUACAUUAUGGAUGCCAUGGCCAAGGUGCUCAAUCCAUAAACAAAAAUAUAGGGAGACAAAGGAUCCAUUUGACGAAUCCCGUGAGUUAGGGUGAAAGGAUGGGUGAGCUCUCCUUCCCGUAGAAUUUGCAUUCUCACCGUAGUAAUGCACUCUAUAGUGAGUCUAAUAAAAUCAGAGGGUAAGCCAACUUCAAUAAGCAUAUCAUGAAUAAAAUCCCACCUUAACCGAUCAUAAGCCUUCUCCAGAUUGACUUUAAUGGCCAUGAACCCACCUUUGCUACUUUUCCUCCUCAUUGAAUGGACAAUCUCUUGUGCCUUGACAAUAUUUUCAGUUAUAUUCCUCCCGGGGAUGAAAUUUGUUUGAUUAGGGCCAAUAAGUUAGGAAGGAUAGCUUUUAGGCAAUUGGUAAGGAUUUUGGUAAUUGUUUUAUAAAUGACAAGGAAAAAGUUAAUAGGUCGAAAGAGCUUUAUAAUAUCCGGUUGUUGGUUUUAAGGAUAAGGACAAUGAGAGUUUCAUUUAUUUUAGUGGGUAAGGGUUGCCCUCAAAUAUAUUUUUUAUGACUCUACACCCACGGUAUUCCAUUGGCUUUGGUAGAACAAAGCAUGCAGCCCAUCCACUCCAGGAGCCUUCCAAUGAUGCAUGCCAAAUAUGGUGCUUCGAAUAUCCCCAACAUUAACAGGCUACACCAUCUCCCUUAUCACAUCACUGUCAACUGUUGGAAACAUACAAGAGGAUGGGUAAUUGAUAAACUCCCUACCAUUAGACUUGAAACUUUUGAUGAAGUAAUGCACAAUAUGAUUUUUUAUCUCAUUUUUGUCAUAUAACCAACGCCCCUUGUUAUUUUUUAUGGCAUCCACUUUGUUGCAUCUUCUCCUACUAAUGGUUUUCCUCUGAAUGAAAACUAUAUUCCUAUCCCCACUAGAAAUCCAAUCACGUCUUGAAUUUUGAAACUAUAAUAUUUUUUUCCUGAGCAAGGACAACCUCUAACUCUUUUCUAGGCGUGGACUCAUGUUGCAUAAGCUUGUUAGAACUAUGCCGCUGAAGAGCCUUUUGAAUGCCACCUACAAGUGCAAGAAGUCUUUUUUUACGGUUAAAAAUAUUCCCAAAAGUCUUCUUGUUCCAAACCAUAACGUCCUUAGUAAAAGUUUUUGUUGCAUGAAAAUAAUUACACUCACUGUUCCAAUAGCUAGCCACAAAUUCAGUAAACUUCUCAUCCGAUAACCAAGCUGCAAGGAAGCGGAAACUUUUGAUAUUGUCCCUUCUGUUCCCAGACUUUUCAAACCUCAUUAGCACCGGACGAUAGUCAGAUUAAAUUUUUGGAAGAUGAAAAACUGAAGCUUCCUCAAAAGUCGUUAUCCAUUCAUCAUUACAAAUUGCUCUGUCUAAUCUUUUAGCUAGCAUUUCUCUAGACCAGGUGAAUUUAGAACCCUUAAACUCAAGAUCAACCAUCUUUGCCUCGUGGAACCAUCUAUUAAAUCGGCUACACACAUAAAUUCUUUUAGAUAACCCAUCUUGCUUCUCCUCAGCCUGUAGAAUGGUAUUAAAAUCGCCACGAAGAAGCCACGGCCCUUUAAUAUAACUACCCAUCUUCUCCAAUUCACUCCAUAAAUGAGUUCUAAAGACAUUAACAGGCUAGCAUAAAUAGCGGUGACCCAUGACCAUACCACAUUGGUAUCCAUGACUUUGAAAUGUAUAAAUUGUAUAUAGUUGAGGCAAUAUCGACAGUAAUUGCAUUAUUCCACAAUAUCCAUAUGCCACCAGAGAAACCAUCAGCUUUUACUCUUUGCGACCUUUCAAAUCCACUUAGCUGAAAAAACUUGUCAGCUUUCAACCCACUGACCUUAGGCUUUAGUACAGCGGCUAUGUCAACCUUAUACACAUAAAUUGUCAAACAAAUGGGCUAUCUAGAUGGUCAACACCAUCUUUAGUUGGAAAAGAAAACAAAAGAAGAAUGGAGAAUGAGGAGUCGCAAUCUAGAAGCUAUAAAUGUUUGAAGAAGAAAUAAGAGGCACACGGCUUUGACAAAAGAAAGAAGAAAAAAUAAUAAUAUAUAAUUGAUGAAUAGUGCCAAAGCUUUCUCUAUAAAUAGAAACGAAGAGAAUGAGCAAAUUCAAUUCCAUUUUGAGAGGCAUUCAAUUUUGUAGAGAGAGUCAAGAGUUGUGAGAAAUAAUUCUUGCAGAGCAGAGAGUCUAGUGAGUGAGAGAUUGGGUGUAUUGGGGUUUUGGGUUGUGAGCCAAAAUAUUACAAUACUUGUAAUCCUUAUUUCACUAGUAAAAUAUUUCCUUCUGUUUUCGCCCGUGGACGUAGGCUAAAAGCCGAACCACGUAAUUUCUGGUGUCCUCUAUUGUGCUCGUUCUUUAUUUUUCUCCCAAUUUUACUUUAGCUGCGUGUCUGCUUCACCCACCAAUUUCCUAACAUAAAUGAGUGAUUUGAAGGCUCAUCGAAAAUCUAGAGAGGAUACUCCUUGACAAUUCCAAAUGACUAUUGAUAAAUUCAUAAUAAAAAGUGUAUAUACGAAAACAUAGUAAACACGUUACAAUGGUUCCUACAUCUCAGCUUCAAGAUCCAUCUCAUCUUCAACUAAGGAAACCAUACUAUCAGAAGAGUCUAUUCCUUCCUCACCACUCUCACCCAUAUAAUCUUCAUCUUUUGAUCCAUCAUUUUCAUCCUCACCAAAUCUAUUGGGCUUGUCAGGGGGUUUAUCAAUGUCAUCCAUAGCAUUAUCAAUCGCCUUACCAGAGGGGGAAGGAGUAAGGGUUUCUUUCUGAUGGGAAAUGACUUGUUUGGUAUCAAGGGUUAAAGUUACUGUUGUGUGCUUGUCAGAGUUGACAUGCCUCUACCAUUUAAUGGGCCAUUUUUGCCACCUGAAUUGUAAUGUCGCUAAAAACCUCCUAUGUAACUCCCUCUUCUAACAUUGCCUUUUAUUUGUACAUAAUAAUAUUUAAUUCCUUUUAUUUUUCCUAACUAUCUCUACAAACUUCUCUUACAUCAUCACUUAUGUCAUUGUUUAUGUCAUCAAUACUUUAGAAUUAAAUAUUUUAUAUUAUUAUUAUUAUUAUUAUUAGUAGUUUAAUACUUAAGGGGCUUAUUAGUCUAAAGUUGAUUCUAUUAUAUUCAAGUGAGAAAGUUGUACCUGACAAAUGCAGCUCUCUAUACCUCCAACUGAGUAUGAUGCUCUCAUUAAAAAUAAUACUUGGAAUCUUGUGCCUAUAUGCUCAUCUUAUAAACUAGUUGGAUGCAAAUGGGUGUUCAGAAUCAAGUACAACACAGAUGGCUCAGUCUCUAAAUAUAAAGCUAGAUUGGUGGCCAAGAGAUUUCAUCAAACUGUAGGUAUUGAUUAUUCAGAAACCUUUAGUAUUGUAGUAAAGUCCUUGACAGUGAGAGUAAUUCUAAGUCUGGUUUUCAUGAAAAGUUGGAAGGUUAGACAAAUUGAUGUCAAUAAUGUUUUUUUAAAUAGGGAUUUAUGAGAGGAUGUGUAUAUGACUCAGCUUGAGGGUUUUGUAUCCAAAGAAGGCUAUAUAUGCAAGCUUAAUAACACAUUAUAUGGAUUGAAACAAGCUCCAAUAGCUUGGUAUGAUAAACUAAAAAGCUACCUUACCGCUUGGCAAUUUUUUAAUUCAAAAGCUGAUACUUCUUUAUUCAUCAAACGUGAUACUGAAGGUAAGAUCAUUGUGUUAAUUUAUGUUGAUGACAUUUUGGUUAUUGGUCCUGACUCAGCAUUACUUAAAGAUUUCAUUCCUAAACUCUAUAAGGUCUUUGCUCUCAAGGAUCUGAGAUUAAUGGCCUAUUUUCUUGUGUGGCAGUUUGUUUCACAACUUAUAGUAUGCAUUUCUCACAGACAAAGUACAUUAAGAAUCUGUUGAGAAAAGCCUCAAUGCAGGAUUGCAAUGGUUUUGAUACACAUUUCAGCAAUGGUUUCAAACUAGAGAAAAAUGUUAAAGGACCUCUGGUGCAAGAAUUUGAAGAGGCAGCACUUUAUAUAAGCAUUGUUGGGGGUCUUUAGUACUUCAGUCUCACCAGACCUGACAUUGCUUACUCUGUACAUAAACUUAGUCAAUAUCUUAGUAAUCUUAUACUUUAGCACUGGUUGGCAUACAAGAAAGUGCUCAAGUAUAUUCAAGUUACAAUCACCCAUGGUCUAUAUCUUCAAAAAGAGGGAACACUUAAAGUUGUUGGUUUAACAUGCUACUUUGAUGUUGACUGGGCGUGUAAUGUUGAUGAUCGAAAAUCUAUUAGAGCUUAUUGUAUCUACCUUGGUAAUAAUUUUAUUUCCUGGUCAUCCAAAAAGUAAGUUAUUGUAGCUAAGUCAAGUAGUGAGAGUGAAUAUAGGGCUUUAUCUUUAGCAAGCUCAGAACUCUCCUGGUUACAAUCCUUACUGUUAGGGCUUAAUAUUGUGCAAUUACCAACUCUAAUUCUUUGGUGUGGCAAUCAGAGUACUGGAGAAUUAGCUCGAAAUCCUAUUCUUCACUGUAAGUCUAAGCAUGUUGAAUUAGAUGUUCACUACAUUAGAGACAAAGUGCUAAGAAAAGAGUUGGAGGUAAGAUACAUUCCUAUUAAAGAACAAGUUACUGAUGUUCUUACAAAGCCUUUAUCAUUUCCUAACUUCAACUACUUUCGAUCCAAGCUUAGUGUUAUCAGCAGGCCAUUGAGCUUGAGGGGGGAUGUUAAGGAAGCUCAUACUUGCAAUUACUAUUUACAAAUGGUAUAAUCAAAAGAGGGUGUUGAAAUCUCUUAUUGAAAAGUUGAGGAUCUACAUAGCCAUGCAUUUUCCCAAACCUUGUAUAUGUCUUAUUCCCUUGUUUACGCCUAAAAAAUUGUUUGAAUAUUUAAAAAAGAAUUCAAAUAGAUUUUUUAUGUAAUAAAUGACAGAAUUUGACAAACAUUUGUAAUUAGUUAUAUUCCUCUGGUUGAAAGGUUCAAAAAGAUAUAUUAUAUGACCAAAUCGAUAUCAUUUGAGCUAUCUGACAGUACCAAAAAAAUCCUAUGUCAUAAUACCAAAUUACAUUACAAAGGGAACAAAUUAUUGUGUCAAAAGUCCUCUCUUUAGGAGUUUUCUCUGAAAACAACUAAGGAUGAGAGAUAAAAUCGAGUCGUCAUGACUCUUAAAGUCGCUCCUGGGUGGGUGGUUGGCUUUUAAUGUCUUUCGCUGGUAGAUAAUUCUCAAGGCUUGUUAUUGAAGAUAAAAAAGUUUUAGCAGUAGUGUAGUUAGGAGGUCAUAAGCAAUUUAGUUCCAGAGAGCUUCCAAGCUAAAAUAAAUGGAUUCGGAAGAGCUCAUUAAGAGGUGCAGAGCUAUUGAGAUAAGUGACGAGGAAGAAGGAUAAGUAACGUUUAAGAGCAAAAUGAAAGCUAGAGGAGAAAAAAUAGUAGCAGGUUGUUUAAUUGGGAAAGUAAUUCAUACAAGGGGAGUUAGUAUUGAAGGCUUAAAAGCUAUGAUGCAGAGGAUUUGGAAAACGUCGCGGGAGGUUAAAAUAGAAAGUCUGGGAGACAAUGUUUUCAUGUUUAAAUUUGGGUCUGAGAUGGACAAGCGAAGUGUUUUGGUUGGAGGUCCAUGGCACUUCGAUAGAGCGCUGAUUGUGGUUAAGGAACCAGCUGGGAUCGGAGAUGUAAAAAAGAUGAAUUUUAGCCAAGCGUCUUUUUAGGUUCAAAUUCACGAUGUUCCCAUCAUGUGUAUGUCAAAGGAAAUGGCACAGGAGUUGGGUCAAGUGAUUGGUAAAGUGGAAGAAGUAGAAACAGAUGCUGUGGGGGACUGUUUUGGUGAAUUUCUUAGGAUCAGAAUUUCAAUAGAUAUCACUAAGCCAUUAAAAAAGCUUAUUGAGCUCGAACAAGAAGGGGAAGAAGAACAUAUCCCGAUGAGAGUAAUGUAUGAGAAUUGGGCAUCAAUAUAGAGAAUGCACACAUUACAAAUCCCAAUCAAAUGAUGAAAUGGCUUACGGGCCAUGGCUAAAGGCAACUACCAUAACCGAAAGGUUAAAACAGAGCAGACGUAGAGAUAGAUCGGAGUCCGAACCAAGCAAAGAUUAUACAAACUCUCCAACGCCUAGGAAGGAAAACGCAAGUCAAAGUAGAAUAGAAGAGGAAAGAAACAAGCUUGGGGGAAAUGGGCAGUAUCGAGGACGAAAAUCGGAUCCAUCAAAAUCCGGGUAUGGAUAGUUUGGAUGGGGAAGUGGGUGAGGUUCAAAAGAUGAGUCAAAAGCAAUUAAUGCAAGGGGACACAAGAAACAGAGAGCCAAAUGAUAGCUGUAAGGGUAACCACAAGUUAGAUGUUAGCAACACAGCCCAUGGGAAUAGGUUCGGGGAAUCAGAAUUAAAAGGCGGGAAUGUAAAACAGCUGGAAGAAAAAAUUCAAGACAAAAAGCUGCUGGAACAGAGAAUGAAAGUUUGAAAAAUGCGGGAAUCAUUGAGCGGGAAGGGGAGUGUCCACGGAAAGAUUUAGAAGAGUUGGGCUACCAAAAAAUAAAUGGGCUGCAAACAUUAAUGGAAUCUGAGGUGGAGGACAUGGAAAAUGGGCCCAAGAUAGACAGAAUAAAAGCGAGAAAGAAAAAAUGGAAAUACUAAGUCCGAAAUAUUGAAGGAAGAAGUGAAACAAGUGAAGAGAUUGUAAAGAUAAAGAGGCCCAGUAGCACAAUGGGUUGGGAAAGCCCGAAGCCAAAAAGAAGUAAAUUUACCUGUCCUCAUAAGACUGUUUUAUCAUCACCAUUCCAGAGAGCAACGAGAGCAGUAACUAAGCUAACUUUUGAUAGAAUAUGUGAUGGGUGGGAGAGGAUUUAGAAUGUUGAAACUAAAACAUCGGCGGUGGCUGGGAGACGGCACCGCCGACAGCCAUAAAACUCUUAACCUGGAAUGUUCGGGGCCUGGGGCAAGAUCAAACAUUCCGAGAAGCCCAACAACUCUUGUAGGAGAAUAGGUCUCAAAUUUGUUUCCUUUGUAAAACAAAGAUGACGACUAGACAAAUGCAAGAAAAACGAAAGAAGUUGAAGUUCUAGAAUUAUUUUGCAGUUAGUAGAGAGGGUUUGGGAGGUGGGUUGGCAAUGCUUUGGAAUCCUGACAUCAAUGUGGAAAUCAAAUCCUACAGCAAACACCAUGUGGAUGGUGUAGUCCACAGUGAAAAGGGAAGCUACUGGAGAUGUAUUGGCGUUUACGGGCACCCGGAAUCAGACAAGAAAAAACACACGUGGGAACUGCUGAGAAGGUUAGCUGUUUUAUCUUUUCUCCCUUGGUUAUGCUUUGGGGAUUUCAAUGAGGUGUUGAACUUAAAUGAAAAAUCGGGAGGUAGAGAUAGGAGGGCAAGUAUGGUAAUUGACUUUAGGGAGGCUAUAAGAGAUUGUGGCUUGAUGGAUUUGGGAAGCACUGGGUAUCCAUUCACUUGGUCAAAUAGGCGAUUUGGGGCUCACAUUAUAGAAGAAAAGUUGGAUAAGUUCUUAGGGAACAGUAGCUGGAAGAGUUUUUUUUGAAGAAAAUGUAGCUUCCAAUUAAAUUUCGUGGAGCUCUUAUCAUAGUCCCAUAAUGAUAGAGGUGCUGGAAAAAGGGAGAGAAACAAGAUACACGAGGAAAACUUUUCAUAGAACCCACUAUGAAGAUAUGUGAAGUCCGUAUGAAAAGUGUAAGGAGAUCGUUAAGCAAGAAUGGGUGGAGAUGAGCUGCUGGAAGAAUAAGAACCCGGUUGACAGCUUUACAAGGAUUUCAAAUGAGUCUUUAGCGAGAUUAAAGAUAUGGAGUAAGGAGGAGUUUAGUGGGAGAAAAAGAGAGCUGAAACGGCUAAAGAAGAAGCUCCAAGAUUUAAAGAAUGGGUGCUAUCAUUUGGAAAAUUGGGAGAAUAUCACGCAAGUAGAAAAGUAGAUUGACAACAUCUUUCUGGAUGAGGAAAUUUUUUGGAAGCAAAGAUCGACGGCUGACUGGUUGAGGGAGCGAGACAAAAAUAAAAAAAAAUUUCACGCAAAAGCCUCAGUUAGAAAAAAGAAAAACAAGAUCAGUGGUUUGGAAGAUGAUAGUGGAAAGUGGAUAGAAGAAGAGGGGGAUGUAGAACGGCUGAUUUGUGAAUACUUUUCAAAAAUCUUUGCCACAACAAAUCCUUUGUUGGAUCAAAUGAAUGCAGCGUUAGAUGACUUGCCAGCCAGGAUUACGGCGAAGUGGGAAAGCUAUUUGGAGCAACCCUUUACAAGGGAAGAAGUUGCUGAAGCUUUAGCCCAAAUGUGUCCCACGAAAACUCUAGGCCCAGAUGGACUUCCAGCAGUAUUUUUUCAGAAACACUAGUGCUCAGUGAAAGAUAGGGUGACCACAACUUGUUUGCACGUCUUGAAUGAGGGAGGUAAUAUUCAACCCUUAAAUCACACUUACAUUGCUAUGAUUUCGAAAUUAAACAAGCCAAAGAAAGUGAUUGAUUUUAGACCUAUUAGCCUUUGUAAUGUUAGCUAUAGAAUCAUAGCAAAAACAAUAACUAAUAAACUAAAAGAGGUGUUAAAUGCUAUCAUUUCCCCUACCCAAAGUGCCUUUGUUCCUGGCAGACUCAUCACUGAUGACAUUAUUAUAGGCUAUGAGUGCUUGAAUAAAAUAAGACAGAGCAGAAGUAGUAGAAAGGGGCUGGUUGCUUUAAAACUUGAUAUUAACAAGGCAUAUGAUAGGGUGGAGUGGAGUUUUGUCAAACACACAAUGCAGAGGCUGGGAUUUUCUUCAAAAUGGGUGAAUUUGGUUAUGACUUGUAUAUCCACAGCUAGUUUCUCGAUUUUGAUCAUGUGCCAAAAAGGCUCAUCUUUCCGCAAAGAGGAUUAAGGCAAGGUUGUCAUCUUUCACCUUACAUUUUCAUCAUGUGUGCAGAGGUGUUCUCGAAUAUGUUAGUGCAGGCAAAAAACCGAGGGCAAAUUCAAGGGCUGAGAUUCAAUGGAAGCUUGUCAAUCACCCACUUGUUAUUUGCAGAUGAUAGUUUGGUUUUUGCAAGAGCAUCUAACAUGGAUUGUAUGAAGUUAAAAGACAUUUUUUAUUGCUAUACAGCUGCAUCGGGCCAGGUUUUUAAUUAUGAAAAAUCCUCAAUGUUUUUUAGCUCGAGUACAAGCCAAUUUCAAAGGGAGGCAUUCAGGAACAUAUUUGGGCUGAAUGCGGUCCCAAAACAUGAGAAAUACCUUGGUCUUCCAUCCAUGGUGGGAGAAGGAAGAUUAGCUUUUUCAAUGAAGUAAAGCUAAGGGUUUUAAACAAGCUUUCCAAUUGGCAAAGCAAAAAUUUCACCCGUGGUGGUACAGAAGUUCUCAUUAAGGCUGUAAAGCAAGCAAUUCCGGCCUAUGCUAUGAGUGUCUUUAAAAUCCGUCAAGGCCUUUGUUCUGAAAUUGAAAAAGCCAUUGCAAGAUUCUGGUGGGGAUCCUUGGAUACGCAUAGAAGCAUACAUUGGGCGAGAUGGGAAAGUUCCUUGGAUACGCAUAGAAGCAUACAUUGGGCGAGAUGGGAAAGAUUAUGCCAUGCCAAGAUAAGAGGGGGAAUUGGUUUCCGAGAUUUUUCUAGCUUUAAUCAAACCCUCAUAGCUAAGCAGAGGUGGAGAAUUCUGCACAAUCCUGAUUCAUUAAUGGCAAAAAUCUUGAAGGCUAAAUAUUCCAAACACACUAAUUUUAUGGAAACAAAGCUUGGCUCAAAUCCAUCUUUUGUGUGGAGGAGUAUUCUAUGGGGCAAACAAGUGCUUCAUAAAGGGCUGAGAUAGAGGAUUGGUAAUGGGAAUCAGGUGCCAGUUUGUGGUAGCAAUUGGGUUCAAAAUUUUGAGAUCACUGAAAAUGCCACCCAAGUUAUUGUACUAACCGAGGCAGUUGUGGCCGAUUUUAUUGACGAGAGCAAUAACUGGAGGGAAGAGUUGGUUGCUAAGUAUUUCUCUAAAGAGGCUUAGAAAGAAUACUGAGGACUCCACUUCCGAAAAUCCCAAGACCGGAUCAACUGGUACGAUCCUUUGAUAAGCAUUGUUUGUAUACAGUUAAGAGUGGCUAUCAGCAGGCUAUAAAGCUCAAAUUCCCGGACAGACCAUGUUGCUCAGAUAGCUCCAAAACUCAGUGGAAGGUAAUCUGGGCAAGUGACAUUCCGAAAAAAGUGAAAAUCUUCAUGUGGAGGGCAGCUCAAGACAUGUUACCAAUAGGGGAGAAUUUGUGGAGAAAGAAAAUUGUGGGGGAUCCGAUUUGCCAAAGAUGUUAUAAUAUGAGAGAAGAUGUGUUUCAUGCGUUAAUUGGGUGUAAGGUUGCUCGUAAGGUCUGGAAGUUGACAGAAAUUUAUGAGGAUAUCAGGCGAAUGGCCCACCAGGACAUGUUGAGUUUGCUGCAACUCGCAGUGAAGAUGAAGAAAGAGGAGAUAGAGCAAAUAAUUGUUGUUUGUUGGGCAAUAUGGUACUCAAGGAAUUGUUAUAUUAUGGAAGGGAAGAAGGAAGACCCCAUGCCUCAGUAGCAAGAGCAGAAGCUAUCGUGGCAUCCUACAGAAGAAUUAAAUCUGGAAAUGGUCAAGCUGUGUCUCAGCAUCAGCACGACAACAAGAAAACUUGGGAACCCCCCUACCAGGAAGGUACAAACUGAAUGUAGAUGCUGCAAUUCAAAUGUCUAAGCAAAGAGCGGGUCUUGGAGCAGUAGUUAGAAAUUCAAGUGGGGAGAUCAUGGCUGCAGCUGUUAAGAGAGUAGCUUUCAAAGGAAAUGUGGCAAACAUGGAGGCAGAAGCAGUGCUGCUCGGUAUUCAAGUACCUUAGAAAGCAAAUUGUGCCCAAUUUAUUGUUGAAUCAGAUUAAAAGGAAGUUGUGGAGCUCACUUUAAACAAAAAGGAAAGUUUAGCUGAAAUUUGUUGGAACAUUGAAGAAAUCCAGGCAGGGCUGAAAAACCAGGUCUCGUCAGCUAUACUUUUUGUCCCAAGAAAGUGUAACGUAAUAGCCCAUAACUUAGCUAAUGUAGCUCUAGAGUUUGAGGUUGCUGUCACCUGGAUAGGUGACUUCCUUGCCCAGGUGUUGAUGUUGUUCUCUUCUUCUUAAUCUAUUGAAAGCUUUACUUUCUCAUCAAAAAAAAAAAAAAAAUUACAUUACAAGGGAAAAAUCGUCUUUUUACAUCAAUUCAGUAACAAAUACAAGGGCAAGGUGUAAACAUGUUAAUUUCAGAAACUCGGGUAUAAAGAUGACCUUUGUAUUAUAAAGAUGGACAGUAAGGGGAACUAGAAAUAUAAAGAUGGAAUCUGGACCCCUUCGUACGAAAAUUAUCUAGCUCUAAUAAUUAAACUAAAAUAACUCAUAAGUUGUUAUUUUUCUUAUGGUUUAUAUUUGGUAUGUAACGGUUAAUUAAAAAAAUUAAAAUCUAAUUAAAUUUGGAAGACCUCUUUCUUGUGAUGGCAAGAUGGCGGUCACAUAAAGGCCUUUUUCUUGUAACUUGAGUGGAUAAGAAGUAUAUUAGAGACCCAAGUUUCAUCCCAGAAAAUAAAAAAGGAAACCAUUCACAACAGAUCUUCUUUAUGAAAACUAAAUUACUUGAUAUAUGGAACUUCUAAAUAAGGAAAAAAGCCAUUUAUACCCCAAGAUUUAGGAAAAUAGCCACAAAGACCUUCAAUUUUUAAUACCAUAAUUCCUUUUAGACCAUAAUGUCCCUCAACUCUAUAAAUCCCAAAAAAUAACUCUAAAAUUUUAUAAUAAAUAGAAAUAUGGCAUUAAAAUAAAUGUAAUAAUAUAUACAUUUCAAAAUAAUUUUAAUAUUUAAAAAUAUUUUAAUAUUUUUCAAUCCAUGAGACCCAUUUUAUUAUAUUAAAGUAAUUUUUAAUAAUAGAUAGAAACAUAAUAUUAAAAUAAAUAAAUUAAAACUAAAAUUAUUUUGAAUAUUAUGUAAAGUUUAAUUCUAAUAUUACUAAUAGGGAGAUUUUUUUAAUUGUAAAAUCUAUUUAACCCAAAGAUUUAUUUAAAAUCUUUAUAACAUUACAAAUAUAUUAUUAAAAUAAAUAUAAUAAUUUAAAAUUUUAAUAUUAUUUUAAAUAUAAAAAAUAAUUUAAUAUUAUUAGUCUACUAGACAGAUUAUAUUAUUUAUAUUAAAUUUUUGUUAAUUAAAAAUCAUUAAAGUUAAAUUUUUAAUUACUAUAAUUAAAGAGUUUUAUGGAUAAAAAAGGAUUUUGAUGUCCUUUUAUUAAAACUUGCCAAUUUUUAUGAUCAUUUUCUCAAACUUUAGAGAUGUAGGUGUCUUUUUUUCUUUAAAUAACCAUGCCACAGAGGAUUAGAAAUCGUUGCAUUCUAUGGUGCAUAUAGAUUUUAGAAGACCGUCAUAAUUUUCUUGUCAAAUUAAUCUGAAUUAUCCAAUUUUCUAUAAUUUCACAAAUCAACUGGUUUACUUUAAUUUGCUCUUUUCUAAAUCGACUGUUUAGUCCCAAAAACACGGAAAAUUCACCCAUGAUUUCUUGUUAUUUCUAUCCAUGGUAAUCUGCUUGGAUCAUUCAUUUGACAAUAUGACUGUUCCGUUUAUUGUGUUUUCUCCGCACAAUCGGACUGAAUGAUAAAGCAUCGUCCGAUUAUGUGGUGUAGAUUUUAAGGGCAUUUUAUCUCGUCUCUUAUUACUAUUGUUUGCAUUUUCUGUGAAGACUGAUUUGGAUGAUGAGAACGAUUUCAGAGAAUUAUCGUUUGAAUAUGGCGGAACACCAUUUUUCUAGCUCUAAAUUUUCUGUGGACUGCAAUUCAGGUUGCAUAUUGAACCAGGUGGGGCCUUGUAAAAACUGAAAAUAAGAACAUGUGUUUAUCAUUUUCUAUGGGUUUGCUGAUAGCCUGAUACCGCUCGAAAUUAUGCGAUGCUCAUUACGCUCGACAGAUGGCCGACAAUUAUUCAUUUCUUUUUUUGUUUUGUUUUAUUCACAAAACAACCGCUCAAGUCAAAUCAAAAGUGGAAAAAGAUUUUCCACGUCUAAAGCAAAAGCUAGAUAGAUAAUUACAUACGACAAUAAUCAUGUUGUAAUGUAUAUAUAUAUAUAUAGGUUUUGGCAAGAUGACAAUUCGUACGGUGAUAAAAAUGCUUGAUCUUAUCAGAUCGAUAAUGACAAGGCAACGUCCGAUUUGCUAGAGAUUUCACGAGCUAUGUUCAUCAUGCCUCUCUUGUCGCAAUUACGAGAAUUGAUUUGGACGAGAGCGACUUUAUUGAAUUAUUAGUUUUUUUGAUGGUCCAGGCUCAAAAUAUAUUCAUCACUAAUUUAACGUAUAAAAUAAAGAAAGAGGAAAUAGACAUUAUAAAUAAACAGAGUCAGGUUCCAAUUGCUGAAAUGAUUGAUUAAACAACCAGAAUCAUACUUUGAAAAAGUAAGAUAAAAGUCAAGUAAUUAAUCGGGUCAAUCUUUCUGGAGCGUAAAAAAUAAAGUAAUGUAUGAUGUGGCUGGAAAAGAAUAAUGAUAUGUGACCCUUAAUAUAUUUCAACCGCUCACUUAAUUUCCAAAAGUACCCUGACGUGUGACCCUUAAUAUAUUUCAACCGCUCACUUAUUAAUUAUCCCUAGUAAUUUCUAAAAGUACCCCUGCUCAUUUAGUUUAAUUCUGCAGCUCCAAACUUAAUUUCAAUUCUAAGUGUUGGCCAACAAUGGUCUCGGAACUGAGAAUAUGACUUUUCAUAAUAUAAUGCAGGCAAGUAGUGCAAAUAUUAACACUAAAAUAAAUAAAUCAAUACAAAUUGCAAACAAAAAGUAGGGGAAAUAAAACCGCCGAAAAUAUUAGAAACCUUGGAGAAAGAUUGCUGGGUCGUUGGAUUGUUGGUGUCGGUAUUGUCUUGGCAAGCAAACGCGCCAAUUUUCAAUCUUUAAUUUAGAAAAUCAAUUGUUGUGGUGGGCGUUUGGCAGGGGAGGAAAUGAAGGAAAUUGAUGGAGAAUGAGAGAAGGGAGAGAAGGAAAAAAUGGGCACUUUUUGAAAAUAAACAUUAUUUUACUAAGUAUAUUUUAAUAAUUAUUUUAGAUAUUUUAAGUUAAAAUGAGAAAAAUAGGGGUUAGUGAGAUAAAUUAUGGAGGUCAAAUAUCACUAUUCUCUUAAAAAGAGUGAAGUUGUUGACAGUCCUUUAUAGUCUUUAUAAAACCUCACCUCAAAAAAAAUUAUAGUGAAGGAGAAAUAAGAAUUAAGCAUACGUAAGUUUUCUCUCCCCCCCCCCCCCCCCAAAAAAAGAAAAAAAGAAAACAUAAGCAAUCUUUUUCUCUUUUUAAUUUUCUACUUGUUUCUUCCUAUUUAACUAAGAUAAAUUGUACAAAUUUAGAAUAAUCCAUUAUUCUUUUCAUAUUUCUUAUUUAUUUAAUAUAUUUUAUGCUUAAAAUUGCUUUUCAAAUUAAAAUUUAGAAUAUGUGUAAUUUAAACCAAUGACUAACAUCAAAAAAUUUAUCACCCAAAAAAAUUUUAAUUUCUAUGUCCAGUAACAAUAAGAUUACAAAAUAAAAAGAAAAUAGCAUAAUAAUACAUUGAGUUUUAACAAAAUAAAAAAUUAGAAAUGUAUUUAAAAAGAAGAAAAUUUUUAAAAUGAAAAAAAUAUAACUGACAAAAAAUGGGGUUUUAUGAGGAUAUUAGGGGGUGCCGAUAGUUUAACUUUCUUUGGAUAUCAAAAUUAUGCCCAAUGCCUAGGGCCUUGUACAGCCCGAAGGAUUUUACUCAAUGGGCAAGCUAGUAUUUGGGGGUAAUAAAAGUUCAAACAAACUUUGAAAAAUAAAUGGUUUCAAUACUACAUUACAAACUGUUCAAAGUCGUAUAUAUUUAUUCCGAUUUCAAAUAAAAUAUCAAACGCCUGCUUAAUUAUAAUAUAUAUAAUUAAGUAAAAUCCUAAAUAUUCUGUAUUAAUAUAAUGUUCGGUUUAUGGUGUAAGUUAAAAAGCUAAAGCUAAAUGUUUCUUUAACCUUUUGGAAAUUUGAGCCAAUUACUUAGGGUGGAUUCGUGGCAGCGGCACAUCAGCUCGACCACUUAUAUUUUCAUUUAAAUCCAAACGCACCAUUAGUUGGCCCUUGUGGUUAAAAUCAUCUUUAUUACAUAUCUAUUUCAUUUACAAGCUACUCACUUACUCUUUACUUUACUUGCUGCAUGUUGGAUUUGAUUUAAAUGUUAAAUUACAUAUCUUAGAUAAAAAUUAUUUUUUAGCCUUGAGAAGUUGGAUCCAACAAUUAUGUUUUGAGUAAUUUUUAAAUUUAGAGUUUUAUUUGAAUUAUUGACCAAUGCGCUAGUGCCUAAAUGAAAAUUUACCAAAAAGAUAAAAAUAAAUUACAAAUAUCAAUUUCUUUUUUAUAAAGUAAAAUUGAAAUACAACUUGCUAAAGGAAAGAAAACUUUGUGAAUUUAGAUAGAUUUCUUUAGAUUAUCUUUUAAUUAUCUUUUACGACAUGCGUAUUUAUAUCAUUAUAUAGUUAAGUUUCUUAUUACCAAGAAAAUCACAUCAACACUUGAUCAAAAUUUUAUUUAUCAAAUACUAAGAAGAUAUUAGAUUCCUACUUUUAUAACAAGUGAAAUCUAGUUUCAAUUUAUGCUUUACAAAAGGUUAAAGGAAAAUUACCAUUUUCCCUCCUGCAGAUGGUAAAUGGAAAAAGACAUCUACACCACUAAAGUUUGGAAAAAUAGUUAUCAACACUCCAAGUUUUCAAAAAGGGAUACCAAGACCCUCUUUUAACCAUCUCUAUUAUCUUAAAAAAAAUGACUCUAAUGUUUUAUAAUAAAUAUAAAUAUAACAUUAAAAAUAAAUGUAAUAAUAUUUACAUUUUUAAAAAAAAUUAAUGUCUAAAAAUAUUUUAAUAUUUUACAAUCUACUAGAUAUAUUUUUUAUAUUAAUGUAAACUUUAUAAUAAAUAGAAUCAUAAUACUAAAAUAAAUGUAUUAAAAUUUAAAUUAUCUUGAAUAUUAUGUAAAAUAAUCGUUUCAAUGUUAUUAAUAUGUGAGAUUUUUUUUACUUGUAAAAUGUAUUUAAUGCGAAUAUUUAUUUAAAAUCUAUAACAAAUAAAAACAUAUUACUAAAAUAAAUAUAAUAAUUUACAUAUUUAAAUUUAUUAAAAUAUUAAAAUAUUCUAAUAUUGUUAGUUUUUUGAUAGAUUACACUAUUUAUAUAAUAUUAGCAUUUAUAAAAAAAAAUUAAAGUCAUUUUCUUGGGAUAAUAGAGGUAAAGGGUAUAAUGAUCAAAAGAAGGUCUUGGUAUCAUUUUUUGGAAACUUGGGGGUGUUGAUGAAGGCACAUCAAAAAUAUUACAAUACUUUGAAAUCUACCAUUUUUAUAAACUAAAUUUGUAAAAUGCUAUUUUUACACUUUGUUGUUAACAAGGAAUCCGUUAGUGAAUUUGUUUGAAAAGAUGUUUUUAUCCUUGAAAUGUAAUUUAACAUUUUGAAGUAGAAUAUUUUGAGGAAAUGAAGUCAAAUUCAUAUGUAUAACAAAUAUACAUAUAAAGCCCUCAAUGAGAGGAACAAAAAUUUAAAGUAAAUAUUUUACCACGUUCUAUUGUUUUUGAGGAAAAUGACACAUGUAUCUCCAACACCCCCAUAUUUUCAAUAAAUGAUGCCAAGAUCCCUUAUUGACUAUAAUACCCUUUAUUUACUCAAAAAAAUGACUCUAAUUUUUUAGAGUAAAUACAAAUAUAAUAUUAAAAUAAAUGUAAAAAUAUAGACUUUUUAAAAUAAUUUCAAUAUUUAAAAAAUAUUUUAAUACUUUACUAUCUUAUAUUAAAUUAAAAAAUUAUAAUAAAUAGCAACAUAAUGUUAAAAUAAAUAUUUAAAUAUUUAAAUUGUUUUCAAUAUUAUAUAAAAAAAUUUAAAUAUAAUUAAUUAAUAAGAUUUAUUCCAUUAAUUGUAAAAUCUAUUUAACCAAGGGCAUGUUUGAUUUGAAGAAAGGGGAAGAGAGGAAAAGAGUGGAACGGAAGGGAAAUGAGAAGAAAUGAGUGAAGGAAAAUAGUGAAAUUAAAUUUCAUUGUUUGGUUUGACAUAAAAUUUGAUAGGAAAAAUAAUUACAAUUUUUUUUUUUGGACAAAUUUAUUCUUUGCCUUAAAUACUAAACUAUCUAUAUUGGCAAUGAAAUAUAAUUUAAUAUCAAUACCACACUUUUUCAAUGUCAAAAAGUCCUAAAACAAUUCAUGAUUUAUUAGAAUAAAAUAAAAUGGAGGUUUGGAGGAAAUCGAUGGCAUUUCGACAGAAAUUAGUGGCGGCCGAUGACAUUCCAGUAGUGGUCCGGUGGAGUUCGGGUGAUAGUCUGGCGGAUGUUUGGCGAGGAUUGACCGGAGUUUCGGCGACGGUUAAUUUUUAUUCCUAUAUUUUCAUAUUAAAUAAAUAAGUUUAUUUAUUUUGUUAAGUUUCUUAAAUCAUUCAUUAAAUUUAAUUAAUAUAAAAUUAUUUAUAACAUUAAAUUGAUGAAAUAAAAUUAUAAAUAAUAAUUACUAAGGGCAUUAAAUAAGCUAAAACGUUGAAGGGUAAUUUUGGAAGUUUUGGUUUCCAAUAUAAGAGGAAUUUAAAUUCUUCACUCCUUAGUGUGGAAAUCAAAUUAUACAUUAUGAUGGAUAUUAAAUUCUAAUGGAAAUUAAAUUCUUAUAUAUUUUGUCUAGCUAAUCAAUGAAAAUAAAAAUAGAACUUAAAUUAUUUCUCUCCUCCAUUCUAUGCUCCUAACCAAACAAUGCCUAAAGAUUUAUUUAAAAAUUUUGUAAUAAAUACAGAUAAAUUAUUAAAAUAAAAUAAUAAUUUGUAUUCUAAUGUUAUUUUUAUAUAUUAUAAAAUAUUCUAAUAUUCUAUUAGAUAAAUUAGAUUAUUUAAAUUAUAUUUAUUUAAAUUAUAUUUGUCUUUAUUAGAAAAAUCUAAAGACCAAUUUUUUAAUUACUAUUUACAAAGGCUAUUAUAGUUAAAAGGGGAUUUUGGUGUCCCUUAUUAAAUUCUUAAAGGUAUAUAACUAUUUUCUCAAACUUUAAGUGUAACUGUGUAAGUGUUCUUUUUCCUUGUUUGUGCCUCAAAAACUUAUUUCAAUAUUUAAAAAAGACUUCAAAUAGAUUUUUGAUGCAAUAAAUGACAGAAUUUGGCAUACAUUUGUAAUUAGUUCUAUUCCUCACGUUGAGAGGUUCAAAAAGACAUGUUAUAUGAUCAAAUCUGAUAUCAUUUGCCCUAUCUAACAAUAUCAAACAAAUCCUGCAUCAUAAUAUUAAAUUACAUUACAAGAGAAAAACUGUCUUUUAGAAACUUGGGUAUAAAGAUAAAUUUGUUACUGUUGUAAUAUUUUUGGCCUUUGUCAUCUAUAAGGUGAAAAAAGAAAAUAGUAAUUUCCCAAGUUCAAAUAUGUGAUUGAAUAUGUAUAAAUCAUAAAAUCAAUAAUAGAAGCAGAAGCGACUCCGCACUGACCCCACUUGUCAAAUCACGAUGAUGACUUUGGAUAACAAAUCAUGCCAAAUGGACAAAAUUAAAAAGAACUACUGAAGAUAAAAACUGACUUAAAUUAUGCACGUUUUUUCGCAUGCAACAAUUCGAUCUUAUCCUCAUCUGAGCUUAGUCUCUAGAGCUCUAUAAAUUCGAACUCUUCUAUGUCAAACUGAUCAAGUAACUCACUCAAACAGCUCUCUGAAAGAUAACAAAAUGAAUACUCCUUUCGUGACUGCAAUCUCCUUCCUUCUCCUCUCCUUUGCCACAAAACCUCUUGUGGCACACCCUGAUCCUUUGGUUGAUGUCAAUGGCAACGAGGUCGAAGCAUCCCGAGACUACUAUGUGGUCUCACUAAUUUCAGGAGCAGGCGGCGGUGGCCUCACCCUCUUCAGGGGCAGAAACGAACUCUGCCCGCUUGAUGUUAUCCAACUAAGUUCCGAUUUACGAAGAGGAACACGUUUAAGAUUCGCAACGUACAAUAACACUAGAAUUAUCCAUGAAAACGUGGAUCUGAACGUGAGAUUCUCGACGGCGACUCGCUGCAACGAACCAACAGUAUGGAAAGUCGACAACUAUGAUCCAUCAAGAGGCAAAUGGUUUAUAACAACUGGCGGCAUUGAAGGAAACCCUGGAGCUCAAACUUUGAAAAACUGGUUUAAGUUUGUGAGAAUUGGGAGAGAUCGAGGUGAGUAAGAAGGAUAAAUUCUUAUUUAGUCCUUUUAUCCUGAUUUAAGUAGCCGUUUGAUCCUUCUAUUUUAAAAAAUACCGCAAACCCUUAUAACGAAAUAUGUUGUAUCUCAUCCUUACUUUUUCUUUCAUUUUAAAAUAAUAUCCUUAUGACAAUAUUAUCAAUAUUAAUUUAUUUAUUUAUAAAAAAUUAAUUAAUAAAUUAACUAAUAAAUAUUUAUUAACAGAUUAACCAAUAAAUUCAGUGUGAACAAAUUAAUAUUUUUGCACUUAUACAAUAAUUUUACUAAUAACUAUUUUAGAAUUUUUAUUAAAAGUAAAAUAAUAACAUAAAAGUUUAAGUAUGUUUCUUUUUCCUUUUAAGGUUAAUUCAAUGAAAUGUCAUUUUUUAUCUUCAUUAAUAUCCUUAAGAAUAUUAUUGUAAGGAUAAUAUUGUAAAAAAAAAAAGUAAGGACAGUAGUGUCAUCACAUAUUUAAGAAUAAGAAUGUCAUGGAAUUUCGUUUUAAAUAUAAAGACUAAACGAAUACUUAAUUAAAAAAUAUAAGUAUUAAAGGAGUAUUUACCCUGAAUAAUAAUGAUUCGUGAACACAAAAUUUGAAAGGGUUCCUCUAUGAUGAUGUAAUUUUUUUACAGCAUCAAUAAUGUUUUUAAUUGUGACCAUUGGAUUUAAUCAAUGGUACACAAUAUUUGUAGUAAAAACAAAUAAUGGUAAACGGUUAGCAAACGUGUAACGGUGGAGAAUUUUGUAAAAUAACUAUGACCAUCCUUAGAGUUUGAAACAAUUUCACUUAAAUAACAUAUUUUAUUUAAAAUUAUUUUUCAAUCCUCCUUUAAAUUUGAAAUGUGAUAAUUUUUUUUAAAUAAAUCUUCCAAAAUCUAUUACCAUUAAGUAUAAAAUAUAAUGGUAGGUUAUUUAAACACAAAUCAAAUAAAUAAGUUGCAAUUGUAAAUUUUAUAUAUGAUAUAAUAGUAAUAAAUAACACAACUAAGUACAUAUAAUUAAGUAAAUGUCAUAGUUACAUCAAUAAACUCAUUGUUGAGAUUGCUUGUAACAUAAAAAAGUACUUGAUCACACAUGUUUUAAUAAAAUUUAAUAUUGUAUAUUAAAAUACUCAUUAUUUUAUAUAAUAUUAAGGGUUAUUGUAUAAUUGAUCAUGAAGUAUGUAUUAUUUUUAACACCCAUUUAACAUACUUAUUCUCUGAACUUUAUAUUUAUCUUACAAUUAAUAUCCUUACAUGAUAGGAAUUUUAAGUUUUAUAAGCCUAUAUAUUUUCAUUUUAUUUUCAAAUAUCACUUUGUUAAUUUCAUAAAAGUUAAAUCUAAUAUAUAUUCCUAAUGAGCUUUAAUUUAUUAAUCGUGAAAGAUUAUUUUAUUGAUAUCAUUUGAUUGUAAUUAUAAAAUUUUAUGUUAUUAAGAGUCAUUACUUUUGUUAUGAUAAUUAAUAGUGACAAUAAAUAAAAUAUUGCCUCCAAUAAUAUUUACGUGGGAAAAAAAAUGAAAGAAAAUCAUUUAUAUUUUUAGAUUUUUAUUGACAUGGUAGGAAAUUAUCCUAGCCUUAUAAAAUUUAACUUCCACAAGCUUGUUUUCAUUUUAUUUUCAAAUGCCACUUUGUUAAUUUCAUAAAAGUUAAAUCUAACACAUAUUCCUAAUUAACUUUAGUUUAUGAAUCAUGAAAGAUUAUUUUAUUGUUAUUCUUUGAUAGUAAUUAUAAUUUUUUUAUGCUACGAAGAGUCAUUACUUUUAUUAUGAUAAUUAAUAGUGACAAUAAAUAAAAUAUUACAUCAAAUAAUAUUUAAUGGACAAAAUGAGGAAAAAAAAUCAUUGUAUGCUUUUAUAUUUCCAUUAUAAAGAUAUGGUUUGAGAUACUUUAACUUAUAAUUUUGGCACAAUAUUUGAGCCACUAAUAUCUCAUAGUCUAAUGGUUGAUAUUGAAAGUUAAAGCAACAUUUCAUAAUGUUAUAUCCUCCACCAUUGAAUUGCAUGAAAUAAAUAGUUUAAUUUUUUGAUAAAAAUUUAAAUCAAAAUAUUUCUCACUCUAUAGUUAUAUAGACAUAUAUAUUUUUCAAUAAUAAUUGGUGAAUAAAAUAUUUUUCAUUUGUUGUGACUCAUAUAGUAUUGUUAAUAAAACACAUAUAAAAUAGUUUAUUGCAAUACUUUCUAUUAUCAUUAUUGUUUAGGUAUUAAUGGUUUGUAAUUAAAUUCAUACAAUACAAAUUAUUACAAGACUUUGUGUUAAAUAACCUGCUUGAUAUUAUAUUUUAUACUUAAUGGUAACUGAUUUUGGAAGAUUUAUUUAAAAGAGAUUAUCAUAUUACAAAUUUAAAGGAGGGCUAAAAAGUAAUUUUAAAUAAAAUAUACUAUUUAAGUGAAAUUGUUUCAAACUCUAAGGGUGGUCACAAUUAUUUUACAAAAAUUAUCCACCCACUUGUACGAUUACCAUUAUUUUUAAAUUAUUUUUUUAGUACAAAUAGUGUAUACCAUUGAUUAGAUCUAAUGGUUCACAAUUAAUACAUUAUUGAUGUUGUAAAAAAAAUUACAACAUCAUAGAGGAACCCAAUUUGAAAAGAUAAAUAAUGACAAAGUGCGACAAAAUCAUCUCACUUAUCCUGUAUUGAUUUUUUUUUUUACUGAUUUUACAAAAUGUCAUGAAAUUUUUUUUAAAUAUAAAAACUAAACGAACACUUAAUUAAAAAAACAUAAGUAUUAAAGGAGCAUUUACCCCGAAUAAUAAUGAUUCAUGAACACAAAAUUUGAAAAGACAAAUAAUGAAAAAGUGCGACAAAAUCAUCUCACUUAUCUUGUAUUGAUUUAUUUUUUUUUACUGAUUUUACAAAUUUUAUAUUUAUGUAUCAUUGCUCUUUCCAGAUGCGUACAAGAUUGUUCAUUGUCCUUCCGUUUGCGAAUCCUGUGUAUCCUUAUGCAAUGAUGUUGGGGUUUCUUACGAUGAUAAUCGACGUUUGGCUCUUACUAAGGAGCGCGCGUUUGCUGUUGUUCUAUUCCCGGCUGAUGAGAGAUCAGCCUCAUGCGUGUCUUGAAUGCCCUUGUACCAUUACUCUAAAUAAUGGACCGCGCUAGCUCCUUGACGCUUAUAACAUAAACAAAAAUGUCAUUGCUAGCUAGCCUAUGUACCUUUGAACGGAAACUUGUAGUAGCAUUAAAUAAAAGCAGAAUUUUGACUGUUUAAUCUCUUACAGAUUUGAUUAUGAUUGAGGAGUUAUAACUUCAAAAAAAAAAUAAAUAAAUAACCUCGACAGUGAUAAAAAAAUUAUUUUUUUUAAAAUGAAAUACUUCAAUCAACUAUGAUAAUAUUUAGAGAAAAUAUCAUUGCACUACUUUUUUUUAUUUGAUAUUCUUCCAACUAUCAUAAAAUUUUAAUAUGUUCUCUGCAUUAUUUUUCUUUGUAAAUUUUUAUUAAUUAAUUAUUUUUGUACUAACACUUUUAAAUAAUUUAAAUAAAAUGAUAAUUUUACCUCUAAAUAAAUUAAAAGACUAUUUUAUUUUAUAAAAAUUUGAAAAUAAAAAUUAUAAUUAAAAAAUACUCCUAAAUUUAAUAAAGAAAUAAAUCUCAAAAUUAGAAUUUUUAUUUUUAAUAAAAAAAUAUAAUUAUAAAAAUAAUUACAACAUUUUGGGAUUUAAUAAAAAUCCUCUAAAUUAUUAAAAUUUUGGGAUUUAUUUUUUAAUAAAUAAAUUCAAUUAUUUUAAUAAAAUUUUGCAAAAUUAUAAAUUUUUAAUAAAAAUAAUUAUUAAAAUUUUUCAAAAUCUAAAUUUAAUAAAAAUCAGCUGAGCACCUCUAUUUUUGAAUUUAUUUUUUAUUAAAUUUAGAGGCAUUUCUAUAAUUAUAUUUUUUAUUUUUCAAAGUUUUUAUAAGAUAAAAUAAUUUUUUAAUUUAUUUAGGGGUAAAAUUGUCAUUUCGUUUAAAUUAUUUAACAGCAUUAGUGAAAAAGUGACUAAUUAAUACAAAUUUAAAAAAAAAAUGUGAUGCAGAGAACAUGUUAUAAUUUUAUAAUAGUUGGAUGAACAUAAGGCAAAAGAAAAAUAGUGCAAUGAUAAUUUCCCUAAUAUUUAUAUGCAUUUUCAUGGGAAGAGCUGAGAAAUUAAAAUUCUUGCAAGUGAUAGGCUUAACCAUUACAGUUAAGAAAAAAGUUGUGACAAUCAGCUUAUUCAGAUAUCUAUAUCUCACAAUAAUGGAUCUUAUCCUAAUUAACAGGCUUUAAGACAAUGAACCACACCGCGUAGUUAAACACAUUUCAAUUGUCUUGAACCAAACCGUGAAACAGAUAUCAACUGUCUUGAUGCAAAUAAUUACGAGUAAUAUCUUGCUUAAUAUUUUGGACCGUUUGUUAAUGAAUGCAAUGUACAGAGUAUCUUUAAUUCUUAACAAGGAUUCGUAAGGGUAAAUAUAUUACAAUAUAUAGUAUUUGAGUCAGAUCAAUCCUAGAUAUUUUAUUAGAAUUUGCCUUGUUUUUUAUUUGUAUUUGAGUUUUUUUUUUUUUUUUUUUUUUUUUUCUCUCUAGCUAGUAUAGUUUAUAUAUAUUAGACCGGUAACCUUUUUCUAGACUAUUUUAUUAGAAUUUUCCUAUAGACGUACUCUUACUUAAAAUUUAGCUUAAAAGUUGAGAGUUACCUCAAGUUUAAUUAUUAGACCAGAAAUAGGAUACUAAAAAAUAAAAAUAAAAAACAACUUGACUUGAUCCCUAAUAAUAAACUAGCCUCGGCAUAUUUAUUAAACACUCAGGCCAAGUUCUGGUUCAUGCCUCACCUUAAAAAGCUUGAUACUAAACCGAAAGCUAGAAAAAUGCUAGAAAAUAAAAAUAUAAUUUAUUUCAAUCAGAUUUAUCCAACCAAUAACAUAGACUUAAAGUUCUAAAUCCUUUGACCCAACUUUUAAAUCCUAAUCUAAUAAAAACAAAAUUUCAUAAAGUACGAAGCUAUUUUACAAAUUUAAUUUAAUUUAUAAAAACACCUUUUAAUAUAUUUAAUAGUUUAUAACGUUUUAUUUUUAUUAUAUAGGCCUUAAAAGUUGGGGCUGAAGGAUUUAAAUGUUGUUAUGGAUGGGUUAAAUAGAUACAAAAAUAUAUAUUUUAACUUUACUCGUUUUUAAGCAUUUUUCUUGCUUUCAAGCUGGAUUCAGGUUUUUUAGGUGAGACCCAAGGCCAACAUAAAAUGUUUAGAAAACAUGCCCAGGCCAGGCUACCUAGGCUCGGGUCAAGCGGAUUUAUUUUUCCAUCCUUAGUAUUGAACUAAUAAUAUAACCUUAAGAUAACUAUCAAUUCUUGAGCUAUCUUUUUAUUAUGAAUUGGGCCUAUAGGCUUCUAUACCAUGAUGAAACUCACAAAUUUAUUGUUGAUUGAAAAAAUAUUUAACAUCUUAAUGUGAUCCUUUCUAAUUACAUUUAUUUUAUUUAUGAAAUUAUCCCUUUUUUAAAAAAAAAUACAAUCUUUUAGCUUUCAAUUCAGCUUAAAAAAUUUUCUUGGCCAUGAAUUUUUGGAUGUCAUUCAUUGGUUUAAAUUAAACUAUUUCAAAUCAUAAUUUGAAAGGAACUUAACUAAAAAAAUACAUAAUCAGUAAAAAAAAUGGGGAAAAACCAAUAAAUUAUUUGAAGUCUAUUUUGGUUAGAUAGGAAGUGAUAAAUAGAAAAUUAAAAAAAAAAAGGGAUUGAUUAUGAAUUCAAAUAAUUUGUUGGAAAAAAAAAUAUGUGUGUUUAAUUCUUAUUUGUCUUUAACUAUAAUUUUAUUUAAAGUGGAGUUUUAUAAGGAUAACGAAGGGGUACCAAUAACUUCACUUAGAAAAUAGUUUUUGGUCUAAUGAUAUGAGUUUAAGGCAACGUUAACUCUUGUUUUAACUUUUUAAUAUGAGUUAAACUUAUAAACUUCAAUAUGAUCACGUCAUGACCCUCUACAUCAAAAAGAUCUUAUUAUAUUUCAUUUUUUUUUCUUUUACUAAUUGUUGAAAAUAAAGACUAGUAUAGAUAAGGGUAACAAUUGAUUUUUGUAAGCAUCAAGGCUUAACUUAUUGAUGUAGGAAGUUAAUUUAUGUUAUUUUAGGUAAUUUAGGAUUCUAGAAUAUUUAUUGUUUAAAUAUUUUCUAUUUUAAUUUGAGUCAAUUAUAGUAUGUAUCUUAGUCUUUUAUUUCCAUUAUAAUUGUGAUUUAAUUUCCCUUUUUAAGUUAACUUAGGAAAGUGAAUUUUCUCUAUUAUAAAUAGAGAGGUUUUGUUAUUGUUUUGGGAUCUUCAUAUUCAAUUAUACACAUAAUUUUCUUUCGGAUGAUCUAUUAAAAUCUCUCUUGUAAAGUCGUUUGGAUUAGAGCAUUAUUUAAUCUCGCAUUACGCGUUAUUAAAAAUCUCAUUGAGUCGUUGGAUUAGAUCUCGAACAAGAUCUAAUCAUGUCUCGAUUAGAGUGUAAGCUAAUCGCGCGUUGGCUUAGUUCAGUACUAAAAUGAUAUCUAGUGUUUUCUAUUCGAUCAAUUCCACUUCCACUACGCUCGUUCCAUCAAUUGGUAUUAGAGCGGUUCUGUGCAAUUCGCACAGCUUUCCUAGAUACCUAAAUCCUCUAGAUCCACUCAUAUCAAAUCCACCACAAAAAAAGCACAAAAAUUAAAAAUUCCCAAUUUGACAAAUUAACAAACCCUAGCCGCCACCACACUCCACCCACUGCCGCCACCGAACCACGGCCACCAUCAUCACUAUUCAACCCACCACCAGACUCGCCAUCAUUCGGCGGCCAAACCCCAGCCAUCACCACUUAACCGCCAACUGAACCACCACAAAUCGCCAACCCUAACUCGCAGCUCCACCGAUCAAUCCACCACCGUUUAGCCACUUUCACCGCCAGCCAACAUUGCCAUCAAACUCACCAGCCACCGCCGGCCAAAUCCCAGCCAGCUUCGCCUUCAGCCGCUGCCAUUUAGCCACCGCACAAAAGCAACCAAAUCCCGCAAGCCAUCACCCUUAAACCUGCUGCCUACAACCUUCACCACCGUCGACCAGUACCGCUGCCACACUCUGUUGAGUGUUAAAAAAUGUAUAUUUAUAAAGGAGAAAAUCGUCAUUUUACAUUUCAAGUCUUACUAACAACCCUUACUUUUAUGUAUUUAAAGUUCUUGUAAUUUAAUUAUGUGUGUUUUAUUUUAAUUAAGUAUUUUGUGUAUUUUAGGGCAUCAUAGUCAUUUCACAAUAAACGAGAGAUCAAACGGCAAAACGGACAUCGCUUUUGAACUCAGGACGGUCGAAAACCUUAGGAGGAGCAUAAAAGGAAAAAUGGCACUGUUCACAUGUACGGUACUAUUCACAUAUAUAAUACUGUAUACGUUACUGUUCACGACACUGUUCACAUAGACGGAUCAAUGACGUGGCAUUGACCAAUGAUGUGGCAUUGGCCGAUGAGGUGUUAUGAUCCCGUUGGUCUAAAAUUCUUAUGAACUGUUGAUGGUGACGUGGCAGCAUAUUAGUGGACUAAAACUUGCGAGUACAGUACAUGCAUUAAACAAGAUUAUUUUCAACCAAACCGCGUUACUAUUCAAAGCCGGGUCAAACCGUGUUACUGUUCACCCGCGUGGUCAAACCGCGUACUGUUGACUGAUGACGUGGCGCAAUCCUGAGCGUCCAAACUGUUUUUAAUCCGAUGGCCAUGAUUUACUCAAUGUAUCUAUAAAAAGGCCCCCUAAUUGGAUAUCUCUGAAUCCAUUUGUGGACUCCAUUUUCUGUAAUUCCUUCUCCAUCUUGUAUUUUCUACGUAUUUUAAUAAAUUUCCAUUUUGCCCCUAGUUCAAUUAUGAGUAGCUAAUUUUCUUUCAAGCUUGGGUUGAAGGUGAAAUCUCAACAUGUGUCAUAGGCUUUAUUUGGUAAAUUUACUUUCUCUUCCCCUCUAAUUUUUGUGGAUGUUUUGACUUUCAUCGACAAAUAAUACUAAUAUUGUCUAGUACUGCCUUGGUUUCACCGGCCCCCUAGUACAAGGUUAUUAUUAUUUGGCACGAUAAGCCCUUAGCACCAUAUUGAUUAGAGCGUGGUUCAUGAGGUGUGGAUUCCCCCCUCAUGAUUUAAUUGGCAUUAAUAAGGAUUAUUUAGCCCAUGAUGCAUGUUGAUACGGAUCCGGAUACCCAAGUGCUUCAUUUCAAUAGAUUUCUCUUCAAUUUAUUCUCGCCAUUGCAAUUUCAAUUUUAGGAUAAUUUAAAUCACUUCCACCACAAAUCCAACCACCCAUUUACAAAAUUAAUUCUAUACAUAAUUAAAAUCCAACUCCUCGUGGGAUCGACACUUGUCACCAUUAGUCUAUUCUACAAUAGAUUCGUGCACUUGCGAGUUCAAUAAAAUUUGCACAACAAAUUUUUGGCGCCGUUGCCAGAGAGGUAAGUAAUUUUAAUUCAUAGAAUUAAUUUUUGUGAAUAAUUCCAUUUAAUUGUUUUUUUUUUUAUUUUUUUUUCUUUAAAGAAAAAGAAAAAAAAAGUGAAUCUACAUUUAAAGGUUAGUAUUUCUUUUCUUUUUCUCUUCUUUAAAAUUCUGUAAUUUAUUUUUCAAUUUAUUUUUCUUUAUAAAUUUUUUUUUUGGUUUAUCUUAUUAAUUUAUUUUUAGUUAAUUUAUUGCACGUAUUUAUUUUUGUGUAUUUUUAUAGUAAGGUUGUAAUAGCGCAAUAAGGUUAGUAUCGAAAUUUCUCUUUCUUCUUUAUUUUUAUUUGUUUUGUUCCCAUUUAUUUUUGUAUUUCUUGCAUGCAUGGUCGUAGGUCAUUAUUACCUAAUCUUGAACAUAUAGACCUUGAUCUAGAAAAAACACUUCGCACACACAAACACGUUAAAAAUCAAUUUAAAAUGGAUUUGCAACCACAGGAGAGGCCAUUUAAGGACUAUUUCAGCCCCUUAGCUAAUUUGAGCACAUCAUGCAUAAGAUACCCAAAUGUAGCUACUAGGAGUUUUGAGUUAAAACCUAGUGUGCUAAAUUGUCUCCCAACAUUCUAUGGCUUAGAAAAUGAGGACCCAUAUAAUCAUCUGAAUGAUUUUCAUGCUAUUUGUCAAACUUUUAAAUACGAGAAUUUUUCAGACGAUGAUGUUAAACUCAGAUUAUUCCCCUUUUCUUUAAAAGAUAGAGCUCGUUCAUGGCUUAAUACAUUGCCUGCUAAUAGUAUUGCAUCAUGGGAACAAAUGGUAACAAAAUUUUUGAAUAAAUAUUUCCCAGUGUAUAAAACCAAUGCUAUUCGCAGGGAAAUUUCAUAGUUUACCCAGAGAGAAGACGAGCAGUUUUUCGAAACAUGGGAGCGAUUCAAUGGGCUACUCUUGAAGUGUCCACAUCAUGGGUACGAGAAAUGGCACCAAUGCCAAUACUUUUUGGAGGGAUUAUUGCCGAAUGUGCAAGAAUGACUAAUGGCAACAAGUGGAGGAGAGCUAAUGUCAAAAAGUGCAUCAGAGAUUUGGGAAUUCUUCCGGCAACAAGCGGAUAAUUCCCAACAACGGAGUCGGUCACUCAGGAAUACUAAAAGAAUUAAAGGAGUAAAUGAGGUUCAAAUUGGCGAGUCAACUUCGGGAAUCAAAGAAGUCAAGGAGAUGGUUGAAGGUCUCGCUCGACAAAUAGCAUCGUUAUCGACUGCUAAAUCAACAGAGCCACAUGACCAUGACUCAUACUCAGAUCAAGCCAAUGUCAUAGGUGUAAUGAGAAAACCAUCAAAUUACAACCCAUACUCCAACACAUAUAACCCUGGAUGGAAAGAGCACCCCAAUUUUUCAUGGUCUCAAGGAUUCCAACAGAAUGGACCAGCAGCUCCAGCUCCACCAAUGCAAUCAAUUCCUUAAAAUCCUCAAGCCUCUCAGCCACCAUUUAGACCAUACAAUCAAAACCAGAACUACUCUCAACCCAGACCAUGGGAGGAUUCAUUUCAGAAUCUCAAGAAUGUUACUCACUCCACGAUUGAGCAACAGAACCGCACCAUUGAUGGACUACGAAAUGAGUUAAGAGCGGGCUUCAACUCACAAGCCCAAUCAGUUUCAAGCCUCGAGAAGAUGGUGGGACAGCUUGCUUCUUCAGUUCAGACCUUGGCAAUGACCGUUGAGAAAGGCAAGUUUUCAAGUCAACCAGUGCCUAAUCCUAAAGGAGUACAUGAAGCAAGUAUCAGUUCACCACAACAGCAUGGAGAGGUCAAAGCAGUCAUGACCUUGUGAAAAGAAAAAGAAGUCGACAACAAAGUGGAGAUGCCGGUGACAAAAGAAAAUCAAAUUGUACCUGUUAAUAUUGAGGACUCACCAUUGGAAGAGAAAGAAGAAAUCAACCCACGAGAAUAUGUUCCAAAAGCUCAAUUUCCUUAGAGGUUAGCUAAAGGAAAGAAGGGAAAAUCCACAGGUGAGAUUCUUGAAAUCUUCAAACAGGUAAACGUUAACAUCCCUUUACUUGAUGCUAUAAAACAAGUUCCAUCUUAUGCCAAGUUUCUUAAAGAUCUUUGUACUAAAAAGAUAAACAUUCAUGUUCAAAAGAAGGCAUUUUAAACAGAAAACGUUAGUUCUAUACUCCAACAUAAAAUUCAUUUAAAAUGCAAAGACCCAGGCUUCCCCACUAUCUCAUGUAGUAUAGGGAACCACACAAUUGAGAAUGCUUUGUUGGAUUUAGGAGCUAAUGUAAAUCUGUUGCCUUAUUCAGUAUUUUUGAAACUUGGACUUGGAGAAUUACACUCAACUCCAGUGGUGUUACAGCUUGCAGAUCGGUCCACGAAAAUACCUCGUGGUAUUGUGGAGGACGUGCUUAUCCAGGUAGACAAGUUUUAUUUUCCUGUUGAUUUCAUUGUAAUUGACACUCAACCAAUACAGGAUUCAAGGAAGCACAUCCCCAUUAUUCUAGGCCGACCUUUCUUGGCAACUGCGGAUGCUCACAUUCAAUGCAGGACUGAAAAUAUGCAGUUGUCCUUUGGCAACAUGACUAUGGAGCUGAACAUCUUCAACAUUGCCAAACAACCUCACAAUGCAGAUGAUGAAAUUGUUGAUGUGGAUUUAAUAGAAACAAUAGUUGAUAAUACUUUUCUUUCAAACCUUAGUGAUGAUCCUUUACAAACAUGUUUAACUCACUUUGGUUUGGAUUUUGAUAUUGACAGAUCGGUCGAUGAGGUCAACGCCCUGCUUGACUCAGUACCAUCCAUGGACACUAAUAAAUGGAAGUCAAGAGUUGAACAACUAGCACCAUCAGAGAAGAAACUCAUCCCAUCAUCAGAAUCACCACUGAAACACAAGCUCAAACCAUUACCCAACACAUUGGAAUAUGCGUUUUUGGGAGAAGAAAGCACUCUACCGGUAAUCAUCUCAUCAUCCCUAAACGACGAACAAAAAGGUAAGUUGUUGGAUGUUUUAAAAGAGCACAAAGGGGCAUUAGGAUGGACCAUAGCGAACAUAAAAGGUAUAAACCCAGUAGACUGCAUGCAUUACAUUCACCUCGAUGAAAAUGCUAAAUCUACUAGGGAAAUGCAACGUCGGUUAAAUCCUAAUAUGAAAGAAGUUGUUAGAACUGAGUCCUUAAGCUAUUAGAUGCAGGUAUCAUUUACCCCAUUUCUGAUAGUUCAUGGGUUAGUCCUGUACAAGUUGUCCCUAAAAAGUCAGGAGUCACAGUAGUUACGCAUGCCGAUAAUGAAUUGAUACCAACUAGUGUAACUACAGGAUGACGUGUAUGCAUUGAUUAUAGAAAGUUGAAUUCAGUCACACGUAAAGACCAUUUUUCUUUACCAUUUAUUGAUCAAAUGCUUGAUAGAUUAGCAGGUCAUGAAUUUUAUUGCUUUCUAGAUGGCUACUCAGGAUAUAAUCAGAUUCCCAUAGCACCAAAAGAUCAAGAGAAGACCACUUUCACUUGCUCUUUUGGCAUUUUUGCAUAUAUGAGAAUGCCAUUUGGAUUAUGUAAUGCACCUGCUACAUUUCAACGAUGCAUGUUAAGCAUUUUUUCUGAUAUGGUUGAACGAUUCCUUGAAGUCUUUAUGGAUGAAUUUUCUGUUUUUGGUGACUCAUUUGAUCAAUGUUUACAUCAUCUAACAUUAGUUCUGCAGAGAUGUAUCGAGAAGAACUUGGUCUUAAAUUGGGAGAAGUGUCAUUUUAUGGUAAAAAAAAGUAUUGUUCUCGGUCACAUCAUUUCAAGCAAAGGUAUUGAGGUUGACAAAGCCAAGGUGGAUCUCAUUUCUAAUCUUCCUCCACCCAAAACAAUCAGAGAAGUAAGAUCUUUCCUUGGGCAUGCUGGUUUCUAUAGACGUUUCAUUAAAGAUUUUAGCAAAGUUUUUAGACCCUUAUGCAAUUUACUUGCUAAGGAUGUACCUUUUAUCUUUGAUGAUUCAUGUCUUGUGGCAUUUGAAAAACUAAAGUAGUUGUUGACAUCAUCACCCAUCAUUCAGCCCCCAAACUGGAGCUUACCAUUUGAGCUCAUGUGUGAUGCAUCUGAUUAUGCAGUAGGGGCAGUAUUAGGACAAAGAGUUGAUCGAAUUCCCCAUGUUAUUUACUAUGCUAGUAUGACAUUGAAUGAUGCACAGUUGAACUAUUCAACUACUGAAAAAGAAAUGCUAGCAGUAGUGUUUGCAUUAGAGAAAUUUCGAUCUUAUCUCAUUGGCUGUAAAAUAAUUAUAUUCACAGAUUAUGCUGCUCUUAAAUAUCUUUUCACAAAGAAAGAUGCAAAAGCUAGACUAAUUCGUUGGGUGUUAUUUUUACAGGAAUUUAACUUGGAAUUCAAAGAUAAGAAAGGCACAGAAAAUGUUGUGGCGGACCAUCUCUCUCGUCUCCAUUUUGACACAAUCACAGAGCUGUUAAUAUUGAAUGAGUCAUUCUCAGAUGAACAAUUAAUGAGUGUGGAAGUAUUACCUUGGUAUGCUGAUAUAGUUAAUUAUCUUGUUACAGGUAAACUUCCAGACCAUUGGACCAAGCAAGACAAGGCUAAAUUCUUUGCAGAGAUAAAGAAUUUCUUUUGGGAUGACCCGUAUUUGUUCAAGUAUUGUGCUGAUCAAAUUGUUAGACGAUGUGUCCCAGAAAAUGAAAUUCAGAAUAUUCUUUCAUUCUGCCAUGAACAAGCUUGUGGAGGCCAUUUCAGUGCUAAGAAAACGGCAACUAAAGUUUUACAAUGUGAUUUUUAUUGGCCAACUAUAUUUCGAGACGCUUACACUUUUUGUUCUUCAUGUGAUAGGUGUCAAUGAAUGAGGAGCAUUACGCGAAGGAACAUAAUGCCACUAAAUCCAAUUUUAGUGGUUGAGAUUUUUUACGUAUGGGGUAUCGAUUUCAUGGGACCCUUUCCCUCUUCUUUUGGCCAUUAAUACAUAUUGGUUGCUGUUGACUAUGUAUCGAAAUGGGUAGAAGCAAUUCCAUGUAGAACCAAUGAUCACAAGGUGGUGAUAGGAUUUUUGAAAAGCAACAUUGUUUCGCGCUUUGGAUUCCCUCGAGCAAUAAUCAGUGAUGGUGGUGCCCACUUUUAUAACAAAGCAUUUAAAGCUCUUUUGACAAAGUAUUCAAUUACUCACAAAGUGGCGACCCCAUAUCAUCCGCAAACCAGUGGCCAAGUUGGGAUCUCCAAUCGAGAAAUAAAGCAUAUAUUAGAAAAGACGGUGAAGCCGGACAGAAAAGAUUGGUCAUUAAGACUUGAUGAUGCAUUAUGGGCAUAUAGAACGGCUUUCAAGACCCCGAUUGGGAUGUCACCCUACAUGCUAGUGUAUGGAAAAGCUUGUCACCUACCUGUAGAACUCGAACAUCGUGCAUAUUGGGCCAUCAAGAAAUUCAACUUUGACAUACAGCAAACCAGCUCAGAAAGAAGAUUACAAUUGGCAGAACUUGAAGAAAUUCACAAUGAUGCAUACGAAAAUGCCAAGAUUUACAAGCAACGAAUGAAAGUCUUUCACGACAAGCAAAUUAUGAGAAAAUCUUUUACUUCAGGUCAGAAAGUGCUUUUAUUCAAUUCUCGCUUGCACCUAUUCCCAGGUAAGUUACGCUCUCGAUGGUCUGGUCCCUUUAUUGUUCAUACUGUUUUUCCACAUGGGGCAAUUGAAAUUAAGGACCCAAAUAACGGUGUCACGUUUAAAGUUAAUGGUCAAAGAUUAAAGCCAUAUCUAGAGUACCAACCACAUGGAGAAGACACCAAAAUAAAUUUGAGUGACCCACCAGAUUUGAAUUGAUUUUUUUUUCUUUUCAUUGAUUUGAUUUUUCUUUCUUUAUUUUUAUUUGCUAAUUGAAAUUAUUUUUGCAUAAGUGUGUUUGUUUUACCAUCAAGUUUUUUCUUAUCAUUGUUAAUCAUGAGUACCAUACUUAGACCGUUCCUCCUGAACAUUCUUAAACCACUUCAACGUGUCAAAACUCAUCUCAAAAAGCAGAUUCAAUUUUGUAAAACACAACGCAUUUGGGCUCUACAACCACCAGCGUUAGUAGCCUAUGUUGAGAAUCUAGAAAACCAACUCAGAGACAUUGAGAGAAGUGUUUAUGACAUCCAGUUGGAGCUUGAGGUAAAUUCAAUAAGAGGACGAUUUUAAUUUUCUUUGUGUGUUUUAAUUUUUUUUUCUGUUUGUGUGCUUUAGUUUGUUACCCCGGUGAAGUGGCAGAUAAUGGUACUCCGUGACAAUCAAGUCGGUUACUUCAGUUUUCCAUAAUAACUGAUAUUCUGAGGUGAAAGUAUGGACAGAAACGACAUUCUAGCAAAGCUUCACAAGCGAUUCCCUUCACUUCCUCAAAAUGCCCUCCUUACGAUCUAUAAAGCUCGGUCCAAACGCAUGCGAUUACUCAUGAGAAAUAACAUACCUGCUGACAUUCGUUGGUUAAUCGAGGCUAAAGUACGAUCGGCAAGUGAGUUACCUCCAAAAUUUAUUGCAUACAUGUCUAGUUGUGGUAAAGGAAAUUAUGCAAGAAAACGACGAGCUCGAAGAAUUUCUGUUGCUUGUCAUAAGUGUGCCAGAAUGAGUUGCGAUAAAAAAACCAUGUUCUUUAGGAAUGUUGUCUGAUAACAAGGAAGAUAAGAUUCAAUUCAUUAGGGAUGGCUUGAAUAAGGAGUCAUUGGAUGAUAUUCUUUUGUCUCUUGAAACACAUCCUAGUGGAUAUGUGCAAGGAGCGAUUCUCCAGUUAUGGCCAUUAUUCCAGAAAGAGCAUGCACGAUAUAGUCUCGGGAAUCUGACUAUAAACGACCCUGUUUGCCAGUUUAUAAGAAAACUGGAUGGGAAGCCCAUCCUCGACCCAUAGAGGGCGUUCAAGCCGUUUCUGGACGUAAAACCAGAGGAAGAUGUGAGCCACAGUCGCAACUACCUGUAAAUAUCAUUUUACUUCACUGUUGUUUUAUUUCACUGUUGUUUUAUUUCACUGUUAUUUUAUCUUUUGCAUUAUUGUCUUUAAUAAUUUUAUUUAAUCAUUAUUUCUUUUUUAUUUUACUGUUUCCUUUUUUACUCACAAGCCAUGUGCUUUACGCGUUAUUUGACAGUGACAUGCUACCUCAUACACAGUUGUGACCCACUGUCACCAAGACUCUUAAAUGUGAUUUCUUUUGUCAAACACUCAUAAAUUAUUUUUGAGAAAUAUUCCAAUGGCAGCUACUCCCAAUAGACAAUUCAAGAACAUUUGUUUGCUUUCUGGAUUUAACUAUGGCAAACAUAAAGAGUUCGUUGAGGCAGCCAUAGAUCUUGGUCGAAGCAUAGCAGCGAGAAAAUUACAUUUGGUGUAUGGAGGAGGUAACCGAUGGUUAUAAAAAAUUGUCUCAGAAGCAGCUUUUAUCAGAGGAAGUCAAGUGUUAGGCAUCAUCCCAAGAGUCCUAAAACCUUUGGGCAGUUUGUCUGACUCAUCGACUGGAGAAGCGUUAGUCGUCUCAGGUAUGCAAGAAAGAAUAACUGAAAUGCUUAAUCAUGCUGAUGCUUUUAUUUUCCUUCCAGGAGAUCUUGCAACACUAGAGGCACUUAUCACACUAGCAUCUUGGGCCCAUCUGCACAUUCACCAGAAACCCAUCGGUUUGUUAAAUGUCAAUAACUUUUAUGAUGGCUUUAUCGCAUUUCUUAACCAUGCAAUAAAAAACUACUUCAUUCCUUCCAAUGCGAAAAAACUUUUUAUUUGUGCUCACACUGCUAAUGAGCUACUUGAUCUGUUACAAGCUUAUAAACUGGAGCCGGACCCAUGGACCUUUGUGUUGGAGCAUCCAAAUAAUGAUGGUAACAGUAGCCACAGUAAGAAGUACAAAUUAGAUUUAACUCUCCGCCUGUAAAUAUUUUCUUCUGUGUUGCACCACCCAGGUGAUGUCCUCUAAACUCUACUUCUUUCCUUUAAACAUUGAGGACAAUGUUUCAUUCUGGUUGGGGGGAGGGAAUAGUCGACAAUUGUAGAAUCUUGGUUAAGUUUUUACUGAUUUUUUGUUGUAGAAACUAACUGUUGCUAACUUUUUGUGUUGAAGAUAGUUGAAUAUGGAGUGUAGUGACUCUAGAAACGCAUCUUCAUCGUUUAAAAAAAAAACAAACAAAAAAUUCAGACAUUUUCUUUUCUUUAUUAAGCUUUGAUAUUCAUUUUUCUUCUUCUUUUUAAUUUCUCCUUAUAAAUAUAUAUUUUCAAAUUUUUGAGUCGAAGAUGACUGAAUAUGGAGUGUAGUGCCUCUAGAAACAAAUCUUCUAAGUUAAAAAAAAAAAAAAAACAAACCAUUUUCAUUUUCUAUCAUUUUAAGUGUAACUUUUCUAAUUAGUUUUUAUGCAUCGCUUUCACAUUUUUGCAUGCAUAUUUUCCUUUCAUGCUUAGAAUAGGUUGGGGGGUAGAAUGUUGUUAAAAAAAAAAUUGUGUGAUUUGUUUUAACAUUGGAUGACAUGAUUAAUUUCAAAUUUUAGUAUUUGUAUUAUCUUUGGUCUUAAGUGAUGUUACGCUAUGUUUGCUACUUUACAUGUUGAUGCUGGAGACAAAUAUGAGUUGCUUGAAGGAAUGAACAUGUCAUAAAUAAGUGCCAAGUGAGUUUUUGAGCCUAUCAUUUUUCUUAGAGAGUAACCCUUUUGCCCAUUCUUUAUACAGCUUAGCAAUUUAUUAUUGUAUACACGAUCUCUAGAUUUCUUUUGAGUUAACCCUUAAAAAAAAAAUUGUAAAAUAAAAAAAGAAAAAAAAGAAAAAAAAUGUGUGCUGCUACAUUUGGAGGCCCAUCUAACUAGUAGAUAUAGAAGAUUAUUUAGAGCCCUAAAAGACGAUGGAAAUGCCAUUUUUUUUUAUCCGUUUGAGCCUUUCUAGCCAUCCCUUGUGUGAAAUAUCCAUAGUUAACCAUUUUGAGCCUUUAAAAAAAAAAAAAAAAACCUUUUAUUUGUUAAACUUAUCAUCUUGACCCACUCCGAUUUGGAGUAUUACCCGAUGUCUUAUAAGUUCCAUCACCUAUUUAUGUUUGAGAAAAAUGUAAAUAAUUAUUUUGUUCAGUGACGUUGUGCCAAGCAAAAAAAAAAAAAUUGUUUCAAAAAAAAAAAAAAGAAGAAAUAACAAUAAUAGGUGAAAUCCACCUUGCAACUUCCCAAAAAAAAAAAAAUUCCUCUGCAUUUUUCUCAAACAUACACUUUGUUUUCCUUAUUUCCCUUCUUUGUUAACCAUAUCCCUAGCCUACGUUACAUCCUAAUAAAAGUCCUUCUUUAUUUUAGGGAAUUAUAGUCUGAAGUAGAAGCUAGUUAUAUGGGCUAAAAAGAUGUAGUGAUGCAUGAAAAAAAUAAUAAUAAAUAAAUAAAUAAAUUGGGUUGACUAACAUUUUUUAUUUGACUUGAGAUCGUAUUAUUUCUAAGUUGAGGGCAUAUUUCUUUCAUCUUCGUGAGAGCAUGUGAUAUCACUUCUUGAUUAUUUUCUCUCAAUUACCAUUCAUUGGAGUGACUAUUUUUAUUGGGUUUAAUUUCUUUGUGAGAGUGUCACUACUUCCAGUGAGACUUUGGGGUUUGAUAUGUCAUUCUUGAAAGUAGCUCUAACAAAGUCUACUGGGCUGAUUCAUGUGGAUGAUUGAUGUGGGUGUGAUGUUGCUUUAGACUGAAGAUAAUGCUUAUACUUUUAUUUGAUUGCUAUCAUUAAUCUAAUUUAAUAAACACGAGUGUUUCCAAAAAAAAAAAAAUCAUUUUGGAUUUGAAUUUUGUUUUCGCUUUAUUUGCUAGGGACUAGCAAUAAGCUAGUUGGGGGGUAUGUUGAGUGUUAGAAAAUGUAUAUUUAUAAAGGAGAAAAUCGUCAUUUUACAUUUCAAGUCUUACUAACAAUCCUUACUUUUAUGUAUUUAAAGUUCUUGUAAUUUAAUAAUGUGUGUUUUAUUUUAAUUAAGUAUUUUGUGUAUUUUAGGGGCAUCAUAGUCAUUUCACAAUAAACGAGAGAUCAAACGGCAAAACGGACAUCACUUUUGAACUCAGGACGGUCGAAAACCUUAGGAGGAGCAUAAAAGGGAAAAUGGCACUGUUCACAUGUACGGUACUAUUCACAUGUACAGUACUGUCUACGUUACUGUUCACGACACUGUUCACAUAGACGGAUCGAUGACGUGGCAUUGACCGAUGAUGUGGCAUUGACUGAUGAGGUGUCAUGAUCCUGUUGGUCUAAAAUUCUUAUGAACUGUUGAUGGUAACGUGGCAGCAUAUUAGUGGACUAAAACUUGCGAGUACAGUACAUGCAUUACACAGGAUUAUUUUCAACCAAACCGCGUUACUGUUCAAAGCCGGGUCAAACCGUGUUACUGUUCACCCGCGUGGUAAAACCGCGUACUGUUGACUGAUGACGUGGCGCAAUCCUGAGCGCCCAAACUGUUUUUAAUCCAAUGGCCAUGAUUUACUCAAUGUAUCUAUAAAAAGGGGGCCACCCCCCCCUAAUUGGAUAUCUCUGAAUCCAUUUUUGGACUCCAUUUUCUGUAAUUCCUUCUCCAUCUUGUAUUUUCUACGUAUUUUAAUAAAUUCUCAUUUUACCCCUAGUUCAAUUAUGAGUAGCUAAUUUUCUUUCAAGCUUGGGUUGAAGGUGAAGUCUCAACAUGUGUCAUGGGCUUUAUUUGGUAAAUUUACUUUCUCUUCCCCUCUAAUUUACUUUCAUCGACAAAUAAUACUAAUCUUGUCUAGUACCGCCUUGGUUUCACCGGCCCCCUAGUACAAUGUUAUUAUUAUUUGGCACGAUAAGCCCUUAGCACCAUAUUGAUUAGAUUGGUUCAUGAGGUGUGGAUUCCCCCCUCAUGAUUUAAUUGGCAUUAAUAAGGAUUAUUUAGCCCAUGAUGCAUGUUGAUACGGAUCCGGAUACCCAAGUGCUUCAUUUCAAUAGAUUUCUCUUCAAUUUAUUCUCGCCAUUGCAAUUUCAAUUUUAGGAUAAUUUAAAUCACUUCCACCACAAAUCCAACCACCCAUUUACAAAAUUAAUUCUAUACAUAAUUAAAAUCCAACUCCUCGUGGGAUCGACACUCGUCACCAUUAGUCUAUUCUACAAUAGAUUCGUGCACUUACGAGUUCAAUAAAAUUUGCAGAACACACUCCCCUCGAGCCACACAUCCAAAAUCAAUCACCAAUUGCCACCAAACACAGCCAAAAAACCACCCCACCAUAAGCCACCGCCACUUUAAUUCGGUUUUCUGGCCAAACCGCCGCGAAUCCGGCCAAUCCACCGCCACCAAUGAGUUCCUCAUCACCAAAUCUACCAAAUCUAACUUUCACCACACGCCAAAUCUAGGCCACCAACUGCCGACCACACUAAACUCAAGAGUUGAGCAUUAUUUACAAUUUUGCCAUUGUGUGGGAAUUUAAAUGGUAAACCACCGUCCUUGCCCGCCUAUGUAUCAUGUGCCGAUAUUAUUUGCAUACACUCGUCCAAAAUAAUUUCUUGAUUAGUUGGACAAUAUUGAGCAUUGGUUUCUAUUUUGGCGCACUCCUAAAGAAGAGUAUCGUUUGCUGCUAGUAGAUUAAGCAUAAGUGCUUCAGAAUAGUGGGAAGAGUUGCAAACUUGUCGACUUGACCUAGGUAAAUGUAAAAUUCAAUCAUGGAAUUAUAUGAAGCGUAUUUUGCGAUUUGAGUUUAUCCCUCUUGAUUAUUGUUCGGUACAGUAAGGUACGAGAUCCAUUUCUGCUUAUACUUAUGAGUUUGAACAAUUUUAUGGAUGCAAAUACUACUAUGAACGAGAGGAGAAUACAACUACAAGAUUUGUGAAAGGGCUUGAUUUGCAUAUUCAAGAAAGAGUGUCUACAUACACUAUCUAUAAUUUACAGCAAGCAAUUCAUUUAGCCAAGCACAUCGAAUAAUAAAUUGAGUCACAACGAUAAAGAAACUUUGAUGAUGUGUUAAGAAACUUGACGAAGUCUAGAAUUUAAGCAAGAAAUGGUGUGUCUCCAUGAAAGUGCCUAAAGAUGUACUAAUGAGUUCUCAUAUCGUGAGGAAGAAGACUCGUGUAAGAUGCCAAAAGAAAAGGUACAAUUUAUUAUUGAUUUAAGGUUUCAAUCUGAUAAGUUGUUCGAGAAUGUGCUUGAUGUUUCCUUUGAAGAGAAAACAAGUAUUGAAGAUGAUGAUAUUAUUUAUCUAUCUGAUAUUUUUAAAGAAUAUAUACAACCUACUCUUAAUUUAAGCAGUGAGCCUAACAGUACGAUCGAAGUCGUACAACAAAAUCAAAUUGAAGAAGUUGAAAUGAUUAAAAUGGUUCUACCUAUUCAUUUUGAAGAAAAGAAGAUUGUGCUUGAAAAAGAUUUGGUUGAAAAUGUGAAACUUAUUGGCGAGCGCAUAGAGCGACAAUUGGGGAAGGGCAAGAGUUAUGUGAUCGUUGUUCGUUCUUGAAAGUCGUCAUUGGCUCGAAGAAUGUACAAGCGAAAGAAGUUGAUGAAAUUUGGAUACUUCAAAGUUUCGAGGAAGAUUGAUGAGCAAGCCUACAAGUUUGAAUUACAAGAUGACUUGCUUCUACACUAUAAGUUUCAUCCUCCAGACUGUAUUCAAGCUCUAGGACAAGUUUCUUUUAAGAGGGGAAGAAUGAUGUAGGAAGUUAAUUUAUGUUAUUUUAGGCAAUUUAGGAUUCUAAAAUAUUUAUUAUUUUAGGAUUUUCUAUUUUAGUUUGAGUCAAUUAUGGUAUGUAUCUUAGUCUUUUAUUUCCAUUAUAAUUGUGAUUUAAUUUUCCUUUUUAGGUUAACUUAGGGAAGUGUGUUUCCUCUAUUAUAAAUAGAGAGGUCUUGUCAUUGUUUUGAGAACUUCAGAUUUAAUUAUUCAAUAAAACUCCCAUUUAAUAAUUCCCUUUGGGAUAGCUAUCAAAAUCUCUCUUAUAAAAUCGUUUGGAUUAGAGCGUCAUCUAAUCUCGCAUUACGUGCUAUUAAGAAUUUCAUUGAGUCGUUGGAUUAGAACGAGAUCUAAUCACGCCUCGAUUAGAGCAUAAGCUAAUCGCGUUGGCUUGCUCCAGUACAAGAAUGAUAUAUAAUGUUUUCUAUCCGAUCAAUUCCACUUCCGCUAAGCUCGCUCCAUUACUUAUAACAAGAACAAAAAUAUUAAAACAGAAAUGUUACGAUUAUAAUGAUUAUGAUUGAUUAACGAGUUAAUCCUUGAUGCUUAAUUUAUUUGAUUGAUUUAUAAUAUAUUAUUAAGGACUACCUUGUUGUCCAGGUGUCAUUUUCAUGCCUAUUAGCCGUCUUCUUAAUCAAAAUACUAGUCGCAACUCUUCUUCUAUCAAGAUUGUGCUUUGGCGCUCGCCAAGAGCACCUUAGAUUGAGAUAAAUACGAAUGGUUUGGCCACAGGUAAUCCUAAAAUCUCGGUUUGUGGGCUUUUUUCAAGGCUUUAAUGGUGCUUUUAAGAAUAUGCUUUGUUGUGGGUCUGGCCUUGUUAUGCUCAGAUAUAUGCCAUUCAAGCGGUUAAUAUUGCUUUUUCCGUGGGAUAGCAAUUUGUUUGACCGAAGAGGGAUUCAAAUAUGCUAACUUGUAUUUCCGGAACUCUCCUUUUCAUCUGCCGUGGCAAGUCGUACUUAGUGGUUGAACGGUCUAUAACUUAUCAGUCAUGUAACACUCUAAAUGUAACACGUGUGGAGCAAGCGAAAAAAAGAGGUUAUUAACAAAUCCAAAACUUUACGCAAAAAUCUCAAAUUGAAAUAUUUUGAAUUUUUAAUCAAUUAAUUCACAAAUCCAUGUAUUAAUUACUAAAUAAUCUCUCCCGAAGACAUAAAUACAAAAGUCUCAAAACUCCCAAAUUACAAGUUCAUAACAAAAAUAAACUAAAAAGAAACAUGAGUUUAUUCCUCUUCUUAUUCAUCUUGCAAAAAAGAAAGAAACCUCUAACUCCAAUGAUAAGCACACCUCUCAAUAAGAAACUUAAUCUGCAAAAAGAUGUGACGAGAGGCAAGCCGUCAACUCGGUAAGUAAAAUCAUUCCCAACAUACUAGGUCUAUCGAUCGCAAAAAAUAUUGCAAGCCCUCUUUUAUCUAAAAUAUAUAUUAUAAUUUAUGAAUUUCAUAAAAAGAAAUUUUACCAUAACAACUCCACAGUAAUUCAAAAUAUCAAAAGUAUCGUAAAUUAUGAAAGCAAAUCAUAUAACAUAUACACAUAAAACAAAAGGUUAAAAAACAAAAGGUUAGCUCAUGUCUCAUAGUAUCACCUAUAGUCCUGGUGAUUUGGCCCAAAAUAUAAUUAGAAUCAGAAUAUCGUGUUCACAUUCAGAAUAGAAACUCAGCACUAGUCCAGAACACACACACACACACACACACACAUAUAUACACACGCACACUUACACGAUCAGAAUCAUAAUCAGAAUUAGAAUAAUUAUAGGCAAUAAGUUAAAAUAUUCAAAUUAGUUUUUCAUAUGUAGUGACUUGUACGUGGCACUUUGCAAUAUAUAUAGCACUUUGCGGUGCUCUGUACCUCAAGAGGUGACCCCCAUAUAGUCUCAAGAAGUGGCUCUCAUAAAUCAUGAAUAAUUUAAAUCGUACAUCGGUGCAAAACAUUCGUAUCAGAUUCAUAAAUGUCCAUAACAAUAAUUUAGGCUUGCAAAAUAUUUUAUAGACAAAAUCAUAAAAGGUAAUCAUGUAACAAAAUAAGCUACAUAUUUAGAACAUUUAUAAUAUCUUGUAAAAAAUUAUAAUUUUUCAGAUUUGAAAACAUUUAUACAAAUUAAAUUUAUUAUGAAAAUCAAUUACUCUUUUAAGUAGUAUAAAAACACUUAUACUUAUAAUAGUAUCAAAUUAAUCAUACAUUUCCAGUACAUUAAGAAUGAAGUUAUUUACCUCGAUAAAAGAAUUUAUCUAACACACUUCUAAGUCUCUAAGAGCCUCAAAUACCUCCAACACUUCAAACCAAAUACAAUAUAUAACUAUUAAUAACUUAUUCUAAGAAUCUGAUUCUCUAAUUCAUACCCGUACAAGUCUGAUUCUCAUAAUUUUAACUCUUAAUCUAAAAAUCAGAAUAACACCAUAUUUUACAGAACUAUUCUAGACAUAUAAGGUAUCUCAUAUAAAAUUUUCAAGAAUAUUCGAUAUCAAAAACAUUUUCAAAAGUAUUUGUUUCCUAACAAAUUCAAAACUAUUUCACAGUACCUUAACUGAACAGAAUAGGUUCCGAGAUUUUAUAAAAUCAUAUAUUGAUAAGAAAAUUAUGAAAUUAAAAUUGUGGAUCCUAGACACAUAUAUCAAUCCCUUUUUCAAAUUUCAUAAUUUUUUGAACUCGUUUGGUUCUGUAAAUAAAUUUGUGAAAUAUGUCAUUUUGCUGCAGUUGCAGUUUUAUAGUGCAGCAAUGUCUGCUUCAAAAAUACAUAUAAAAUUGAAAAUGAAACCAAAUUUCAUGAAACAGAAUUUAUUCAAUAAGUCGUGCAUGUCUAGUUUCCCAAAGAUAAAGGUCUUAAGAAAAAUCAUUCAGAAAAUAUACGUUUAAUUUUGAGAUACUCAUUAUGUCCAAAAUUGUCCAGUGUGCUUAAUGCAUCAAGGAUUGAUUAACAAGACUCAACAAUAAAUCAAGCCUUAAAUAGAACUUAAACACAUCCUAAAUCAUGCAUUAUGAUAUGUAAAAAUUUAAGAUAAUGUCAAUUAAACCCUAAAUAGAGUGAUAGGAAAAACUGUGGAGGAAAAGUAAACUUAUUGACCGUUAUGAUUCUCUCCUAAAAAAAAGUUUGAAUCCUAGGGUAUAAUUAAGAGCGUAAUGAGCAGAAGAGAAAAAGAAGAAAACGUCGUGCACUUAGUGUUAUGGAAGGGGAAGAAAAAUAUGAAUUUAUAGGGAGUCUUGAGAAACCCUAUUAAAUUUGGAAAAAUAAACUUUUUCCAAAAAUUAUCCCAUGAAUAACCUCAUUUGUAGUUUUAAUAUCCUUACUAAUAAGGGUUAUAGAGCCAUAUACGAUUUCUAAUAAAAGCCCAAUUUCCAUAAUUUAAUAUUAUGGAAUUUGGCAUUACAAGUCAUGUAUUUUUGUAGUCAUCUUUUGAAAGGUAAUUCGGUUGCUGAUUGCUUUGGAAAGGCCAUGUCUAACUAAUUCGAGGCCUUUGGUGAAUUUGUUUUUAAAGACAUUCUUACAUGAAACAACAUUAAUUCCCAAAAGAACAUUAAAUAGCUUAAAAUUGAACUAUCUUUAAUAAUAUCUUGAAUAUCAACAAUUAUAAACAUCACCCAAAAAAAUCAACAAAAAAGAUAUAUAUUUACUGCGAUCAUCUUCAAAGUUGAUUAUUUCAUUCACUAUUUCAUUAUUGUUUAAUUCAUUUGGAGUUAAUUGUUCAAUAACUAAUUCUUCACCUAAUUACAUAUCUUUUUUACUGUUAUGAAAAAUUUAUCAAGAGCUCGUUUUUGAGAUUUGACUAAUUUUUUUGUUCUCCUUUUUUUUUUUUUGUAGUUUUUCAUAUUUUAAUGCUUAUUUUCAAGUUGACAUGCUUUUCAAUUCGAAAUAACAAACAAAUAAGCAAACAAAAAUUUUCUUUCUAGAUUAUUCGAGUCAUAUAUCAAAACAAAAAAAAAAAUAAAUUUAAGAAAGAUAAGAAUAAUAACAAUUAAAAAUAGAAUAAUUGAUACCACCAGGCAAGUUGACUAGUCGAGACAAAUAUAAUGAUCAAAUGAUGAUAAUAAAUUUCCUACAAAAGGAUUUUCUUUAUAGAAAAGAGAGUAACAAAUUGUUUAUUUGAGAUCGUCAUUGAUUCACUGUCUAUUUUUUUUGAAUUUUUAAAUAGAUUUUCAUAGAAUACUAAGAGUUACUUCUAAAAUAUAAGGUUAAUAAUUUUAAUAGAGUAAUUUUUGGAAAGAGAAGGCAUUAAUUAUUUUUAAAUAAAGAAGUGACAGUUAAAGUCAUUAUUCAAUUGUAAAAGUAUAUCUUAUUUUUAAUACUAGGGAGAUGCCUAGAAAUUAUGACAAGUACUACCUGCUCAUCGUAUGUCUGGUGUGGGAUACUCUAUCAUACCCAUGUUUACAACAUUUGCAUGAAAAUUCAUGGGGCCUUAUUGUAUAUCAACUUCCUUAAAUGAUUGGUAAACAUUCUUUCUCAUAUUUGAGUGCAUAUUUGGUUUUGUUUUAUAUUAGUUUUUUUUUUUAAAUUAUAUGUAACUCACAGAACCUUCAUAAUAAGUCUCCCCAUAUACUUUGAUUUCUUUUAAUCUGAUGCGUCACCAAUAUCUAUGCUUUCAUAUUUGCAAAAUACAUUGCUAAAAAUUGUUGCUGGAGACAUCAAAGAUUUGCAACUUAGAGAAAAAAUAAUCAGCCUUAAAGGACCGUAAUUUAUUCGAAUGAAGAACAAGAAACUAAAGCUCCCGAAAAGUUCCCAGCCAAUAUGUGAAUUAAUAAAUCCUCUAUCUUGUUAAGGGAUGGCAACCAAACCCGGACCCGGACUGAACCUGAUAAUCCGGUCCGGGUUCAACCCGUACUGGAACAAUUUUGAUGCGGAAUCCGGAUGAGAUUUUGAGAACCCGCAUACUUGCAGGUCCGAAUCCGGGUUCAGGUGAACCCGCAAAUCCAGAACAUGGAUCAGGAUAUUAUUUAUUUUAAUAUUAAUUUUUUAAAAAAUUAUUAAAUAUAAAUAGAAAAAUUAAAAAAACAAAAAGAAACCUUUGUGCCAAUUAGAUCCUCUCUUAAUCUCUCUCAGCCGUUCCUCUCUCAAUCUCUCACUCUCUCUUUAACUCUCCUGUAAUUUCUCUUCUUCAGAUAAGAUCCUUCGCAGCGUGGCUGUCUUCGCGGCCUGGCUGUCAUCACCUUCACGGUGCUGCUAUGUUUGUUUCAUCACUCAUCUCAUCUCUCACUCUAUCGCAACCAACAAAAGGGGUUGAAAUCCACCUCAAUCGCGGCUGAGUUCGUUUCAUUUUUUUCCUUUUUUUCCAGCAACUUAAGUAUAGAAUGGCAUCAUCUGAUUAAUAACUCUGCUUAUUUUGUUAUUAUUAAUCAACAUUAUCGUCCUGAAGAGCCUUUGAAUUUGAAUUCAUUUAAGCUUUAGUGCUGAAGAAGCUCAACAGAGCAACGAUUGCCCUAUUUUUACUAACCUAGAUUUGGUUCCAAGGGUAUUCAUUGACGCAUGGUCUAACGCUAAUGGAGUGUCAAAUGGUGAUAACUAGAUCCACAAUACAAAUUCUGGUACCAAGAGCUCUGUCUCUUCAAGCGGGAAUUUGUAACUUUCUCCUCUUAAGUCUUUCAAUAAGAGGCAACAACACCAUUCAUGAGGAAAUGGGUCAACUACAAAUAGGGUUGGGCCUUGUGGAAUCUAGUCAAGAGUACCAUAAUUGUGAUACCAAACUUAAGUAAACCAAUCCGAGUUCAAAACCUGGAUUUUUCCGAGUUGAAUCCAGACCGGACUCGGUUUGAAAAAACCAGGUUUAAAUGCGGGUCCGGUAAUGAUAAUUGUGUGUCCGGAUCUGGAUCCAAAAAGGGCAAACCUAGACCCAGACCCAAAAAUUACCAUCCCUAAUCUUGUUGUUGCCAAGAUAAAAAAUUUGAAGAUUUACACAAUUGAGCAAAUAUCUUGGGACUGACCCUACAAAUUCAUUGCCAUUGAAGUAAAGGGUCCUCAGAUUACUGCCCUUUCACAAUGUUUUAGGAAUUGGCCAUGGAAUAUAUUCUUCUUCAAAUCCAACACAUGCGGAGUAUUGUUAAAGUUUCUAAUUAAUGCAUUCUGGAAUGGUGCCACUCAAGUUGUUGCUGGGUAUAUCAAGAACUUUAAUAGUGCUUGGGUUGCAGAUUAAAAAAGGUAUCUCUCUAGUGAACUUAUUGUUUGAUAUAAAAAAAAAACCUUCAAAUUAGAUGAUGGAGCUAGAAACAUUCCUUAAAGCAAGUUGAAACGAAGGUCAAGAUAUUCAAGAUUCUUCCACGGAAGUUUCUUAAUGCCUGUAAAGAAAUGUUCUUGUUUUUAGUGGAUUUUAGCUGCAGGGAAGAUGAGUAAAAUCUCACCAAAACAAUAAAUUUAUCUUCUGGGGUCCAGGGUACCUCACUGGAUCAUGGUGUAUAGGUUAUUUUGGAUUUGUAAAGGAGCUAGAGAAGAAAAGGAAUGAGAUGGUUUCGGCAAGGGGUCUAUACUAGAGUAGAAAAUCUUUAAGGAAUGCCUUUGAAUCUACAAAACAAGAAAAAAGGUUAGAGGUGGAGUUGGCAGUGACCAGCGACCACACUCCGACACUCAAGUCAGUUACUUGAACUUUUUUAGGUGAAAAGAACUUGCAAGCUCUCUGAAAAAUAGUAGCUAGAGGUUGAAGAAGACCUCAGUCCCUUAGUUUUAUGUGUGCUUUUGUGAUGAGUCUUAAAGUAUGAAUGAGAUAGAACUUUUUUUGCCUUUAUAUAGGUCUCCCUAGGUACCUUGCCACAUGGCACUUUUUUAUUGGACAAUAAAUUCCCAUGUCUUUUACCAUUAUGGUAGUUUUUGACCCAUUAGGAGCAUGCUCAGAGAGUAAUGAGGUAGUUUUUUUAUGUGCGUUGUCGUUUAGUGUACGUGGCAUAUGCUGCAGGUGGUCCAAGUUUCCUUUUGCAUAGACUGUCUGUACAGUGGCAGGUAUGGCAACUAAGUGCCACAAUCAUUUAUGGGAUGCUUUUGAUUUUUACUGAUUACUACCAGUUGUCUUUCUUUUUCUGACAUAAUAUAUUUGAUUUAAUUUCAUCAGAUCAAAUAUUCCUUUUGGACGAUUGAGACAUCAUGUGUGAUGGUCAUUUUUUGGAUAUUUUCUUUAAUUCAUUAAUUCUAUAAUGGCAUUAGUUCCUCUGGAGAGUAUUCUCGGUACAGGUCGGGUACCCCAUGACGUUAACUCCCAGCCAUUAAAAUCCAUUUAUUGAUACGUGGUGCUUUUUUUUAACUCCUUUAUUUAUUCUCCAAACAAUUCUGAUUCAUCAAAUAUCCAAGAGGCUUUUUUUAUUAAGGUGCCUGAGAUUGAGAUAUGUAAUUUUCAAUAUAUUUGUGCUAGCAUUCAGCAGCUAUAUGCCCUGAUUUGAAGCAAAUUUGACAAAUAUGCACUGAUUUAUCACCAUAUAAAGUUUGUGGUUCAAUAGCAGACAUUUUGCCACUGCUAAUAAGAUUACCGCCAAAUGAAUUAUUUCCAAAUUAAGCAGACCUAUUACUUCCCAUUAUAUGAUCUCUUACAGAAUUGCCAAAAAUACCAGUACUAGUGAGAAAACCUCUUGGAUAAGUACUAAAAAAGAUGCCUCAGCCAUUUAAUGAGCCAUUUCUCCCAUUAAAUUGUAAGGUCCCUAAAAACCUCUUGUAUAACUUCCUCUUCUAGCCUUUUGUUUGUGGAUAAUAAGUAUUCAUCACACCAGAAUUGCUAUAGUUAAAAAAGUUUGCAACAUUAACAUUGAACAUUUGGUUUUCACUCUGACUUUGCUCAUGAGUAAAAAGUAAAGCAUAAGUAUCAUGAUAAUUCAGUUUACUUGCAAUGAUGAAAAUAAUUAUAUCUAGUUAACUAGCUCGUAAGCCAUUUAGAAUCUGUUGCAACAAAUCCUUCUCAGAUGUUGGACUACCAGCACAAGCCAAUUUAUUUGUUAUCAUUUUCAUUUUUAAGCAAUACUCUUUUAUAUCUAGAGACUCUUUUCUCAAAACAUUCAAUCUCAUAUCUAAGUUGAAAAACCCUAGCUUCAUACUGCACACCAAACUUUUUUCUCCAAAGUUCUCCAAACGUCAAAAAAAGUAUUACGAUAAAGUAGAAGACUUAGUAUACCUUACUGAUGGAACUGAGUAACCAGCUUAGAAGCAUUUGAUCUUGAGAUCUCCACGUAUAACAUAAUUAGGAUUCUUAAUUUGUUGCAUAGAUCUAGAAGCUGCUCCAACAUAAUUUAAUGAAGUGAUGAACUGAUUUGGAGCUGUUUUCUUUUCAAUGGUAUAGCCUUCAAGACGAUUUCCUCUUAUAGAGGCAAGAACAAGAUUACGCCAGAUCCUGUAAUUAGAUCGAUCUAAUUUGAUCAGAGCGAUUAAAGAAAAUGUUGUUUGUGGUGCUGGACUUGUAGUAUCUGUACUGGAAUUUGUAUUAAAAUUGCUUGUGCUAGCCAUUUUGGCUUUGAUACCAUAAAACAAAAAUGAAAAAUUGAUUGAAAAAUGAUGUUUGACAACUGAGAAAAUUUGUGAGAAUAUUCUUUGUAAUGAAUCUAUUAUUUCCAAGAAUGGGGCUAUUGGCACCCCUCUAAUAUCCUUUUAAAACCCCUAUUAUAAGUACACCCCAUUGAACAAUGAUAGAAAAUUUAUUGUUAUUACUAACACUCACUUUAAUUCCAAACCUGCCCUUCUUCUAAAUUUGAUUUUCUCUGCAAUACCCAACAAUAAAUAUCGGAAAUAUUUCUGCCACCUAUCUCAUGUCAUGCUUUUGGUCUCAUAAUUCAUGCAAUUUCCCAUCCAUCUCUUGAAUUCUUUUUCUCUUGCAAUUUUGCUGUUUUAUAAAAUUUUUUAGUCCCACUCCAUAAUUUAUGCUAAGCCAUUGGAUAGUCAUGAGAUUUUUCAAACAAAAGAUUGUUAGGUCUAUAAACACUUCGUUUUGGUUUUUGGAUGCCUGAGAUUCAAAAAAUUCAUUGAUAUUUGGAAUGGAAUUGAUGAUGAAUGCCAAGAAAUUGUAAACAGUUAAAAUUUGUACUUAUGCGAGGUAUGGACUUGUUUGUACUUUAAAAAAAGAAAAUAUAAUAGAUUUACAUUUGUCCUUAAAUGUAAUUGCAGAAAAUAAGGGUUUUAAAAAUUUAAUAAGGGGGUGCCAAUAGCUCCACUCUAUUUCCAAUUAAUGAAUGUGUCGUGAUCUUGGAUAUUAUACCUCUUACAAUAAAUCAAUGCUUUACUAACUAACUGUAUUAAGCUAAUCUAGAUCAGCUAAAUUUAAGCACAUUCAGGAGAGAAUGCAUAACAGAAUUUGCUGAGCUUGCCGGUGAGCUGCAUUAGCUGACUCAGCAAAAUUGGCAUUUGACUUCUUUAACUCGGCAAUGCUGCUUCAUUUCUUCACACUUGACUUGCUUUCCUUCUUUACCUCAACAAUUUGAGCUAUCUUCGCUCCCUUAAGACUGGAUUCAAUCACCUCCAAUACCCUAGUAAUAUCUCAAAUCUAAAGCAAGAUUAACAAACAAAUAAUCAAACACGAAUUGAAUCAAGAAACAAAUGAAAACAGACAAAAAACACAGAGAUUUAAGCAGUUCAGCACCUGAUACUGGUGCCUACGUGCACUGAGAAACAUUGCUUAGUGCUUUCACUAUAUCAAUAACUGAAGUUACAAGGCUAUAGAGAUUAUUACAAGAUUACAAGAAUGGAACUUUCUCUCUCUACAACACACUCUCUCUCUCCUCGAUUGUUGCAUAACCAGCUUAUAUAACAGAAACAGCUGCAACUUGUAAACCCAGAUUGCACAGUAUUGAGCCACGUAGCAUAACGGUUUUAACAGCUUUCACUUCUCACGUGCUGCUGACGAGUCUCUUUAGUGCAUUGGCCAAAACAACUUUGAGUCUGUCGUUUCUCAGGCGCUUGAACUUUACGCAAUCUUCAUACAUGCUGCAGAUGACAGUUAUAAUCAGAUCUUGAUUUACCCAGAACGACUCGUCUUAUCUCUGAGUUUGUGCUCAUAGUCAACAAUAUCCAAAUUAAUUAAACCGGAAAUAAAUCAAAUCCCAAAUGAUCAACUAACUAGGAAGCUGAAUGAUCCCUUCAAAAUAUGAAAAUAAUAAAGGAAACAAGAAGCGCUCUCAUCUAACAACUUUGACCCAUCAGAAGCUUCAGAUUCAGUAGCAGAUGCAUGUAUGUAAUUUUUUAAAUUGCUGUGACCACCAUGGACAACACACGAGCUUCCGGCAAGUAAUUCAAGAAACGGAACAACAAAAAACAACAACACUACUACUCAUGGCUGCCUGAUUUCAAUGCUGUGCAAGUUGAAAUAUUCUUUUCUUUUGUUAAUUAACGUGUGUAAUGCGAAAUAUUGUUUUCUUUUGUUAAUUAACGUGUGUAAUGCAGAAUCUCUCCAAGUGCAUUGUCCUUUUGCUAGCAUAUAUUGUUUUGCCUGGUGUACCUGAGUUAAACUCAAUUUCUAAAACACACUUACUUUACUUUCCGUCCCAGUAAGGCAUUCCCUUAAUCCUCUGACAGAUUCCCAAUGCUCUUUUAGAUUAGCUACGAACCAGCUCUCCACACCAGGACACAUCAUAGUACCUAAGCUCUCCACUACACUAUUUAGCAGCACCCUCAGCUUAUUAUUCGCAUCUAGAUCCUUACAAUUCAGCCUCUCAUCUGUAUACACCCGCAGAUAGAAAGCACCACCUUGCUCAGCAUUCCUUAGGCCAUCUCCACUAUCAAAAUAUUCUCCUUAGUUUGAAGUGGUUCAUUAGAUGAACCGCUACGGCACUACCUGAGCACCUAAUCCCCAAACUCCAUCUACAUCUGCUAUAGGGAACUCUUUAGCCCAUACAAAGACUUCCUGGACAAAAGUCUACCCUUGUCUCUUUCGAGCUUCGCUCCAGCGAUUCCUUAGUUUACCUUGUAUUGAUAGCCCAUAAAUUACAUGCCAGUAGGUCCCCUUUACAUUUCCUUCAUCCUCAUGGUCUUCAUUUAGCCAAUGAUUCCCGAACACAUAAUACUCAUUGGAAUCAUGCAAUAACCUCAAGAAUUAAAAUCUCCAAAUCAUAAUCAUAGAGGUCAAAUGGAAUAAUUCUAAGUUUAUACAAGAAAAAUAGUGCUUUAAUAUGGUAGAUAUUCAUACCUUAAGCAUCUCCAUAAUUAUCCCACAUCACUAUAACGAGGAAAAAAUGAAAAAAAAAAAAAAAAAGCUCUCAAAAGCUUUGGCCACUCUCUCUUCAAUCUCAAAUUGCUGACCAUAAGGGAGAUGAAGGGGCUAGCUCUCAUUCUCUCUGUUCAAUUUAUCUAUUCAUACCCAGACCCUUUUUUGCUAAUGGGCUCCGAUAAAAAUGACUAAAAUGGCCUUGACUAAAACUAGAUCCAAUAACAAAUAAGUCAAAGUACUAAUAUAAUGUUCAUACUAAUAUUAAUUGUAAUAACAAAAAACAACAAUAAUAAUCACAUAAUUAGAAAAAUUUAUCAAUUAAGAAACAAAUCAAUAAUCACAACAAUACAAUGAAAAUGAUACUAACAAUUAAUUGCGUAAUUUUUGGAUUUUGCAAUAAAUGUGACCAUAUUUUUAUCACUAAAAUAUAACAUAUGCCUAAUUAGGAAAAGACUCAUUACUUUUAGCUGCCUUAAACUGUAAAUUAGUUGUAUAGCAUAAAUAGGAAGUUUAUGUAUGGUGUAAGAAAGAUUAAACCUCCCGAAAUAUGGUUGGUUCACUUAGUUGUGAAGUAAAGAAAUUCCAAUGAAAAUGGACUCAUCUUGUCAUUUUUUGAGUACUUGGAGUUAGGAGUGGUAAAAUCGGAUCAAAUUACCCUGUAUUAGAGAGAGGUUGUGUGUGUAUAUAUAUAUGGCUUGUCCCUUUACUAAAGUAAAUGAUUCUCUUACUGUAAAAUUACUCAUAUAUAGUUUGAGAUCCCUUAUAGAAAACUUUUCGUGUAUACCCGGGCAAACUCAGCUGCAACUUUUCCAAACAACAUACCCGGGCAAAAUCUUCUUCCAGUACCAAACGGAAUGAAAUCAAAGUAUUGGCCAUUAAAAUCAAUCGUGCUAUUAAUAAACCUCUCUGGCAGAAACACUUCUUCUCUAUCCCACACCUUCGGGUCCCUCUGAAUGGCCCACACAUUCAUAUACACAAUUGUUUUGGCAGGAAUAUCAUAACCUCCUAGAUUGACACUAGUUGAAGUUUCUCGAGGAAAUGAAAUGGUACCUGCCGGAUGUAAUCUCAGAGAUUCCUUCAUAACACAUUUUAAAUAGUGCAUCUGAUCGACAUCAUCCAUAUUUAUACUUGAUUUGUUUUUCACCACCCUCCUUACCUCUUCCUGUGCGUUCUUCAACAACUUGGGAUUUUUCGCUAGUUCAGCCAUUGCCCAUUCUACUGUUGUUGCAGUUGUCUGAGUUCCUCCCGUGAACAUGUCCUAAAAGAUCAAAUAAGAAAACUUCAAUUAGCCACCUAUGUAUCGUAUAUUAUCAUGCAUGCAUGCAUGUGUAUGUGUAAGAGAGAUUGUAAUUGAUAAUUAGUAAAAAAAUAACUAAAUAAUUAUUUUCCAUAUAUACACACACACAUAUACACACACACACAUAAAUACAUAUAUGUGUGUGUGUGUGGAGCUAAUGAGAAAUUCUUAUGUCCGGAUGUCUAAAUACAGAUUUGUUAUUACAUCAUAAUUGAACCAAAAUACUAUAAGACCAUAUAGCAUAAGAGCGAAUCCAUACAAAAUUCGAAUUUAGGCAUCUUGACCUAGAAAUUGUGUAUGACUAGUAUACAUUUGUGUGCGUGCGCUUGUCUGAUAACAUUCUUAAAACGUUAAUUAAAAUUAGAUAUGGAGAAAAUUCUAAUUCGAGAGGAGAGAGAUACCAAGAGAAGUGCUUUAAGAUUGUCUUGAGUCAGCUCGAUCCCUAGCUUGCCAUCCUUUUGAAGUUUGAGGAGUGCAUACACCAAAUCUUUUUUAUCAGACUGGUCAUUAUCUUCAUGGCUCAUUGCUGACAUCCUGUGCUCUUCAAUCACCUGAUCAAACAAAGCAUCAAAUUCUCUAGUGGUUGCUUUCAAGUGACCAAUGUGUCCCGUAACAACGUCCAGCCAUCCAAAAGAAGGAAACAAAUCUCUGAAACUAAUGGAUCCUAACUGAAUCAACAGCCUUUUUGAUAACUCCCCGAACUUAUUGCUCUUCCCUCCAGCAGCACUUUCUUCUUCUACCCUCCGACCAAGAACGGAACGGGAUACUAUGUUGUUGGUAACAGUUUGAAGCAUCUCAGCUAAAUUAACGGAAUCCCCACUUAAACACGAAGAACGAAUUUUAUUGAUCAUGAUUGCAACCUCCUCUUCUUUUACAUAGUGCAAUGGCUGCACUUUUUUAUUACUCAAAAGCCCAAGAACACAAGUCUUCCUAGCUUCUCUCCAGUAUUCGCCAUAAGAAGAAAAACCAAUGUCUUUGCUUCCAUAAAGGAGAACAUCUCCAGCUGUGGUUUUGGGACGGUUCGAGAAAACAAUAUCAUGAUCAUCUCCAGCUGUGGUUUUGGGACGGUUCAAGAAAACAAUAUCAUGAUUUUUGAUAAUGUCUCUAGUUAUCUCAGCUGAUGAGACAACAAGAGUUGGAGAAUGACCCAAGUGCAUGAACAUCAAAGGGCCAUACUUGCUGGAUAGAUCUUUAAGAGAGCGAUGGGGGGAGAGCCUAGCUGGUGAAGGUUGCCAAUUAUGGGUAAGCCUGGUGGGGAUGGAGGUAAGUUGAGUUUGCUUUUAUUUCUACUGAGCUUGAGGCGCAAAAAUAGAAAUGGAGAAAGAAGAAGAAGGAGAAGGAGAAGAAGAGACACCAACAUAUUGUUGUAACGAGUUGAUAACAAAUAAGUUUACUUAAAUGUUGCGGAUCUUCACUUGAGGCCACUCACUUAAAACUUCGGUCAUGUAUAUAUAUACACAGGAGCAUGCAUGAUACCUGGAGAAACCUGCGUCUCUUAAAAUUGAUUAUUUAACAAAGAAAGAGAUGAAAGAUGAUAAUGUUAGCAUUUUGUUUUUUAAGAGGAGAGAGAUUUUUUAUUUUAUUUAUUUAUUUCUGCUGUUUCUAAAAUACAACGUUGGGGUAGAAAAAACAGUACGGCGGGGGAUUUGUUUGACUGAAUAGCGUUUGAUUGAAAAACGACUUUUUUUAGAUUCAAAUUGAUUAUUUAAUAUCUUUACAGAUUAAAACUAGCUUUUGUAGACUCCCAUCGGCCUACUAACUUCAACUCAUAAUAAAAAUGAUAUAGGAGUUUCUUUAGCUUAUAAAAUUCAUAUUAAAUUCGGAUCCCCUCCUUAUAUUAACCCUCUUUAUCUACCCUCUGCUUUCAAAAAUCUAUUACAUUUUUAAAAUAACAAAUUAAUUAAAAGAUAGAAAAAUAAAAAUUUCAUUAUCCUAUAUAAAUGAGGGCUCAUUUUAUAUUGAUUUCGAGAGGCUUAAAAGUACUUUUAAAAAGUUGAAAGGUAAUUUUUGGUGUUUUUUUUUAAUCACUUUUGGCAAAAUUAUCACAUUCUACAAUUUUGAAAAGUAGUAAAGGAGUAUCAUUCCAAAGUUUGAUUUUGAAAAUCACUUUUGUACUUAAUAAAAUUUCAUAUAUAUUCUCAUAUAUUUUAUAAAAAUUUAAAAUUAUUUUUAUUAUUUAAGAAAUAAAAUCAUUAAUUUUAAGAGAUUAUUAUUAUUACUAAUUAUAUAGAGAUAUUUUAUUUUUAGUUAUCAAUUAAUAAAUGUAUGCAUUAAAAAAUAUUUUAUAUACAUAUUUAUAAAUAUUUAAAUAAGUUUUAUUAUGUCUAAUUCAAUCAUUUAUAUUUUUUCAGUAAUUUAACAAUAAGAAUUAUCAAAUACAUAUAAUUACUUUUAAAAUUCAUAACAAUUUUAAAAAUAAAUAUUACCAAAUAUUUAAUUGACUCUCUUAAUUUUUAUAGCAAAGCUAAUAAUAAUUAUUUUAAUAAUUACAACAGUACCAAACUGGCUCAAACACAUUAAAUUAGAGUAUGACUUUUUAUGUCUUUUAAUAAAUAUCUUAUUUUAAUAACAUAAAAGAUCUUUAAUUGAAAAUUUACUAUAUAUGUGUAUGUGCACACGCGCGCAGAAAAAAAAAAAUUUAAAAAGAUUAUGAAAGUAAUUGAAUGAACAUGCAUAUACGCAAUGGACAUAGAGACUGGGGGGACGGUUGACGAUGGCAUGGAGCUGUAUAAGAGUGUUGAAAAUAUCAAUGUUAUGACCUGACUUUCCUUGAUAGUGAAACCAAAUGUUAAACUGUUAAAGAGAAAAAUGAAACCAAAUGUGAACCAUACAAUUAAUUUAUUGUUUGAACUGGUUUGAUUGGAUCCUGAUCUGAAAUGUAGCAAGGCAACCUCAAAUAAAAAUUUCCAUUUUAAGACAACGUUUCGGGAAAUAAUAAAUUUUCUUGAUAACUACUUUGGUAAGUGCUUCAAAAUUUCCAAGACAGUAAUAAAUGUCCGCAAUUAAUUAAUUGUAGCGGCAUCCUAGCUAGAAAUUCUUACUUUAUGACGUAUAAACGCUUCAUGAAAUUUCAUUGGAUCUCACUUUGCUUCAAAUUUUGUAACAGAUUCAGAUUUUAUUGGUCCCGUUAUUGCCUUCUACUGGCAAGAUAUCAGAGUAUAAUCAUGGUAAGGAGAACAUUAUACUACAAUCUUGAUAAAUUUGUACCUUUAAAUAAUAUAUUAAUUUGGGGUAUAUUUGCUUAAUUAUUAAAUUUUUCUUGGACUCAAAGAUAUUAACUUAUACAAGUUUUAUAUUUUUACUGUAUUAGGGUUUGAAUUUUUUUUCAAUUAUCUUCAUUGAAGUAAAUGGAAAUGAAAAUCUUCCCCUGAAAAUAAAAAAUUUCCUUACUCAUAUGAACAAUGUUCAAACUAAGAAUUUUUCAAACGCUCCAUAAGAUUUUAAUAAUUAAACCAAUUAACACCCAAAGUAUUUUAAUUUAAUUGAUACAUGCUCAAUAAUUACCUUUCAAAUUCACCCUAUUACUUUAUAGGAAAAAAAAAAAAAAGAUAAGUAACUGGAGGGUUCCUUAAUAACUUUAGAUUUUAGUUUUCUACAAUUGGGGUGAGGGAACGUAGUUGUUAUUAGUAAUAAAACUUUUUGGAUCGAUCAAAAAGUCCGAGAUUUGAAUUAAUUCUGGCCGGCUAACAUGGGUGGACAAGAUUUAGUUGUGCUAUGUUUUAUUAUAGAAAAAUUCUCAUAAAUUUUGUACGGACAUACUCUUUUACAUAUGUAUCUUUUAUAUAUUUUAAAUAAUGCCAGAAAUUUCAAAAGGUAUCGUAAAUUUUCAUUACAAAUGAUAUUUCAUUUAUGAAAUAAUAGUGAGGUCAUGUAAUAAAUUCAUGUGGCAGUAGGUGAAGAUGCACCGCACCGAAUAAUUUAUAACACUUCUGAGAUUUAUAAGAGACAUAAUUGUUAUAUGAUUGGUGUCACCUCAUACUAGCUGAUUAGCAGAGCAAGAGAUAAACUUGUGUUCAAAAAUGGAUGGCGAGUAUACCUCUAAAAAACAGUUAAUUAACAUUGCCGUUGGCUAGUUUUAAUUUAUUUAUAAUUAAUUAUUAACAAGAUUAGUUAGAGCGUAUGAAAAAUACUGAUUCUUUUAUACAGAUAAUGAUUGGUUGUUAAUAAAUAAUUAUUGGUUGAUUUACUAAACAAUAAUUAUUGAUUAAUUUGUUCAUAAAUAAGUAUUAGUUAAUCUAUUAAUUAAUUUUUUAUAGAUAAAUUAAUUAAUAUCCCUAAAAAUAUUGUUGUAAGAGUAUUGUUGUAAAAUUUAAGAAAAAGUAAAGGUAUAACAUACUAAUAUUAGUGGUAUCUUGAGAUACUUUUUAAAAUAUAGAGACUAUUCUAAAAUAUUAGAACUAAACUAACAUUUACUCUGCUGAACAACUAAAGUGUAUGAAAAAGUAUUUAGUAACUCAGUUUUCACCAUCUACAUUGUGCAAUGAUUGAUAAUUACUUAUUCUCAUGAUUUCAAAGAGAUUUAAUUGAUAGUAAUUGACAACAUGAAACUCAAUUAUAGAGGAUAAUUUGAGCCUUGAUUUGGAAUUAUCCUUGUACUUGGUAAUGAGAAAAAUUUUAAUAUUUGAAUCAGUUUUCGUUGUGAAAAGUUGCUCUGGACUUGUUAGAUUUAUCGAAUGUUCGGAAAUUCAUCAAUAUGACCAUGUAAUCAACUAGAAUAAUCCUUUAGCUAACGGUUGAAACCCAAAUCCACUCUAUCAUAGCAAGAAAAGAGCAAAAGCCAAGCAAUCAAGACACACAAAUUUAUAAAUCCAAUGUUUUUUGUUAGUUGGCUAGAGAGAUAUCCAAUUUAAUGAAAUUAACAAGAAAUAAAUCUAAUUCCACAUGACCAACCUAACUAACUAAGAAUAUCAAAAUCUCUUUAAAAUAUUAUUACUACUCGUAGAUGGACUAACGCAUUCAAUCUUUAAAAUAUUAUUACUACUCAAAGAUGGACUAACGCUUUCAAUAACGUUGAACCACAUCAAUUUCCUAUAGGACUCAUUCAUGAAUAGUAAGUAUGAUCAAAAUUGUACUAGUCUAUAAAGGAAAAAAUGUAAAGGAAAUAAUAUAAAUCAAGUUUGAUUAAGCUUCUAACACAAGAUACUUAGCCAAAACCAAUAAUGGAUUUAAAUUAUGAUAAGAUUUUAAGUUUCUGAUUUGCCAUUUUAUUUUAUUUUUUCAUCUAUAAGGGCAUUUUGGUGGUUUUAGAAAAAAGUAAACUUUAGAAUGUAAGCCCAAUAGUGUUUUUUUUUUUUUAAAGGAGAGCCCAAUAGGGUAAGAUUUUCUUUUCGAUAGUAUAACAAAAGUAAAACAUGUAAAAUAAAAGGGUCUAGUUAUGGUACCACAGUGAUAUCGUACCGCAGUUGGAUCCAGCCAUUGGAUCCAGCUAUGGUGACAACUGUGGGCUGGAUCCAGCUGUGUUACGGUACCACUGUGGUGCCAUAGUUUUACCCAAAAUAAAAUAGCUAAAAAGCAAUACAUAUCUUUACAUAAAAAGAGGUUAGAGUCUCAAAGAUGAUAGCGAUUCGUCCAUUUAAGUUAAAAAAAUUUAUUAGAUGAUAAAUUGAAAAUUUGAAAUCAGCACCACAAGCUAUUAAAUUUAUAAAGUACUUUGUGUUUACAGUAUAGUAACAAAAUAUGUUAAAACUUUUUUACAGUAUAGUAACAAAAUAUGUUAAAACUUUGUUAUUCAUUUAAAAUGCCAAAAAGUUAAAAUUGACUGCUCUAUUUAUGAAUGAGACAACCACUAAGAAUUUUUAGUUGAAAAACAAAUGAAAUUUCCAAGCAGAAUGGGACAGAUACGCUAAAUAAGGAAAUUAAGAUAUUGACCGAAAAUUGGAGUGUAAUGUGAUUAUUAAUAAUAACGGGUUAUGAUUGACAAAAGGUAAUCAAGGCAAUAAAAAAAAUGAAUAAAAAAAUUAGUUUAGGUUACAAAAAGGUUAUGGCAUCAGAUAAUGAUUACAAUAAUAGCAAUAACACAAAUCAUAUAUAAGUAAUAUCAAAGUCAAUAGUUUACAAUUUUAUACCUCAUUUUGGGGGGAAUUACUAUCAUUAUAACAUGCUUCAGUCACUGGCAUAGAAUAUGGUCAAUCAUUUGGUAUUAUUAAAAGUUUAACUUAUCUUUGGGUAGUCAUGGGUUGACUUGGGUUGGGGUUAAGUUCACCCAAAUCAAACCAAAUAAGUUUGGAUUUCAACCCAAACCAACACAAAGUUGUUAGAACCUUAUUCACAUUACUAGAAAAAGACUAAAUAAUCACGAUUUUUUACCAUUGUCAUGCAUUCUAUAAAGGUCACUUGAGCAUCAUUGAAGUCGAUAUCAACAAAUUUUGGAUGAUGGUUUUUAUAUGCUAUCAAUUUUAUGGUGUAUUCUCCAUCAUUAAUUUGUUAUUCACAAAUGGUUGUCUAUCAUAAUAUUUUUUAUACACGACUAUUAUUUGCCAUAUGAAAUUAAAUAUCUUAUUAUAUAAAUAAACAUAAAAUUGUUAUCUUAAUUAAAAAUAAACUUGGUGGGAUUAUUUUAAAUUAUUUUGGAGGAAAUGAAUUAUAAUUUAAAUAAAUAAUUUGGCAAAAUUUGAAAUUAUUUUUAAUUUUUAGCGCCAGCUAUUACUAUUGUUGUUUAAUUUAGCGGGAAUGAAUGAAUCUUUGGUGCCAAUUGUUAUUAUUAUUAUUGAAUUUCAUUUCCUUAUACGUAUUUGUGCACCCACACGCAUGCAUGUGGUUUAUAGGUGUGCAUGUGCACACGUGUGGGUGUGUGGGUGUAGAUGUGUGUGCAUACAUCCAUGCGUGCGUGUGCGUGCGUGUGUGUGCAUAAUGGUGUGCGUGACCGUGGGUGUGCACGUGCAUCUGCACACAUGCAAGUGUGUGUGUGUGUGUGUGUGCACAUGUGUGUGCAGCCAUGUGUGUGUAGGUGUAUGUGGUGUGUGCAUGUAUGUGCACGAGCAUGUGUGUAUGCUCACAACAAGAAACACUACUAAAAAAAAAAAGAAUAACAGCAUUCAAAAUACUUUUUGCCAGACUAUUUGUUACAAGUAAAAUCAUGUAAAAAUUAAUAAAUGAUUUGGAACCAUGCUGCCAUUUAAUUUGUAAAAUUAACAACUAUUGAAUCCAAUAAGAAUUUCAACUUUAUCACUAAAAGCAAUGAGUAUAAUAAACAAAGAAAUCAUGAGAUUGUAAUUUUACGUAUGAUAAUUAUUACAAGGAGACAUGUUCUCACGAUCUUCAAUUAUUUAAAACUAAUUGAUCUGAAUGUUACUUUCAUAAUAGUUGUGUCAUGAAUCGUUAAUUAGAUUGGCAAUAUUAUUAAUUGCAUCCUUUUCAUUCCCCUUAAUAACUGAUAUGUCUAUUGUUAAAGCCAACUUCAAUGGCAUCGUCUAAAAUAUUUUUCCUUCAAUGCUUACUUUAGCAUUCUAGUAAUUUUUAGCCAACUUGUCAAGUAGACAUUCAUUCAAGAAGUUUUUCCAAAUGUUUAAUAACUAAACUUAAAAAAGAUAAGAUCUCUAUUAGCUAAAGCUUAUAAUAAGUCUAAAUCAAACAGGAUAAAGCCUAAAUGAUAGAGUUUCAAUUAUCAUAAUACAAAAAAUAAAAAUAAAAACUUCGUACAACUUCAUAAAACAUCGAACCUCCCCAUUUACACUUAGCUUCACAUACUUUGUAGUAAGUAAUCCCUCGAACCCAUGAGAUGAACUAAAGAUUAAAAUCACAUGCCUGAUUAGCUUAAGAAUCUCGUACAAUUCACCAUAGAUGGAUUAUGGAGGGCAAAAUGCUAUGUGCAGGAUAGGUAAAGAACUACCAACCUAAGAAUUCUUGAAUUGAUAUCUAUUCAUGCAGGCAAUAGAGGGUCUGGGAUUGCUAGAUGGGAUGAAAGCAAAUUCGAGGUUGAAACAGUUGGGAAUUAUAAGUUACCAAGUAUUGUCAAAACUCUAAAAAAAUUGAUGUCAGAAGAGGAUAACAAAUGUUAUGGUUUAGUGAUUGGUUAUCCGCUAACUGAGGAGGGAAUUUUUAAUAAAAAAAUUUAACGAACCACAUGCGAAAGCACUUGUUGCUUUGUUGGACUCUAACCCCUUCUUUUAUGGGGUACCAUUUUGCUUUAUAAAUGAAUAUGGAUGUUCUAUCGAAGCAAGAAUUAUAUGUUCAGAUAUAGAGACUACUCGGGAAGUAGAGAGGGCUAAUGAUCAAUCGACUAGUAGUCUUGCAAGAGGAAAACUUAAGAUUGCAGAUGAUAACAAGAAAUUACAAGCUACUAAAGUAAUUCUGGAGACUUUCAUUUGGAAGGUAAAGAAAGAAUGAUUCUUAUCUCUUGAAGCAAUUUCUACGAGAGAAAAUAAAAUAAAAGAGAAGCUGAAGCAAAAGUCUGCGGCAACAGCAAAAGCAGCAUUGGCGAAAAAGAAGGAGGAAGAGGAGGCGCAAAAGUUGGCGGCAGAAGCAGCAGCAGCAGCAUUGGCGAAGAAGGAGGAGGAGGAGGAGGCAGUGGCAAGACCAAGUGAAGCACAAGCUAUUAAACCCUGAAACAGGUAAAACUAACCAUGAUUAAUAAAUUUUACUUCACUAGAUUGGUAACUAUUGGUAGAGGGCAUGAUAUCCAAUCUUUUACAUGUGCAUUUAGUACAAACUAGAUGGCAAUUUUAAUUAAUUUUAGAUUAAAACUUCAUAAAAAUUAUUUAUUUCAUCUCAAUUAUCAUAGCCAAAAGAAAUCUAUGUAAAGCAUGCAUCCACUAACAAAAUUCUCAUGGUAUAAUUCUAGAUAAAAUAUGUAAAUAAAGAAAACUAUUAAGAACAAGGGUUGCUAACUCCACCACAAAAAGUAAAAAAAAUCCAUCCAAAUAAAGUACACGGUGAGUAAAACAAAAGAAAAAAGCAAUGGAAUUAAUCAUUUUACUUGCUAGCUAUAACUUCAAUGUUUUUGCUUAAUUGAGUAUGGCCUUGUCACUAAUCUAAAGAAAAAAAAAACCAUAAAACAAUACUUUAUUUGUGAUUUACAUAUACAAAUAUGCGAAUAAAAGUCCAAGACAUACAAUAUAUGAGGGGAAGAAAAGAAAUAUAAUCACCAACACUAUUUCUUAAAGUAAUUGAUUCAAUGUUAGUAAGUUGAGAUAAAGACAAUUAAAAAAAAUUAAAAAAAAUCAAACAGUAUGAAAGGUAUAAAUUUUCAUGAUGCAAAUAGUAUCAAAACAAGCACUCAAGUCUUAUCUUUAUAAAAAACACUUAUAUUCACAUAUAACAUCAUCAUUAUUUCACUUUUAGAGAGUAAUUUUUCUGUUAAAUGAUUAAAUUGUCGUAAGAAUGUUUAAUAUUAAAAAUCACAGCCAUUAUAUAAAGCUAUCAUAGCCACAGAAGUAGUAACCAAACCAAAAUAAAUAUAUACAAAGCAUGUAUCUACCAGCUAGCUAAGACGCAUUCAAAUAUAUAAAUACCACUGUUAAGAAACAUUGUAACAAAAGGCCGCAAGAUGCUACAUCGUAGUUACACCUUGAACAAUCUUACUAGGAUGAAAUGUCCUCAUCUUCAAUCUAAAGUGAAAAAAAAAACUAUUAAGGAAAACUUCUAUUGCAAUCUUCAAUUUCAAAAAAAUUUAUUUAUAUAUAUACUAACGAACUAAAAACUGAAUUUCUUCACCAUAUUAAAUUAAUGCAGGCCUGUGAUCACAAGAUAUAGUUAGUUAGUUAGUUAGAUAUGAUUUAUUUCAAAUUUCAACUAUGAAAUGUCCUCAAUAUUUUAAAAAAUAUGAGCUAGUAAUACAGAGAAUGCUAAUGUAUUGUGAACUAGAAUUUAGAAAAUUUUGAGAAAAUUUACACAUACAAGAGAAAAUAGCAUGUGUUGUAAAUUUAAGUUGUGAACGUUCACCAUUUAAAAGAAUGAAAAAUCCCCAUUUGGAAAUAUUGCUUCCCCACCCUAGCUCUUGAAACCUAUAUAUACGUGAUUUAUUUCAUUAUUUUGGCAACAAAAAAAAAGCUUAAUAUAAGCUUAAUAGCAAGGUAUUAUUUAGUUCUUUGUUUAAUUCAAAAAAUUUUCUAUUAUCUAUUUAUUUUAUAACAAGUUAUCAGUACGAUGGCUGAUUUGAUAUGUGCAGUUUAAUUUUUACUAUUUAUGUUUACUUAUGUUUAUUUUUUUAUACUUUAUCAUUAUUUUUAUUAUUUUUUAUUUUACUUGUUUAUUGUUUAUGAUAAUUCUAAUAGAUGGUUCUAUAAUACUACCUAUAUUAUUAUUAUUUUAUUAAUAUGUUUAUUAUUCUGUUAAUAUAACUUGUUUAAUUUAUUUAUAUGGCUUGUUUAACCGCCUAUCAAGUUAUUUUAAUUUCAAUAAAUUAUGAUUUGUUCUUGCAUAUAUAUGUCUUUGAAUAUUAUUGUUGUAGCUUGAAGUUUACAAAACAUAUGAGACGGUGAGAACCUAAAGUUCUAAUUUAUGAUUUUAAAUUAGAACCUAAAAAUCUAAAGACAUGCAUGAAGUUUCUACAAAUUUCAUAAUUUUUGUUUUUGUUUAUAUUUAAAUAUUUCAUAUUUAUAUUAUGAUACUUAUUGCUAUUUCUUUUUUAUUAUUAAUAAGAUUUUUUUGAAAAGUGGCAAGUUUUAUGAAUUUACAAAUCCAUGUUCUUGAAGUUUCUAAAAGAAACUAGCUUUCUUAGGUAUUGGACACCAAAAUGCACUUGUAAGCUAUGGGCCUAGAAGGCACUAUAGCAAAAAGAGAUGAGGUAUCUUGGCAAGAAAAAUUAAAGCCUAUGAUUUUCGUCCGCCACCACAUACAUGAGAGCCUAAAAGUUUGAUACCUAAUGGUGGAGGAUCCACUAACUUUGUAGAGUAACUUCUAUGAAAGAUUUGACCACCAAAGAGAUAUUUUCCUCUCAAAUGCCAAACAUGAGUGGUUAAUUUGAUGUUCUAGGAUUAUGCAAGAGUCCCUUAUUAUAACUUUGCUCUAUUCCGCAUCACCUCAAAAUUGAAAUUAUGUGACAUAGAAAUUACUGAUCGAAAUAUGCUUGAAAAGACACUCACCACUUUUCGUGCAUCAAAUGUUGUCUUGCAACAGCAAUAUUGAGAGUGUAGAUACAACAAAUACUCUGAGCUGAUAACGGCUCUUUUAUUUGCUAAAAAAAUAAUGAGCUUCUAACGAAAAACCAUGAAUUAUGUCUAACAGGCUCUCAAACAUUUCCAAGAGCAAAUGUAAAUAUAUAUACUAAUAGUGGACGUAAUCGAGGAGGCAAGAAAGGUCGUGGUUACUACCAUUGUGGUAGCAUAGGCACAUAAGAGAGGGCACAAUAGAAUUGACGCCACCAGAAGUAGAGCAUCUAUGAGAGAACUAAUAAACACGAUGAUGCAGGAAAGAAUAAUGCUAAAAAUGAUAAUGAAAAAAUUUAUUGUCGAUGCCAAGGAAAAGGACAUUAGUCACGCACCUAUCAGACUGACAAACAUUCGAUAGACCUUGACCAAGCAUCCAAGAAAUGAAAAUGAAAGAUUGAGACUAAGUUAAUCGAUAGCUCAAAUCCUAUUGAUCUAAUUCAUCUUCAUGCCUUUGAUUUCUUUGAAGAUACAAAGGCAAAAACGAUCACUUAAUUAGUGAUGAAAAUGUCCAUAUUAAUUAAGCUCUUAUUAUUAUGCAAGUUACCGCUAUGUUAACUUUGUAUCUUUUUGUAGUUUCAUCAAAUGUUCUUAAUGUUUAUAUCUAAUUUUAAUAUCUAACGUGAAGUUUUGUUUAAUGUAAAGUUAUGGAUGUUAGAAAUAAAUUAUCUAUUUUGGAAAUGAAAGCUGAGGAUUUAUGCUUAAAACAUAUUUCUUAAAAAUAAAAUUUCUUGAAAGAAAAGUAAAUGCUAUAUCUGGUCUUACAAACUUGAUAAAACGAUUCUAGAAGAGCCAUAAUCUUGUUGGCAAGCGGAAUAAAAUUAAUAAUCAUAAAUACGACUGAAUGCUACACAGCGAUGAACCAAAGAUUCACAAAUCCAAAAAUAUUUAUGUUAUGGCAUGAUCGCCUUGGACAACUGGAUCUACAAUAGUACGUAGAAUUAUUGAAAAUUCUCAUGGACAUCUAUUAAAGAACUAGAAGAUUCUAUUGUCCAAUGAGAUUGUUUGUACCGCUUAUUCACAAGGAAAAUUUGUGCUUAGACCAUCCCCAUUUAAGGUUGGUCAUGAAUCUUUAUUAUUUCUGCAAAGAGUUCAAGGACAUAUAUGUGAUCUAUUUCGUUACUUAAUGAUUUUGAUUGAUACAUCUGCAUGGUGAUCAUAUGUUUAUUUAUUGUACACCUGCAACAUUGCAUUUGCAAGAUUGCUUGCCCAAAUUAUAAGAUUAAAUGCACAAUUUCUAGAUUAUUCAAUCAAAAUCAUACAUUUAAAUAAUACUGGUGAGUUUACAUUUAAGAUGUUUAAUGACUAUUGUACAUCAAUAAGUAUUGACGUUGAGCAUCCAAUUCCACAUGUACAUACACAAAAUAGUUAGUGGAAUUGUUGAUUAAAUAAUAUAUAUAUAUAUAAUAUUACUAAUAUCUGCAUGAAUUCGUGCUAUUUUAUAUGUUGCGGUAUUAGUUCGUUUUACACCCAUCGCAUAUCAUCAAUGUUCUGCAUCACAGCUUGUAUUGUGUCAACAACCUGAUAACUUCUAUCUAUGUACUUUUGGUUGUGUUGUGCAUGUUCCUAUCACUCCUUCAGCGCACAAAGAUGGGACCUCAACGUCGUUUGGGGAUUCAUAUUUAUUUUAACUCACCUUCAAUUGUUAGAUAUCUUGAACCCUUGAUGGGGAUAUUUUCAUUACACGUUUUGCUGAUUGUCAUUUUGAAAAAUAGUUUUUUCAUCAUUAGGGAAUGGAAAGCCUUUUGAAGUAAGGUAUAAAUUUUUUUGAAAAGUUUCCACUUUAUCUCAUUUAGAUCCUUGUACUAAUCAAUGUGAUAGAACAAAGUUGAGCCCAUCUUAAAACCUAAGGUUUGUUAUUCCUAUAUGCACCUUGCCUCGGUUGGGACUUGGCGUAAGGUUGUCCUACUCAUGGUUACCUGCAAUGUAAGGACUUUAUGAGCUAAUACCCAGUAAAUUAACACUUUGAUGCAUGUAUAAAUUAUUAUACAUAUAGAUAACCAUAUUAAUUUUUUAAAAGACACUUAGAAAAUACAAAAACAACUUUAUUAGGGCCCUAGGUAUGUUGUAUUACAAGGCUAGCAUUCUUAUUCUUUAAAAUAACAUGCCCUUAGGCAUAAUUAGUUGAUCUUUUGGGAGUUACAUAUCGUCGUCCCCAAAAGAUUUAACUUUUACUAUGUUUGGAGGGCUUGCCCUCCUUCAGAACUUUGUCACCUGGUAGUACAACCACCCAUUUUUCAUAAAUUCAUUUUCUAAAAUGUCUUCUUUAUAAAGUAAUCCAUGAAAUGGGUGCAUCUAAUACAACUUAUGUCAUAACAUUUGAAGUUUCUAGAUGUAGAACAAAAUCAACAUACAACGCUAUUUAAGAACAACAAUCUUUAAUAUAGACAGCAGUGUCAUCUAUACAAAGAUUAAACAAAAUGGGAUUAUAGUAUAGGUGGCAGAGUCGACCAUAGCAUAAUUAAGUAUUACAGAAUAAGCGGCAUAGCUGACCAUACAAGGAGUAAAUAAGAAAAUAUCAUAAUAUAGGCGGCAUAGCCGACCAUAUAAGGAUAAACAAGAAAUUAUUGUAAUAUAAGUAGCAUAGUUGUCCAUGUAAAAUUUAUAUCAUAACUAAUCACAUUAUAGUAGCCAUCACAAGAUAAAGAAUUAGUUAAAACUGAAGUUAAGUAUAAUAAGAAUUUUGCCCCUACAUUUUAGUUGAAGCGUUACUUACUUUUUAACCUUGACUUCUCUAUACUUUUUAAAUUUGAGGAUUUCUCUACUCUUGAUAUUAUAACUUAGAAUAGAAGAAGCUUGAAUUUCUAGAGUUGUAUUGAAAAUGACAGGGCUAGGGGUUAUUUAUAGGAUUUCUUAAGAUUAAUGGAUUAUUAAAAUUUUGCCACCAUAACUCUUGAUUAAUGGUUGUGAUUAUUCUUCAUAAAUAUCUUACUAAAUUCUAGAUUUCCUAACUAUCUCUACAAACUUCUCUUACAUCAUCACUUAUGUCAUUGUUUAUGUUAUCAUUACUUUAGAAUUAAAUAUUUUAUUAUUAUUAUUAUUAUUAUUAUUAUUAUUAUUAUUAUACUUCAAGGGCUUGAUAGCUUAAAGUUAAUUAUAUUAUAUUCAAGUGAGGAAGUUGUACCUUAUAAAUGCAGCUCUCUAUACCUCCAACUAAUACACCAUCUUGCCUAUCGCCUACACGUCAUGCAUCUUCUUUACAGCCUCUCACCUCUUCCUCUCAAAUUCAACCAACACUUUAAAGUCUUCAUCUCAGCCCAAACCAAUCCUCUCUACAUAUAAAAUUAUUACUAGAGCAAAGGUUGGAAUAUUCAAGGCAAAAGUCUACGUAACAUAUCACAAUGGCCUAGAACCAUCUACUGUCUUAGAGACAUUGUUUGAUCGAAAAUGGACAGCAAUAAUUCAAACUGAGUAUGAUGCUCUCAUUAAAAAUAAUACUUGGAAUCUUGUGUCUAUAUGCUCAUCUUAUAAACCGGUGGUAUGCAAAUGGGUGUUCAGAACCAAGUACAACACAGAUGGCUCGGUCGCUAAAUAUAAAGCUAGAUUGGUGGCCAAGGGAUUUUAUCAAACUAUAGGCAUUGAUUACUUAGAAACCUUUAGUCCUGUAGUAAAGUCCUCGGCAAUGAGAGUAAUUCUAAGUCUGGUUGUCAUGAAAGGUUGGAAGGUUAGACAAAUUGAUGUUAAUAAUGUCUUUUUAAAUGGGGAUUUAUCAGAGGAUGUGUAUAUGAUUCAGCCUGAGGGUUUUGUUUCCAAAGAAGGCUAUAUAUGCAAGCUUAAUAAUGUAUUAUAUGGAUUGAAACAAGUUCCAAGAGCAUGGUAUGAUAAACUGAAAAGCUGUCUUACCACUUGGAAAUUCAUUAAUUCUAAAGCUGACGCUUCUCUAUUCUUCAAACAUGAUAUUAGAGGCAUGAUCAUUGUGUUAAUUUAUGUUGAUGACAUUUUGCUUACUGGUCCUGACUUAGCAUUUCUUAAAGAUUUCAAUACUAAACUCAAUAAGAUCUUUGCUCUCAAGAAUUUGGGAUUACUGGCCUAUUUUCUAGAUGUGCAAGUUUGUUACACAACUCAUGGUAUGCAUCUCUUAUAGACAAGGUACAUUAAGGAUCUGUUGAGUAAAGCCUAAAUGCAGGAUUGCAAGGGUUUUAAUACACCUCUCAACACUGGUUUCAAACUGGAGAAAAAUGUUAAAGGACCUUUGGGGCAAGAAUUUGAAGAGGCAGCACUUUAUAGAAGCAUUGUUGGGGUUCUAAUACUUGAUUCUCACUAGACCUGACAUUACUUACUCUGUACAUAAAUUUAGUCAGUAUCUUAGUAAUCUUACACUUUAUCACUAGUUACAAUAUAAGAAAGUUCUCAGGUAUCUUCAAGUUACAAUCACCCAUGGUCUAUAUCUUCAAAAGGAGGGAACACUUGAAUAUGUUGGUUUAACAGGCUACUUUAAUGAUGACUGGGCUGUAAUGUUGAUGAUCAAAAAUCUAUUAGAGCUUACUGUAUUUACCUUGAUAAUAAUUUGAUUUCUUCGUCAUCUAAAAAGUAAGCUAUUGUGGCUAAGUCAAGUAGUGAGAGUGAAUAUAGGACUAUAUUUUAAGCAAUCUCAGAAUUGUCCUGAUUACAAUUCUUACUGUCAGAAUUUAAUAUUGUGCAAUUACCAACUCCAAUUCUUUGGUGUGACAAUCAGAGUGUUGAAGAAUUAGCUCGGAAUCCUAUUCUUCACUAUAAGUCUAAGCAUAUUGAAUUAGAUGUUCACUACAUUAGAGACAAAGUGCUUAGAAAUGAGUUAGAUGUGAGAUACAUUCCUACUGAAGAACAAGUUGAUGAUGUUCUUACAAAGCCUUUAUCAUUUCUUAACUUCAACUACUUCCGAUCCAAACUCAAUGUCAUUAGCAGACCAUUAAGCUUGAGGGGGGAUGUUAAGGAAGCUCAUACUUGCAAUUAUUAUUUUGCAAAUGGUAUAAUCAAAAGAGGGUCUUGAUAUCCCUUAUUGAAAACUUGAGGAUCUACAUAACCAUGCAUUUCCCCAAACCUUGUAUAUGUCCUAUUCCCUUGUUUGCGCCUCAAAAAUUUUUUUGAAUAUUUAAAAAAGAAUUCGAAUAGAUUUUUGAUGUAAUAAAUGACAGAAUUCGACAAACGUUUGUACUUAGUUAUAUUCCUCUGGCUGAAAGGUUCAAAAAGAUAUAUUAUAUGACCAAAUCGAUAUCAUUUGAGUUAUCUGACAGUACCAAAAAAAUCCUAUGUCAUAAUACCAAAUUACAUUACAAGGGAAAAAUCAUCUAUUUACAUAAAUUCAGUAACGAAUACAAGGGCAAGGUGUAAACAUGUUAAUUUCAUAAACUCGGGUAUAAAGAUGACCUUUGCAAUAUAAAGAUGGACGGUAAGGGUAAUUAGAAAUAUAAAGAUGGAAUCUGGACCCUUCGUACGAAAAUUUUCUAUCUCUAAUAAUUAAACUAAAAUAACUCAUAAGUUGUUAUUUUUCCUUAUGGUUCAUAUUUGGUAUGUAACGGUUAAUUAAAAAAUUAAAAUCUAACUAAAAUUGGAAGACCUCUUUCUUGUGAUGGCAAGACGGUGGUCACAUAAAGGCCUUUUUCUUGUAACUUGAGCGGAUAAGAAGGAUAUUAGAGACCCAAGUUUCAUCCCAGAAAAUAAAAAAAAAAUAAAACUAUUCACAACAGAUCUUCUUUAUGAAAGCUAAAUUACUUGAGAUAUGGAACUUCUAAAUAAGAAAAAAGGACAUCUAUACCCUCAAGAUUUAGGAAAAUAGUCACAAAAAACCUUCAAUUUUCAAUAAGGAACAUCAUAACUCCUUUUAGACCAUAAUGUCCCUCAACUCUAUAAAUCCCAAAAAAAUAACUCCAAAAUUUUAUAAUAUAUGGAAAUAUGGAAUUAAAAUAAAUGUAAUAAUAUAUACAUUUCAAAAUAAUUUUAAUAUUUAAAAAUAUUUUUAUAUUUUUCAAUCUAUCAGACCUAUUUUAUUAUAUUAAAGUAAUUUUUAAUAAGAUAGAAACAUAAUAUUAAAAUAAAUAAAUUAAAACUAAAAUUAUUUUGAAUAUUAUGUAAAGUUUAAUUCUAAUAUUGCUAAUAGGGAGAUUUUUUAAUUGUAAAAUCUAUUUAACCCAAAGAUUUAUUUAAAAUCUUUAAAACAUUACAAAUAUAUUAUUAAAAUAAAUAUAAUAAUUUAAAAUUUUAAUAUUAUUUUAAAUGUCAAAAAUAAUUUAAUAUUAUUAGUCUACUAGACAUAUUAUAUUAUUUAUAAAAAAUUUGUGUUAAUUAAAAACCUUUAAAUCAAUUUUUUAAUUACUAUACUUAAAGAGUUUUAUGGAUAAAAAAUGGUCUUGAUAUCCUUUUUUUUUUAAUUUACAGAUUUUUAUGACCAUUUUCUCAAACCUUGAAGAUAUAGGUGUCUUUUUCCCUUUAAAUAAUCAUGCCACAAAGGACUAGAAAUCGUUGCAUUCUAUGGUGCAUAUAGAUUUAUAAGACCGUCAUAAUUUUCUUGUCAAAUUCAUCUGAAUUAUCCAAUUUUCUAUAAUUUCACAAAUCAACUGGUUUACUUUAAUUUGCUCUUUUCUAAAUCGACUGUUUUGUCCCAAAAGGACGGAAAAUUCACCCAUGAUUUCUUGUUAUUUCUAAUGGUAAUCUACUUGGAUCAUUCAUUUGACAAUAUAUGACUGGUCCGUUUAUUGUGUUUUCUCCGCACAAUAGGACUGAAUGAUAAAGCAUCGUCCGAUUAUGCGGUCUAGACUUUUUUUUUUUUUUUUUUGAUUCAAUUAUGCGGUCUAGACUUUAAGGGCAUUUUAUCUCGUGUCUUAUUACUAUUGUUUGCAUCUUAUGCGAAGACUGAUUUGGAUGAUGAGAACGAUUUCAGAGAUUUAUAUUUUGAAUAUGGCGGAACACCAUUUUUCUAGCUCUAAAUUUUCUGCGGACUGCAAUUCAGGUUGCAUAUUGAACCACGUGGGGCCCUGUAAAUACUGAGAAUAAGACAAUGUGUUUAUCAUUUUCUAUGAGUUUGCCGAUACCGCUCAAAAUUAUAUUUCAUGUUGAUACAUUGAGAUGCGAUGCUAAUUAUGGUUGAGAGAUGGCCGACAAUUAUUCAUUUCUCUUUUUUUAUUUGUUUUGUUUUGUUUUAUUCACAAAACAACCGCUCAAGUCAAAUCAAAACUGGAAAAAGAUUUUCCACGUCUAAGGCAAAAGCGAGAUAGAUAAUUACAUACGACAAUAAUCAUCUUGUAAUUUAUAUAUAUAGGUUUUGGCAAGAUGACAAUUCGUACGGUGAUAAAAAUGCUUGAUCUUAUCAUAUCGAUAAUUGCGAUUGUGUUUUCGCCGCGUAAUAUGACUUAAUGAUAAGGCAACGUCGCCACUUCGGCCUUGGCCGAAGUGGUGGGCUGCUGCCCUCACAAUGCUUGUGAAGGCAGCGGUUCUAGCUCCCACAAAAGUAUUGUGGGGGCUAAAUGUUCUUUAUAUUUAAAAAUCAUUUUCCCUUGCGAAAUGCAAGUGGAGUAUGGACAUUCCUCUUCUGUGAGGGGUUAUUUGUCUGGGCAUGUACUUCAUAGAAUUCAAUGUAAUAAUGUAAGUCCCAAUCAUGUAUAUCUGAUUGUAAAUAUCAGUGUAAUAUCUCUGCUACAAUAGCAGUUGUUGUAAAUAUCUGUGUAAUGCAGUAAUCUGAUGAUUAAUCAGUAUUCAAAAAAAAAAUGAUAAGGCAACGUCCGAUGAUUAAUCAGUAUUAAAAAAAAAAAUGAUAAGGCAACGUCCGAUUUGCUAGAGAUUUCACGGGCUAUGUUCAUCAUGCGCCUCUUGUCACAAUUACGAGAAUCGAUUUGGAUGAGAGCGACUUUAUAGAAUUAUUAGUUUUUAUGAUGGUCCAGGCUCAAAGUAUAUUCAUCAGUAAUUUAACGUAUAAAAUAAAGAAAUAAUAGACAUUAUAAACAAACAGAGUCAGGUUCCAAGUGCUGAAAUGAUUGAUUAAACAACCAGAAUAAUACUUUGAAAAAGUAAGAUAAAAGUCAAGUAAUUAAUCGGAUCAAUCUUUUUGGGGGCGGAAAAAAUAAAGUAAUGUUUGAUGUGGCUGAAAAGAAUAAUGAUAUGUGACCCCUAAAUAUAUUUCAACCGCGCAGUAAUUAAUUAUCUCUAAUAAUUUCCAAAAGUACCCUUGUUCAUAUAAGUUUAAUUCUGCAGCUCCAAACAUAAUUUCGAGUCUAGUGUUGGCCAAAAAUGGUCUCGGAACUGAAAAUAUGACUUUUCAUAAUAUAAUGUAGACACGUAGUGCAAAUAUUAACUCACUAAAAUGAAUAAAUCAAUGCAAAUUGCAAACAAAACGGAGGGGAAAUAAAACCGCCGAAAAUAUUAGAAACCUUGGAGAAAGAUUGCUGAGACGUUGGAUUGUUGGUGUCGGUAUUGUCUUGGCAAAGCAAACGCGCUAAUUUUCAAUCUUUAAUUUAGAAAAUCAAUUCUAAAAAAAAAAAAUUAGAAAAUCAAUUGUUGUGGUGGGCGUUUGGCAGGGGAGGAAAUGAAGGGAAGUGGUGGAGAAUGAGAGAAGGGAGAGAGGAAAAAAUGGGCACUUUUUGAAAAUAAAAAUUAUUUUACUAAGUAUAUUUUAAUAAUUAUUUUAGAUAUUUUAAGUUAAAAUGAGAAAAAUAAGGGUUAGUGAGAUAAGUUUUGGAGGUCAAAUAUCACUAUUCUCUUAAAAAGAGUGAAGCUAUUGGCAUCCCUUCAUAGUCCUUAUAAAACCCCACCUCAAAAAAAAUUAUAGUGAAGGACAAAUAAGAAUUAAGCAUACAUAAGUCCCCCCCCCCCCCCCCCCCCCCCCAACACCCAAAAAAAAACAUAAUCAAUCCUUUUGUUUUAUUUUCUACUUGUUUCUUCAUAUUAACUAAGAUAAAUUGUAAAAAUUUAGAAUAAUCCAUUACUCUUUUCAUAUUUCUUAUUUAUUUAAUAAAUUUUAUGCUUAAAAUGGCUUUUCAAAUUAAAAUUUAGAAUAUGUGUAAUUUAAGCCAAUGAUAAACAUUGAAAAUUUUUAUCACCCAAAAAAAUUUUAAUUUGUGUGUCCGGUAAUAAUAAGAUUACAAAAUAAAAGUAAAAUAGCAUAAUAAGACCUUGCGUAUUAACAAAAUAAAAAAUUAGAAGUGUAUUAAAAAAAGAAGAAAUUUUUUUAAAAUAAAAUAAAUAUACCUGAAAAAAAUGGGGUUUUAUGAGGAUAUUAGGAGGUGCCAAUAGUUCAACUUUCUUUAGAAAUCAAAAUUAUGCCCAAUGCCUUGGGCCUUGUACAGCCCGAAGGUAUGUAUUUUACUCAAUGGGCAAGCUAGUAUUUGGGGGUAUUUAUCUUCUAUAUAAUAAAAGCUCAAACAAACUUUGAAAAAUAAAUGGUUUCAAUACUACAUUACAAACUGUUCAAAGUCAUAUAUAUUUAAUUAAGUAAAAUCCUAAAUAUCCUGUAUAAUAUAAUGCUCGGUUUAUGGUGUAAGUUAAAAAGCUAAAACUAAAUGUUUCUUUAACUUUUUGGAAAUUUGGGCCAAUUACUUAGGGUGCAUUCACGGCAGCGGCACAACACUCGACCACUUAUAUUUUCGUUUAAAUCCAAACGCACCAUUAGUUGGCCCUUGCGGUUAAAAUCAUCUUUAUUACAUAUCUAUUCCAUUUAAAAGCUACUUUCUUACUCUUUACUUUACUUGCUGCUGCAUGUUGGAUUUGAUUUAAAUGUUAAGUUACAUAUCUUAGAUAAAAAAUUAUUUUUUAGCCUUGAGAAGUUGGAUCCAACAAUUAUGUUUUGAGUAAUUUUUAAAUUUAGAGUUUUAUCUGAAUUAUUGACCAAUGCACUAGUGCCUAAAUGAAAAUUUACCGGAAAGAUAAAAAUAAAUUACAAAUAUCAAUUUCUUUUUUAUAAAGUAAAAUUGAAAUAUACAACUUGCUAAAGGAAAGAAAGCUUUGUGAAUUUAGAUAGAUUUUUUUAGAUUAUCUUUUAAUUAUCUUGUACUACAUGUGUAUUUAUAUCAUUACAUAGUUAAGAUUCUUAUUACCAAGAAAAUCACAUCAACACUUGAUCAAAAUUUUAUUUAUCAAAUACUAAGAAGAUAUUAGAUAUCUACUUUUAUAACAAGUGAAAUCUAGUUUCAAUUUAUGCUUUACAAAAGGUUAAAGGAAAAUUACCAUUUUCCCUCCUGCAGAUGGUAAAGGGAAAAAGACAUCUACACCACUAAAGUUUGGAAAAAUAAUUAUCAACACUCCAAGUUUUCCAAAAGGGAUACCAAGACUCAAUUUUAACCAUAAUUCCCUUUAUCUCUAUUAUCUUCAAAAAAUUAACUCUAAUGUUUUAUAAUAAAUAAGAAUAUAACAUUAAAAUAAAUGUAAUAAUAUGUACAUUUUAAAAAAAUUAAUGUCUAAAAAUAUUUUAAUAUUUUACAAUCUACUAGAUAUAUUUUGUUAUAUUAAUGUAAAUUUUAUAAUAAAUAGAAUCAUAAUAUUAAAAUAAAUGUAUUAAAAUUUAAAUUAUCUUGAAUAUUAUUUAAAAUAACAAUUUCAAUGUUAUUAGUAAGUGAGUUUUUUUACUUGUAAAAUGCAUUUAAUGAGAAUUUUUAUUUAAAAUCUAUAACAAAUAAAAAUAUAUUAUUAAAAUAAAUAUAAUAAUUUACAUAUUUAAAUUUAUUAAAAUAUUCUAACAUUGCUAGUCUUUUGCAUAGAUUACACUAUUUAUAUAAUAUUAGCAUUUAUAAAAAAAAUUUAAAGUCAUUUUUUGGAAUAAUAGAGGUAAAAGGUAUAAUGAUCAAAACAAGCUCUUGGUGUUCCUUUUUGGAAACUUGGGGGUGUUAAAGAAGGGUGCAUAUAUCAUUUCUGUGGUAAAAAGACAAAAAUAUUACAAUACUUUGAAAUCUACCAUUUUUAUAAACUAAAUUUAUAAAAUACUAUUUUUACACUUUGCUGUUAACAAGGAAUCUGUUAGUGAAUUUAUUUGAAAAGAUGUUUUAUCCUUGAAAUGUAAUUUAAUAUUUUGAAGUAGAAUAUUUUUAGGAAAUGAAGUCAAAUUCGGAUGUAUAACAAAUAUAUAUAUAAAGCUCUCAAUGAGACGAACAACAAUCUAAGUAAAUAUUUUACCACGCUCUAUUGUUUGUGGGGAAAAUGAUACCUGUAUCUCCAAGACCCUCGAGUUUUCAAUAAAGGAUGCCAAGAUCCCUUGUUGACUAUAAUACCCUUUAGCUUUAUUUACUCAAAAAAAGUGACUCCAAUUUUUUAGAGUAAAUACAAAUAUAAUAUUAAAAUAAAUGUAACAAUAUAUACUUUUUAGAAUAAUUUCUAUAUUUAAAAAAUAAUUUAAUAUUUUACUAUCUUGUAUUAGAUUAAAAAUUUAUAAUAAAUAGAAACAUAAUGUUAAAAUAAAUAUUUCAAUAUUUCAAUUUUUUUCAAGAUUAUAUAAAAUAAUUUUAAUAUUAUUAAUUCAUGAGAUUUAUUUCAUUAAUUGUAAAAUCUAUUUAACCAAGGGAUGUUUGGUUUAAAGAAAGGGGAAUAGAGGAAAAGAGUGGAAUGGAAGGGAAGGGAGAAAAAAUGAGUGAAGAAGAAUAGUGAAAUUAAAUUUGUUUUUUUGGUUUGACAUAAAAUUUGAUAGGAAAAAGAAUUACAAUUUUUUUCUUUGGACAAAUUUAUUAUUUACUUUAAAUAUUAUCUAUAUUAGCAAUGAAAUAUAAUUUAAUUUCAAUACCAAACUUUUUUAAUGUCAAAAAGUCCUAAAAUAAUUCAUGAUUUAUUAGAAUUAUAUAUAUAUAUAUAUAUAUAUAGCCAAGAUUGGAGUUUUAUAGGCAUUGGCUGCCAUGGUCAUUUAAAUUCGGGUGAAGAGACAUGUGCGCUCUCACUUGUGUCCAAGGGACCACCCGAGGGUACAAAUAUACGUACAAAAAUAGAAAAUACAGAGGAAAAAUACUGGAAUACUCUUUUUUUUUCAUAUAUGUAAUAAUUAUUUACAAUGCUUUAUAGGAGAGAAAAUUCCGAAACAGUCGUCUUCAUUUUCAUCUCUAAGGGAUAUAAAUGGCUCUUCGUCUUGAUCAUCAUCAUCAGAGGAGUCUGCAACUGAGGACUUUGAUCUUGAUGUGAGGAGCUGUUCCAUGACUUUAAAGUAUUCUACUUCAGAUUUGGCACUGGCCAGCAGAGAUUGGGCUUUGGAUUUUUGAGUUAGAAAGGUUUCUUGGGCUUUUUUGGCUUUAAUAGUUGAGGGUAAAAAUCCUUUAGAACAGAGCCAAUUGCAGAUUAGAGUAUCCGUCAAUUUAAAUUAAAAAACACUGUAUGUUCCAAAGGUUACUGUUUCAAGUAGCUCCGCUUCCGCUACAGUAAAGAGUUCCAAAGAUUACUGUAUACUACAGCUCCGCUAUAGUCUACAGUUUAAAAACUCAUUUUGUAUAUAAAUCUGGAGGAAGACUUAGACUCCUCAGAUUUUUUCAGAUCUAAGUUUUUUCUUUCUUUUCGUUCUCUCUCUCUCUCUCUCUUUCUCUUCUUCUCUCUCUCCCUCUCUUCUUGGGAAGUCUGGAUCAAGACAUCCAGGAAACCAUCCUGUCUUGUAAAUGAUCAAGACAUCAAGGGAGUUUCUUGUCUUGUAAUCUUCCCGUCUUUCAAUCUUUCUUUUACAACAGAUCUGUAAAAUUGCACCAAGCACAAAGCAAUAAAGAAAAGCAUGUAUGAUUUAUGUUUCAGUCAUUUAAAUUAAAGAGGAACACCAAGACUUUGCAGUGUGGCCUUUUAUACCACAUUUGUGACAUAUGACUUCUUUGUAAUUAAACGGGGUUUUGAACGGAGUUUUUGGUUUUGCUCUAAACUCUUUCUUUUUAGAGAAACUAGGUUUCUUAUAAGGCCUCGAAGGUUUCUUAUAAUGAAGUUCUCUAAAGUCUUGAAAGGGUUUUUUACGGAAUUUAGAUUUGUAAUAUUUUUUGUAAGGUUUUGUAGAACACUUACCAUUACAAUCGUUAGAAGUAGAAGUCUUAAAGGGGUCAUAAUUGAAUUGUUUACAGAAACUGCCUAAUUCUUGCUUAGACUUUUUAAGCUCCCAUUUAAGUCGUUUCUGUAAUUUAAAAUCUUGACAAAUCUUUAAGCCUUCUUUGUUGAUGAAACUGACAAGUUCACCAUAGGUGAGCUCAUCAUAAGGAAUACGGUUAUCAUAAAGGGCUUUAAUGGAAUUCCUAACAUUUUCUCCUAGUAGGGUAGGUAAACCUGCAAGGAAUUUUUCCUUCCAAGUUAUAUGAUUUGUAUCAUCCCUAAGGAAGAGUCUGGUGAAGAAGGUGGUUUUAUAGCUUUGAAAUUCACUAAGUUUUCUACACCUCAAGUUGUGUAGUAACUCGGCGUUUUUGUGUCUAAGGUGAGAAGGGUCACCUAUAAAGUGGAGGGAUAUAGUCAAAAUCAGGGUAGCUACAGCAUCCUGAAUUGGACUAUUGAACUCAUCAAGAAUGAGGGCACCAUCCUCAUCUGUUUGUAUGGAGUUUAGGAUAUCUAAUUGCUGCAAUUUGGUAAGAAGAUGAUCCCACCAUCCUUUAAGUUGACCAGUAAAACCGGCAAUAAGGAUUUCUGCAAUGUCUUUGUCAGAAGUUCCCGAUUGGGUUUUAUAGGCAUUGGCUGCCAUGGUCAUUUGCUGCAAUACUCCUAGGAUAUUGUAUUCAGACAUUCCAUCUAUAUUUCACUCAUAGACAGAGGAUACAUUAUAUCGAGAUUGAUUUAAUGCACUAGGCCUGUUGUCUAUGGUCAAAUCAGGUGGAGACUUGGCUAUAGGAAGGGCUAAAUCCCAUUGGAUUUUAUUGGCUUUAGGAACAAGUUCUUCUUUAAAAGCUUCGGAAACCCUCUCCAAAAUUACCUCUCUGCUCAUAGAGUCUUCUGACUCUAUGUCUUCCAUGUCGGGAGAUAGUGACCCUCUUCAAGUUGAUGAGUUAAUUGACUCAGAUGACUCUGCAUCUAGCAGUAGUGAUUCUGAAUCAGAUUCUUAUUUAAAGAAAAUCAAUGUUUUGACUAAAAACCAAGAAAUUUUUCUUGAACUUGUUAAACAUAUUUCUGAUCCGAAUCUUCAAAAGGAAUACCUUGACAAACUUUUGAAAACUCUGGAUUCUAAUAAAGCAGAAACUUCUAAAGUUCCAAUUGUUAAAAAGAAUUCUUACGAUCUCACUGAAAUUCUGGAUAAAAAGAAAACAAAAAAGUAAAUUCCUAAUAUCCAAGACCUUCAGAAAGAAAUCAAAGAUAUCAAACUUGAAAUUAAAGAAUUAAAAGAAAAACAAAAGAAAGAUUCUGAAACUAUUCAACUUCUUAUACAAAAACAAUUAGAAGAAAAUUUUGAAAAGGAAGUUGAAUCUGAAAGUGACAAUGAACAAAAAAUUGACAACAUUGAAUCUGUACCCAAUGAUUUUCUGUUUGUCCUAAAACAAAUCACCACCAGAAAAUACUUAAUUAAAAUCACUUUGAUUUUUUUCAAAGACUUUGCUAUUGACGCCAUUUCCCUUUUUGACACUGGUGCCGAUAUAAAUUGUAUAAGAGAGGACAUUGUCCCCAAAAGAUUUCAUGAAAAAACAAAAGAAAGGCUUUCUGCCGCCAAGAAUUCAAAACUUAAAGUCAAUUCUAAAGUUGAAGCCUCAAUCCAUAACAAUGGUUUUGAAUUUAAAACUUCAUUUCUUCUUACAAAUGACAUUCACCAUACUGUCCUUUUAGGAACCCCAUUCAUAAAUUUAAUUACCCCAUAUACCGUCAAUUAUAAUAGUAUAUCUUUUAAAGCAAGAUCCAAAAAGCUUGUUUUCCCUUUUAUUGAGAAACCAAAAACAAGAGAUCUAAAUAUUGUUAAAGCAUGUUCUGUUUACCAGAAUCAGAUCAACGACAUGCUUAAAUCUAAACAAAAUGACUUGUUUUGUUUUAAAAAGGACUUAAAUUUCCAAAGAAUUGAAAGCCAAUUACAAAAUGAAUUUAUACAAAGAAAAAUCUCUGAUUUUAAAAACCUCAUUGAAAAAGAAAUAUGUGCCGAUUUACCAUCUGCUUUUUGGGAAAGAAAACAACAUUUGGUAGAUUUGCCCUAUGAAAACUCUUUUGAUGAAAAACAAAUACCCACUAAAACUCGUCCAAUUCAAAUGAACAUGGAAUUGGAACAACACUGUAAAAAUGAGAUAAAAGAUUUAGAAAACGAAGGACUAAUUGUAAAAUCCAGAUCCCCAUGGUCUUGUGCCGCUUUUUAUGUCAAUAAAACCUCCGAAAUAGAAAGAGGAACACCAAGACUUGUAAUAAAUUACAAACCUUUAAAUAAAGCAUUAAAAUGGAUUAGGUAUCCUAUACCUAAUAAAAAAGAUUUACUCCAAAAAUUGUGUUCAGUUUUUAUUUUUUCAAAAUUUGACAUGAAAUCUGGUUUUUGGCAAAUCCAAAUCCACCCAAAUGACCGUUAUAAAACUGUCUUUACUGUUCUUUUUGGACAGUAUGAGUGGACUGUAAUGCCAUUUGGUUUAAAGAAUGCACCCUCAGAAUUUCAAAGAAUUAUGAAUGAUAUUUAUAACCCUUAUUCUGAGUUUUGCAUUGUCUAUAUAGAUGACGUGUUGAUUUUUUCUCAAACUAUUGAUCAACAUUUCAAACAUUUAAAGACUUUUUAUUUUGCCACUAGAAAGGCUGGUCUAGCCCUUUCUAGUUCAAAAAUUUCAUUAUUUCAAACAAAAGUCAGAUUCCUUGGUCACUACAUUUCUAAAGGAACUAUCACCCCUAUUGAGCGAUCACUUUUAUUUGCUGAUAAAUUUCCUGAUAAAAUUCUUGAUAAAACUCAACUACAAAGAUUUUUAGGACAAACAGAAAAGCAUGUAUGAUUUAUGUUUCAGUCAUUUAAAAAAGAAAUUGAACAAGAAAAACCUAUUUCCAAAGAGAUUUCAAAACCCUCUUCUCAAAAUAUAGUUGUCUCUGGAGAAAGUUCAUCUUCUCAAAUUGUACUUUCCCAGCCAACACCUUCAAAGAAAUCAUCUGAUUGGUUUGAUAAAACCCACUUCCAAAAUGUUUUAUUUGUGGAAGAUGGUUUUUACCAUACUGAUCCUUUCCAAACUAUUUCAAAGUUUUUUCCUAAAGGCUGGUUUUUCAAACCAUGGGAUUUGACAAAACCCCAGUCUUACUAUCAAAGCAUUUUAGAAGCUACUGAGUCAGUUAAAUUCAAACAUUUCUUUCUCAGUGAAACCCAUUCAGAGCCAGCCUAUUCCACGGCUACUAUUCUAAAAGUCCUGAGCCCAAACCAGUGGGGUGACCAACUCCACACACAAAAAAGAUUCCCUUCAAAUUUCCUACACCAUAUACCACAUUGUUUGACUUAUUCCUAUUGGGAUUACCAACAAGCCUGGUAUAAUACCUUCUUUAUCCAAAACCUCAAAAAAUCACACUCUUGGUUAUUUUUCUUUAAUUCAAAAAUAACUGUACAAAGCUCCAUGGUCAUUUAGGCAUUGGCUAUAAAAAUACAGAGAAAAUUCAGGUGAAGAGACAUGUUCUAAUACUCCAAUCUUGCUAGAUUGGGGAGUAUCAGGGGCUAUUUGAACUUUGCUAGAUGAGGAAGAAACAGCUUCUAUCCUAUCUAGUUGUUCUCUAAUGGCUUUAGCAAAAUCUGACUUUGACUCUUGGACAAGCUUUUGGCUAGUUCUCGAAACCUGAAAAUGUUUGAAAAUAAGUUCCUUAAGCUUUUUGUCAGAAUCUGAUUUUGAUGAAACAGAGGAGACUGCUAUAGUAGAGGUUUGAAAUUGGUUUUCUAUACGGGCCAAUUGCUUUCCAAUUGUAUUUAAGCUAGUAUUACAGAAAUUAUUUUGUUGGAUAAUACUACUCAAAUUCGCAUCAGAAUCAUUUGGCUUAGGGAUUUUAUAAGGUGAAGCUCUAAUUUGGACAGGAGGUUCACCGUGAUCAACGGUUAAACUCCGAAGAGGUGGAUGCUCAGAUUCUACGGUUCUAUCACUAUCAGAAAGUUUCCACUCAGAGAUUUUCUUCCUAACAGUAAUAGGGUUUGAUUCUUUGAAAGGAUAAUCUAUGUUGUUAUCAGAAGAGUAUAUCUCGAACCAAUCAAAAAAUAAUAUAUGAACUUGAUGCAAAUUUACAAAGUCAUAGUAAGUUUGUUGGAUUUCUUUUCUUUGGUUCAAAAAAUGUUUAAAAAACCAAAGUCUUUUUUCUUUAUUUGUUUCCGAAUAAAAAUCAUUGUGAAAAAGAUUUUUAUCAAGCUCAAAAGCCUUUUCAAUAACAUUUUCUGUGAUAGCAGAAAAAGUAGGGGAAGUAGGGGGAGAAGGUUCCUUCUCUUCCUGUCUUUGUUCAUGUUGACUGCUAGUGUAAAUUGGGUGUGGAACUUUUGUAGUGUAGUCAACAGAACGCAUAGAGGAACUAGGUAUAUCUGAAGUGGAAAACCUAGGUUGACUUUGAAAAGGAAGGUUUAUAACAGAAGGAAUUUUUGUGAAUUUCCUUUCCAAUGAAGGAAUACUUGAGCACGACUCUUUAUCAGAAAAUCUGGUUGAAGUAGAUCUCCUGAAUGAUAAUUUGACCUUUCCAUCAUAAUACUGAGUUACAUUUUGCAACUCUGUAUUUGGCUCAAGUUGUUUUGGAAUCGCUGGUGGAGUGGCUCCUUCAAGAAUCCAUUCUUCUGGAAGAUGAACAUCUUUCCACUGGAUUGGUUUUGGAAUGACAGUGUUGGCUCUUGACAAAUCAGUCUGUAAGAGAAGAGUCUCUUCUCUUUUUUACUGGAAUUUAUGUUAUGUACUAAAAGCAGAAAUCAUUGCUUUGUAUGAGAUUUUAAAGAUUAAGGCUACAGGAACAUAUCCUUUAAUCAUGUUAUAAUUAUGUGUCUUAAUCUGUAAAAUCAUACUUUUCAAAAUGUUUUUAUCUUUAAGGGAAAUUGUUAUGUUUGGAUAACAAUCAAAAGAAAUUGGACAUUUACAGAGACUGGAUUCGAUGCUACUUAGCAAAGAAUCAUCAAAAGAGAUGAAUCGUCCAUCUCUUAGGACAACAAGGAUAGAAGUAUCCAAGCCUUCUUUGGUUAAGGGUUUUAUUCCUACUUGGAUCAAACCGAUGUGAAUGUAAUUAAAAUUCUUUUCUUUUAAUUUGUUUAAGGAUUUUUCUGAAAACAAAUGAAUUGUUUCAAAAGGCUCUGAAAGAGUUAUGUCACGUUCUUCGGUUUUUAUUACAUAAUCAUUCUUUAAGAAAUCAAACUUUUUUGUUUUGUAAAUCUUUUCCUUAGAAAUUUUUGGAAGUUCCCAACAAUCAAUUGCUUUAUCAAAGUUCUCAAUAAUGAAUUCUUCUGAACUCACAACAUGCUUUGAAUCACUAGUCUUCUCGGAAGAAGAGCUAGAAAAGGAUGAUGUUCUACAGAGUGGAGGGUCCAUGGGUAAAACCUAUGGUCUACUUAUGGUUCGGUCAAUGUGGCUACAGGUAUGGUUUUACAGCCCUGAGCGGAAUCCUUAUCCUAUGGCGGGACUUACUACCAGUAAAAAUUCACCACACAACAAAACUUCCAAAUUUUAGUUGUCAAAUUUUAGAUAUUUGAAGUACGAGGCGUUGUUCCCCAGAUCGAUGCAGAACUUAAUCUGCCUUUGGAUCCAGAUCUGACUUAGAACAGAUCAACAAUCUGCACGUUCUGUUUUCCAGCCAAUAUACUCAAAUAUUUUUACCAGCUUUAAAUAUUAAGUUCGUUAGGCAAGCCUAGCAACAAACAUACAUCUAAAGGCUGGGUGCAUACACAGUACUAGAUCCGAUUCCCGGAAAUAGUGCUCUGAAGGAAUGGAGGGAGAAGAGAAAGAAUACAACUGAGGAUUGAGAUCUGGUCUCGUUGCCUCAGAGGAACGUAACAAUUAUAUGGCAGAUCUGAUACAGAUCAGUCUGCAAGCAUGCUUUAAAAUUUAAAUUGCUGAAAUUUAAAUACUGUAAAGUAAAUUGCGGAAAUUAAAUGCUUUAAAAUUAAAUUACAAUGCUUUAAUUUAUAUAUAUAUAUAUAAAUAAAACGGAGGUCAAGCGGCAAUCAAUGACGUUUCGACGGAAAUCAGUGGCGGUCGACGGCAUUUCCAGUAGUGGUUCGGCAGAGUUCCGGUGAUAGUCUAGUAGAUGUUCGGCGACGGUUUGCCAGAGUUCUAGCGACGGCUAAUUUAUAUUUCUAUAUUUUCAUAUUAAAUAAAUAAAUAAAUAAGUUUAUUUAUUUUGUUAAGUUUCUUAAAUCAUUCAUUAAAUUUAAUUAAUAUAAAAUUAUUUAUAACAUUAAAUUGAUGAAAUAAAAUUAUAAAUAAUAAUUACUAAAGGCAUUAAAUAAGCUAAAAAGUUGAAGGGUAAUUUUGGAAGAUUUAGUUUCCAAUAUAAGAGGAAUUUAAAUUCUUCACUCUUUAGUGUGAAAAUCAAAUUAUACAUUAAUUCUUAUAUAUUUUGUCUAACCAAACAAUGAAAAUAAAAAUAGAACUUAAAUUAUUUUCAUCUCCUUCAUUCUCUACUCCCAACCAAACAACACCUAAAGAUUUAUUUAAAAUUUUAUAAUAAAUACAGAUAAAUUAUUAAAAUAAAUAUAAUAAUUUGUAUUCUAAAGUUAUUUUUAUAUAUUAUAAAAUAUUCUAAUAUUUUAUUAGAUAAAUUAGAUUAUUUAAAUUAUAUUUGUCUUUAUUAGAAAAAUCUAAAAACCAAUUUUUUAGUUACUAUUUACAAAGGAUAUUAUAGUUAAAAGAGGAUUUUGAUAUCCCUUAUUGAAUUCUUGAGGGUACAUAACUAUUUUCCCAAACUUUAAGUGUAAUUGUUCUUUUUCCUUGUUUGUGCCUCAAAAACUUAUUUGAAUAUUUAAAAAAGACUUCAAAUAAAUUUUUGAUGCAAUAAAUGACAAAAUUUGGCAAACAUUUCUAAUUAGUUCUAUUCCUCACGUUGAGAGGUACAAAAAGACAUGUUAUAUGAUCAAAUCUGAUAUCAUUUGCCCUAUCUAACAAUACCAAAAAAAAUAUCCUGCAUCAUAAUAUUAAAUUACAUUACAAGAGAAAAACUGUCUAUUUUAUAUAAAUCCAGUAACAAAUAUAACGGUAAGGUGUAAAAAUGUUAAUUUUAGAAACUUGGGUAUAAAGACGAUAAAUUUGUUACUGUUGUAAUAUUUUUGGCCUUUGUCAUCUAUAAGGUGAAAAAAAAAAAAGUAAUUUCGCAAGUUUAAAUAUUUGAUUGAAUAUGUAUAAAUCAUAAAAUCAAUAAUAGAAGUAGGAGCGACUCCGGACUGACCCCACUUGUCAAAUCACGAUGAUGACUGUGGAGAACAAAUCAUGCCAAAUGGACAAAAUUAAAAAGAACUACUGAAGGUAAAAAAUGACUUAAAUUAUGCACCUUUUUUUGCAUACAACAAUUCGAUCUUAUCCUCAUCUAGAGCUCUGUCUCUAGAGCUCUAUAAAUUCGAAUUCUUCCAUGUCAAACUGAUCAACUCACUCGCUCAAACAGCUCUCUGAAAGAUAACAAAAUGAAUACUCCUUUCGUGACUGCAGUCUCCUUUCUUCUCCUUGCCUUUGCCACAAAACUGUUGGGAAAAUAUGCUCUUUAAAAACAUAUAUGUUUAUUUAAUUGUAAUAAAUAUUUUUUUCUGAUUAAUAAAAUUAAUGAGGUAUUUUAUUCAAAUAUCUUAAUUGCAUUAAUAUUUUUAUUAAAGUCAAUUUAAUCAUAUUAUAUAUGUUUAUGUGAUCACCAUGUGGAUUCACAGAAGACAUAAAUAUAAGUUAUCUUAUGAUUAAAUAAAUUUAGUUCGCAGUUGAUAAAUAAAGUUGGGCACUUUAUUUAGGUAUAAACUGUAAUAAAUUCAUUGAAUGAUUUGUCUUAAUCAUGUAUGAAUUUAUUGAUGUAGUAUAACUACAUUGAACAUGAUCACAUAUGAGAUUUAAUUAACUUUGUAAUAACUGUCAGACUUAUUAAAUCUCAUAGGCAUUGAUUUUACUGUAAUCUUAAUCUUGAGUUAAUUAUGAUUUCAUGAUUGUAAUUGUUAUUCCAUUUGAGUUACCAAAGGGCACGACACAUCCUUGUGGUCAAGAUUACCCGGUAUCUUGGUGGGAGCAAUUAUGAGUAUUAGAGUUAUGGAUUAACAAUAUAGAAUUUGUACAACACAUCCCUUGAUGGGUUUUCGGCGCUUGAUCAUAGAAUUCUCUGGCCAGAGUAUGUCAACAUAUUUAGUAUGUUGAAAAUGAUCAUUAGAGAAAACCAGUAAGUAUCAAGGAAUAAGAUAUUAUUAAAUUGAUUGGACAAUUUAGAUAUCAAUUUAAUUAACGAUGUGGUACAAAGGAUUGUGCAGUAAAGAAAUCAAUGUGGCUUGGGACGAAUUAUUAUUCGAGCAUACAAUUAUGGAAGUCAGUUCCAAUCUUUUAGUGGAGUAUGUUUGGAAUUAAAUAAUUGGGCUAGUUUAAUUACAGGCCUAAUUAUUGUAGCCACUAUUGUAUGUUCCCAAAUGAUCCCCAGAUUAGCUCAUUUAAUUGAUUGCACCACUAUUGGACUAAUAAGCAAGAUAACUAGCUAUUUGGGUCAAAAGCCUAAUUAUAUCAUUUAGUAGGAGGCUCCAUUUAAUUAGCUUAUGUGUAAGGGGUCUUACGUUAUUUUACAUGGUGGGUCCCCUAUAGAAAAAACAAGUAACGUGAGUUUUUAUUUUCAUUAUUUGGAGCCUAGGGUUUUCACUAAAGGGAGAUAUAAAAGGUUUAUUUUCUCUAAAGAAAAAAAGAAAAGUCACUUUAUACAGAUCAGAGAAAAAGAUUUUUCUCUCUAUUGUUGAGAGAAAAAUUUUCUCUCUAUUGUUGAGAGAAAAAUUUUCUCUCUAUUGUUGAGAGAAAAAUUUUCUCAUGCUAGUUGCUUUGAUAGUGAUAAAGGCGCCUACACGUCAAGUGUAGAUCAAACUUAAGUCAUAACCUGGAAGAUCAUUGGUGACAGUUCGUGAUCUAACAAGCGUGGUGGUGACGGAUCGUGAUCUAACAGGAGUGGUAGUGGCGGAUUGUGAUCUAGGAGCCUAAAUCACUUCAACGGAAAAAACCAAAUCGGAUUUUCAAGGUACGAUUUCUAGAUUACAAAUUCUUAUAUAUUAUAUGAGAGCGGUACUUAAAAGUUUUUAUAAAAAUUUAAAAACUUGAUUUUUCCCCAACAAAAACCGCUUGUGGGACUCGCUGAUCCUUUGGUUGAUGUCAAUGGCAACAAGGUCGAAGCAUCCCGAGACUACUAUUUGGUCUCAGCAAUUCGAGGAGCAGGCGGCGGCGGCCUCACCCUCUUCAGGGGCAGAAACGAACUCUGCCCACUUGAUGUUGUCCAACUAAGUUCCGACUUACAAAAAGGAACCCGUUUAAGAUUCGCAACGUAUGACAACACUAGUAUUAUCAAUGAGGAAGUGGAUCUGAACGUGAGAUUCUCGACAGGGACUCGCUGCAACGAACCAACAGUAUGGAGAGUCGACAGCUAUGAUGCAUCGAGAGGAAAAUGGUUUAUAUCAACUGGUGGUGUUGAAGGAAACCCUGGAGCUCAAACUUUGAAAAACUGGUUUAAGUUUGAGAGAAUUGGAAGAGAUCGAGGUGAGUAAUAGGGAUAAAAAUACCUAUAUUUCUUAAUUUAAGUUACUAUUUAAUUCUUAUAUUUUAAAAAACACCUCAAAAACUUAUAAUGAAAAUGUUACAUUACAUUCUUAUCCUUUUUUUUUCUUUUCUUUUAAUGAAAUAACUUGAUUUGAUAUAUUAUAAUUUUGUUAUUGAUAUCCCAAAAAUAUUGUUGUAAAAAGAAAGUAAGGAUGGAAUUGUGGCUUAUUUAACAAUAAAAAUAUCUUGAAAUUUUAUUUUUAAAUAUAAAGAUUAAAUGAAUAUUUAACUCAAAAUAUAAGUAAUAAAUAAAUAUUUAGCCUAAGUAAUAAUGAUAACUGAACACAAAGUUUGAAGAGGCAAAUAAUGACAAAAUACGACAAAACCAUCUCACUUAUCUUGUAUUGAUUUUUUUUUUUAACUGACUUUACAAAAUUGUAUAUUAAUGUAUCCUUGCUCUUUCCAGCUACGUACAAGAUUGUUCACUGUCCUUCCGUUUGCGAAUCCUGUGUAUCUUUAUGCAAUGAUGUUGGGGUUUCUCACGAUCAUGCUCGACGUUUGGCUCUCACUAAUGGGCUCGCGCUUGCUGUUGUUCUAGUCCCCGCUAAUGAGAGAUCAGCCUUAUGUGCGUCUUGAAUGCCCUUGUAUCAUUACUCUAAAUAAUGGAUCGGGCUAGCUCCCUGACGCUUAUAACAUAAACAAAAAUGUCAUUGCUAGCUAGCCUAUGUACCUUUGAACGGAAACUUGUAGUAGCAUUAAAUAAAAGUGGUGAAUUUUGACUGUUUAAUCUCUUAGAGCUUUGGUUAUGAGUAGGGGUCGGCAAAAACCCAUAACCCAUCGGUUUACCCAAAUCCAAACCAAAUAAAAUAGUUUGGGUUGAGUAAAUCAUAAAAUGGGUUAAAUUUGGGUUUUUAUGUAAAAAAUCAUUUCACAAUGGUUUUGGGUAUGGUUUAUCCAUGGGUUAUGGACAAAUUCAAAGUAGCAUAUCAAUGAAAAAUAAAUUAAACAAAAUAAAAGGUUAAAUCAAUAUUUAAUAAUAAUAAUUAUUAUUAUUAUUAAUUAUUAUACUAAUAAUCAUUAUUAUUAUAUAAUAAUUAUUAUUAUUAUAUAAUUAUUAUUAUUAUUAUAUAAUAAUAGAAGUGCUGCACAGGGCAUAUACAUAUGUAAUUGGUUGUACAGUACACUAUUAUAUAAUAAUUUUUUACAGUCUCAACUCGAGUUAAAAGACUAAAUUAACAUUUUAAUAAAUUACUCAGACAAUAUUUUUAUGAAAUCCUCUAAUAUAAUUUAAUAGUCAUAUUUGUAUUGUAACUUACUAAAAUUAAAAAUGUAAUUGAUUAUAAGAUUUCAUUAAAUAAAAUAUGAUUCUAUUGUUAUUUUUUAAUUAGAUUUCAUGUCUAAUUUUUCUUACUGCAUUUAAAAUUUUGGAGCUUUUUCUAAUUAAAAUAAAUUUUAGAUUCAUUUCUCAGAAGAUUUAAAUUUAUAAAAUUAAAUAAUUUAAUUUUGAUGGAUUGUUUGGAUACUUGAGUUGAGAUAUCUUAUUACAGCAGAAUUUUAAAAUAAACUUUUAUUAUUAUCUAACAAAGCUCACCACUCAAGAGGGUUACAAAGGGAUACAGAGAUUCACCAUGCAAUGGUAUCCUACAAGAGAUACAUGGCUUCUCAACUCACCACACAAAGGAAUCCACCGAAAAGAUACAAAGUUUAAAGAAGGAACUCUAAAAGAGAACUCUUCUAGGCUAUAUUAUCAAAUUACUCACUUUUUUUUUAAGUUACAGCCUAAUACAUUUAUAUAGGUAACUUGAAACAUUCCUUCAAGUUUAGGAUAAGAUUUCUAUUAUCUAAAAUUCAAAUCAAAUCUGAAUUAAAGUCUUAACUGUCAUGAGGUGGAAAAGAACAAAGCAAAACUCAAUUUGACUACUAGGUCGGUUUGAUCAACAAAUGUAAGCAGUCAACACUCAUUUAAUCAUAUCUUGAUGUAGAAAACUCUAAAUUGAACACCGUAAAAUUUAUUAAACUCCUGAUUCAAAGAGCUUUCCAAAGAUAUGAAGCUUAUUAGAUAGAACUUGAUGCAUUGAUGCCAGUAAGUUCAGAAGUUGCGCCCUUGUGCAGAAUUUCUUACAGUUGUGACCUUUGUUGACUAAAUCUUGAAUUUCCUUAAGAAGAGAGGUCCAAAUUUGAUUCCAUAAAAUUCCUUAGAAAUUAGACAAAAUUAUCUUUUUAACCAUAUAUUGUACAUAAUUUAUCUAUUUCUUGAACAGUACAGUUAAUUCGAACAAGUGGGCUGUUAAUUUUGACCUUUGCUUCCCACUUUGACUAUCCUUUCCAAAUGUCCAUAUCCAUCUUCAUUGUUAACCUCCAAACAUGAUAGGUCUCUAAACACUCUUGUGUCAAUAUCUUAUCUUACUUUAAUUUGUAUUGACAUUGUUAGAAUUUAUGUUGUAAUAUGGUUAAUAUUUAAUGACGAAGUUAUUGUAAUAUCUAUUAUUCAUAAUUUUUAUAAACUGUAUUUUUUAUAUAUUAAUGUAAUAAUUAAUAAUUAUUAUAAUUUUAUAUAAUUAAAUUUAUUAAAAUAAAAAAAUUUUGAUUAUAAAAUUCAAACCAAACCCAAAUGGAUUGGUUUGGGUUGGAUUAAAAAUAUUUGAGUUGGUUUGGAUUGGGUCUAAAUUUUUAUGGUUUGGUUUGGAUUGACUUAAAACUCAACCCAAACCAAGCCAUACCCACCCCUAGUUAUGACUGAGGAGUUAUAACUUGGGGGGAAAAAAGCUACCUUGACGGGGAUAAAAAAAUUAUUUGAAAAAAAAAUGAAAUACUUCAAUCAACCAUGACAAUAUUCAUAGGCAUUUCAUGUGACUAAGUUGAAAAAUUAAUAAUCUUUCAAGUGAUAGGCUUAAGCAUUACAGUUAAAAACAAGUUGUGACAGUCAGCUUAUUCAGAUAUUUGUACCCCACAAUCGUGGAUCUUAUCCCAACUAACACGCUUUAAGACAAUGAACAAAACCGUGUAGUUAAACAAAUAGGAAGACCGCAAAUAAAGCCAUUGCGACUCCCAUCAAAGGAGUAGUUCCCCAUCCAGGAGCUACUUUACCAUAUUCCGAAUUCAAGGGUUUCAACAACCCCCCUGCAGAAGUUCUUUUUGGACGAGCUCUAGAACUACCCUCAACUGCUUGUGUAAAUAAUUAUGAGUAAUAUCUUGCUAAUAGUUUGGACCGCUUGUUAGUGAAUGCAACGUACAGGGUAUCUCCAAUUCUUAACUAGGAUUCAUAGGGGUAAAUAUAUUAUAAUAUAUAGUAUUUAAGUCAGAUCAUUCUUAAAUAUUUUAUUAGAAUUUACCUUAUUUUUUAUUUGUAUUUGAGUUUUUUUUUAGCUAGUAUAGUUUUAUAUAUGUUAAACCAGUAACUUCUUUCUCGCUUAUUUUAUUAGAAUUUUCCUAUGGAUCUACUCAUCCUCAAAAGUUAGUUUAAGAUUCGAAAGUUGCCUCAAACUUAUAUUAUUAGUCCAAUAAUAGGGAUGGCAAAAACGAAUUCAACUUGACUUUAUCCCUAAUAAACUAGCCUGCGUAUAUUUUUCAAACACUCGGCCAGAUUCAUGCCUCACCUUAAAAGCUUGAUACCAACCCGAAAGCUAGAAAAAUGCUUUACAAUAGAAAUACAUAUUUUUUUAAUUAGAAUACACAUUUUAAUAUUUAUUUACCUCACUAAUAAUAUAUAUUUAAAGUUCCAAAUCCUUUAACCCAACUUUUAAAUCCUAAUCUAAUAAAAACAAAAUUUUAUAAAUUACCAAGUUGUUUUACAAAUUAAAUUUUAUUUAUAAAACACCUUUUAAUAUAUUUUAAAGUUUAUAACAUUUUAUUUUUAUCAUAUUAGGCUUUAGAAGGAUUUAAAUGUUGUUAUGAAUGGGCUAAAUAGAUUAAAAUAAAUAAAUAUUUUAACUUUUUGUUUUUAAGCAUUUCUCUUGCUUUAAGUUGGGUUCAGGUUUUUUAGGUGAAACCUAAGCCCAACAUAAGUGUGUUUAGAAAACAUGCUCAGGGUGGGCUACCUAGGCUAGGGUGGAGCCAACCACUAGGGUUUGGCUUAAGUGGCUAGAGCCACUCCCUCACAAGUGUGAGGGAACUCCCGCAGACGCAUUGCAGAUGUUUAAUUUUAAAUAUUUUUCCUUAAAAUCUCAGAACUUGAGUGAAGGCAGUCUUUCUCCUAGGAAGAGAGUGGGCGUCUCUCAAAUAUUUGAGAGAGUUAAAAAUACGAGCGGUGCCAUUUCAGAAUUGAUGUAAACUGAUCUCAAUAAUUUGUAUGGUUGUAAAUAUCAUGAGCAAUAGUUCUCCUAAAAAAAAAAAAAAAAAGACUAGGGUGGAGCCGAUUUAUUUUGCCACCUUUAGUAUUGGGCUAAUAAUAUAAGUUUAAGGUAACUAUCAACUCUUGACCUAGCUUUUGGCAUAAAUGGAGCAUAUGGGCUUAUGGACUUCUAUACUACGAUGGAACACACAAAUUUAUUGUUGAUUGAAAAUGAUAUUUAACAUCUCGAUGUGAUCCUUUUUCCUUUGCUUCAAACACCAAAUAUCUGGGUAUAUUAUCUCCCUUGCAAACCGAUUUUAAGCUAGAAUAUAAGAGUUGGACCAUUGCCACCCACCCAAUCUCAUCAUGCAACCCCAUUUUUAGUUGUAUUUAUUUUAUUUCUGAAAAUGUCUUUUUUUAAUAUAUUCUUUUAGUUUUUAAUUUAAUUUUUUUUAAUUGUUAAAACUCAAAGUAGUAUUUUGUCUUUUUUAUGUUUGGGGGCAAUCUUGUUGUUUGUCUACACACAAAUUAAAAAUUUUUCUAGGUAAUGAAUUUUUGGAUGUCAAUCAUUGGUUUAAAUUAAACUAUUUUAAAUUAUAACUUGGAAGGAACUUAAACACAAAAAUAUAUAACCACUAAGAAAUAGGAAAAAAAAUUAUUUUAAGCCUAUUUUAAUUAGAUAGGAAGUGACAGAUAGAAAAUAAAAAAGAAGGAUUGAUUAUGAAUUCAAGAAUUUGUUGGAAAAAAAAAAAAAAAACAUUGUGUGUUUGAUUCUUAUUUGUCUUAACUGUAAUUUUAUUUAAAGUGGGGUUUUAUAAGGAUAGUAAAAGGGUACCAAUAGCUUCACUUAGAAAAUAAUUUCUGGUAUGAUGAUAUGAGCUUCAGGCAACUCUUAACUCUUGUUCUAACUUUUUAAUAUGAGUUAGGCCCAUAAGAUUCAAUAUGAUCACAUCAUAACCCCCUACAUUAAAAAGAUUUUAAUAUGUUUCAAUUUUUUUUCUUUUACUAAUUGUUGAAAAUAAAUAGUAUAGAUUUUUGUAAGCAUCAAGCAUGAACGAAAAUAUUAAAACGGAAAUAUUAUAAUUACCAGGAAAACAAAUGUUACAAUUAUAAUGAUUAUGAUUGUUUAACAAGUUAAUCCUUGAUGUUUAAUUUAUUUGAUUGAUUUACAAUAUAUUAUUAAGGAUUAACUCGUUGUCCAGGCGUUCUAUCAUAUUCAUGCCUAUUAGCCCUCUUCUUAAUCAAAAUACUAGUCGCAACUCUUCUUCUAUCAAGACUGUGUUUUGGCGUUCUCCAGGGACACCUUGGCUUGAGAUAAAUACGGAUGGUUUGGCUACGGGUAAUCCCAGAAUCUCGGUUUGUGGGUUUUUACGAAGCUGCUUUACUGUGGCUCUGGGCCUUGUUAUGCUAAGAUAUAUGCCAUUCAAGCUGUUGAUAUUGCUUUUUCCAUGGGACGGCAAUUUGUUUAGCUGAAGAGGGAUUCAAAUCUGCUAACUCUUGCUUAUUUGUGGAACACGCUUUUUCAUCCGCCGUGGCAACUCGUACUUAGCGGUUGAACUGUCUAUAACAGAUCAGUCAUAUGUAGUUUCGUAGUCAUAUUUUGAAGUAUAAUUCGGUUGCUGAUUGCUUAGGAAAGGCCGAGUCUAACUGAUUCGAGGCCUUUGGUGAACUUUUUUUUUUUUGUUUAAAGACAUUCUUACGUUAAACAACAUCAAUUCCCAAAGGAAUAAUAAAUAGCUUAAAAUUCAACUAUCUUUAAUAAUAUCUUGAAUUUCAACAAUUAUAAACUUGAUCCAGAAAAAUAAUAAAAAAGAUAUAUAUAUAUUGAUCAUCUUCAAAGUUGAUUAUUUCAUUCACUAUUUCAUUAUUGUUUAAUUCAUUCGAAGUUAAUUGUUCAAUAACUAAUUCUUCACUUAAAUACAUAUCUUUUUCUACUAGUUGUGAAAAAUUUAUCAAGAGCUCGUUUUUUAGAUUUGACUACUUUUUCUGUUCUUUUUUUUUUUUUUUAAUUUUUGUAGCUUUUCAUAUUCUAAUGCUUAUUUUCUAGUUGAUAUGCUUUUCAAAUUUAAAUAACAAAUAAAUAAACAAACACAAUUUUUCUUUUCUAGAUUAUUCGAGCCAUAUAUCAAUACAAAAAUAAAAAUAAAUUAAAUUUAAAAAAGAUAAGAAUAAUAUCAAUUAAAAAUAGAAUAAUUGAUACCACCUGGCAAGUUGACUAAUUGAGAAAAAUAUAAUGAUCAGAUGAUGAUAAUAAAUUUCAUAUAAAAAAUUUUUCUCUAUAGAGAGGAGAGUAACAAAGUGUUUAGUUGAGAAUAUCAUUGAUUCAUUGUCUAUUUGUUUUGAAUUUUUAAAUAGAUUUUGAUAGAAUACUAAGAGUUAAUUCUAAAAUAUAAGGUUAAUAAUUUUAAUAGAGUAAUUUUGGAAAGAGAAGGCAUUGAAUUUUUUUUGAAAUAAAGAAGUAACAUUUAAAGUCAUUAUUCAACUGUAAAAAUAUUUCUCAUUUUUAAUAAUAGGAAGAUGCCUAGAAAUUAGGCUUUCCUACAAUAUAUACUUAACUUAAAAUAAUUUUGAAUUAAAAAAAUUAUUAAUUAUACUAACUAAUAAAUAGAUAUAUAAAAAUUUGGCCUUUCAUAAAUAUUGGGUUAGCCCAGUGGUAAAGCCGCCACUGUUGCUUAGUUAACACAAGUACUGCCUGCUCAUAGUAUGUUUGGUGUGGGAUACUCUACCAUACACCUGUUUACAAAAAUUUGCAUGAAAAUUCAUGGGGCCUUCCUGUAUACCAACUUUCGUGAAUGAUUUGUAAACAUUCUUUCUCAUAUUUGAGUGCAUAUUUAGUUUUAAUUUAUAUUAGUUCUUUAAAAUUAUAUAUAACUGACAGAACCUUCAUAAUAAGUUUCCCCAUAUACUUCGACUUCUUUUCAUCUGUUGCGUCACCAAUAUCCAUGCUGUCGUAUUUGCAAAGUACAUUGCUGAAAAUUGUUGUUCGAGACAUCAAAGAUUUGCAACUUAAAGAAAAAAUAAUCAGCCUUAAAGGACCGUAAUUUAUUCGAAUGUAGAACAAGAAACUGAAGCUGUAGCCAACGUGUAAUAUAUCCUCUAUCUUGUUGUUGCCGAGAUCAACAACUUGAAGAUUUGCACAAUUGAGCAAAGAUCUUGGGACUGACCCUACAAGUUCAUUGCCAUUGAAGUUAAGGGUUCUCAAAUUACUGCCCUUUGACAAUGUUUCAGGAAUUGGCCAUGGAAUCUAUUCUUCCUCAAAUCCAACACACGCAGAGUAUUGCCAAAGUUUCCAAUUAAUGCAUUCUGGAAUGGUGCCACUCAAGCUGUUGCUGGGCAGAUCAAGAACUUCAAUGGUGCUUAAGUUGCAGAUCAAACAAGGUAUCUCUCUGGUGAACCUAUUGUUUGAUAUCAAAAAGACUUUCAUAUUAGAUGAUGGAUCUAGAAACAAUCCUUGAAGCAAGUUGGAACGAAAGUCAAGAUAUUCAAGAUUCUUCCACGGAAGUUUCUUAAUGCCUGUAAAAAAAUGUUCUGAUUCAUCAAAUAUCCAAGAGGAUUUCUUUAUUAAAGUGCCUUGGGGAUUGAGGUAUGUAAUUUCAAUAUAUUUGUGCCAGCAUUCAGCAGCUGUAUGCCCUGAUUUGAAGCAAAUUUGGCAGAUAGGCACUGAUUUAUCACCAUUUGAAGUUUGUGGUUCAAUAGCAGACAUAUUGCCACUGCUAAUAAGAUUACCGUCAAAUGAAUUCUUUCCAAACUGAGCAAAAUUAUUACUUCCCAUUAAUGAGCCAUUUCUGCAACCUGAAUUUUAAUGUCCCUGCAAACCUCCUGUGUAACUUCCUCUUCCAGCAUUGCCUUUUAUUUGUGCAUAAUAAGCAUUCAUCAUGCCAGAAUUGCUAUAGUCGGAAAGUUUGCAAUAUUAACAUUGAACAUUUGCUUUUCACUCCGACUUUGCUCAAGUCUAGUCUCAUGAGUAGGAAGUAAAGCAUAAGCAUCAUCAUAAUCCAGUUUACUUCCAGUAAUGAAAGUAGCAAGGUCUAGAUAACCAGCACCAACCAUUUAGAAUCUGCUGAAACAAAUCCUUCUCAGAUGUUCGACUACCAGCACAAGCCAAUUUAUCUGCUAUCAUUUUCAUUUUUAAACAAUACUCUUUUCUCAAACAUACAUCUCAUAUCUAAGUUGAAGAACCCAGCUUCAGACUGCACACCAAACUUUUUCUCCAAAUUUCUCCAAACAUCAAAAAAAGUAUUACAAGGAAGUAGAAGACUUAGUAUACCUUCACUGACGGAACUGAGUAACCUUCUCAGAAGCACUUGAUCUUGAGAUCUCCAAGUAACAUAAUUAGGAUUCUUAAUUUGUUGCAUAGAUCCAGAAGCUGCUCCAGCAUAAUUUGAUGAAGUGAUGAAUCGAUUUGGAGCUGUUUUCUCUUCAGUGAUAUAGCCUUCAAGACGAUUUCCUCUUAUAGAGGCAUAGAACAAGAUUAUGCCAAAUCAUGUAAUUAGAUCGAUCUAAUUUGAUCAAAGUGAUGAAAUAAAAUGUUGUUCGUGGUGCUGGAUUUGUAGUAACUGUACUAGAAUUUGUAUUAAAAUUGCUUGUGCUAGCCAUUCUGGCUCUGUUACCAUGAAACAAAUAUGAAAAAUUGAUUGAAAGCUGUUGUUUGGCAACUGAGAAAAUUUGAGAGAAUAUUCUUUGCAAUGAAUCUUUUAUUUCUAAUUAAUGAAUGUGUCCAGAUCUUAGAUAUUUAUACUUCUUACAAGAAAUUAAUGCUUUACUAACUGUAUUAAGCUAAUCUAAAUCAGCUAAAUUUAAGCACAUGCAGGAGAGCGUGCAUAACAGAAUUUGCUGAGCUUCACUGCUGUUGAGCUGCAGUAGCUGACUCAGCAAUAUUGGCAUUUGACUUGUUUAUCUCGGCAAUGCUGCUACAUUUCUUCAUACUUGACUGUUGCUUUUCUUCUUUACUUCAACAAGGUGAGCUAUCUUCACUCCCUUUAUAAGACUGGAUUCAAUUACCCCCAAGACCCUAGUAAUAUCUCAAGUCUUGAGCAAGAUUAACAAACAAAGAAUCAAACGCGAAUUGAAUCAAGAAAUAAAUGAAAACAGAUAAAAAAACUGGAUUCAAUUACCCCCAAGACCCUAGUAAUAUCUCAAGUCUUGAGCAAGAUUAACAAACAAAGAAUCAAACGCGAAUUGAAUCAAGAAAUAAAUGAAAACAGAUAAAAAAACACAGAGAUUUAAGCAGUUCAGCACCUGAUACGUACUGGUGCCUACGUGCAAUGAGAAACAUUGCUUAGUGCUUUCACUAUAUCAAGAAUUGAAGUUACAAGGCUAUGGAGAUUAUUACAAGAUUACAAGAAUGGAACUUUCUCUCUCCCCCCUCGAUUGUUACAUAAACCAGCUUAUAUAACAGAAACAGCUGCAACUUGUAAACCCAGAUUGCACAGUAUUGAGCCACGUAGCGUAACGGUUUUAACAGCUUUCACUUCUCACGUGCUGCUGACGAGCCUCUUGAGUGAAUUGGCCAAAACAACUUUGAGUCAGUCGUUUCUCAGGCGUUUGAGCUUUACGCAAUCUUCAUACAUGCUGCAGAUGACAGUUAUAAUCAGAUCUCGAUUACUCAGGACGACUUGUCUUAUCUCUGAGUUUGUGCUCAUACUCAACAAUAUCCAAGUUAAUUAAACAGGAAAUAAAUCAAAUCCCAAAUGAUCAACUAACUAGGAAGCUGAAUGAUCCCGUCAAAAUAUGAAAAGAACAAAGGAAACAAUAAGCUAUCUUACCUAACAACUUUGACCCAUCAGAAGCUUCAGAUCCAGUAGCAGAUGCAUGUAUUUAAUUUGUUAGGUGGCUGUGACCACCAUGGACAACACACGAGCUUCCGGCAAGUAAUUCAAGAAACGGAACAACAUAAACAACAAUACUACCACUCAUGGCUGCCUGAUUUCAAUGCUGUGCAAGUUGCAAUAUAAGUAACGUGUGUAAUGCAGAAUCUCUCCAAGUGCAUUGUCCUUUUGCUAGCAUAUAUGUGUUUUGCCUGGUGUACCUGAGUUACACUCAAUUCCUAAAACACACUAACUUUGUUUUCUGUCCUAGUAAGGUAUUCCCUUAAUUCUUUGACAGAUUCCCAAUGCUCUUUUAGAUUAGCUACGAACCAGCUCUCCACACCAGGACACAUCAUAGUAACCUAAGCUGACCACUAAACUAUUUAGCAGCACCCUCAGCUUAUUUUUCCAUCUAGAUCCUUACAAUUCAGCCUCUCAUCUCAUAUGUAUACAACCGCAGAUAGAAAGCUCCACCUUGCUCAGCAUUCCCUAAACAAUCUCCACAAUCAAAAUAUUCUCCUUAGGAUGAAGUGUGGUUCAUUAGAUGAACCGGUACGGCACUACCUGAGCACCUAAUCCUCAAACUUCAUCUACAUCAGCUAUGGAGAACUCUUUAGCCCAUACAAAGACUUCUUGGCCAAAAGUCUACCCUUGUCUCUUUCGAGCUUGGCACUAGCUAUUCCUUAGUUUACCUUGUAUUUAUAGCCCAUAAAUUACAUGCCAGCAGUCCCCCUUUACACGUCCUUAAUCCUUAUGGUUUUCAUUUAAUCAAUGAUUCCCCAUGGAAAUCAUGCAAUAUCCUCAAGAAUUAAAAUCUCCAAAUCUUAAUCAUAGAGAUCAAAUGCAAAAAUUCUAAGUAUAUACAAGAAAAAUAGUGCUUUAAUGUCAUAGAUAUUCAUACCUUAAGCAUCUCUAUAAUUAUCCCACACUUUUGUCACUAUAAUGAUUAAAAAAAAAACACUAAAAAGCUUUGGCGACUCUCUCUUCAAUCUCAAAUUGCCGACCAUAAGGGAGACGAAGGAGCCAGCUCUCAUUUUCUCGGUUCAAUUUAUCUAUCCAUACCUAGGCCAUUUUUUUAGCUAAUGGGCUUGGAUCAAAAUGACUAAAAUGGCCUUGACUAAAACUAGGUCCAAUAACAAAUAAGUCAAAGUACCACCAUAAUGUUAAUACUAGUACUAAUAUUGAUAGUAAUAACAAAAAACAACAACAAUAGUAAUCACAUUAUAAAAAAAUUGAUAAAAUCAAUAAUCACAACCAUACUGCAUACAAUCAAAAUAAUACUAAUAAUUACUUGCAUAAUUUUUGGAUUUUGCAAUAAAUGUGACUAUAGUUUUACCCCUAAAAUCUAACAUAUGCCUAAUUAGGAAAAGACUCAUUACUUUUAGCUGCCUUAAACUGUAAAUUAGCUCUAUAGCGUAAAUAGGAAGUUUCUGUGUAUUGUAAGAAAGAUUAAACUUCCCAAAAUAUGGUUGGUUGACUUAGUUGUGAAGUAAAAAAAUUCCAAUGAAAACGGGCUCAUCUUGUCAUUUUUUUAAUACUUGAAGUUAGGAGUGGGCAAAAUGAUAAAAUUACGCUGUUUUAAAGAGAGUGGGCAUGUAUAUAUGUAUAGCUUGUCCCUUGACUAAAGUAAAGAAUUCCCUUAUUGUAAAAUUACUCAUAUAUAGUUUGGGAAAUUGGGAUCCCUUAUUCCCUUGUUUAAAAAUUUUCGCAUAUAUUAAAAGUCGGUUUUAUUGAUAUCACAAGGCAUGCUUGUUACAUAUUCUGAGUACAUGCUUUAAGAACAAAAACAGUCUAUUAUUACAUUGACAUCAGUGGUAGAUGGAGUACGUACAUGUACAAGAGAAAGCAUAAGGACGUACUCCAAGACAAAGCGCAUAAUGCAGACUGGUAGACAACUUUUAUUGAAAGAGAGAGAAUUCCGAGAAACUAAAGCUUGAACAUAAACUGACUGAACAGGAGACAAACACUAAGCAAACAAAGACAUACGUAUAGGAACAUCAGUAGCUUUGAUACACGACAAAGACUGGAAAUUAUUGAUCUUGAGAGGGUACUUCGACUUGAUAGCGACCACCUUAUAGCAAACUGAUGCCUGCAAUAUUAAGGCGAGUACAAUGUUGGCAUAAGGAUAAGGGGGUAUUUCUUAGUGACAGCCAACCCGUAUUCUUCAGUCAUAUCCAAGUUAGCAUCAACCGCACCACCAGGAAGCUUCCAGUCAAACCAAUACAAAAGGUUGGCCAACAGAUACUCAGCUGCAACUUUUCCAAACAACAUCCCGGGGCAAAAUCUUUUUCCAGUACCAAACGGAAUGAAAUCAAAGUGUUGGCCAUUAAAAUCAAUCGUGCUGUUAAUAAACCUCUCUGGCAGAAACUCUUCUGCUCUAUCCCACACCUUCGGGUCCCUCUGAAUGGCCCACACAUUCAUAUACACAAUUGUUUUGGCAGGAAUAUCAUAACCUCCUAGAUUGACACUAGUUGAAGUUUCUCGAGGAAAUGAAAUGGUACCUGCCGGAUGUAAUCUCAGAGAUUCCUUCAUAACACAUUUUAAAUAGUGCAUCUGAUUGACAUCAUCCAUAUUUAUACUUGAUUUGUUUUGCACCACCCUCCUUACCUCUUCUUGUGCUUUCUUCAACAACUUGGGAUUUUUCGCUAGUUCAGCCAUUACCCAUUCUACUGUUGUUGCAGUUGUCUGAGUUCCUCCCGUGAACAUGUCCUAAAAGAUCAAAUAAGAAAACUUCAAUUAGCCACCUCUGUAUCGUAUAUUAUCAUGCAUGUAUGUGAAUGUGUAAGAGAGAUUGUAAUUGAUAAUCAAUUAGUAAACAAAUAACUAAAUAAUUAUUUUCCAUAUAUACACACACAUAUAUACACACACACAUAAAUACAUAUAUAUGUGUGUGUGGAGCUAAUGAGAAAUUCUUAUGUCCGGAUGUCUAAAUGCAGAUUUGUUAUUACAUCAUAAUUGAACCAAAAUACUAUAAGACCAUAUAGCAUAAGAGCGAAUCCAUACAAAAUUCGAAUUUAGGCAUCUUGACCUAGAAAUUGUGUAUGACUAAUAUACAUAUGUGUGCGUGCGCUUGUCUGAUAACAUUCUUAAAACGUUAAUUAAAAUUAGAUAUGGAGAAAAUUCUAAUUCGAGCGGAGAGAGAUACCAAGAGAAGUGCUUUAAGAUUGUCUUGAGUCAGCUCGAUCCCUAGCUUGCCAUCCUUUUGAAGUUUGAGGAGUGCAUACACCAAAUCUUUUUUAUCAGACUGGUCAUUAUCUUCAUGGCUCAUUGCUGAUAUCCUGUGCUCUUCAAUCACCUGAUCAAACAAAGCAUCAAAUUCUCUAGUGGUUGCUUUCAAGCGACCAAUGUGUCCCGUAACAACGUCCAGCCAUCCAAAAGAAGGAAACAAAUCUCUGAAACUAAUGGAUCCUAACUGAAUCAACAGCCUUUUUGAUAACUCCCCGAACUUAUUGCUCUUCCCUCCAGCAGUACUUUCUUCUUCUACCCUCCGACCAAGAACGGAACGGGAUACUAUGUUGUUGGUAACAGUUUGAAGCAUCUCAGCUAAAUUAACGGAACCCCGACUUAAACACGAAGAACGAAUUUUAUUGAUCAUGAUUGCAACCUCCUCUUCUUUUACAUAGUGCAAUGAUUGCACUUUUUUAUUACUCAAAAGCCCAAGAACACAAGUCUUCCUAGCUUCUCUCCAGUAUUCGCCAUAAGAAGAAAAACCAAUGUCUUUGCUUCCAUAAAGGAGAACAUCUCCAGCUGUGGUUUUGGGACGGUUCGAGAAAACAAUAUCAUGAUUUUUGAUAAUGUCUCUAGUUAUCUCAGCUGAUGAGACAACAAGAGUUGGAGAAUGACCCAAAUGCAUGAACAUCAAAGGGCCAUACUUGCUGGAUAGAUCUUUAAGAGAGCGAUGGGGGAGAGAGCCUAGCUGGUGAAGGUUGCCAAUUAUGGGUAAGCCUGGUGGGGAUGGAGGUAAUUUGAGUUUGCUUUUAUUUCUACUGAGCUUGAGGCGCAAAAAUAGAAAUGGAGAAAGAAGAAGAAGGAGAAGGAGAAGAAGAGACACCAACAUGUUGUUGUAACGAGUUGAUAACAAAUAAGUUUACUUAAAAGUUGCAGAUCUUCACUUGAGGCUACUCACUUAAAACUUCGGUCAUAUAUAUAUAUAGGAGCAUGCAUCAAACCUGGAGCAACCUGCGUCUCUUAAUUUUUAUUACUUUUAGUCAUUAUAUCCAUGAUUGAAAUAUGACUUUUCUACAUUCAAAUUGAUUAUUUAACAAAGAAAGAGAUGAAAGAUGAUAAUGUUAGUAUUUUUUUUUUCAAGAGGAGAGAGAUUUUUAUUUUAUUUAUUUAUUUAUUUCUGCUGUUUCUUAAAUACAACUUUGGGGUAGAAAAAACAGUACGGCGGGGGAUUUGUUUGACUGAAUAGCAUUCGACUGAAAAACGACUUUUUUUUUAGAUUCAAAUUGAUUAUUUAAUAUCUUUACAGAUUAAAACUAGUUUUUGUAGACUCCCAUCGGCCUACUAAUUUCAACUCAUAAUAAAAAUGAUUUAGGAUUUUCUUUGGCUUAUAAAAUUCAUAUUAAAAUCGGAUCCCCUCCUUAUAUUAUCUCUCUUUAUCUACGCUCUGCUUUCAAAAAUCUAUUACAUUUUUAAAAUAAUAAAUUAGUUAAAAGAUAGAAAAAUAAAAAUUUCAUUAUCCUAUAUAAAUAAGAACUUGUUUUGGAUUGAUUUGGAGAGGCUUAAAAGUACUUUUAAAAAGUUAAAAGUUAAUUUUUGGUGUUUUUUUAGAAAUCACUUUUAGUAAAAUCACCGCAUUUUACAAUUUUUAAAAGUAGCGAAGAAGUAUCGUUCCAAAGUUUGAUUUUGAAAAUCACUUUUGUACUUAAUAAAAUUUCAUAUAUAUCCUCAUAUAUAUUAUAAAAAUUUUAAAUUAUUUUUAUUAUUUAAGAAAUAAAAUCAUUAAAUUUAACAGAUUAUUAUUAUUAUUACCAAUUAUAUUGAGAUACUUUAGUUUUAGUUAUCAAUUAUUAAAUGUACGCAUUAAAAAAUAUUUUAUGUACCUGUUUAUAAAUGUUUAAAUAAGUUUUAUGUAGUAUUAUGUCUAUUUCAAUCAUUUAUAUUUUUUCGGUAGUUUAACAAUAAGAAUUAUCAAAUACAUAUAACUCUUUUAAAAUUCAUAACAAUUUUAAAAAUAAAUAUUACCAAAUAUUUAAUUGACUCUCUUAAUUAUUUCUAUAGUAAAGCUAAAAAUAAUUAUUUUAACAAUUACAAUAUUACCAAACUGGGUCAAACACAUUAAAUUAGAGUAUGACUUUUUAUGUCUUUUAAUAAAUAUCUUAUUUUAAUAACAUAAGAGACCUCUAAUUGAAAAAUUACUAUAUAUAUGUGUGUGCACGCGAGCGGAAAAAAAAUUAUUUAUUUAAAAAGAUUAUAAAAGUAAUUGAAUGAGCAUGCAUAUACGCAAUGGACAUAGAGACUGGAGAGGCGGUUGACGAUGGCAUGGAGCUGUAUAAGAGUGUUGAAAAUUUUGGCCACAAAAGAAUGAAUUAACGGUACUUUAAGUUUGGAAAAUAUCAAUGUUAUGACCUGAUGACUUUCCUUGAUAGUGGGGUUAAAGAGAAAAAUGAGGCCAAAUGUUAACCAUACAAUUAAUUUAUUGUUUGAACUGGUUUGAUUGGAUCCUGAUCUGAAAUGUAGCAAGGCAACCUCAAAUAAAAAUUUCCAUUUUAAGACAACGUUUUGGGAAAUAAUAAAUUUUCUCGAUAACUACUUUGGUAAGUGCUUCAAAAUUUCCAAGACAGUAAUAAAUGUUGGUCCCAUUAAUUAAUUGUAGCCGCAUCCUAGCUAGAAAUUCUGCCUUUAUGACGUAUAAACGCUUCAUGAAAUUUCAUUGGAACUCACUUUGCUUCAAAUUUUGUAACAGAUUCAAAUUUUAUUGGUCCCGUUGUUGCCUUCUACUGGCAAGAUGUCAGAGUAUAAUCAUGGUAAGGAGAAAAUUAUACUACAAUCUUGAUAAAUUUGUACCUUUAAAUAAUAUAUUAAUUUGGGGUAUAUUUGCUUAAUUAUUAAAUUUUUCUUGGACUCAAAGAUAUUAACUUAUACAAGUUUUAUACUUUUACUGUAUUAGGGUUUAAAUUUUUUUCAACUAUCUCCAUUGAAGUAAAUGGAAAUGCAAAUCUUCCCCUGAAAAUAAAAAACUUCCUUACUCAUAUGAACAAUGUUCAAACUAAGAAUUUUUCGACCGCUCCAUAAGAUUUUAAUUAUUAAACCAAUUAACACCCAAAUUAUUUUAAUUUAAUUGAUACAUGCUCAAUAAUUACCUUUCAAAUUCACUCUAUAGGAAAAAAACUUUAGAUUUUAGUUUUCUACAAUUGCGGUGAGGGAACGUAGUUGUUAUUAGUAAUAAAAAUUUUUGGAUCGAUCAAAAAGUCCGAGAUUUGAAUUAAUUCUGGCCGGCUAACAUGGGUGGACAAGAUUUAGUUGUGCUAUGUUUUAUUAUAGAAAAAUUCUCAUAAAUUUUGUACAGACACACUCUUUUACAACAUUGUAAAAUAUUUCCCAACAUCACAAACACUUGAAAAAAGUCAUUGACAACUUUGUAAAACCCGAAUAUACAUUUUAUAAAAUACGGACCUCUGGACUACAAAAAAAAAAAAAUGCAAAUCUCUUACUUUAAAAAUAUAAAUAUAAAUAUAAGUUAAAAUAUUAAAAAAAAUAUAACACAAAACAUGCAUCGUAUAUACAAUGAAAAGGAUGUUACCGAUAAUGACUUGGGCUUUGAUUACGUAUCUAUGUUGAAAUUGAUUGUAUUACAUACAAUAUUCCAAAAAAAGAAAAAAGAAAAAAGAAAAAAAGAACUGCGUGCAUAUUUAAACAGACUUUUAAAAAAGAGAAGAAAAACUGAGUUAUCAUUUAGAAAUCGCAACAACUGAAAUUCAUUGCAACACACUUUACUUGACCAAGAAUAAAUGACUUUCUGGGUGUAUAUGACACGUUCCAUGAAGUCAAAGCAAAGAUCACUCUUAUCUUCUCUUUUUAAUUACGUGCCUAUCGUUCUUGUUUACUUUGAAAAAUGGCGCAACAUCAUUUCACUGACCCCCGGAACCUCAAAACUGCAUCAUUCAAGUAAAAGUGGAAGAGAACGAAAGAAUAUUUUAAAAUAUUAUUUGCAAUUCGAUUCAAUUAACUUUGAUGAUUAGUGAUUUAACUUACGCCUAUUUUAUCAUUUAGUGAUUUAACUAUUAAAUCUAACCAAAGGGUUGCAAAACGGCGCAGAUCAGUUUGCAGGGUUAUUAACAUUGCCAUCCCUGAUGUUUGUUGAAAAAUUAGAAAAGGUAAAAAUUUCUAAAUGUUGACAUAUAUGUCCAGAUUUUUUCAAAGUUUUUUUACAAUUAAAUCUAUUGACCUAGUUUGACUAUUAGCAUCAGUAUAGUGUAUGGACAAUAAUGUAAUCUCAUGAAAAAAUUUUAAAAUGCACGAAAAAUUAACAUGCCUUAAUAAAUAUUUUUUAACAUAAUAUCUAUUUAAUAUACAAUAAUUCUUUGUCCAUAAUAGUAAUUUAAUGAAUGAUUAUCUUUUUAAGAUUUAAUUAUAGUAUGAGGUCAUUUGAACCCACCAAAUUAGUUUCUACACCCAAUCAAUCAAAAAACCAGUAGCCUAAAUUAAAAUUAGACACUGUACACCUCUUAAUAACGAAAAAACACCAAUUUAAUUUUAUUUUUUGAAUAAUAAAUUAUUCACCUCUAUUUUUUUAAUCAAAAUUGAUCUUUUAUGAACUAGAUAAGCUUACAAAGUGUGGGUACAAUAAAAAUGAACAAAAAAGUACUUUAAGCUUCUAAAAAUUCAACUCUUAAUUUGAUAGCAAUGAACAUUGAUUUAUCUCUUUUAUUAUUAUUAUUAUUAUUAUUAUUAUUAUUAUUAUUAUUAUUAUUAUUAUUAUUAUUAUUAUUAUUAUUAUUAUUAUUAUUAUUAUUAUUAUUAUUAUUAUUAUUAUUAUUAUUAUUAUUAUUUACUUGUAAUGGAAAAAGAAUUCUCUGCAAUUUUGUUAUCAAUUGCAAACUUACAACUUUCAAAUGGGGAUUGGUGCUAAAUAUUAAGAAAGGAUGCUCAGAUCUUGUUUUUGUGUGUGUGUGUGUUUUUUUUUUUUUUUUUUUUGUGCUAUUUACCUUUGGUUUUACUGUUAAUUCAUGAUCAUUGUGCAAUUCUUCAUAUAUAUACACUUUUAGUGCUUAUGUAAUUUUUAAAUAUUCCUCUACUAAAGGAUUCCAUAAAAGCCCAAUUCAUGUCUCGUGAAAUUCAUGGUAAAAGUUGCUUAAAUUAAAGGUUUCCAACAUCAAAUGCGGAUGGUAAUUCAAUUUGAUUCCUUUGUUCCAUCAAUUUUUACACUUUUUCUUUUUUUCUUUUUGAAUGAAUAUUAUUUGUUUACAAUGAAAUUGCGUUUAGCUUAAAAUAAAUUUUGAAUUUAAAUUAGGAUAAGAUCAAAGUAAAAUAUAAUUAAUUAAGUAUAUAUAUUGAUAAGAGGAAUUUAAUCCAUGAAUUUGAUAAGAGGAAAGAAAGUAAAAAGAGUUGUACAAUAUAUUUUACCUCUCAAACUUUGUUUAGAUCAGAUGAGCUCUAUCCAAAAUGUAGCUUUUUUAGUUUAUUAUAAAUAAAUCUUAUUUCUCAGAUCUCACAGUCCAAAAAUAAUGUUAAAUGAAGAAAAUCGGACUGAUUAUGGAGAAAAGGUGAAGAAGAAUGGGAAAAUAAAAUUAUUGUUAUACUUAUAACUAAAUUGUAAAUAAGAAAGAAUGUAAGGGAUUCAAUCAAAAAAAGACAAAAGAGGGGUACAGUGUCACAGAGGUAUUGUAGCUUUGUCCGAUUAAUUAUUCAUCUAAACUUUUCAGAAUCCAAAGAUAAUUUCAGCAUAUACUAACAUAAUCAAGCAGCAAAUAUUUACGCUAAUAAAAGUAUGAAGGGCAUUAAAUUUUUGGAACUGUUUUCAGAAUGCGUGCUUGCGUAGUCGUACAUAACUCAAAAUCCUUACUUGCGUAAUUAAUGAGAUAGAAAUUCAAUUUUGAAAGUGUAGUCAAUUCUUCAUAUAAUUCAGAGGACUUUUCCUCUCUUUUUUUUUUUUUCUAAAUCUUUGAUUUUUUUGCAAAUCCGGGUGGUAUUUGAUUCAAAACGAAAGGAUUGAAGGAGAUUUCAUGGCCAGCUGACGACCACAUAUACUCUUUUUUUUUUUUUAACUAAUGCCAGAAAUUUCAAAAUGUAUCGUAAAUUUUCAUUACAAAUGAUAUUUCAUUUAUGAAAUAAUAGUGAGGUCAUGUAAUAAAUUCACGUGGCAGUAGGUGAAGAUCCACUGCACCGAAUAAUUUAUAACACUUCUGAGAUUUAUAAGAGACAUAAUUGUUAUAUGAUUGGUGUCACCUCAUACAAGCUGAUUAGCAGAGCAAGAUAUAAACUUGUGUUCAAAAAUGGAUGGCGAGUAUACCUGUAAAAAACAGUUAAUUAACAUUGUCGUUGGCUAGUUUUAAUUUAUUUAUAAUUAAUUAUUAACAAGAUUACUUAGAGCGUAUGAAAAAUAUUGGUUCUUUUAUACAGAUAAUUAUUGCUUGUUAAUUAAUAAUUAUUGGUUGACUUAUUAAUAAAUAAUUAUUGAUUAAUUUACUAAAAGAUAUUGAUUAAUUUGUUCAUAAAUAAGUAUUAGUUAAUCUAUUAAUUAAUUUUUUAUAGAUAAAUUAAUUAAUAUCCCUAAAAAUAUUGUUGUAAGAGUAUUAUUGUAAAAUUUAAGAAAAAGUAAAGGUAUAACAUAUCUAACAUUAGUGGUAUCUUGAGAUACUUUUUAAAAUAUAAAGACUAAAUAGACACUUAAUCUUAAAUAUUAGAACUAAACUAACAUUUACUCUGUUGAACAGCUAAAGUGUAUGAAAAAGUAUUUAGUAACUCAGUUUUCAACAUCUACACUGUGCAAUGAGAAAAUUUUUCUUUGAUAAUUACUCAUUCUCAUGAUUUCAAAGAGAUUUAAUUGAUAGUAAUUGACAACAUGAAACUCAAUUAUAGAGGAUAAUUUGAGCCUUGAUUUGGAAUUAUCCUUUUACUUGGUAAUGAGAAAAAUUUUAAUAUUUGAAUCAGUUUUCGUUUGUGAAAAGUUGCUCUGGACUUGUUAUAUUUCUCAAAUGUUCGGAAAUUCAUCAAUAUGACCAUGUAACCAACUAGAAUAAUCCUUUCGCUAACGGUUGAAACCCAAAUCCACUCUAUCAUAGCAAGAAAAGAGCAAAAGCCAAGCAAUCAAGACACAAAUUUAUAAAUCCAAUGUGUUUUGUUAGUUGGCUAGAGAGAUAUCCAAUUUAAUGAAAUUAACAAGAAAUAUAUCUAAUUCCACAUGACCAACCUAACUAUCUAAGAAUAUCAAAAUCUCUUUAAAAUAUUAUUACUACUCGAAGAUGGACUAACGCUUUCAAUCUUUAAAAUAUUAUUACUACUCAAAGAUGGACUAACGCUUUCAAUAACAUUGAACCACAUCAAUUUCCUAUAGGACUCAUUCAUGAAUAGUAAGUAUGAUCGAAAUUGUACUAGUCUAUAAAGGAAAAAAUGUAAAGGAAAUAAUAUAAAUCAAGUUUGAUUAAGCUUCUAACACAAGAUACUUAGCCUAAACCAAUAAUGGAUUUAAAUUAUGAUAAGAUUUUAAGUUUCUGAUUUUUCAUUUUAUUUUAUUUUUUCAUAUAUAAGGGCAUUUUGGUGGUCUUAGAAAAAAGUAAACUUUAGAAUGCAAGCCCAAUAUUUUUUUUUUUUUAAGGAGAGCCCAAUAGGGUAAGAUUUUCUUUUCGAUAGUGUAACAAAAGUAAAACACAUAAAAUAAAAGGUUCCAGCUAUAGUAUCAUAGUGGUACCGUAUCACAAUUGGAUUUAGCCAUUGGAUCCAGCUAUGGUGACAACUGUGAGUUGAAUCCAGUAGUGGAUCCAGCUGUGGUACGGUACCACUGUGGUACCAUAGUUUUGCCCAAAAUAAAAUAGCUAAAAAGCAAUACAUAUCUUUACAUACAAAAGAGGGUCAGAGUCUCAAAGAUGAUAGCAAUUCGUCCAUUUGAGUUAAAAAAAUUUAUUAGAUGAUAAAUUGAAAAUUUGAAAUUAGCACCACAAACUAUUAAAUUUAUAAAGUGCUUUGUGUUUACGGUAUAGUAACAAAAUAUGUUAAAACUUUGUUAUUCAUGUAAAAUGCCAAAAAGUUAAAAUUGACUGCUCUAUUUAUGAAUGAGACAACCACUAAGAAUUUUUAGUUGAAAAACAAAUUAAAUUUCCAAGCAGAAUGGGACAGAUACGCUAAAUAAGGAAAUUAGGAUAUUGACUGAAAAUUGGAGUGUAAUGUGAUUAUUAAUAAUAACGAGUUAUGAUUGACAAAAGGUGAUCAAGACAAUAACAAAAAAAUGAAUAAAAAAGUUAUUUAGGUUACAAAAAAGUUAUGACAUCAGAUAAUGAUAGUGUGUACACUUAGUGAUUACAAUAGUAGCAAUAGCAGCAAAUCAUAUAUAAGUAAUAUCAAAGUCAAUAGUUUAGAAUUUUAUACCUCAUUUUGGGGGGAAUUACUAUCAUUAUAACAUGCUUCAAUCACUGGCAUAGAAUAUGGUCAAUCAUUUGGUAUAAUUAAAAGUUUAACUUAUCUUUGGGUAGCCAUGGGUUGACUUGGGUUGGGGUUAAGUUCACCCAAAUCAAACCAAAUAAGUUUGGAUUUCAAUCCAAACCAACACAAAGUUGUUAGAAUCCUAUUCACAUUACUAGAAAAAGACUAAACAAUCACAUUUUUUUACCAUUGUCAUGCAUUCAAUCCAAACCAACACAAAGUUGUUAGAAUCCUAUUCACAUUACUAGAAAAAGACUAAACAAUCACAUUUUUUUACCAUUGUCAUGCAUUCUAUAAAGGUCACUUGAGCAUCAUUGAAGUCGAUAUCAACAAAUUUUAGAUGAUGGUUUUUAUAUGUUAUCAAUUUUAUGGUGUAUUAUCCAUCAUGAAUUUGUUAUUCACAAAUGGUGUCUGUCAUAAUAUUUUUUAUACACGACUAUUAUUUGCCAUAUGAAAUUAAAUAUCUUAUUAAAAAUUAAAAUAUAAAUAAACAUAAAAUUGUUAUCUUAAUUAAAAAUAAAUUUCGUGGGAUUAUUUUAAAUUAUUUUGGAGGAAAUGAAUUAUAAUUUAAAUAAAUAAUUUGGCAAAAAUUGAAAUUAUUUUUUAAUUUUUUAGCACAAGCUAUUACUAUUGUUGUUUAAUUUAGCGGGAAUGAAUGAAUCUUUGGCGCCAAUUGUUAUUAUUAUUAUUGAAUUUCAUUUCCAUAUACAUAUGUGUGCACACACACGCACGCAUGUGGUUUGUAGGUGCGCGUGUGCACACAUGUGUGGGUGUGUGGGUGUAGAUGUGUGUGCAUGCAUCCAUGCGCGCGCAUGGUGUGCACAAUGGUGUGCGUGACCGCGGGUGUGCACGUGCAUGUGCACAUGUGCAAGUGUGUGUGUGUGUGUGUGUGUGUGUGCACAUGUAUGUGCAUGCAUGUGUGUGCAGGUGUAUGCGGUGUGCGCAUGUAUGUGCGCGAGCGUGUGUGUGUACGCUCACAACAAGAAACACUACAAAAAAAAAAUAACAGCAUUCAAAAUAUUUUUUGCUAGGCUAUUUGUUAAGAGUAAAAUCAUGUAAAAAUUAAUAAAUGAUUUUGGAACCAUGCUGCCAUUCAAUUUGUAAAAUUAACAACUAUUGAAUCUAAUAAGAAUUUCAACUUUAUCACUAAAAGCAAUAAGUAUAAUAAACAAAGAAAUCAUGAGAUUGUAAUUUUAUGUAUGUUAAUUAUUACAAGGAGACAUGUUCUCACUAUCUUCAAUUAUUUAAAACUAAUUUAUCUGAAUGUUACUUCUAUAAUAGUUGUGUCUUGAAUCGUUAAUUAGAUUGACAAUAUUAUUAACUGCAUCCUUUUCAUUCCCCUUAAUCACUGAUAUGUCUACUGUUAAAGCCAACUUCAAUGGCAUCGUCCAAAAUAUUUUUCCUUCGACGCUUACUUCAGCAUUCUAGUAAUUUUUAGCCAACUUGUCAAGUAGACAUUCAUUCAAGAAGUUCUUCUAAAUGUUUAAUAACUAAAAUUAUAAAAUAUAAGAUCUUUAUUAGCUAAAGCUUAUAAUAAGCCUGAAUCAAAUAGGAUAAAGCCUAAAAGAUAGAGUUUCAAUUAUCAUAAUAGAAAAAAUAAAAAUAAAAAUGUCGUACAACUUCAUAAAACAUCUAACCUCCCCAUUUACACUUAGCUUCACAUACUUUGUAGAAAGUAAUCCCUCAAACCCAUGAGAUGAACUAAAGAUUAAAACUACAUGCCUGAUUAGCUCAAGAAUCUCGUACAAUUCACCAUAGAUGGCUUAUGGAGGGCAAAAUGCUAUGUGCAGGAUAAACAAAGAACUACCAACCCAAAAAUUCUUGAACGGAUAUCUAUUCAUGCAGGCAAUAGAGGAUGUGGGGUUGCUAGAUGGGAUGAAAGCAAAGUCGAGGUUGAAACAGUUGGGAAUUAUAAGUUACCACGUAUUGUCAACAUCCUAAAAAAAUUGAUGUCAGAAGAGGAUAACAAAUGUUAUGGUUUAGUGAUUGGAUAUCCGCUAACUGAGGAGGGAAUUCUUAAUAAAAAAAUUUAACCAACCACAUGCAAAAGCACUUGUUGCUUUGUUGGACUCUGACCCCUUCUAUUACGGGGUACCAUUUUGCUUUAUAAAUGAAUAUGGAUGUUCUAUCGAAUCAAGAAUUAUAUGUUCAGAUAUAGAGACUGCUCGGGAAGUAGAGAGGGCUAAUGAUCAAUUGACUAGUAGUCUUGCAAGAGGAAAACUUAAGAUUGCAGAUGAUAACAAGAAAUUACAAGCUGCUAAAGUAAUUUUGGAGACCUUCAUUUGGAAGGUAAAGAAAGAAGGAUCCUUAUCUCCUGAAGCAAUUUUUAAGAGAGAAAAUAAAAUAAAAGAGAAGCUGAAGCAAAAGUCCGCGGCAGCAACAAAAGCAACAUUGGCGAAAAAGGAGGGGAGGAGGAGGCGCAAAAGUUGGCAGCAUAAGCAGCAGCAGCAUUUACGAAGAAGGUGGAGGAGGACGAGGAGGCAGCGGCAGGACCAAGUGAAGCACAUGCUGUUAAACCCUGAAACAUGUAAAACUCAAUCAACUCAACUAAUUCCUCAAGAUUAACCAUGAUUAAUAAAUUUUAGUUCACCACAUUGGUAACUAUUGGUAGAGGCCAUGAUAUCCUAUCUUUUACAUGUGCAUUUAGUACAAACUAGAUGGCAAUUAAAAUUAUUUUCAGUUGUUACUUCAAACUAUUAUUCACUCAAUUACUCUAGACUGAUUAUAUAUAAAUUUGGCUCAUGUUGAGCUUUUGUUUUGCAUAAUUAUCCAAUUUUAAUUAAUUUUAGAUUAUAACUUCAUAACAAUUAUUUAUUUCAUCUCAAUUAUCAUAGCCAAAAGAAAUCUAUGUAAAGCAUGCAUCCACUAACAAAAAUCUCAUGAUAUAAUUCUAGAUAAAAUAUGUAAAUAAAGAAAACUAUUAAGAACAAGGGUUGCUAACUCCACCACAAAAAGUAAACAAAAUCCAUCCAAAUAAAGUACACGGUGAGUAAAACAAAAGAAAAAAGCAAUGGAAUUAAUCAUUUUACUUGCUAGCUAUAACUUCAAUGUUUUUGCUUAAUUGAGUAUGGCAUUGUCACUAAUCUAAAGAAAUAAAAACCAUAAAACAAUAUUUUAUUUGUGAUUUACGUAUACAAAUAUGCGAAUAAAAGUCCAAGACAUACAAUAUAUGAGAGGAAGAAAAGAAAUAUCAUCACCAACACUAUUCCUUAAAGUAAUUGAUUCAAUGCUAGUAAGUUGAGAUAAAGACAAAACUAAAAAUAAUUAAAAAAAAUCAAAUAGUAUGAAAGGUAUAAAUUUUCAUGAUGCAAAUAGUAUCAAAACAAGCACUCAAGUCUUAUCCUUAUAAAAAAAAAAAACACUUAUAUUCACAUAUAACAUCAUCAUUAUUUCACUUUUAGAGAGUAAUUUUUCUGUUAAAUUAUUAAAUUGUCUUAAGAAUGUUUAAUAUUAAAAAUCACAGCCAUUAUAUAAAGCUAUCAUAGCCACAAAAGUAGUAACCAAACCAAAAGAAAUAUAUACAAAGCAUGUAUCUACCAGCUAGCUAAGACGCAUUCAAAUAUAUAAAGACCACAGUUAAGAAACAUUGUAACAAAAGGCCGCAAGAUGCUACGUCGUAGCUACACCUUGAACAAUCUUACUAGGAUGAAAUGUCCUCAUCUUCAAUCUAAAGUGAAAAAAAAAACUAUUAAGGAAAACUUGUAUUGCAAUCUUCAAUUUCAAAAAAUUUUAUUUAUAUAUAUACUAACUAACUAAAAGCUGAAUUUCUUCACCAUAUUAAAUUAAUUCAGGCCCGAGAUCACAAGAUAUAGUUAGUUAGUUAGAUAUGAUUUAGUUCAAAUUUCAACUAUGAAAUGUCCUCAAUAUUUUAAAAAAUAAGAGCUAGUAAUACAGAGAAUGCUAAUGUAUUGUGAACUAGAAUUUGGAAAAUUUUGAGAAAAUUUACACAUACAAGAGAAAAUAGCUUGUGUUGUAAAUUUAAGUGGUGAACUUUCAACAUUUAAAAGAAUGAAAAAUCCCCAUUUGGAAAUAUUACUUCCCCACCCUAGCUCUUGAAACCUAUAUAUAUGUGAUUUAUUUCAUUAUUUUGGCAACAAAACAAAUUAGCUUAAUAUAAGCUUAAUAGCAAGGUACUAUUUAGUACUUUGUUUAAUUCAAAAAGUUUUCUAUUAUCUAUUUAUUUUAUAACAAGUUAUCAGUACGAUGGCUGAUUUGAUAUGUGCAGUUUAAUUUUUACUAUUUAUGUUUACUUAUUUUUUUAUGCUUUAUCAUUAUUUUUAUUAUUCUAUUAUUUUAAUUGUUUAUUGUUUAUGAUAAUUUUAAUAGUUGGUUCUAUAAUACUGCCUAUAUUAUUAUUAUUUUAUUAAUAUGUUUAUUAUUCUGUUAAUAUAACUUGUUUAAUUUAUUUAUAUGGCUUGUUUAACCGCCUAUCAAGUUAUUUUAAUUUCAAUAAAUUAUGAUUUGUUCUUGCAUAUAUAUGUCUUUGAAUAUUAUUGUUGUAGCUUGAAGUUUACAAAACAGAUGAGAUGGUGAGAACCUAAAGUUCUAAUUUAUGAUUUUAAAUUAGAACCUAAAAUUCUAAAGAUAUGCAUGAAGUUUCUACAUAUUUCAUAAUUUUUUGUUUUCGUUUAUUUUUAAAUAUUUCAUAUUUAUAUUAUGAUACUUAUUACUAUUUCUUUUUUAUUAUUAAUAGGGAAAAUAUCCACCGUCCACCUGAUUUUGUCCACUUUUUUAAAAAUACAUAAAUCUUAAUUUUUUUUGCUGCGCUACACCUAAACUUAUAUUUUUUUUCACAUUUCCACCUCUGUUUGCAAACCGUCAAAACGUUGCUGACGUCAUAAGGAUAAAAUGAUAAUUUCACUUGGACUUCAAAAACAACGUCGUUUAAGAUCUGUAAUUUAACCUUUUCGUUUGAUUCUGGAGUAAGGUUGGCCCUACAAACCGGGCAUGUCACGUGAGAGGCUAACUAGACAUCGAUGCAAUGAGGAUGGAACACGUGAUCACAUUUUGGAAGUAAACGCAACGUUUCGUCAUCCUCAAACUCGCUUAACACACGACACAUUCCAGAGCACCUUUCCCAAUUUUCAGAUCCUUCACCGCAGAGUAGACGAAGAUAGGGAAAGACUCGAUGACGGAAGGAUCGAGGCCGCGGUUUCUGGAGACAAUUUAAAGGCAAUUUAACGUUGAGAGAGAUGUCAACGUUAACGUACUGUGUUCGCUGAAGUAGGGAGAGCUUUGCGAGUUACGGACGUCUUGGGAGAUGCAGGUGCGGCAAACUGAAUGAGCGUUUGCUGCUGUGCUGAAGGCACAAGCAAUGGAAGGCGGCAGUUCGGGGACGCGACACAUGCGUUCACAAGUGGGGUUCGUUAAAGUUGGUGGUGAGGGUAUGGGAUUGGGCGAUGGUUGGAAUUCGAACGGAAGGAACCUGUUGACAGCAGUUAAAUCGCCGUUAAAUUGUUUUGAUUUCACCGUCUAGUUCGCGACCCACCUCGAUAUCUCCGCUUUAGUUUGUGGGUGGUGGACAAUCUUGCCGUUUGUUUAUUUGCGCUAACUGUUCAUCUUGCCGUUUGUUUUCUUUCUCAUUUUAAAAUUUCAUUUUCUCUGUUGUUAUUGGGACAAAAAUGUAGGAGGAUUUGGAGAAUAUAUGCAUAAUUCAGGGAGGGGCAGUGUCGUAGUUACAGAACAAAUUCGAGGCCAAUUAAUGCCGGAGGAAUUGGAUGUGCCGCGCACUGCGAAUCAAUGCCAGAGGAAAUGGGAUUCAUUGCUUGAUGAGUACAAAAAGAUAAUUGUGCGAUCAAGGACUUUUCCUAACUCCCAAACUCAAACUCAUACUGAUUUCUUUCCACCCAAUUUUGACCCUGAGCUCUUUAAAGCCAUUCAUGAUUUCGUUAUGUCUAAGGAUACCGAUCUGAUGAUACUGACCCAGAUUCAGAUAUCGAUCCUAAAGCUGACUUCUCUGAAGCAAUUUCACAAACACAACUAGGUAACUUUUAACCUCUCUCUCUUGUCUUGGAUUGGGAGGACUUCUCAUCCACCUCGAUAACAAGAACAUACACACAUACUCUUUAUUUUUAUCUCCACCCACAAACGGCAACGGCUACAAUACUCAUAAAACUAAUAUUUUGGCGUUUAUUUAGGGUAAAUAUGUAAUUUUUUAUUUUCGGGGUUAAAAAGUAAUUUGGAUAAAAUUCCGUUAGUUUUAUUGACGGUUUGUAGACGGAGGUGGAAAUGUGAAAAAAAUUAUAAGUUUAGGUGGAGCACAGCUAAAAAAAUUAAGAUUUGUGUAUUUUUUAAAAAGUGAACAAAAUCAGGUGGACGGUGGAUAUUUUCCCUUAUUAAUAAGAUUUUUUGAAAAGUAGCAAGUCUUAUGAAUUUACAAAUCCAUGUUCUUGAAGUUUCUAGAAGAAACUAGCUUUCUUGGGUAUUGGACACCAAAAUGCACUUGUAAGCUAUGGGCCUAGAAUGCACUAUAGCAAAAAGAGACGAGGUAUCUUGGCAAGAAAAAUUGAAGCCUAUGAUUUUCCUCCACCACCACAUACAUGAGAGCCUAAAAGCUUAAUACCUAAUGGUCGAGGAUCCACUAACUUUGUAGAGUAACUUCUAUGAAAGAUUUGACCACCAAAGAGAUAUUUUCCUCUCAAAUGCCAAACAUGAGUGGUUAAUUUGAUGUUCCAAGAUUAUACAAGAGUCUCUUAUUAUAACUUUGCUUUAUUCCGCAUCACCUCAAAAUUGAAAUUAUGUGACAUAGAAAUUACUGAUCGAAAUAUGCUUGAAAAGACACUCACCACUUUUCGUGCAUCAAAUGUUGUGUUGCAACAACAAUAUUGAGAGUGUAGAUACAACAAAUACUCUAAGCUGAUAACGGCUCUUUUAUUUGCUAAAAAAUUAAUGAGCUCAUAACGAAAAACCAUGAAUUAUGUCUAACAGGCUCUCAAACAUUACCAAGAGCGAAUGUAAAUAUAUAUAUUAAUAGUGGACGUAACCGAGGAGGUAAGAAAGGUCGUGGUUACUACCAUUGUGGUAGUCAUAGGCACAUAAGACAGUGAACAACAAAAUUGACGCCACCAAAAGUAGAGCAUCUAUGAGAGAACUAAUAAAUAUGAUGAUGCAGGAAAGAAUAAUGCUAGAAAUGAUAAUGAAAAAAUUUAUUGCCGAUGCCCAGGAAAAGGACAUUAGUCACGCACCUAUCGGACUGACAAACAUUCGAUAGACUUUUACCAAGCAUCCAAGAAAAGAAAAUGAAAGAUUGAGACUAAUUUAAUCGAUAGCUCAGAUCCUGUUGAUCUAAUUCAUCUUCAUGCCUCUGAUUUCUUUGAAGACACAAAGGCAAAAACGAUCACUUAAUUAGUGAUGGAAAUGUCCAUAUUAAUUAAGCUCUUAUUAUUAUGCAAGUUACGGUUAUGUUAACUUUGUAUCUUUUUGUAGUUUCAUCAAAUGUUCUUAAUGUUUAUAUCUAAUCUUAAUAUCUAACGUGAACUUUUGUUUAAUGUAAAGUUAUGGAUGUUAGAAAUAAAUUAUCUAUUUUGGAAACGAAAGCUGAGGAUUUAUGCUUAAAAAAUAUUUCUUAAAAAUAAAAUUACUUGAAAGAAAAGUAAAUGUUAUAUCUAGUCCUACAAACUUGAUAAAAGAUUCUGGAAGAGCCAUAAUCUUGUUGGCAAGCGGAACAAAAUUAAUAAUCCAAAAUGUUUUAUAUUCAACAAGAUCCAAAUUGCUUUAUAUUCAAAAUUAAUAAUCAUAAAUAUGACUGAAUGCUACGCAGUGAUGAACCAAAGAUUCACAGAUCCAAAAAUAUUUAUGUUAUGGCAUGAUCGCCUUGGACAACUGGAUCUACAAUAGUGCGUAGAAUUAUUGAAAAUUCUCAUGGACAUCCAUUAAAGAACUAGAAGAUUCUAUUGUCCAAUGAGAUUGUUUGUACCGUUGCUCACAAGGAAAAUUUGUGGUUAGACCAUCCCCAUUUAAGGUUGGUCAUGAAUCUUUAUUAUUUCUACAAAUAGUUCAAGGACAUAUAUGUGAUCUAUUUCGUUACUUAAUGAUUUUGAUUGAUGCAUCUUCAUGGUGAUCACAUGCUUAUUUAUUGUACACCUACAACAUUGCAUUUGCAAUGCAAGAUUGCUUGCCCAAAUUAUAAGAUUAAAUGCACAAUUUGUAGAUUAUUCAAUCAAAAUCAUACAUUUAAAUAAUGCUAAUGAGUUUACAUUUAAGAUGUUUAAUGACUAUUGUACAUCAAUAAGUAUCGACGUUGAGCAUCUAAUUCCACAUGUACGUACACAAAAAUGGUUGGUGGAAUUGUUGAUUAAAUAAUAUAUAUAUAUAUAUAUAGUGAGCUCAUCAUAAGGAAUUCGAUUAUCAUAGAGGGUUUUAAUGGAAUUUCUAACCUUUUCUCCUAAUAGGGUAGGUAAACCCGCAAGGAAUUUUUCCUUCCAAGUUACAUGAUUUGCAUCAUCCCUAAGGAAAAGUCUGGUAAAGAAAGUGGUUUUGUAACUUUGGAAUUCACUAAGUUUCCUACAUCUCAAACAUCUAUAUGUUGUGAAGCUACAGACUCGCUACAGUUAAAGACCCAGUCUUUGUAUUUAAAUCGGGAGGAAGACUUAGACUCCUCAGAUUUUUCAGAAUUCUAUUUCUUUCUUUCUUCUUCUCUUUCUCUCUCUCUCUCUCUCUCUGGGAAUCAGGAAUCAGAAGACAACAAGGAAUUUUCCUGUCUUCAGAUUAAUUUCCCAUUUCUUCUAUAAUAUUUUCCUUUAAAGCAAAACAAAGCAAGAAAAUCAAAUGUAAGAUUUGUAAUUUCUUUUAAAGUUUGUAAUAAAUUUAAAUUUCUGUAUGUUUAAAUUUCUGCAGUUUAAUUUCCGCAAUUUAUUUUAAAGCAUUUAAAUUUAAGUAAUUUAAAUUUUAUGCAUGCCUUGCAGACUGAUCUGUAUCAGAUCUGCCAUAUAAAUUGUUACGUUCCUCAGAGGCAAAGAGACCGGAUCUCUGUCUUCUGUUGUAUCUUCUCUCCUCCCUCCAAUCAAUCAGAAUACUACUUCCGGGACCCGGAUCUAGUAUUAUCUAUGAGCCUUAGAUUUUGUUGCUAGGCUUGCUAAUAAAAUCGUAAAAAUAAAAUAAAAAUUAAAGUGGUAUAUCGGCGGGAAUCCAUCGACGUAAGUUCCAAAGGUGAACCCGAAUGGGCAUUAGCGUGGUCCGCACUGAUGGUCAACAAGCCACGUACCCUUGUUUGAUAAUUAAAUAAAAAGAUAAUAAAUUGUUUCUCUUGUUUACUCUUGUUUAUUUAAAAUUUAAGUGUGUGUAUAUAUAUAUAUAUAUAUAUAUAUAUUGUAGGAACUUACUUAUGCGUAAAAAAUUACCAAUAUCUGCAUGAAUUCAUGCUAUUUUACAUGUUGCGGCAUUAGUUCGUUUUACACCCACCGCUUAUCAUCAAUGUUCUCCAUCACAGCUUGUACUUGGUCAACAACCUGAUAGCUUCCAUCUAUGUACUUUUGGUUAUGUUCUGCAUGUUCCUAUAUCACUCCUUCAGCGUACAAAGAUAGGAUCUCAACGUUGUUUGGGGAUUCAUAUUCAUUUUAACUCACCUUCAAUUGUUAGAUAUCUUGAACCCUUGAUGGGGAUAUUUUCGUUGCACGUUUUGCUGAUUGUCACUUUGAUAAAUAGUUUUUCUAUCAUUAGGGAAUGGAAAGCCUUUUGAAGUAAGGUAUAAACUUUUUUGAAAAGUUUCCACUUUAUCUCAUUUAGAUCCUUGUACUAAUCAAUGUGAAAAUAAAUUACGAAAAGUAAUAUAUUUGUGGCAAAUUGCAAAUCAAUUGCUAGAUGCAUUUACAGAUGCAGCAAAAGGUAACCAAAUCAUAUGUUCCAAUUGUUGAUUGUCACUUUGAUAAAUAGUUUUUCCAUCAUUAGGGAAUGGAAAGCCUCCUGAAGUAAGGCAUAAAUUUUUUUGAAAAGUUUCCAUUUUAUCUCAUUUAGAACCUUGUACUAGUAAAUGUGAAAAUAAAGUACAGAAAGUAGUAUAUUUGUAGCAAAUUGCAAAUCAAUUGCCAGAUGCAUUUACAGAUGCAGCAAAGGGUAACCAAAUCAGCAAAAUGUGUUGCUAAUACACCAGCCAGGUGGUUGUUCCUGGUGAACAAUCAAGUGUAAAAGUAGUUAAUGAGUAUCUGUUACAUGUAAAAAACGUGGUAGACCACUUAGUUCCAAAGAGACUACUCCUCAAAAAAGGAAAAUGAAAGAUCAUGAUCCUAUUUGAAAAUAAUGCUCAACUAUAAACCCACAUUAUUAGAAUCACCAGAAGAACUUAUGGUCCCUAAAUAGACACAAGUCCUUGAAGAAAUAGAAACUCUUGAAGAGGUAUGAAAACAUAAAAAUAGGGAAAAGUCUAUAAAUUUUACUUAUACAAAGGAAAUAUGGAAUCAUAAUGAAAUAAACAUCAACAAUGUAUUUUCAUUCUUAGUAGCUACUAAAAUUACAAAUGCUUUUGAGCUUAAAACUGUCAAUGAAUGUAGAACAAGACAUGAUUGGCCAUAAUGGAAAAAAGUAAUUCAAACAAAAUUGAUUUCUCUAAGUGUGAAGUUUUUGUACCUAUAGUCUAGACACUUAAAAACGUCAAACCCGUUGAUACAAGUGGGUUUUAUGAGGAAACGUAAUGAGUAUAAUGAAAUCACUAAAUACAAAGCACCUUUAGUUGCACAAGAUUUCUCGCAGAAACCUGGUAUUGAUUAUAAGGAUAUAUAUUCUCUAGUAAUGGAUACCAUUACAUUUCGACAUUUAAUCAGCUUAGAAGUCUUAGAAAGACUUGACAUGUGUCUCAUGGAAAUAGUGACUGCAUAUUUACAUAAAAAUCCUUGAAGGAUUCAAAAUGUCUGAAGCAUUUAAAUCAAAGAAUCGUAAUCUAUGCUCAAUCAAGCUACAACAGCCCUUAUACAAAGUUGAAAUAAUCUAGACUCAUGUGGUACAAUCGUUUGAGUGAAUAUUUGAUUAAAGAAGGAUACAAAGAUGAUCAUACAUGCCCAUGCAUAUUCAUUAGAAAAUCUGAAUCUAGAUUUGCAAUUAUAGGAGUUUAUGUUGAUGACAUAAACUUAAUUAGAUCUUCUGAAGAGCUCUUAAAAAUUGCUAAACAUUUAAAAAAAAGAAUUUGAAAUGAAAGAUUUGGGGAAAACAAAAUAUUGUCUCAAUCUGCAAUCGAGCAUAAAACAAAUGGAGCACUUAUUCAUUAAUCAGCGUAUGUUGAGAAAAUCUUAAAACGAUUCAAUAUGGAUCAUGCUCAUCCACUAAGCACUCCUAUGAUUUUCUGGUUUCUCGAUCCUAAAAAAGAUUCAUUCCACACCAAAGAAGAUAAUGAAGAGACAUUUGGUCUAGAAGUAUCGUAUCUAAAUUCAAUCAGUGCUUUAUUAUAUCCAGCUUGAUGUGUCGGACCAGACAUUGCAUCCUCUAUGAAUUUGUUGGCAAGAUUUAGCUUAGUGCCAACACGAAGAUAUUAGGAUGGCAUCAAACAUAUCUUCUAACAUCUUCGCGAAAUGACAGGUUGAAGUUAUUUUAUUCAAAUGAGCCAACAAAGAAUCUUGGUCUUAUCAUUUAUGCAAACUUAGGCUACCUUUUUGAUCUGUCAGAGUCCAUUCACAAACAGGAUAUAUUUUCACUUACAAUGGCACAAUAAUUUCAUGUCGAUCUACUAAACAGACUUUUAUUGCCACCUCUUCCAAUCACUCAAAGAUCCUUACAUUACAAGAACUAAGCAGAGAAUAUGUUUAACUGCGAUCUAUUAUCCAUCAUAUGCAAAGCACAUACAAUUUGACUUCCCCCACAAGUACUCCAACAAUUAUACAUGAAAACAAUGCUGCUCAUAUUACUCAAAUUAUAGGAGGAUACAUCAAGGAGAUAGAACUAAGCAUAUCUCACCAAAGUUUUUUUAAACUCAUAAGCUGCAAUAGGACAAGAAAAUUAAUAUCAAGUAGAUACGCUCCAUUGAUAAUUUUGCUGAUCUUUUUACUUAAGCUUUGCCCAAUCGAGAAAUUAGUCCAUAAUAUUGACAUGCAUCAAAUCAACAAAUUAUCAAAUUGAUACAUGACAUUUGAGGAGAUAUUUCAUUAAGGAGAGCAUAUUUUGAAAAUAAAAAAUCCGACAACUAUAUUAGACAAAUGUUCAUUGUACUCUUUUUCCUUCAACUAGUUUUUUCCCCACAGGUUUUACUGGUAAAGUUUUAACGAGACAAUAUUAAGCACAUCUAAUCAAGUACCUAAAUGGUGAAGUUCAAGGAGAAUGUUGUAAAUAAGUGGUGAACUUUCACCAUUUCGAAGAAUGAAAAAUCCCACGUCAGAAGUGUUACUUCCCCACCCUAGCUCUUGAACCCUAUAAAUAUGUGAUGUAUUUCAUUAUUUUGGCAACGGUAAAAAUUAACUUAGUAUAAGCUUAAUAACAAGAUAUUAUUUAUUACUUUGUUUAGUUCAAAAAAAAUUUUCUAUUAUUUAUUUUUUUUAUAACAACUUGUACUUUAAAUGAAAUUAUAAAAACAACAAUUUUCUAAUAUUUAUCGACAUAAGAUUUUACUUAGUUUUAUUUCUGAAAAAAAAAACUACGAAAAAUUAACCUGAACACCAUAACAAUGAAAGUAAGAUAGACUAGAAUCAUUGUCAAUUAAUCUCCAUAUUUGAUUUAAUAAGAACAAUCUAUAUCAGCAUACAAUAGCAUUUAUUUUCAAAAAAUGUAUUAGAUCUUAAGUCUCUCAAACAAUUACUGAUGAAUAAAGGUAACAAUUUGAUCAUCAUCGAAACUUCUGAAACAAUCAAGAAACCCACAUCCACGUAUGCUUCCAAAUUAUAUAUAUUAAUGAACUCUAUGACAAUAAAAAAAAAUGGGUCUUAUCGUAUGGAGGAAAAUAUCUGACCGUCAAAUGAGGAUCAUUGAGCGUAUAUCAACCCUGUAAUAUUUUCCAUGGUAUCAUUUGCUAAAUUGGAGAUUAUAUUCCAUUGAGCAGACAACCGCAGUUCUACCACAACUCAAUAUUCACUGUUGAGAUGACUCCAUUUGAUAAAAUUUUCAAGUACAGUUUAUUUAUGUAGGACUUUUUGGAGUAAAAUUUUUAUUAAAAAAACUUAUUUAUUCAGUUGGUAAUAAAAACUUUUAUUAAAAAUUUUAAAAUUAUUUUGACAAUUUUAAAAUUAUUUUAUAAAAAAAUAUAUAAAAUUAUCAAACAAGUAAAAGAUAUUUUAGAUAUUCUAACAUUUUUAAAAAAAUUUCAACCUCUACUCUACAAAAACCCAAAAUUUAAAAUUUUUACUAACAAAAUAUAUUAUUUAAUUUUCAAAAACUAUACCAAAAAAAUCAAACAAAAAAAUGAUAAAAAGAACACUAAUGACCAUUAAAUUAGUCAUGUUAAAAAAGCAUGCUAUGUUUUUAGUAGGUAAGGAACCAAUAUGGAAAAAUAUUUAGCACCUUUGUUUUCAACAUAUAUUAAUAGAUAUUGCAAUGAGGAUUUAAAAAAAAAAAAAAAUUACUCACUCAUGAUUUCAAAGAGGUAUAAUUGCUAUUGGUCUAGAGUGGGCUGGUAGUUGUUACUGGCUAGAGAGCAGAGCAGGAAACUGAAGAGGAUACUUGAAGCUUUGAUGGGGAAUCACCACAUCCUUUACCUCACAGUGGAAAUUCUUUUGCAACACCACCAAAUGUGAAACAUUGUUUACAAGAGUCCGUUGCUUCAAAUCAAGGGAAGAUCAUAAUCAUAAGACUCUUCACUUGUUCUAGUUCACUUACAUCAAAUUGAUGAGUUGUACCCUGCACUGAUGCACAAUCAAUGGCAGGGGCGGAGAAAAAAUGCAAUCAAAUUUCUUGCAAACCAAGCCGUAGAGAAGUCACAUGCACAGCAUCUCCUACAUUUUUCAUCUAAUAAUAAUGAUUUUGUAAAAACUAUAGUGUGUGCCAACUGAUAUGACAUGAAGAGAUUAGCUGAAAAGUGAACAAAUUCACAACGAAAUAGAAAUACUGAAGCUUUCCCGCCAGCAUUCUUGUUUCUUUAAACCAAAUGAUUUCAAAACACAUCCACAGAAAAAGUAUAACAAUACCGACACAGAGGUAAAGAAAAUGCAACGUAUCAGAUUAAUUUUGCACUGAGAGUCAACUCUAACAUCAUAAAACACAGGAAAUCCAAAUGGCAGCAAAUCCAACCCUCAAUGACAGAAAAUACAACAUAUCACUCCAAAAGCUAAUUACCAACUGGAGUUUAAAAAAUAUUAAAAAAAAUGUUGCAACCGAAGAUCAUAAAAGGGGAACAUUCAAGAUUAUAAAAUAUCACAUUCCUAAAUCCCUGUUAAUCUGUUUGUCACCAAACUAAACUAUCCAAUAAUAUUAAAAUAUGCUUAUAAUAUUGAUCUAUGGUAAACAAAGAAACUAAAAGGAAAAAAAAUACAAACAAAUUCACCAAAAGAAAAAGAAGCCUCCAAUUCAAUGGAGACGGUAUAUAAUUCAAAUUCCAGACAUUUUAUACUAGUCAAUCCAUAAGCUUACAACUAGGCAGGAAGUACGAUCACAAGAAACCAAAACUCCUAAAACAUUCAAUUCAUGUAGAUUCGACAAAUAGGAAGGCACAGCAUGACAAUAACUAUUUUGUUUGACAUCAAAAGAAAAGGAAGAGUCAAGUAUGGAGAUCAAACGGGGCUGAGGAGCUGAUAGACUUGGGGCUUGGGAUCAGAAUUCAUGCCGAUAAUGAUGAUAAGAGGAAUAAAUCCAUAGUGAGUGACCACUUUAGCCUUUUUCAUGGUCCAAGUGCUCCACUCUUUGAAAGAAUCGACCAUUGAUUUCUCCUCUGAUGCCUUUGCUCCCUUCACGCCCUUGCCUUUGGUCCUAAGUGUUACUCUAGAACCCAUUUUCUCCUCAAAUCUUGACCUGCACAAGAGUAAUAAGUCAAUAAACACAACUUCAUCAUAUAUCUGAUCAAGAAACAGUAUUACAUCGAUAAAAAUCACUUAGCAGUUAGCAUUCCUUAUCAACCACACAAGUAAGAUUCCCACACGAGUAAACUCAAAUCAAGAUAAAAACAUUGUCACGCCCUGUAGCAAUACUCCAAAACAAAUUAUGAAACUUGAAACAGCCGAGUACACAAUUAAUUCUUGUAAGGUAUGACUUCUGAUUCUGUAACUAACGAACCUAGAACAGUCCUUGUUGCUGCAAAAAUUCUAAUCACAGAGCAUGGGUUUAUAUUGAUAUGCUAACAUAAUUCUUUUUUGAUUAAUUUCUAUUUACCAAAAUGAAAAUAAGAAAUUUGAAAUUCAACAAUCUGUUUACAUUAAUAUGCUAACAUAAUUUCAAAAUAAUUUUCCAAACAAAGCAAUGAAAAAUAUGUUUUAUAAGCCAAAUAUAUUAUACGCGUCUUACAAAUGCACGAUAAUGAAACUUUAAUCCAAAAAUCAAACGUUAACCAUAAAUUCAUUAGCAUCAUUAAGAUACCAAAAUAAUUUUUCUAUUUUUUCAAACAACAAUACAUAUAUAAAAUUUUAUCAUAAAAAAAAAAAACUGAUAGACAAAAAAAUAAUUAUAAAAUAAGCUUAGUAGAUCCCGUAGACCGGCGGCGACGAGAAGUACCUGCUGCGGUGAACAGCUUGAACGUUGUGUUGAGAGGAGGCUUUGGCGACUGAGAAGCGACAACCGUGAUUACUAGGGAUUUUAUACGUGUAUGUGCCUCUGUGUAUAUAUAUCCGGGAUUGUAUGUACUCAGAAACAAUUUACUACCAUGAGUCAACUUAUAAAAAGCUGCCACGUAUAUUUUUAAAACAAUAUUUUCAAGUUUCACUCUUCUAGGAUCGAUUGUCGGUUCCGCUCUCCCUUCUAAUUUCUUUCUUUUUGUUCAAAAAUCUAUAUCUAUUAGGGGUGGACAAAAUAGCCGACCCGAUCCAACCUGAAAAAUUUCAAGUUCGGAUUGGAUCGGGUUGUUAAUACAACCCGAUCGGUUGAAAUCUUGCAAACCCGAUCGAUCUUUAAAAAAAAAAAACAAAUCUAAGUGGCUAAACACACGCACACAGCACACCACACAUAAUCACACACAAAUCACAUACUCAAAAGGUUACACAAACACAAGACUCACAACAAAACACAAACCCCAACUUAAGUCGUCUGCGAAUUUGCUCUUUCUCAAAAUUUCUUUCUUUUUUUUUUGUUUUCUUAAUGUGAUUUUUUUCAAAAGACAAGUUGCGAUGAUGAUGAGUGAAAUUAAUCUCGUUAAUCUGAGAUAAACAUGAGGAAAAAUUCUCUAAUCCAUUGUUAAUUAUCCUGAGCACCUUUUCUUCCUCUUUAAAAAAAAUCACAAAACCCAACCCACCCUCAAGAAGCAAGAAAACAUUCUCUCCUUCAUGCGAUCUGCUGCUGCCGUGUUGCGAGUCCGGCCAUCUGCUGCUGCAUCAGCGAUCUGCUGUUGCCGUGCUGCUGUCAUGCUGCUGCCGUGUUGCGUCCAGCCAUCUACUGCUUCGUCCGCAAUCUGCUGCCGCCGUGCUGUGUCCAGCCAUCGCGAGGAAACUGUUGCGCAUCCAACCGUGCGCGAGCUGCUGCUGCACGUCCACCGAUCUGCUGCCGAAAACCCAGCCGUGAUCUGCUGUCGUGGCUGCCGAUCUGCCGCUCCAAGGCUCAAGCCUCCAACCCGACCCGAGUUUCUCCCUUAUGUGUUUUGAAUUUUGAAGCUUUCAUGGUGUAUUGGUAUAUAUGUUUUGAAUUGACCCGUUUUCAUCAACGCGAAUUGGCUUAAUUUGACCCAAAUUCAAUAUGAUUCGUUUUUAAUCCAAACCGAUUCUACCCAAUUUUUUGACCCGAUCCGAAUAUAUAUCGGAUCGGAUCGAGUCGGGUUGUAAGUUCGGGUUGCAUUCGAAUCAAUGUUUGCCCAACCCGAAUAACCCGAAACCCGAUCGGGUUGACCCGAACCCGACCCGAAUCCGAUUUUGCCCACCCCUAAUAUCUAUAUAUAUAUCUAUCUAUAUCUAUCUAUAUCUAUCUAUAUCUAUCUAUAUCUAUCUAUCUAUCUAUCUAUCUAUAUAUCUAUAUAAAGCUAGGACUUGAGGAGGUGAUGUGACAUUACCAUUUCUCAUCUUUGUAUAUUCUCUAUUAUCUAAUAAAUAAAUAAAAAAAUUUUAGAUUUGGGUUUUCAUCUUCUCAUAAUUAAUUUGAUUGUUAUUACACAAUAACAAUUAUGUAAAGAUUUUAAUGAGGCAUAUUCUUUGUAAUGAACAUCCAAGGGGGAGUGUUAUGAAUUUAUUAAAAUAAAUGUAAAUGUUCAUAACAUAUAUCUCUUAGUCUCCCUACUAUCUCCUAUUAGCAACCUUUAACUUCCCUAUAACUCUCACUAUCUCACAAGAAAUUAUAAUCCAUAAUUCUUACAUUUAUUUCAUUGAGUGAUUAUGUAACUAUAAAAGGAGAGCUCAUUUUUUUGUUUUGUAUAUACACAAUUGGAAUGAAUAAAAUCAAUCUAUAAUAUAUUCUCUCAUUUUAUUCUUUAUCUUGCAUUGCUUCUUUAUUUGUAUUACUGGCUAAUUAUUUUUUUUUGUUUUUUAUAAGGCUGUCUCAUCUUAAAAAAAAUCAAUUCAUAUUUUUUAUCAGUUUCAUCAAGUGUAAAGUAAGAAAAAAUGAUAAUACUAAAUUCUUUUUUCAAAGCCGCGUGAAACGCGGUUCUAUUUUCUAGUAAAUAAAUAAGGGAGAGAAUUUUUAUUUUUAUUUUAGGCGAUUGUUAAUAUAUACCACUUAUUUCUACUAUUUUCAUAUUAUUUAAAAAAAUUAAAAAAAUUGUAAAUAAAUCAUUAGUUUAAUAAUCUUUUUUUUAAUAUAAAACAUAUAUUUAUUAUGAGAAAAUAUUUUUUAAAAACAGAAAAUUAGAAAAAUAUUUUAUCAAUAAUUUUUUAUUCACAUCAAAUAUAUAUAUAUAUAUAUAUAUAUAUAUAUAUAUAUAUAUAUAUAUUUCUUUUCUCUAGUACUUAGGUUUUUUUUUAUUUUAACUUUUAUUUAUAUAAUUUAUAAUAAAUAUAAUAAAGAUAUAUUUAAAAAUAAAAGUCAUAUUGUAAAACUAUACUAUUAUAAAAACUAUAAAGAAAUAAAUUAUAUAUAUUAAUUUUAAUUAAAAAAAAAUUACAUAUAUUGAUUUAAGUGGGAAGGGGGGGGGGGAAUUGACAAUAUCCCUUUAUUUUUUUUUGAAUUAGUAAAAUAUUUGAUUGAAAACAAGAGUUUUAGAAUUUGAAUCCCACUAAUAUAGAUGGAAAAAAAUUAAAUUGCUAUUAACCUAAAUAAUAAUAAAAAAAGACAAUCAUUUCAACAAUUAAGUUUCGAUUAUUGUGAUAAUUUAUUUUGUCACUACACCAUAACAGGUAGUUAUUUGUUGCAAAAGAAUAAAAUUAUAAUUUUAUAAAAUAAAUAAACAUUAAUUACUAAUAUCAUGAUGUUGCUAGAAAUACGAUGUCACAUAAAUUAGAAUUAAAUAAAAGAUUGGCAAAAUUAUCACUGAAACAACCUAGUAGCCCUGCCGUCACUUUAUAUUUUGUCACACUUUAAUUUAUUAACAACGUAUCUACGUGAUUUUAAUCAAAAUGGUGAAAAAGGAAAAUUCAUACUAAUCGAUUUAUUAACAAAAGUAUUUACGUGAGUUUACAAGAUUACCCCUGAACAGUUCAUAUGUGCUAAAAGACAUUUUUUACCUUGAAAUCCCACCCAAAAAAUCUCACCAGCAUCGCAUAUAAAAGCCGACUCGGAGGAGUGGCGGGAAAAUUGGUGCCCUUUGAAGAAUCUCAAUCCCCAGGAAAAAUGCCCGAAAUCGAAACCCUAGGUGUUCUCGACGAGAUUCAGGCUCUCGUCUCUGAUCAUCUUCAAGUGGUAACUUCAAUUCUUCUUCUCUCUCUUCAUUUGGUUAUUUAUUUCAAAUUUAAUGUAAAUUUUCUCUGAUAUGUUGCGUCUUACUGUGAUUCAACUCUUUAUGAUGCUAAUUUUGCUCGGGCUUUGUUAAAUGUAUUUCUGUUUAUUCAAUUUUUGCUGGAUUGGUGAAAUAAUUUAUGGGUAUUUGGUAAAAAUAGAGCCUUUAUACUUAAUUGUCUAAAAAUUCUAGUGAAAAAAUAUUACAUUUUUAGACAUUAUGCGUCUAAUAAAAAGAUGAAUGAUUGAAAAAUAAUUAAAUUUUUCUGCAAGUGCUUUUAGUGUUGAUUUGACAUUGAGUUUGAGAUGGGGUUUUGCUUUACUUGAUUAGUAAUCAUUCUCAAAUUUCCUAAAACUGUAUUUAUUGUGGAAAAUUCUUCAUUGAAUGCAUUAAGGAUUUGUGUUUGUUCAAAAUCCAUCCCUCUGUCAAUAAUUAAAUAUGUCGGUUGUUUUUGCUUUUCAUCCCUUAUCCCUGUUUUAGUUGUAUUUUUGUGCUAAAUUUAUGAAAUGUCACUUGUUCAUUGAUCUGAGAUUAUACUCGUCAACACUUAGAUUUUGUACUUGCUCACAUAUCCCAUACACAGCAUCUUCAAGCAAGUUGUAUACAUUUGGCUUCUUGGCUAACAUUUAUAUGUAGAAAUGCAAAUUUCUUUUUUGGAUUAGUAGUCUUAUUAUUUCAUGAUAUAGACCUUGUAGGCUAUGCAUGCUACCCUUUUCUAAAGCUGGAAGUGCAUGAGCAAAUUCUUGACAUAAAUGAUAAUACUUUUCAGGUUUCAUAUAAGUGGCUGAGUCGCAAUUUUUUGGUGUCUUCAAAUACCGCAAAGAGGUUAGAAUUUCUCCUUCCAGCAUAUAAGUGGUUUUUCUUAUCUAUUGGACAUACUUUUACCUUAUAUUUUGUUUUUCUGAUUCAAUAAAGGCUGCUUCAAGAGUUUGUUGAGAAACAUGGAAAUGGGUUGGAAGUAGUAUACACUUUAUCCGGCUGGUUGAAGAGUAGUCCUCCAAGUUAUAAUAUAAGGCUUGUUUCUGAGCCUAAACUUGCAGGUUAGAUUUUUCAUUGAAUAUGUUAUGGUUCCACUUGUGCUAAUAAGUGAGAAUUGGACUACAUGGUUAAACGUUGCUACAGCUUGGGAAAAGCAAGACUGAGAAAUUUCUGUAAUCAUUUUGAUACUUCGAGUAAAGCAUUAUUGAUAUCAAUUGCCACAUCUUUUAAUUCAGAGAGGUUGCCUUAUCAUUAACUCUAGCCCUUUAUUUGUGCCAUAAUAUUUGAAAUAUGUGGCUCUGCUGUAUGAGUUAACAAGAAUUAAUGAGGGACUCCAUUAUUUGUCUUCCAUGCAGAAGCCAAGCAAGAAUUUGAUGGCAAUUGCUCAAUUCAGGUCUAUAGUGUGCAAGCUUGUAUCCCAAAGGAUCCGGCAGCACUUUGGAAUGCUGAAUUUGUACAAGCCGAAGAGCUCUUCAAGCAGCCUUCAGCAGUUGAUAACUGCUUGAGAGAUAAUAGGUAUGAUGAUACCUCUGUAUUAACUAUAAUUGUUUCCACUUUUAGAUUAGACACUUCAGAUUUUGGUAUUUGGGACUGCAUUUAGUUUUCUCAAUAGAGCUUUAUUCAUUUGUCUUUUGAAAUUGUAAUAUCCAAGAAGUUCUCGGUUUCUUUGUAAAAUUUGGUUAUUGCAGGUUUAGGAUUUUCACUGCCUUAUUUUGAAGCACUUCUUCCUGUGCUUCUAUUGAAGCUUCAUUUUUGACAGUUUCUUAAAUCAAAAUUCCUUAGAAAAUAGAGCUUAAUAGAUAUUGAAGAUAUUGAUUGGUUAUGGAUUGUUGUCAUCUGAGAAGCUUCAAUUGUUUCUCUGUAAACAUUAUUGCAGUAAACCUUAUAUUCAAAUCUCAGGGCAUUGGAGUAAGAUAUGAAAAUAGUUACACUUCUUUAAUUUCCAGUGUAUGGUUGCGCACAAAAAGAAGGGGGUGAUGAGAAAAAUAACAAACCUUUAUGCAUCUUCUGAUAAGCGAUUAGACGAUCAUUUCAUCCAUAUACAUUUCUGCAGGAACAUUCUGUACUAUUGAUAGUUAGACUUACAUAGUAAAUGACUAUGACUCUGCAUAUGUUGCCUCCUCUUACUUGACUGCAUAAUAUUAUUUAAUCAGGUUCUGUGGGAUUUCAAAUUCCUUUGUCAAGCGCGGUGCCGAGGGAACUCCUGUAAGCAAUGCUUCUUUGCAGCUUAAAAUUGCAGCGAUCCCAGACCUGACAAAAACUAACACUGCACAUCAUAACAAUACAGUUCCACCAUGUUUGCAAAAUAAAGUUCAGCAAUCAAGCCCAAAGGUGGGUCUGAUGUCAUCCAAUGCGGCAAAAGAGGUCAAAGGUCAAAGUAAUGGCACAGGAGCUCAUGAUCAAGUUACCAAGCCUUCUGUUCAAGAAGAAAAACUACAGCCUUUGCCUGCAAAUAUACAGAAUAAAAGCUCUUCUGGUAAUGGAGGUUCAUUAGCAAAUUUAUGGGGUCGUGCAUCUUCAAAGUCGAAGCCCAAUAGCGCACCAGCAGAUGGUAAUGUUGACUUCCAAGUCCUACUGGUUGGCUCCUAUCUGAUUAAUCCAAUACUCUUAACUGUAAUGGAGUAAUUAGCUGUUUACUAUUUUAAAUAAAUAUAUAUUCUACCAAGUCCACAAUCUAGGAUACGUUUAGCUAACUCUUUCGUUUUCCCUUCCGCAACUUUUUACAUGAUAUUAGCUAGUGCGGGAGUGGUGCAGGAUGUGAGCAAUGAAGAUGAUGCUGAAGAUGUAAAUUUUAGAAGAGCCUCCAAUGGGGAAGGCAAAAGGAAAAGAAAGGUAGUUUUUGAUCUCUCAGAUGAAGAUGAGUAUGAAGAUGCAGUCAAUUUGGCAUCACCCGAUCUACCAAAGGGACAGUCAAGUCUAGCUCCAGAGCAAAGUAAAAAAGUUUUAGUUACUGAAAAACCCAAUUUGAUUUUUGAUGAGCUAAUAGAAGAUAAACCAAAAGUAAAGGAAGAGAAAGCAACUGAUCUGGAACCCAACCAAUCAGAAGACUCUUCAGUUGUCAGCACAAGAACAAUCACUGAAACUUCCAUUACAGAGAAGAUACAGAAGUGUGUUCCUGAGAAGGAUGUACAUAAGGAUAAAGUGGCUGAUUCUUCAGCCCAAUCACCCAAAAGAAGAAAAGUUGUGAAGACACGGAUCGAUGAACGUGGGAGAGAAGGUAUACCCAUGUUUUAUUUGUGCUCUCCUAAAAGGCAUGAGUUACAUUUGGUGGUGUUUUUAUGUUGUUUCUGAUGGGAAAAGUUUUAUCCUAGGAGAAAUUCAGGUUAAUCUUUAUUUUAUUUUAUUUUAUUUCUGUCCAGUAACUGAAGUUUUAUGGGAGGGUGAGGAAAGUGAAAUGAAGAAACCUGACAGUGGAACGAUGCAGAAAGCGGACAAUACGAUGAAGAAAGCUGAGAGCAAUACUGUCGCCGACAAUGUUAAAAGGUUAGAGCUGUCUUUACGUUUAUUAUUUGCACUUAGAUAUCAUUGUUUAGCAAUAUUAUUUUACUCCAAGAAGUUCAACAUGCCCACUGACCACGUCAAAUCAUAGGGAAACUUUGGUAUCCCGCAGGUGUCUGCUGGUUGUCAACCUCAUUUUCUAUUUGGUGAAAAAUCUGUUUCCUUCCUUUAAUGGAAUAGAUCUUAAAUAUGAUUCCAGAGUGAUCCAUUAUUUAUUCUGGCCAACAAAAAAAUAAAUUAGAAACCAAAUGAAACUAAUAAACAUGUCAUAAAGUAGAAGUAUUUAGAAGUGAUGAUUGGAAGCCUAAGAAUAACUAGAAUACUGUGCUGUGCAAACAUCACAAUCAGCUGGAAAACCAUGCAAAUAAAUAUAUGAAAACAUCAGAUGACACCUAUGAUAUUUGGUUUAAUUAUACGUAAAUAAAUUAGUUUGAAAUUAUCACAUAGUGUUUGUGAAUAAUAGUUUGAAAAUUAUCAUAUGGCUCUGCCAUCAACCGAGGUCUGUUAGAUUUAUGGGACCCUUGUUACUGGUCGCUGGUUGCUGUUUGCUGUUUGCUGUUUGGUAGGUUCUCAAUUGCCAAAUACAGUUUGUGAUUUGCAUUUUGUUUAGGUGUUUGCUAAGGAAAGCUUAUUGACUCUUUUAUGAAUAAUCCUUGAGAUUUCUUUUGCUAUUUUUCAUAGUCAAGUUACCUUUCCUCCAAUUGAUAUUGUGGUUUCCUUUAUAUCAUCAAAAUUAGCUUGGUAAUAUCCUUUCUUGGUUACAUUUAACAGACCUGAGUUAGUGAUAGAGGUAGUAUGUAAUAUGACUUUUCUGGCAUUGGGGUAAAACUAAGCCCAAAGUCAGGUUGUUGGAUGAUAUUUUUCCUACAAGUAUAUUACUUCUUUGCUAUUUUAAGUUUGAUUAUUUCAAAACGCUUUUGAGUGAAAAUAAAUAUUGUGCACAAAAUUUUUCAUAUCAGAGAUCAAGCUUGCUUAUCAGUUCCUUUUGAUUGUGAAAUGUUUGUCUCUGCUAAUACUAGUUACAGUAGGCACUUGGUUUAUAAGCCAUGCCUGUCUUGGAGACUGAUUUAUAUAUGUGGCUAGCAUUAGAUUCCAGAUUUCAAAUAUGAGUAUUCUUAUGGUGGUUAUUUGUCAGUUUGUGCCUAGAUACUCUUCUAAAUGUUGGAUUUAUGUAAUUAUGUCAGGCCGGCGGCAGCUAAGAAGUCUCCAGCAUUAGGAAGCAAUGCACCGUCUAAUGCUGGGAAUAAAGCAGGAAACAAGAAAGCUGGAAAUCAGAAGGAUCCUAAACAAGGCAACAUUCUAUCUUUCUUUAAGAGGGUAUGAAGUGAAUGAAAUGGUGUUCGUGCUAUUUGACGUUUUCAUUUUGGGUUCUGUAGAAUGGUUUAACAACCUAGUUCACAAUGGGAUUUGUGGUCCGAGCGUUAAAACUCAAUGUUUGGUUCUAUCACUACUUAUGGUUUGUACAUUGAUAGGAUCAGAAUUCAUGAAAUGAAGAUGAAGGGUUCUGCAUUUUGAGUGUCUUUAUGCAGAUUUAGGUUGUGAACCUUUCUCAAACGGUUAUAUUUCUAAAGGAAAAUACAGUAAUUUGCAGCCCUUGUUAAAACAAGCCAUCAAGGAUAUGCAUAAUCAUUGUUCGAAUUAUGUAACACAUCUUUUCUUUGCUAAUUUCCAACUUGGAUUAGCAUUAGGAAUAUGGAAAUUUUACUGAAAUUCACGUACAAAAUAACUUCUUAAAGUUAUAUAAUUCUGAUAACCUGGUUUUAUCUUGAAAAAUCAUAAAUGGUGGAUUAGAAAAGCUUCAAUCUGCAACAGUCUCAUACAAUCCAAGAGACCUUACACGACGGGAUACAGAAUCAUCCUCAAUUACAUCAUCAGAAAAUCUCUUCUGAUUCUUAAACAUUGAACUAUACAUAUUCAAAUUGCCUGAAGAACUUGCCUUUCUCAGGCAAGUGCAUAUUGGAGAGAGAAUUUCAAGUCUUAAUAAUAUCUACCAAGUCAAUAUGCAACCUUUCAGGAGAACAAGUUGACACCGAAACCCUAUUUUUUUUCCCCACAAUAUCCAGAUGGGUCACAGGUGAUCUUGUUCGGUAUCCAAAUGAAACUUACACAACACAGUUAAAAGAAAAAGUCCACAAAUAAAGAGGAUCAGAGCAUGGCUUUACGAAAAAUAGUAUGGAGGAGAUUUAGAGAAAUAUACAUGAUUUACAAUCAAUCUUUGCAGAAACAAGGUACUCAGUAUCUCUCUAUUCUUUAACCUAACCUUCUCGGAUCAAGUUGGUCGGUUCGCUCAAAACAUACUUGGGUAGUUCAUAUUUUGCACCUGCAAGAUGGAUUUGUAAAGCACAGCAGUAGAAAUAAGAAAGAAAACAUAAGUUUCAACAAGAACUUCAGUAACAUAUUUAUACAUGAUAUGUUGAUACUUCAAAAAAUUAAUAAACAGCAAAGUACCUCUUUCAUCAUAGCAAAUAGUCAAAUCAGCGCUUUGAACAAUGACACCCGCACUGUCCACAAUAGCUUGCGCAAGGCUCAGAUCAGCUUCAGCAGCAGCACGUAGUGCAUCCCAGAUCUCUGAUUUUUCAAAAAAAGGACAGUGACAAUUAGAAGUAUAACUAUAAAACUCAAGAAGUAUAUUCUACCGGUAGUACAGAUUAUUGAUGACAAUAAAAUAAUAAUUUAAGAGACUGUUCUGAGAAACUACUAAUUUUUCCCCACUCAUGUUUGCUUUCCAGUGUUAAAAAAAUAAAAAUAAAAAUAAAUGUUUCCUUUUCGGCAAAAUUACAUGCAAUCUAAACAGAUUAACAAUUUUGCUUCUUGUGAGGAUACAUUUUGUGAUCUUCUACCAGUAUUGAUAUCAAUGACUUCUUCCCAAAUAACUAACUAAUGGAAACCUCAACCUCUGCGAAGCAUACUACUAAUUCAACAAUUCACAGUCCGUAUUGUAGUUCAAACGUUUGAUUCAAAUCACAGUAGCUGGCAAUUUAAUUGGUGAUAAGAACUAGUUUUCUACAAGACUUGAUUUCCAAUUUAUAAAAUGCAGCUCUACAGUUGCUUCCCAGAAGCUUGAGAUGAUUGGGGAUAUACACUUGAGCAUAUAUAGGCCAACACUCAAUUCAGUAAUAGUUAUACAGUGGCUCUUACAAAAUUGUCUAAACAAGGUGAUGCUUCUAGUGGCAUAAUACUUAUAGUAGUUUAUUAUGCCCCAUCAUUGUUUUUCAUAAUCCACAUUCUACUUGAUCUUCUCCGUAGCCUUAGCCAACUUAGAUCAAGUCGGCCAUCGUCUUAAUUUUUAACUCUAGCUCCCUUUUUUUAUGGGUAGGAAAUUAACCUUGAAUUUUUUUAAAAAAAUCAGUAUGGAACCACAAAAACAAAGAUCUACCUGGGCAGGACCUCAAAAUCUAUACAAAAGAAAACUAUCCACUCAAUAUCUCCCAUUGCUGUCCACUCUACUUAGCAUUCCUUCAAAAAUGCAUCAUCACUUGACUUUGAACAGUAUUUCAUAUCUGCUACAAAAUUAACUGAAGGUUGUCAGGACUGCUAAAGCUUUGAUACCACAAUCUUGUCAUAGCCACUGGAUUCUUAUCCUUCAUGUUCACAGAUAUAUUAUCAUCCAAACAUACCAUAAGAUUCAUAUAUCCUACACUUUUAAGCACAACAUAUGUUUUCUUUUUUAAAUUUUUUUAUUGUUAUUAUUUUUAGGAUAAUCCAGACUCCUGCACAACCUGGACCAGAAGUCUGCCUCGGCCAGGCCCCCUAGAGGUUCAGUUGGGCACCCUAGCCCCAUGACUCAUGAGACAACAAAGGGUGGAAUUUUUAAGCCACCAAAAGGAUCAAACCUGAGACCUCGAUACAGCCAAGCACCAGAACCAAGCCCUAAACCAACUGGGCUGCCCCCUCGGGGGCUUUAAGCACAACAUACGUAUUGAACUCUACUAUGCAUAGUCUGUCCAGGAAAAAAAAUGCUCAGUUUAGGGUCACCCUAAAAAUAAACUCUCACCAUUCCUAGCUUCCAGUGUCAUUUCAACAUUGAAAACCUUUAAACUGUAAGCAAUUUAUGCAUAUGAUACAACAAUAACUUGAAUUUAGGAGAGCAAAGCCCUUAAAACAGCAUUAUGUCAUAGCAUACCUGACUUUAGUAAUUUUUUGGUUAUAUUUCCAGAUUUUUUCCCCCUAGAAACCCUCUAAGGAAAUUUUCAAGAAAUUAGAUAGGCGUAAAAUUAACACCGCAAGCAUGAUCAUCCUUUAUAGAACAUGAAAUAAAUAUACACAUCCAACGAAACUUCCACCACUCCCUUAUUUUGGUCCAGCUACAAAAUCAAACCAAAAAGAAAGUUUCAUUACAAGGAAAAGACCUAUUUGUUUAUGUUAAUGGCUGAAAAAGGAAGCAGCAAUGGGCUGCAAAGAAAAACUGGUAACCUGAAGGUUGUAGCCAGGUUCUUUCACUCUUCUAAGAACCUGCCUAUUCAUUGUAUAUAUUGCUUCUUAAACAAUGAAGGCUAUUUAUCUUGCAGGUAAGAAUCAUUUCCAUACUUAUUCAUCACCUGUAGGAGAGAUGAGAUUAACACAGUAGUUUUGCUAUAACGUGCAGCAAGAGGACUGCUAUUUGCUAUAGACACUCCAAGACGAUCAACAAUAGAUUUACAAAGCCAAGAUCUGGACGUUGAAAAUGAACGUACAAAUAUAAAUGCUCAACUCAAGGUAAAUCUAUUCAAAGAUCUAACAAGUAAUCAUCCAAGGAAAAAUGAAUAAGUAAUCACACAACAAAGCAGCAGAUAAACAAAUUCUGAAAGUUAUAAUGAAGUCAUACUAUUAUAAAAAUGGAUUGUGGUGGUAACACACACUUGAACUAUUCCAAAUUAGCGAACUUCUUUCUUUAUCUUCUUCUUCCUUUUUUUUAAUAUCUGAUAAAUUAGCAAUCAAUUCCAUUUUCUCAAGUAAUUAAAGAAUCAGUACUUAGGUUUUCAUACAUUCUGAGGGACUACCUUUCCGGCCACCAUAAUGAGGAGCAGUGUCCCAAAACUCAUCACGUAGCUGCAUCAAUUGAGACUUUGUUAUUGGCUGAGGAUGCUUCCAGGGUUUUGGCUUUCGAAUCUUUUUCACAGUCCCUGAUACAACCAAUGUUUUCGGUCGGCAUACUUUAAUAAAACCAUGAUAUUAUAUCUAAAACAUUCAAACUAUAGUUAUAAUCCAAGAUAUUGAAAUCUUGGCCGGGAAGAUUUCCAUUAAAAACUCAUUGGAAUCUUGAAAGUCACCGAAAUUGACUCAAUUUGUAUAAAUUUGAUAUAUUCAUUCUAUUGAGAAUAAGAUAAUAAAAGUACAUCACAAGCAGCACCGUUACAAGCUUCUUGCAAUAUAUACAAUAAUAACAGAAGCAUCAACUCAGCACAAUUGACAGACAUUCAUUCAUGCUUGCUAAAGAAGCUAAUAAAUUAUACGAAGGCCACCAUUUUACUAGUUACUGUGCGCGCACACACACACUGCAACUGCAAAUCAUACACGGUCUCAACCUAAAUCAUGCAAUUUACAAACCUAACUUAUACAAAAGAAAUCACUUUCUAUAAAUUCAAGCCAUAGAAGGUAAGAAUUUUACUCGACAGGUCUCUUUAACAAUACACAACAAGCCAUAUAAUGCAUGUGUUUUAAGCGGCAUCCUGAGGGAAACAAAUCCAAAUUUUACACCUUAUUAACCAAGCCUUGGAAUCAAUCUCUUGCUAUACACUACACUCGCUAAGCGUGUCUCUUUUUUUCUGGUUUCACUUUAUCAUGUAUAUAUCAAAUUAAUUCGAAAAUUUGACACAAAUUACACAUAACUCGAAAAUGUAUUUAAUCUACACCGAAUCAAGCAGUUCAUAAGUUCAGCGGAAAGAUGACAGAAAGAGAGGGAUUCAACUGAGAAUUAAUCAGAAAAAAAAAAUUAACAAAAACAAGAUUUGAAGAUAGCUAAAUCCUACAAAAAUAACAAUAAUAAAAAGACGAAAAUUAAUCAAUGAUAAUUAAUAAAUUUUAACUGAAUGAAGAAGACGAAAAGAAAUAAUAAAGUGACUUCACCGUCAGCUUUGCUCUGCGACGAUCCAGCACACCCCAUGCUUUUUUUUUUCCCGCUCUUCUUCUUCUUCCGUCACAAUAGAAAACGGUUCAUUGAAUGCAAAGACAACUGAAUUUAAAUUUCUUUUUUUUUCUUAAAAAAAUUAUUUCAGUUUUGUACGUGGAGUGCGUGAGUGAGAUAUUUUUUUUCCGGCCGCAAGAGUCCCUGCGGUUCCUCUCCCGUGAGUUGAAAAAAAAGGUCAAAAACCCAAGAAAGGUGCACGACGAUUAUGAUUGGAUAAUUAUAUUAAUUUUUUAUUUUUAACGAAUAAUAAUUAUGACAUAAUUGGCUUGGCGGUUUUGCCCUGCUCAAUAAUAUUUACUUUCAGCAGUAAAGAGAUUUUUUUUUUUUUAAUAGAUUUUUCCAGUAAAGUGAGUUGCUUCGCUGUGAUAUGUGAAUGAGAUGUUUCCUCUUUCCUCUUUCGGGUUAAAUUGUUUUUUGAUUGACAGCAACGAGAUCUAGAAUCGAUUGUAGUAGUCAUAACUGACAAAAUUUCGCCGCAUCAAUAAUUCUAAAAACGAUUGGGACCUAAAAGUUUUUUUUUUUUUUUUUUUUUUUUACUUGUGAAUGAGAAUCAAAAUCCACUGCUUAACUUUUUAAAUGGAACUUUUGUAAGUGGAAUAUUAAUUAAAAAAAAACUUUUAGUUAUUUGUCACUUGUUAAUAGGAGUUUUUUUUAAAUUAUAAAAUUAUUUUAAUGAAUACGUUUUUAAAGUUAUGUUACGAAAGUAAUUAAAUAAGAUUGUAAAAUAAAUAAUAGGUAUUUUAAGUAUUUAAUUUUUAGAAAAAAAAAUCAACAUUUACUCUUAAGAGUUCAAAAUUUGACGUUUAUUAGUAGAGGUAAAAUAUCUUAUUUAAUUCUCAAAAGUUUCACUCAAAAUACAACUAAACAAUGACAAAAACUUUGAAACAAGCUUUUGAAAUUAAAUAACCAAUUAUAACUAUUAAAUAAGUUAUAUCCAACAUGUAGUACUUCUUUUUUAAUUUUCUAUUUUUAAAAAAAAUUAAAAUGAGAAAAAAAGUUUCUUAGGAAAUUUGUUUAAAUUCUUUUAUAAUAAAUUUCCAAAUAGUGUCUUUUAGUAAACAUCAUCUUUUACAUACAUACAUACAUACAUACAAACAUUGCUUGCACUAUUGAGCAUAAUACUAUUCCAUAACACCAUAAAUAUGGUGUUUAAUCAUGAAGUAGUGUCUGCACCGUGCUGACAAUAACGCUCACCAUAUAAUAUUUUUCCUUGUCAUGCUGAUGGGGUUGUGUUAAUCUUAAUCAAUAAUCACUUAGUCCAAAUCAAAGAAGUUGCACUGCAAGUUAGAUGGAUGGAACGAAAAGUGCUUUUGGUGUUGUUGAUAAAUGAAUAAAGGAUACAAAGAGGCUCCAACUUUAUAUAAGUCACUCACGGAUUUUAUAUAAAUGUAAAGUAAAGUUCAUUUUUAAUACUGUCAUGCUCAUGAAUUUUGUUGGUCACAUUUCCAUCUCAUGAAUUGUGCUCACAGAAAUGCAAAAAUCAUUUUCACUCCCAUUUGAGUCAAAAACACCUCUUGAUGUCAUGUGAUGUGAGGGAUGCAAUCAAAGUAAAAAGUCACAACCAAAGUUGAAGUUAGCUUAAACUUUUAUUAAUUUGAAAAAUUCAGCUUCUACAACCCUCCGUAAUAAUUCCCAAACCCCCCCCCCCCCCCCCCCAGUGUGGAAUCCACCAUCUAAAAGCACUUUUUAAAUGUGCUUUCAAUGGAGAAUUUGGCACCCCCACCACUGCACUUGAAUAUGUUGCUAAAUACAAUCUUUUUAAGGCAUUUACUGUUAAAAUAUUGUCAUAUGGUUCCAUGCCCCAAAAUGAAUGGCCAUGCACUGUGAAAGUAAAAUGAUUCUUCAAAUUGUCCAGAUCACAUGGGAACUAGAUUCUGAAAGGCUAAUUUAAUUACUUAACUACAUAAAGAAAACAAAAACAAGUCUACACAACUGAGUCUCCUUUAACAACUAUGCUUCUGACAUCAGUUGGGUAGUAGUUAGCUACAUUUCAGACACUCGAGGAUUUCAUGCAGCUCCUUCCAUAUGUUGCAGUACCCGGACCACAAAAUAUCCUGAGAUGAACUCAUCUGUGUAGAUAUCUAUCGAACACACAAAAUCUUGCUUAUAGUUUUUAUUCAACUACACCAGGUAGACAUUCAUGUUGAAAGAAAGACAAAACAAAAAAAUGAAGGUGGUAAACUAACCGGUAGAUGCAAGUGAUCGCCAAGAGUUUAAGCUUAUAUUCAAAAACGGUAGGAAUCAUCGCCAUACUUGCUCCUCAUAUUGUAAUGGUCAAACUUCAGGUUGUCAUAAUCUACUGGCUUCAUCUCGACAGGUUUUGGCUCCAUCCCACUCACUCCAUAAACUACCUCUCCACUUUUAUCACGCUGACGAUGUCUUGUUCUUUCUUUCUGGCUCUUAGACUUGCUGUAAGGAGGAGGAACCUCACCUGACCCAUAGAAUUCAGCAUACUCUUGUCUUUUUGAAGACCGGUGCUUUGUUGAUAAAGAAGAAUCCUUAAAACUGGCAGAUUUGAUCUUCGGAGGCUUCAUGUCUGGAUAUUUAUCACCAGUACCAGGAGUGCGGACUUGAUGGGUUUCAGAUAGAGGAACAGCUGACUUCUGCCUUUGCACUACUGGGGGCGCAGCUUCAUCUUCAGGCAUCCUGAGAGUAUCCCUCAGUGGUGUAAGGUUUCCCUUGGUGCCACUGGAUCUAAAACGAAAGGGGACAAAAUUAAGGAACAUGCUACCCAUUGCCUCAAGGGCGAGCUUGGACAGAUCAAUAAUCAGUUGUCCAAAAGAUGGCCAUCCUGGUUCCUCUUUCAUGCUCUCAACUAUUGGAAUGGGUUUCUCUUUAUUUGACAGUUCUUUGAUUUCAGUUUCUUCAUUGAAUUCGCUCUCUGAAGGUUGUUGCUGCACCACAACAAGCAGUAGAUUAAGCAAACAGUGAAAAACAAUGUUAAGAACCAGCUUGUUAAAAUUUAUUCGGGCAGAUAAAAUAAAAGUACUUACUCCUUCAAAGACCUUCAAGACUACUAGAAAAAAAAAAAAUUGAAUGGCAAUAAAGCAUACCGAAGGCUAUUAAUUUACUUUUCCACAGAUAGAAAAUGAACUGGUAAAAAUAUAUAUAUAAGUUGUAUAUUUGCAAAUUAUUCUUUGUAAGUUCUACUCAAAUUAUUAAGGCUUUCUCAAAGAACAUCCAGUAAAGUCAAAUAAUGUUGUUAACAAUAAUGCCACCUGCUGAUGUGAGAACAGAUAAAAUGAAUAGUACUUUGGAGUAAAUAUCCUUGAACUAGUUCAAAGCAUCUAAAUUUUCUAUUUUGUGUAUUUCUACACAAACAAAGAAAUAGAAGUGAAAUGAUUGAGCAAGAUGUAUACCGUUCUCGAGAAGAAAAAAGGUCCAAACCCCUGCUGAAGCAUGCAGGUCACAUAUCCAACCAAGACAGCCCCAACAACCAUAAGAAUAUCUACAAAAAGAACCAUAAAUGUGUCAGUCACUGAAGGGCAUUACUAUAUGAGAUGGAACCAAAAACUUAAUUGAUGGCAAAAUAGAGAAAAUACACAAUGACACAAACACCUAUUACAACACAUAUUACACAAGGAAAGACCAACAACCUAAAACAGAAAUUUAAAUAUGAAAAGAGAGUUUGAAUGCAGAUCAGGAUGGUUGAUCAUGAAAGCACAUCAGAAUGUUGAUAACAAUAGAAGAAGAGCUACAUACAGAAAGUUCAGACCCCACACACCUGGGUGGAGAGGGAAUUGGAUUGCAGUUAGGCUAAACAAAAAUAAAAAAGAACAGCUAUAUAUGGAUGGAAUUUUGAAAUUUGAAUAUCUAAAAUGGAAAUGGAACGGAUAUCCUAAAUAAAAGUGGAAAAGGACAAUUUUGGACAAGGUCUAACCUCCAAACCAUUUACCCCUAGAUGCUAGGGUAGAUUAAAAGUAUGAAACCAGUAACCAAUAUUUUGCCUGUCAAAUUAGAAACACAACAUUCCGAUCCACUAAGUGGGAUAAUUUCAACUUAAUAUUUCUUUCAUUUUCGUUUUCCUUGCUUCUGUAACACAAAAUUGCUUCUGUAACACAAAAUUAAUAUUGCAACAAGCACUAAAUUUAAUUCUUUUCUUGUUCAAUCCGUAAAGGAUCUCUACUUUGCCAGCUGAGGUUCAAUUAUGCAUGAGAGGUUCAUUUCAUUCAUAAAAAGAGUUAAAGGUCAUCAUGGUUAACACAGGCUCAUUCAAGAAAUUCCUCCAAUUCCUCUCUGGUGCCACUUAGGAUUCAUGCUUAACCCAACUUGAUCACACAAAGAUAAACAGGGUAAACUAACCUACGGAAAUCACAGAGUUCAGGAAUAUUGGUACAUUGGCUACUCACUCUAUGCAAUGAUACAUGAAACAUAAUGGAUCCGGGGUGCAAAGCACACUCUGAAGACAGAAUUCUUGAUAGAAGUCAUCAAUAUCCAUUGUGAAAUGUAUGUCCUAGUCUCAAAGCUAGCAUACUAAUAGUUCCCAGGAACACCACGUGGCUAUAAGCCAUCACAAGCAAACCAGGACUAAGAAGACAGCAAAGUCAAAAAUAUAUCAGGUUAAAUGAAAUGUAUUCUUUAUUGCCUCUAACAUCCCCUUGCAUAAUGGACUGACAAAUAAUUUUCCUAGAUCGUUUUGAGUUCUUAUUUUAAUUCAGUUUUCCUCAAGAGAAAUACAAGUUCACCACCAAUGAUAUUUAAAUGACAAGUAGGAACUCCCACGCAAAGCCCUGAAGGAAAAAUUCACAGCUUAAGUGUACAACUGGAAGUAGAUACAUUCAAAAAUAAACAAACAGGAAAAUAAAAUGGCUUUGAACCUGUGGGAGAAAUGGAAUUGUACUGAUAUUCACAGUCAUCUUGAUUGAGAGAGAUUUGCCGAAGAGCUGCAUUUCCUCUAUCAAUAACUAAUAAGGAGCAGGUGGGUCGAACAUACACCACAUCGAAAUCAUUUGAGAACUUAGCAUCCUCACUAGGUCCAUCUCUGAAACCUGCAACAUUUGAUUUCCCUCCAGCAAUGGUUGUCACACCUACAAACAAUUUCGAUACUUAAAACCUUCUAUCUCAUAAUAUCCAUCAUUGCCUUUCACAGCCAUACAAUAAAAUUGUUCAUCCCUAGAAAAGCUCCAAAAUUUUAUGACGUAUUGCUCAAAUAAAAUUUUAUAUCAACUGUAACUCUACCUAAGUUCUGAUACAAUGUUAUAAAUAAACUACAACAUUCAUUGCUAUUCUAGUUUCACAGAGGCUAAGACAAAUUUCCAACCUAGCUUCUAAUAUGAAUUGAACAUACCUGCAUCUCCAAUCUUUCGGAUAGCAAGAUUCAAAGUAUCAGCAACAUACAGGUUCCCUUUGUCAUCCAUGGUCACCCCUUUUGGAUGAUUAAAACGAGCUUCAUUUGGCUUUCCAUCAACAUGCCCUGUGUAACCCUGAAAUGACCCAGCAACCAAUCUACCCCGACUAUCUACAAAAUUAGAAAUUAUGAACAAGAAGACAAUUAAUAAAUCUUCAAGCUAUAGUGCAAUCCAAAAUAUUCCAAUCAACCCAUACAUUAACAGCUCAUAUUUCAUCCAGGAAAUAAAGACAUUCAGAAUAUAAAACAUAUAAACUGGGCACAGAUACACAAUUAGAGUCUUUAUCUUUCCAGAAAAAAUUCCUCUGAACUUUUGGUAUAAAAGAACAAGUACUAGAGAAAAUAAUAUCCCAAUCAGGUAGUUCUAUUUAAUUUUUGCUUCAGAGCACAAAAAAUCUGAAUUAAACACAGGCAACAAGCUGCACUAGGAUCAAGUUUAUGGAGCAUUUCCUUUUACGGAUCUGGAACAAAGAAUUUAAGGACUUAAAUGCUAGUAUCAGUUAUUAUCCUACAUUUUCCAAGGAAAACAAAUCAGAAAUAAAUCAAAGUUUUUGAUCAGCAAAUUAAGGAACAAGCAUACAUUGGGACAAUGGUGGAGUAAUUUUCACAAUGUUGCUAUUAACUUCAUCAACAGCAAAUAGUUCGCCAUCCUCAGAGACACGGAUCUUGUAAGGAACCACCCCGAUCUCAUUUCCUUCAAUAACCGUCUCAACCAAGUAACCGUUCUCAAAUUGGAGAACGUUCCCAUCUGUAAAACACGAACGGAUAUAGUAUACACAGGAUCACUUGAAAGAAAACCAUUUCAAGUAAACAUAUACCAAAACAUAAAGAAUCAUAAGAACUCACCUGAUUGAGGUGCUUUGGAAGAUGACCUGGUUGUCCACUUAAGAAGAGAAGUCAAGUGCUUUAUCAAAGGCCCUGCAUAUCACAAUAAAGUUACAAUAUGGAAAGAACCCAAUUCCAUAACAAAUGAAUAUUGGCAUAUAAAAUAAAAACUGAAAAAGUGAAAGAACCCAAAAUUGGCUUUACCAAACAAAGCCAAAUAUAAACUAGGAUUUAACUAGAAGCAGGACAAGUGAAUAUUAGUAAAGCAAAAUCAAUCAAGCUUGUAUAUAAGUACCAAUUAACCAAACAGGUUAAAAACCAGAAUCAUAAAAGAAAUAUAAAGAGUAAAGAGAGGGCGGCGAAAUGGGUUACCUGCAGGGGCAGCAUGAGCUUGGAAUUGAAGAGUGAAAGCGAUCAAAAGAGUUAAAGUGAGGAGAAGAUGCGUUCCUUUCAUGGCUCUUUGAGCCAAAAACUUGCAGAAAGAGAGAUCGGUACUUGUUUCUUUAGCUUUAGAAUUUCAAGAACAAUUUCAUAUUUUUUAAGUUAUUUUGUUGCAUGUGUUAGUGAAAACUCUGAAACUGGGCAACAGCUGAAACACACACAGAAAUCAGUGACAGUCGUUUGUGGAGUAAGUGGGUCACUCUGCUUGUACUGGACUGCUGGUUGCUGAAUUUUGUUUUACAACACUUGAAAACAGCUUUUUGUGGUUUUUUAAUUUUUUGUCUUUUUUUCUUUUGCAAAAACAUUAAAUGGAAAAUAAAAGGUCUGCUUUUUUAUUUAUUUUUAUUUACCCAAAAAGAUAAAAAGUGGGUUUUUCAAGGAAAAAGAAAAGAAUGUGGUGGAAAAGAUAAAAAAGUGAAAUUAAGAAAAAUUGAAUACAGUUGGAUUGAAAUCACAUACGUGUUUCAGUUGUCAAGUAUGGUGCAGCUCCGCCAAAUUGUUGCCAUGUCAUUAUAACCAAUUAAGAGUUUUAUUGGGAUUUCCUUUUUUCUUUUCCAAUAGGUCAUCAAAGCAUACACAACUUCCCAUGAAGUAGUGUACACGUAUUUUCAUGAUAGGGGAUGGCAAAUAGGGAUGGAAAAAAUCCCCACGGGACGGGUACCCUCGGGGAUUUUUCUCAUUCGGGGAGGGUAUGAGAAUAAUUUUAUACCCAAUUUCUUAUUCGGGGAGGGGACGAAGAAAUUUUGUUACACAAUUUCUUAUUCGGGGACGGGACGGGGAUGAGGUGGAAUCCCCAUCCCCUACCCAUUUCCCCAUUUUAAUUUUUAAUUUUAUUUUAAUUUUUUAAAAUUACUAGUAAAUAAAUAAUAAAAUUUAAAUUAUAAACUUAUAAAUAUGGGUAAAAUUAAAAAAUAUCAAAAUAUUUAUAUUAUUAAACUUUUAGGCCUAAUUAACUAAUUAAAAUCCUAAAUUUUUAUUUAGGACAUUAAAAAGACCAAGUAGAUUCUAUUAGCCCAAAAAUUUUUUAUUUUUAAUAUUCUUUAAAUAUUUUAAACUUAAAUUUAUUUUUUAUUUAUUUUUAGAUGUUAUAAUUGCCCACAACGAAUCACAAUUUUAAUAUUUAAUCUAAUAUAAUCUAAUAUUUACUCUUGAUUUGCUCCGAUUUAACUAUUGUGUUGUAAAGGGAAUAGUCCACAUUUAUAAAGUGCUCACGCCAUCAUUGAAAAAGUUAAUUUUGAAUCUAAAUUCGAUUUUAUUUGUAACAAUUUUGUAUUAGACUAUUAAUUUGUUCAUGAUAGUUUGUAAAAGAAGUUUGUAUCCCUUGCAUGCUGCGUUACUUACUAAUUUAAUGUAUGUGACUUUUGUAAUGGAUAUUAAUGUAAGAUAUAUUUCGAACUUUACUUUUAUUUGAAUUUUUUAUUUUAAUAUGAUUAACUCAAAAUCGAAAAAAAAAUGUAUUAGUUAUUCGGGGAUCCACUGUUAUUAUUCGGGGAGGGGAUGGGGAUUCGCUCAAGUAAUUCUGACGGGGACGGGGACAUACGCAAAAUAUCGGGGAUGGAUACGUGGAGAUUGGUCCCCUCCCCUCCCCUCCCCUCCCCAUUGCCAUCCCUAAUGGCAAAAACGCCUGACUGGACCCGUGUUUUGGGACAUGCCCGAGCUGAUAUGUUUUCUUAACACCGGUUGGACCUAGGUUAGGUCUACAAGCCCAAUGAAUAAUAAAAAUUAAAAAUAUAUAUUUUAUUUAAAUAGAAAAUUUAUCAUUUGUAUACCCUUAGUCUACUCCAUUAUUAAAAAUACUACAAUACUUUAAGAGUGUACCAAUCGUCCACCCUAAGUUGACAAAAUAUAUCAGCUGACCACCAAACAGUUAGUUGCCGUUUAAGUGUGAUGACGUCAGAAGGGUAAUUUGAUCUUUUCAUAUGAUACAAGUGAUAAUUUAAGGGUAUACAAGUGAUAAAAAUAGAAUUUAAGAGUAUACAAGUGAUAAUUUUUAAGGGUAAAAUCGUCAGUUCACUGUAACUCCAUUAACUUUCAAACAGCAACUAACGGUUUGGUAGUCAGCUGAUACAUUUUGUCAACUAAGGGUGAACGAUUGAUACACCCUCAAAGUGUUGUAGUAUUUUUUAUAACAGAGCAAAUAUAGGGCAUAUGAAUGAUAAUUUUUCAUUUAAAUAAAAUAUUAUUUUAAGUAUAGAUUUUAAAGCUUAAUAUAAUAAAAAUAAAAAAUUAUAAAAAAAAAUUAUCCACCAACUACUUGAUUUUUCACAAUUUAUCAAAAAUACACUAAUUUUUUUUUUCAACAAUCUACCUGAAGUUAUCUUUGUUCCACUCUCUUCAUAAUGUUGUUAGAAUAUUGCUGAUAUGAGAGAGUUAAAAUUGUCAUUUGAACCAAAUAAACAAAAGCAACACUGUAUUCCGCUCACAAAAACGGCCACCAUUUAAAAAUUUAAAAUUUAAAGGUUUAAUAAAAAAUAUUCUCAAAUCAAGCUCAGGUUUUAACAAGCUCGGUCAAAACACGAUAUUUUUACCAUUCUUAUUUUAUGAUUGUUGUGUGAGAGAACUUGAAGAAAAACUUUAACACAUAGAGGAUGGAAUUUGCAAAAUCACCUAAAUAAAAUUGCUAUCAGAUGGGUUGGUUUGGUAAUAAUUAUUAAGGGGAAAAAAAAACUCUUUGAAUUAACAAUAUCUAUUUUUGAAAAAAAAAAUGCAUUAAAUAUCUUUUUAAAGUAUAUUAACAGAAUUACAAAAACAAUUAUUGCGGGCAAAAUUUCCUGCUCGUCAAAGGACCUUAACAAUCAUUCUAAGAAUGGGAUUGGGGGCCCCAAAUAAACCGAAGUUCAUAAUUUAAAUUAUUAUGAUUGAAUAAUUUGAAAGUUAAACUGAUUAUUUCAACCGCAUUUACAUAAUGAUCUAAAUUAUUAUGAUUGAAUAAUUCGGGUUCAUGAUUCUGCUACUUGGGAUUCUAUUGUUAUUAUCAUGAGUUCAGAUUUCUAUAUGAUUAUUGCUUAUCGACUUUCUCCUAAUUCAAUCCUCACAAACACUAAUCACGCAUAAAGCCUAAUUACAUUAGAGAAGAGUGAACUUGUCAUUCUCCAUUAAUUUAAGAAACAAACUACUUUAAGGAUGCGUUUAGGUACUCGUAAGCGUAAUGUAAUGAAGUUGGGCAGCAUUCAGGAUUAUAAUGAGUUUGUUUAUUUACUGCAUGAAUCAUAAUUCAAAUAAAAAAUAUUUUUAUUAAUGUUUUUAUUUAUCCUGUAAUCAGACUAGAUUAUUAACAAAUUAUAAAAGUAUACUUAUAGGAGUUUUGCACAUAAGGUUCCAUUUGAACAAAAAAAAAAAAAACUCGAGUGGGAUAGUCUCAUAUGUAUCAUUAAGUGGAAUUUAAAUGUUUAAACUUUUAAAAUAUCAAUUAAUUUUAUUGAUAAAUUUUUUGGAGGAUUACAUGUAAUAUCAUAUCAAUCCAAGUGGGUUCACUCUCUAAUUGGUAUAAUUAAAAAAAAAAAAAAAAAAAGGUUUGAAGAUGAUUUUAGAGGGGUACCAAAUUACCAAUAGUUCGACUCAUUACUGAAAUAUCCCUUCAAGAUGGCCCAAGCCCAACAAACAGAAUAUAAGUAUCCACAAAUUCGAAAAUAUCAAAACAGUCCACACCCCAUCCACAGUCCACACUCGAAAAUUACCAAAUAAGGUCAAACCUGCCGUCUGACUCUCUCGUUAUCCACGUCACUCUUUCCCUCACACGCGUUCACCACUCAUUGGUUCAACCUCGUGUCCACAAAGCCACACAGGCACCCCGUAUAUAAAACCCUCGCAAAGAAGACAGACUCGUUCACAUUUUCUGUCCCGUUAUUAGCAGAAUUCAGAUUCAUUUAACGUUACGUUUCUCUACGGUUCUCCGAUCCGCGAGUUCGUACGGUUAGUUCUUCAGUUUCGAUCGAUCCACUUUUCUUUGUGUAGAUUAUGAUGUUGACUUUGUUGACGAAUCUAUAUGAACAUCGAUUUUAAUCAUUUUUUUAGCUUUGCAUAACCGCAUUUUGUAUUUAGAUCUGAAAAUUGCAAUUGAGAUUCAUGUUACUUUCUAGGCAACCAAACAGAAUGUUGUUGUUGGAUCUGCGUUUCCGUGCGCAUGCAUGUGUGUAUUGGUACUAUCAUGCCAGCUUAUUUUGCCGACAUUUUUUUUUUUACUGGAGUAAUAAAAAUUUCUUAGAUCAUUGGAUUGCAGCUGAUAAGAUUAUUUGUAAUUCGGUGGAGCUAACAAAACAGAAUGUUACGAGGAUAAUUUUUAAUUUUCAUAAUGCUAUUAUGCAGAUAUGAAUUAAAUGUAUUCAUAAUUUUUGUUUUAGUUUCAGUUUAAGAUUAUACAGCUGAAUAUUAAUAACUUGUUGAGUUCAAGAUUAUAUAGUUGAAUUUCUGCUUUCAAGCUUUUGUGGUUGAGAUCGAGUUUGGUAGCAGUUAUCAUUAACCUCUCUUUAUUAUUCAUUCGGUUUAGUGUGAAUGGUAUUGAUAGACUUGGGAUAUUUAUAUCGUGGUUUGCAGAUUAGGUUGGUCUAGCUGGGACUGAAUAAAGAUGGGAGGUGGAUUCAGAGUGCUCCAUCUUGUCCGGCCUUUUCUUGCAUUCCUUCCUGAGGUUCAGAGCGCUGACAGGAAGGUUCCUUUCAGAGAGAAGGUCAUCUACACUGUAAUCUCUCUCUUCAUAUUCUUGGUGUGCAGUCAGCUCCCGCUGUAUGGCAUACACUCAACAACUGGUGCAGAUCCAUUCUAUUGGAUGCGUGUUAUUCUUGCUUCAAACCGUGGGACUGUGAUGGAGCUUGGUAUCACCCCAAUUGUGACAUCUGGAUUGGUGAUGCAACUACUUGCCGGGUCAAAGAUCAUUGAAGUGGACAAUAAUGUUCGCGAAGAUCGUGCCCUCUUGUAAGUAUUCUUUAUGGGCUAAGUUUAUCUCGGUUAUCUUGGCUUCUGACUUACUAUGGCUUAUUUGUUAGUCAAACUAUUUGCUCCUUUUGCCGAAUGUAUGUUCCUUAAUGAUGACUGUUUUUCCUCCCAGAAAUGGUGCACAGAAGUUGCUGGGCAUCAUCAUAGCUAUUGGUGAAGCAGUUGCCUAUGUUCUCUCAGGAAUGUAUGGUAGCGUUAACCAACUUGGAGUAGGGAAUGCCAUUCUCAUCAUUGUUCAGCUCUGCUUUGCCGGUAUAAUUGUGAUCUGUUUAGAUGAACUCCUUCAGAAAGGUUAUGGCCUGGGAUCCGGUAUCUCCCUUUUCAUUGCAACCAAUAUUUGGUAAGUUAAAAAUUUACUUUAUUGUUUUGAGGACUAAGGAUUCUUGUUUGUCUUGUGGCUAGGAGCACUUUGUUGUUUAAAGCUUAAUAGAUUCGCAAUAUAUGACAUAGAAGAUUCAAUGCUUAAAGAGGUUUUGUUUCUAUUUUUUUUGCAGUGAAAACAUCAUCUGGAAAGCAUUUAGUCCCACCACUAUUAACAGUGGACGGGGAGCUGAAUUUGAAGGUGCUGUAAUUGCUUUAUUCCAUCUGUUGAUAACUCGAAAUGACAAAGUUCGUGCUCUUCGGGAAGCCUUUUACCGGCAGAAUCUUCCAAAUGUGACAAACCUUCUUGCCACAGUCUUGAUCUUCCUAAUUGUCAUUUACUUCCAAGGAUUCCGUGUUGUUUUGCCUGUUAGAUCAAAGAAUGCCCGUGGGCAGCAGGGAUCAUACCCAAUCAAAUUGUUUUAUACCUCUAACAUGCCCAUCAUUUUGCAGUCUGCUCUUGUCUCCAACCUGUAUUUCAUUUCUCAGGUAUUGGAGGUUGAUGGUGAUAUGCUUUGUUUAAUAGGAUUUUGAUUUUAUUCAAUCUUACUAAUAAUGUGUGCCUAUACAGUUGAUGUACAGGAGAUACAGUGGAAACUUUUUCGUGAAUCUCUUAGGUAAGUGGAAGGAAUCUGAGUACUCUGGUGGUCAAUAUGUCCCUGUGGGUGGCAUCGCAUAUUAUAUCACUGCUCCCUCGAGGUAAUUAAGACCUUUCUUAUCUGGCUACCUUACCUAACUAUUGGCGGCAUUUCAAUUGGUGGAAGUAACAUUAUCUUGUUUUGUUUCAUGCUUCGGUCAAUGAGAGACCAAAGAUGUUCCAUUGACAUGACAUGUAUUUUUUCAGCUUAGCUGAUAUGGCAGCCAAUCCUUUUCAUGCACUUUUCUAUCUUGUGUUUAUGCUGUCGGCCUGCGCACUAUUUUCAAAAACUUGGAUUGAAGUUUCUGGAUCAUCUGCUAGAGAUGUCGCGAAGCAGCUGAAGGUAUGUGAUUUAAUGUUUGCGGUUUUUAGUUUUUACAUUGUCAGUAAAAAGUGUGGUAGUUGCAUACUGCAGUUUUGGUGAGUGUGGCAUUGCAUUUCUGCCAUUGUGAACUUGCUGGAAAUAAGAUUAGACAAAAGUUAUAAUCUUGCAUAUUUUUAGUAGUGUAGUUAAAGUUUCAAGAAGUGGAUUGUUGGUCGAUCAAGUUAAGAUGUGGCUAUGCAAACUAGAAUGAUUUGUUGGCAUCAGACUUGAGUUGGUUAUACCAAGUUAACCUUCUGGCACCCAGACUUACCUUGAUCAUACUUAGUAACAUUGUGUUCUUUUCAUGUAAAUUGAAGUGUUAUUGCAUUUCUUUGAAUUAAUAUGGAUGGCAAGACGUUACCCGUUGGAUCUCUGAUGGACCCUUCUCUAUCAGAUCCAAAAUUUAAUUCACUGUAAAGUUACUGGAUUAAUCUUUACUUUGUUCUCAUACAUCUCAUCUGAAUUAAUAGCAUUAUUGUGCUUAUUCUUCUUUGUUCAAUUGUCCAUGGUUCUUUACCUCAGAUCUAGAUGCAGUUACUGAAACAUAUUGUUUCUUCUUAACCUGAAAGUUUCAAUUAGUUCUUUAUUCAAUUUGGCCCUAGUCAUGAUCAGUUAUUAUUAAUAUUGAGCUUUUUCUCCUAGGUUAUCUGCCGAGUAAUAUCAGGCACAUCAUAUGUUACAAUUUUUCUCUCUAUUUACAGGAACAACAAAUGGUUAUGCCUGGACACAGGGAGGCAAACCUACAGAAAGAGCUCAACCGGUACAUACCCACAGCUGCAGCAUUUGGCGGCAUGUGCAUUGGUGCUCUCACGGUGUUGGCAGAUUUCAUGGGGGCAAUUGGUUCAGGGACUGGGAUUCUGCUUGCCGUCACCAUCAUUUAUCAGUACUUCGAGACUUUCGAGAAGGAGAGAGCCAGUGAGCUUGGCUUCUUUGGCUUUUAAGGUUAAUAUCUCCCUCAGUUUUGAGUGGUAGUUUGGCCGUGGCAAUCGAAGCUCUCCUGCAAAAUUUUCGGAGAGCUGAGAGAUGUAUUUAGGCCUUCCCUAACACCAGAGUUCAAGUUAGAAUUUAGGAUUAGUUUGUUGUAAUUCACUUUCAACGACGAAAGUACAAACGGGCAAAACACAAUGAUUUUUUUUCCCCCUAAUUUUUUGUUUUCACUUGUGAGCUUAAAUUAAAUCUCUUCGAUCUUAUGGAUCUAGAAAAGUGUACUUUGAUGGAUUUUACAAGAACAUUGAGGAAAACAGAGUAUAAUUUUCUGAGUUAAUUUUUGGAUAAAUAUUUCCUGCUUAUCGAUUAAAUUAUGGAUAUUUAUGUAACAUCGUUUAUCAAACCACACGAAACUGUACCUAUGCAAUCAAGUGUAAUGCCUUGUAAUUGAAAUGUUCAAUUUGCUUCUUUUGUUAUUUCUGUCCAUUUUGUGAUAAAUCUGAAAUUUGAUGAAGAAGUUUUAUAUGUCCACACUCCAUAGGAUGCCCCAUGAUGGGACAAUGCCACAAUGGUGCGCACUCAACUGGCACAAUUUAAAGAAAAAGCUGACGUUUGCAGCUUCAAAAUCUCACCUCAAGUGUCUAGCGUCUUAUCACAUCAUUCUUUUUCCUUUACGAGGCCCAGUUGACCUCACAAAAUUUGGCCUAUACAAGGGUAUUCACUAUUCACAUUCACUGCGGGCAAUGCCAGUUUUUCUCCUCGCGUCUCUUAUUUUGCUUUUUGAAUUUCUGUGUCCAUGUUUACGGGCAACUGGACAUUGCAAACAUGUUGCACGAGUGCCAGCAGAGUGGGAUGAGGAUGACAUCUGGAUGCAAUUUGCUAGAAAAUUAUUUCAUCUUUUUCUGAAUUAUGUAGAAAAAUCAAUAAAGCAAAAUGCCCUCGUGAAAAUCGGAAAAAAUAGUCAAGUGCUUCUUAAUUAAUUGGAACAAAGACGUGGAACAUGACAAUAUGGAUUCAACUUGCUAUAGUUUUUUUCCAUGAAAUUAGAAGAUACCCUCAAAUCUAAAUUGCAUGAAGAUUGAAUAUUUAAUAAAAUUCGUGGUUUUUGAGGGCUCCCUAAUUUAACUUCGUAAGGUGCACAUGCACAUUCAUCCAAUCCAAUCAUCCAACAAAUUAUGCGCAUUAAUCAUUGGAUAUAUAUAUAUAUAUAUACAAAUUUGGGUUAAUUAUUGUCUCAACUACCUAACUAACUAUAUUUGUUUGGAUUAUUGGGUUGUUCAUUCUUUGAAUGAGCUUUGUGCGAGAGAAAAGAAUUUGCCAAUAAGCUAAUGACAUUUUUUUAUCCACUCUAUAAUAAGAAUGAUGAGAUUGCCAGUUCAACCUCAUUUAGGUGGGAUUAGAGAAUAUUUACGAAGAAUAUAUCAAAAUUAAUACUCAAUUUAUAAAAUUUCUCGUAUACUCCAAUGAAUGUCAAUGAAGUAAAAUGACUCCUGCCAAACUAGAAAGAACAGUCAAACCCUCUAAGGCAACGUUUGUCCAUUCAUACAAGGGAAACACCCUUUUCAAGUCAUGACAAUUUUAACAUAAUAAAACGAGGGAAUUGAAAAAUAAAUAAAUACUAAAAGCUAGAAAAAAAAAAUCUUCACGGCUCAUCAUCUUUAUGUCUUGACAAUUUUGACAUUUAAAAAUCAACGAAAAAUAUAACACGUAAGCAAAUGCAAAAGUCUUGAUUGAUUCUCUAUUUUCUUUAUGGUUCCCAUGUCAUUUUCAAUCCGAAUUUAAUUGUUCUCUAAAUCUUACAUAUGGAGAGAUGUAUUUAUUUAUUUUUAUUUUUAUUUUUAUUUUUAUUUUUAUUUGGUACGUUUUCAGCAGUGGUGAAACUGAAGCAUUAAAUUAUCCCGAUAAUAUUUACUAAAAACACAUCUACACGAUUGUAUAUAUUAGGCUUAAAUUUUGUAGGACCCUCAAGGAAGUGAAAAAGAUUGCUUGUCCCAUUCCCUGGCCAGAGCCACGCUAUAUAUAUAUAUAUAGAUUCGGUGGUAUUUACUUGGCCUUACUAAUUAUCGAACAUUGCUAUAUGUCUUAUUCUUGAUGGCUUAACGCAUGCUUAACCUAGGGAAGUAUGAUUAAGACAUAAAUCUCUAUUUGUUAUAAUCCCAAAACUGAUUAAGGACAACGCUAUCAUGCUGUCUUAUUUGCCAUGCCUAGAAAGACAUCGAUAUCUUCUUCUUCUACCUUUUUUGUUUUAUUUAUAAAAAGUCUUCGGUAUAAUAAAAUAUCAAGAUUAUGUUUGAAAUUAAGGUACUGUAAUUUUUAAAAUAUAAUUAUUGUGGAAAAAAAGUUGUAACUAUAAAAUAAAAAUUAAUAAUAUGUAGUAAAUAUAAAUUUUAAAUAAUAAUUUUGAUAAAAUUAUUAAUGGUAUAAUAAUUUUUUUAUUAUACAAAUGAAAAAACAUAUCAAUAUAACUUUCAAACUACAGUCGUUAGUGUUUACCAAACACUUUAGUGUUGUAACUUUUAAGUUACAGCUGUCCAACCUUAAUUUCAAACGUAUCCUAAAACGUAUAGUGUAGAUGUCUGUACUAAAAAAUAACUUAUCAUAGCACACUAGUAUGUUACAUUAUCAUGUCUUUUUUGUCUUGUUACACAUUAUAUGAUGAUAAAAAAUGCAUGUAAUUUUUAUAUAAAUAUUUUAAUUUCUUACUUUUUUUGGUAAUCACUACUAUGUAUAGUUUUUAUGAGUACAAUUUUAAAAAAUAAAAAUUAUUUGUUGUUGGGUAUCAAUCACAAUUUUAAACCAAAUCAGUUUGAUUACCUUUAAAGUGAGUUUUUUGAUGUUACGUUAGGUGAUGUUAAUUAAGUAAAUCUAUGUGGAAAAAUGAGUUAUCUAAGACCAUCUAAUAUAUAUUAUUAUUAUUUAAAAAAAAGGGCCUGCACUCAUAAGUUUAAAAUUGUUUAAAUAAUUUUUUCCUUGAUAUUUCAUAAGCUCUUGCAACCAAACAACCAUAAAAAAUAAAUUUCAGAAGCUCUUUUUAAGUAGUCGAGAAUCAGAACUAUUUAUGAAGAAUUAAAUAUCCAGAAAAUAGUAAAGAAUUGAUAUAGAUAUACAUACCAAAUGGACACUAUCUCCACUUUAGUUUGAAAGCUCUAUUUUAUUUUAUUUUUUUGUAGUGAAUUUUUUUGCUAAUUGGACAUGCGUAUCACACGAGCACACUAAUAGAAUGCACUCUCUACUAAAUUUCUUGAUAAAGCCUUUUACCUAACUAUCCCAUUAUAAAAAUCUCUCUAAGGUUAAAAAAGUUUCUUAUUAAUAAAUUUUGUAAUAUUUUUAAAGAAUUGAAAUUGUGGAUUAUAAAAAACCCUAAUGUACAGUAUGAGUAUAAUUAGAUGAUCAUGUAUAAUUGAUUUUUUUUUGAUAAAAUGACGGCGUUGAGGCUCUGUGGAUAUAAUAUUGUUUUUGAAUAAAAGAUUAGUAAAAAUUCAGCCCAAUUUUAUUGCAAAUUCCUUUUAUUAGAUUUUUUUUUUUUUUUUAGAGGAGUGCAAAUUCCUUUUCUUGAAAAGAAUGCUUUAUUGAAAAUUCGUUUUGGGAAAAAUUAGUAAAAGAAAAAGAAUAAAUUUCUUUUAAAAAACAAAAAAAACAAAAUUGAUUUUCUGUAGAUGUCAAGGAAGUAAAAACAAAUACACCAGCUGGAUCUCUGAAUUACCUCAGAAUCAGAAAACAAGUGGGGCACACUAGCACUCACGUGUCCGACAAUUACUUCACACGUGUCUCAGCUCCCCUACACAAAUCUCCCACGCACACAAUCUCCCGUCUCGUUUUUACUUUUCAAUUCUAGCCGUCCAUUUAUGCAAAGUCCAACCGUUCACACGUAAGAUCUGCAAAAUCGCGCUCGGAUUUUUAAACCACAAACCCGAAAUUACCCCUCACCAGUUUCUGUUUUCCCCAACCAUCACCCUCACAACGGACGUAUGAUAUCUUCAAAUACCAGGGGCGAAUGCGUAACGAGAAAGCGACCCGACCUAGACCUUAUAUUUUUAAGGUCCCAAUGCUACGUCGGACUUUGUCCUUUUUCGUCAUUUUCCAUCUAUUUCUUCCAAUUAAAAUCCCUGUUCUUCUCUCUCCUCGGCACUCGCUUUGUUUUUAUUUUCCCCUCUCUCUCUCUAAAUCCCAAAUUUUUUUUAUUAUUUUUCUUUAAAACUAGCCUUAAGUCUCUCUGCUUCAGCUUCCCAAAAGGAAAAUUCUUUUUAUCAGAAUUUUAAUCGAAUCAGUGGAGACACUGUAGUAAUCUCAAAGCAGAGAGCCCGAGAUUUCGUUUUGAAUAUUAUAAUUUUUUUUGGAAUUUCGGAGCCCAUAGCAGAGCAACAUUCCCUGAAAACGGUAAGUUUAAAGAAUGAAGUCCGGAAACUCUUGAUUCGCUUUUCAUUUUGUUUACAUUGUGAAACGAUCUUCUAUCCUUUUGUUUCAGAAUAGUUUAUUAAGAGUUAACGUUUUAGAGUCUUAAAGCGUAAAUGUUUCAAGUUUUUGCUUCCGUUUUCAGAUUUAAUCCUUGCUCUGCUUUGUUUUGAUCGUUGAAGCUUUCAGUAUUGUUUUUGUCUUUCAUGUUUCUUAUAAGGUUUUUGAUUUCGUUUCGUGCGUUUUUGGAACUUGUUUUUAAUUUUUUUCGCGCUGUUAGAAUUAGUUUGCAGGGGCCGCAGGUUCAAAGGUCGCUAUUGAAUUUGCUGUUGCGGUGCUUUUGUCGCUCUGUUUUCUUGAGAUUCACGUUACGAUGAAGUAAACGCAAUUUCAGACUUUGAAAUUGCCUUCCGAAAUUUCCGCAGUUUUAAUUAAAGGUAAUUAUCACUAAUCUCUGUCGCAAUAUUUAUUAAUUAUUUCUAAUUCGUGAAUAAAAAUAUUCAUUAUGCUUUUAGAAAAACUGUUUUUUUUUUUAAAUUAAAACUCUUCUAAAUUUGGGGAUUUCGUGUGAUUAAGACGCAUGCACGCUAAAUGGUAGUUUCGCUUUAAUGUCUGACACGUAAUUUCCUUUUUGGAGUUAGUAAUCAAACCAUUAAUUUGCAAAUCUCUCACUUACCAUUUUAAAAUAAAUGAAAAAAUAAAAUAGCAUGUUAUUAACAAAUUAUAUCUCACUUACCAUUUUAAAAUAUAUAAAAAAAUAAAAUAGCAUGUGAUUAGCAAAUUGUAAGGUACAAUUUUUUUUUUUAUCAUAAAACACGUGAUAAUUAGAUAAGAAAAUACUUUUAGGGGAUUCUAUUUGUGAACGUAGUGUAGGGGCUCUAUUUGUUUAACGUUGCGUUGGGUUCACAAAUCCUUUUUUCAGAAAAAUUUAUUGAACUUUCAAUGAGGGGAAAAAAAAAAAAAGAACACUGUCAACUAAUUAGCAGAUUUUUAUUCAUCUUAUCACCAAUGGAGAGAAAUGGGGAUUAAAUGCCUUUGUAUUUGAUGGGCCCCAUGUCUCCUUCGUGAUGAUAACUUCUGUUAUUGAUGUUGACAUGACUAUGAUAGGCUGUUCACGUAGGGGAUCUUUAUAUUUGCUGUAAAGCACAAAGCUAAAAAUUAGUAACUUUGGCAGCUACUGAUAUUUUUACUGGCUAUAUUUUAACGGCAAAUAUAAGCUAACAAGAACCAAAUGCCAAAUAUAAGACUAAUUCUUGUGCAAUGAAGUCAUUGGAAUCAAACGGGCUCGCUUCCCAAUCAACAGGGCGGAAAAGUUUUUAAUUAUUUUUAUGAAAUAAGGUAAAAAUUGAAAAGUUUUCAAGACCCCCCCCCCAAAAAAAAUCUUAUUUUUCAAGACAACCCUUAAUUUUCUUAAGAUACGAACUUGUAUAUGGGUAGCCUUCAAAUUAAAAUCUUUGUUCCCCAUUGCUAACUUGGGUAGCCAGCUACAAGUUUUUGGUAGAGAAAUGCUAUUUCACUAGGAAAAAUGGAAAGGAAGACAGAGACGGUAGCAUAGUACUGUUCUUUCUAUUUUUUCAUGAUUUUUAUAAAAAAAAUGACAAAUAAUAAAAUAACAAAUAUAAAAUAAAAAAGAACAAAAGAAAAGAUAAAAUCUCACUUUAUACAUUUUCAAUCAUAUUCCCACGGUCUAAAAAAAAAAAAACUUCUUCCCUCACCUAGCACAAUAGCUGUCCGUCAGCGACGACAACGGCCACCGCCACCACACCGGCCUUGAUAGAGUUUAGAGAGCCGGCACCACCGUGUCGACACUGUUGGUGGGCGAUGGGUUGUUCGGCUGGCUGUACUUUAAGAGAAAGUGAAUUUUUUAAUAUUGCAAUUGAAAAAGAAUAAGGUGAUUGUUUUUUAUUUUAAUUUAUAUUAUUAUUUUAUUCUUUUUUUAAUAUAAAAUCAUUAAAGAAGAAAAAAUUAAAGAAAAACGGUAGUAUUAUGUUACCGUUUCUGUUUUACUUUUUUUUUUUUAUAAUUGAUAUUUAUAAGUCAGGAUAUUGGUGGGGUUAACUUACAUUAAUAUUUAUUGGGUUCUGAUUAAAUUUUUAAUUCUCACUAAUAUUUAAGAGAUGUAUGCUCCACUUGUAUUUGGGUUUGUUUAGAUUUUUUAUAGGAUUAUUUAUUCACGCUUAAAUAAAAAAAAUUAUUUUUACUCGAUUAUAUAUUUUAAUUAAAAAAGAAAAUACUUCUCCAUUGUAUUUGUGGGGGUUCGAGCAGCAAGCAGCAGUUCUAACUAACUUUCUCGGGCAGCAGUCCUAACCAACUCUCUCUUUAGUUACUGGUUAAGUAACAUUUCUGUUAAUAUUAUUGUGUUACUUAUAACCAUUUGUUGACAAAGUUCACGAGCGAUGAUACGAGAUAGAAAUUAAAUUUUUUAGUUUGAAUAUAGGAAAAAGAUGAUUGUGAUUGCACUCUAAUAAAUUUAAACUGGUCCGAAUCCCAAAACAGCAUUAGAGUGCUUCUGAAAAUCCAAUGGAUAUAAAUGUGGAGUACUGGCUCACUUUUGAAAGCUUUUACUGUGAAAGAGCAGUUUUUGUAUAUCCCGAGUGGUACUCAAUUGGGGCCACGUGAUUUUACCUGAAGUAUUGAAUAUUGCAGUCAAUGAUCAAAUCUGAUUUCACUCAAGUCUCUGUCCCAGGCUCUGCAAUCUACAGAUUCUAUUUUCAGAACAUGAGACCAUUAUAAUAUCUAUAGGGAUACUGUUUCUCCCUGUUGAUGGCAACUCUUUUGAUUAUUUUCUGGGAGAGUUUUUGACUUUUACAAUCGUGCUUCACUGUUGUUAAUGGAUCAAAUCAUUGAAUUCUUUUACUCUUGGCGAGCACUUGUCUUUUUGUUUUGAACUUUUAACCGUCAUUUUAUUAAAGAGAUUUCUUUUAUAUAGAGGGAGGGAAGAUUAGGCUAAAUCAUAGAUGUUGUAACUUAGAACUCAUUCUAGCACGAAUAACGGGGUGGAGCUACUUUUUCAUUUUAGUUAAGCUGUAAGUUAUAUAAGUGACUUAUCCAUAAAUAUAAAUUUGUGUAUGCCUGAUGAGUAGGUUUAUUUAAUUAAUUAAGUUAUGUGAAUUAGUGAGUCUCCUGACGGUUGGCCACACUUUUUUUUUUUUUUUGGUUUUUCAAUUUCUACCAAAUACUCCUUUGGACGAGAGAAGAAGGCUAUUUUAGUGGGUCAUUGAUGUUUAUCUUAUGGGAUUCAUAUAACAUGAUUGGUUGAGAGCAUGCCACCUCAACCGCCUUUAGUCAUGUUUGUAUUGAGAUGUCUUUUAAGCUGUAGUUGUUGAGAAAAAAAAAUAAUAAUUAUGAAAUAAAAGUUAAUAAUAUGUUGUAAAUAUAAAUUUAAAUAAUAAUUUUGAUAAAAUUAUUAAAUAUAUAAUAAAUUUUGUAUUAUAUAAAUAAAAAAUUAUAUUAAUAUAAUUUUUAAAUUACAGUAAUUAGUGUUUAUUAAAUAAUUUAGUAUUAAAGUUUUUAAUCCAACUUUAAUUUUAAACACACCCUUACACAAGUUCUUUGCAUCAUUAGUAAUAUGCUAUGCUUAUCUCUAUUUUGCGUUAGAAAACGCUUUUUUGUAACAAUUUUGUUUUUGUUGUUACUAUGACUAACUCAUAUCUUAAAUACAUGUGUUCUUUCAAAAUUUGUUUCCAACGAUGAUUUUGUUAUUAAAAACAAAAAGAAAAAAGAAUUUUGAGCAUUGUAAGUAACACUAAAUAAAAAUAGGUGGAUACUUAAUUUAAAACAUGAAGGAUCAUAAGGGAAAAAAAAUUCCAUUUUAAAUUAAUUUUGAGAAUAUUGAAGUAGCCGGCUUUGCAAUAAAUAAUUUUAUGUCUGUCUCUAAUAUUAGUUAAAGCUCCAUGUAAUUAAAUACAGGUGGUUGGUAAUAGAUUAAAUGCAUAAAAAUAUUAGAUUGGUUGAUAGGGACAUUUUCUUUUUACUUUGACCCAAAAAAAAGAAAAAAUGGGAAGAAUAGUUUAAGCUUUGAAUAAAUAAGCAUCUCGAGUUGUUUAAAAUUCUUCUCAAUUUUCUCUUUCUGCCCACUUGAUUCUUCUUUCCAUAAUUUGGAAGUUGUUUAAAAUUCCUCUCAAUUUUCUCUUUCUGCCCACUUGAAGGAAUAUCUGACCACUCAACUUGUUUUUCUCGACGCCCAGAAGCACUUCGAAAUUCCAACUUUAACGCGUCUGUUUUAGCGUGUUCAGCUAUAGUUGCUUUCUGCUUCUGCUUCUGCUUCUGUUCAUCUUUUUCUUUUUGCCUCCGUUAAAAGUUGAGUCCUCCUUUUACCCCUUCAAAAACACAGAAAAGAUAUUCCAAUGGGUUCUUUAGUGGCUCUCACCUCGGUCUAAGUGUUUAAAGCAUAUUGCUUUUUCUUCGUUCUUUCAACACGUUCAUCAUCGUCAUCAUCACCCUCAUAUCUUUAUUUGCUCUCUUUUUGUGGUUUUUUUUUUUUUUAAAUUUGGGAUCGCUUAAAAAAAAAUCAUUUGCCCUUUACUCCCACCAUCAUCAGCUUCAUCUCAUCAUUUUGUAGUUCUUUCUGCAGAUGGAAUCUGUGAAACCCUCGGCUGUGACUCCGGCGAAGAGUAGACUAGCACGUACGUUUGCGAAAGUGCUUCACAUACGAGCAGUCACCGGCGUGGCUCCGGUUGACGGAGUUGAUAAAGUUAAGGAUAAUACAGUAAAGCCUAAAGAUAAGUUCAAGGAUGAUCAUCAGGCUGCUGGCGUUGCAAUUAAGCCGCCUAAAGUCAGUUGGUCUCAGCUAUUCGGCAAAGAAGAUACAGAGCUUGAAUACAGAAUAUCCCUGGAGGCCUUUCUUGCUAAAUUAUUUGCUAGCAUUUCAACCGUUAAAUCAUCUUAUGUUCAGUUACAGCAUGCACAGUCUCCUUAUGAUGCCGAUGGGAUUCAAUCUGCUGAUCAAUUGGUGGUUUCCGAGCUUAAGCUUUUGUCCGAAUUGAAGCAGUGUUACUUGAAAAAACAGUUUGAUUUUUCGCCGGAGAAAACAAUGGUCUCAGCUGAAAUUCAGGAGCUGAAGUCUCUUUUGAAGACAUAUGAAAUCAUGGGGAAGAAGUUGGAAUCUCAGUUGAAGCUCAAGGAUUCGGAAAUCAUAUUUUUGAAAGAGAAGUUGGAGGAAUCGAAUAAACAGAACAAGGCAUUAGAGAAGAGAAUGAAUCAGAGCGGGCAAUUGGUUAUGCCGGACAAUGUUCAUCUAUCAGGGCUAAGUCCCAGCCACUUCAAUACAGUUCUUCGGCACACUGUUAAAUCCAUCAGGAGCUUUGUCAGGCUGAUGAUCGAUGAGCUGAAAUCUGCUGGUUGGGAUAUUGAUGCCGCGGCCAAUUCAAUCCAACCCAAUGUGGUGUAUUACAGAGCUGAUCACAAAUGUUUCGCAUUUGAGUCCUUUGUUUGCAGGGAAAUGUUCGACGCAUUUCACUACCCCAAUUACUCUCCGGCAAAACAACAUCAACAGCAGCAGCAACAGCAAAGACAGCAGCUCUUUUUUCAGAGAUUCAAUGAGCUAAAACCUGUGAAAGCGAAGGAAUUCCUUUCCAGGAAGCCUAAAUCAUCAUUCGCAAAAUUCUGCCGCGCCAAGUAUUGCCAAGUGAUUCACCCCAAGAUGGAGUCAGCAUUCUUUGGCGAUUUGAGUCAAAGAAAUGUAAUAAAUUCCGGUGAAUUUCCAGACUCUGCAUUCUUUUCCUCGUUUGCAGAUAUGGCAAAGCGAGUUUGGCUUCUGCAUUGCCUGGCAUUUUCAUUCGAUCCCGAGGCUUCAAUCUUUCAAGUGAACAAAGGGUCUCGGUUUUCAGAAGUGUACAUGGAAAGCGUAGCCGAAGAAGCAUUCCUUAGUUCGUCUGAAAAUCCUCAGGAAUCAUCUUCAUUAUCACCAUCACUAUCAUCAUCAUCAGAUUCAGCAGAACCUCGAGUGGCAUUCACCAUUGUUCCAGGUUUCAGGAUUGGUAAAACUGUUCUGCAGUGCCUGGUCUAUCUCUCCCCACCUCGAAAUGAAUCAUAGCCGUUGGUCAUGGGGGCCCCACAGCACGAAUCAUACAUUGAUUGAUCUUGGGAGGGCCUCUGUGGCACUGUCCGUUAAAUGAUGUUAGAUUAAAUUAAGAUCAGACAAAUUGGGUUUGUGUUGUUGUGGGGAUUAUGAAAAAACAUAAAGAAAUGCUACCUGGGAUUUUUUUGUCUCUUUGUUUAUGUGAAAGCGCGUAGUAGCAGCGGUGGUAGUAGUAGAAGCAGACCGUUGAAUAAUUAUUUAUUACCUUUUAUAUAAAUUUGUAAUGGACACAGCCUCUGCCUCCCCCUCCCAAUUUUGUUAAUAUUAGGCUAAUGACAGAGGGAUGUUAGCUGUUUUGCACUAUUACUUUUAUUUGUUUUUUUUAAUGUUUUUAUUUAUUUUAAUGUACAUAAUUAAUAUGUAUUAUUUUUACCUAUUAGAUGUAGGUGGGAUGUUUGAUGUUUCACGUUGUAUUUUAUAAUUUUGUAUACAUUAUAUGACUUUGGAUACUUUGUGCCUUUUUUUAAAAAAAAAAAAAAAAUUGGGUAGAUCUCUCUUGUCUUGUUUGAAAAAAGAUCUGGAAUAUUCUUUGCUAGAAAGAGCAUCGCAGUGAUGGGAUUUUGACUCCAAUUCUGUGAUAUGAUUCCUGAUAUAGAUAGAAUCUGCUUUAACUGCACACACGAACACACGCAAACAUAAUGUAUGUGUAUGUGUAUGUAUACGUAGAUAUAUUUCAAUUUCAAUUCUAAUAUAAUAUAGGAUUUGAUUGCUAAUUUGCUGUGUGACAAUGUGUAAUCAAUGACAUUCAUAGAAAAAUAAAUUUUUUGUCACGCCAAAUCAUUGUACGGUCAUAGUGAUUUUUUUUUUCGAGGAAUAGUUUAAGGGUUUUCUUAAAUUAUAUUUAUUGUAAUUUAUUAUCAGAUUUUUCAGUAUAAAAAUAAAUAACAGAAUACAACCAGUACGUGAAUUUUUAUUUGGCUGUAAAAUUUUUUAUUAUUUUAUUUUUCAUUUAAUUAAUUAAAAUAUGUUAUAUUGGUUUGUACUACAAUUUGUGACUGUAAUAUUAAUCCAAUUUUUUUUAAUUAACACAAAUUUUGAUGCAAUUUGAUCUGAAUUCUUGUUUGUAAAUAAAAAAAUUGUGUCAAAUAUACAUAUAUAUUUUUUCGUAAAUUAAAUGACUGCAAUAAGAAUAGGAUCAUGGGUGGAAUUUAUCCUAUAAACCGGCUUUAUAAGGAAGAAGGAAAAAAAAAAAAGAGAGCGUAUGAGUUCAUAAAUUCAAUUAAUUUUUAUGUUUCUACUACCCAUAUACAUAUGAUUUAGAUACUAAUAAUCGCUUGAGAUAAUUUAUUAAUUUAAAUAUUAUUGCUUGAAAUAACUACGAAUUUCUUCUCUCUUAGAUGAUUGAUGCAUUGUUUAGUUCCGAUGUUAAAUAAUUGAAUAUUCUCGAACAUGCAUUGUUCUUGCUGCUUUGCGUUAAGUGUAUUUUAUUGGAGACAGAGACGCUUGAGAUAUGAAACAUCAAAACGUGCAUCGAAGUGCAAAAUGUUUCAUCGAGUCCGCAACCCUCUGAAUUGCAAUAUUGCCCAUAAAUGAAAUUAUAAUAAAAAUUACGGAUUUAGUCUAGUGUGUGCAGUUGCAUAUUUUAUGGUGUGUGACCAACGUGGCUGAUUCUCAUUGACAGCUGUGAGCUCCAUAACAAAACUUUUCCAAUAAAAACUCGUCAGGGGAUCAGUCCUACGUCAUUUAUUGUGCGACUUCACGUACUAAACCGAAUUUCUUAAAAAGCUAUUUGUAUUUGGGCCCACCAAAUGUACAAACCUACUUUAUUAAAUUUGGUCGGUCUCGCAGAGGCAUGUGAUGCCAAAAUAAAACGACACUUAUCACUCUGGGCGCGUAGGUGAAUUUAUGAAAGGAGGGGAUUUGUUUCUUGUGCUUGCAAAGCAUCACCCGACCGACUGCGGCCCUCUUUCACCAUAAAAAAUCUAGCGAUGAAUAGUAAUAGCACUAAUUUUCCAAUUUAUUUUCCGAAAGUAAAUUAAAAGUUAUAAAAGUAUAGGAUGAUGUAGGAAACAUGAGUCAUCCACAAUUAUUCGAUUCAUAAGAAUAUAAGGUAAUAAAAUUAUUUUAUUUUCAUAACUGUUAGAUUUUUAUUAAAUAAUUGUAGAAAAGUCAUGUUUCUUAUAUCAUCAUGUAAGAUAAUUAGAGCUAAAAGUAUAUUGAUGUUAUUAUUACUUUUGUUAUCGCAAUGUUUGUCGUUUAAGAAUAAGAACCUUUUUGUUAUUUUAUGUGGUAUCAUUCACAAAAUAUUAUAUUGCAAAUGUGCCAAAGAAAACAGGCAAUAAUAUUUACUUUAAUAUUUCAUUCCCAAGUAAUACUUAUGAAAAAUAAAAAUAAGUCUAUUGGAGUCCUUGCAUACAAUAAAAUGAUGUUCUUCAAUUCCUAAAUCAAUCUCUCCCCCUCCCAACACCCAACCUCCCACAAACCCAAAAAAAAAAAAAUCAAAAAUCAAAAACUAGCACUAGAAGACUUUAUAUUACUUCCAACAUGGAAGUAUGUUUUAUUAAUAAAUUAUAACAAAAUAUGAAAAACAUCGUCAAACUGUUCAAUGUCAAAUGGUAUUGGUACUUCAAUAUGCUCAUACAUCAAAAUUAAGGGGAAAAAAAAAAGGAAAAUUUGAAGUUGAAAUUAGGAAGCAAUGAAUCUUAAGAUAACACAUCUUUUUCAAAGCAUUAACAAUCGUGGUCCAAAUUAUUCUUCAGAAUCAGCCACGUUUAUUUAGGUAGCAUUCACAAUUGGAAAAAUGGCUUUUCGUUCUUUCUUUUUCUUCCGCUGAUUUGGAGGAAUUAAUUUCGUUAAAGUGGUGCUGUUUUGUGCAGUUUAUAGCCAAGUGUUAGAUUUAAAUCAAAUAUCAUGGAGAUGGGAAUUUCGUUAUAUUUCAACAUCAAAUGUGACUGCCUUCCUCAGAGUUCACAAUUGUUUUCUCCUUAGAGGCUGGGCGGCUUCAAUUUAUUUGAUUUUUUUUUUUUUAAUUCCGAAAGGAGACAAAUUAUGUGGGUCUUUUUGGGAAAUCAUACCUUUGGGCGCAAAUACGUGUUAGCCCUUUUUACAUUUAGUUUUGGGCCCAAUAUUUGAUAGGGAAAUUUACACUAAUAACCAUAAAAGUUUUGACUUUUUCCAUCUUAACCCCCCAAACAAACUUCUAUCAACAUUAGCCAUAAAAAAUCAUUUCAGACCAAAAUACCCCUCUCUCUCAUCUCUUGAAUAUGUCGAGUGCUUUCUCUUCAAAACUUCAGUUCUUCCAUGACUCAUCGAACAAGCCUUUCUUUUUCCCAAUCUUUUCCCGAAACUUCUGGGGUUGCAAAUCCUGGCAGACCACUACCCAGAUCGCAACAUCAAAAUUAUUUGGACUAUCAAGGAACUUGUUGUUGAUUUGAGUAAAUAUUUUCCAACUCCCCCAUUGACAUAUAGGCCAAUAAUUCCAACUGAUUCUUCUUCAAGGCAUCUCCAGGCUUUCUCAAAAGUCGACACCAUGCCCACUAUUGUUGGCCCACAAUUUAUCUCCUCUGCUGCAUCUUCUGGCACCCUCUCAGACCAUGCACAUGCUCUGGUAAGCCACAGAAGCAACAAAAAUGAAGUCACAAAUGCAUGCAGGUGUGUCAUUUAAUUCGUCAGAGGGUGUCAAAUCCUGGCAUUGCAAACUGGGAAGCAAAUGCCUCAACCCGAUUUCGGAGGUCAACAAUCUCUUUAUUGUUCUGGAGACCUUCGUGGAACCCUUUCUGCAGUUUGCUAAGUUUUACAUCCCUGAUUUUGGAAGGAGUGGGGAAGAACAUGGGCAUAAGAAUGCCUCAGAUGUAAUGCUUUGCAGUGAUGGACGACAUUGCCCCAAAUAUCUGAAUCUACGAGCACCAUAUUCAACUUCCCAGUCUUCCAAGAUGUCAUCUCCAUUUCUAAUUCUGCGAAGGACAAGAAUCGCAGCAAUGAUAACAAAGAUUACCAGAAUAACGCUUGCAAGAGUGAUACCAACUGCAAAUCCCUUCUUUAUGCACGACUUGUUUAGAUUUUGGCCGUGCAUGAAAUGGGAGCAUAGUUACAUCCAGUUCUCGUGCAGUCCCACCGAUCUUAAAGCUCCAGCCAUGCACAUUAUUUGUGGUGGAUAAGCCUUAAAAGGCUUGGUGCGACAGGCGCCUGUCGCACCAGCCUUGGUGCGACAGGUUGCCUGUCGCACCAGCCUUGGUGCGACAGGUUGCCUGUCGCUCCAAGUUUUGGUGCGACAUGCAACCUGUCGCACCAAGCCUUGGUGCGACAGGCGCCUGUCGCUCCAAGCUUCGGUGCGACAGGCAACCUGUCGCACCAAGCUUCGUGCGACAGGCAACCUGUCGCACCAAGCUUCGUGCGACAGGCAGUCUGUCACUAGAUUCACCCACGACUCGCAGUUCCGAAACUCUCGAUCAAGUUCAGAAAAUAACUCAUACUACUAUGCGAUACCGAUUAGUGUUAGAUCCGGAUAAAUUAUGAUCGGAUUUUACUUUUAUCGUUGCCUUUUGCCGUCGCCGUUGGUUGAUGAUUCAAGAAUGGAAAGCUGCCUUUGGUUUGACGAAAGAGGAAAAUGAAAGUUGCUUUUGGCUUGUAAAGAAGGGUAAUUUGGGGAGAAAAACGUGUGUUUGGCUAAUGUUGAUAGAAAAAAGUUGAGAGGAUUAAUUAUAAAAAUAACAAAAGUUUUAUGGUUAUAUUCGUAAAUUUCCCUAUUUGAUAGCUACAAACAACUGUAAUAUAUUAACAGUUAACUGAUAUGAAUUAAAAAAAAAAAUUGAUAUGUUUUGCCAUCAAUUAUGCUAAUUACGAAAUUGACCAUCGAAAACACUUGGAUGAAAAUUUUGGAAAAUUAUUUGGGAAGUGUGUUUUGUAAGAAGAGCAUUUUAAAAGGACCCACAUAGGAGCAUGAAGCUCAAAUAUUUUGGUGGUACAAGAAGCAAUUAAUUAGCUGAUAUUUAAGUUAUCUGGUUUGAUCAUCUAGGUCCUGAUAGAAUUGAUGUCAUGAUUGAGAUUAUAAAUCCACUUGGAUUUAAAAAAACUGGCCUUUUUGGGGUGUUUCAACUUGGACAAAAUUCAAGAGGCUCAAACUGUAACGCGUUCCAAGUUCAUCAAACCCUCCAUGAUUUGGGCCAACAUUGACCCACAAAGCCUCGUACUCAAAUUUUUCCUGCAAGCCUGAGUUAAGACAUUUGCUCCAACAAAUGAAUUCUAAAAUCACAAACUCGAAAACUCUAAAUAUGCAUGUCAACAUUCAAUUCCCUUGGCUUUUGGAAUAAUGCUUUUCUUUCUUUCUUACAAACUAAAACUCUGUUUGAUCUUUUAGCACAUUAACCAAGUAAUUAAUUAGGAAAAACUUGCUCAAAAUACACUUUGGAUAAUAGUACAAAAGUUUCUUUUAUUCCAAUAAUUACCACUCACCGUAUUAUUAAAAAGCUGAGCUAUCCUAACUGUAUUAAUGGGCUUUUGUUGUUUUCAAGUAACAAUCCAACAAUUCAAUGCAAGAAUUCUCAGAAUGAUCGAAUGUAUUAUGUCAACUAUAUAAUAAGUAGAUGAUACUAUGACAUAUGUGUAUUUAUUUUGAAAAACCACCAUACAAGUAGUGGUUAUAUUAAAUUCAAUUAUACAUAUAAUUUAUAUAUUAAUUGAUUGCAUUAUCUAUGAUGUAUUCUAGAAUUCCUACUAGAGAAAAGUCAUGAAACUUAAAAAUUGGGAGAAAAGAAAAAAAAAAAAGGCUAUAAAUACUGAAGCUGAAGCUGUCUCGAUGUGAAUACUUAAAUACAAGCUUGUGCUUUUUCUGCUUAGGAUUAUUUAGAUUUGCCAACUCCGGUUCCUAGAUCAUAAAGAUGCUCUGUUGCUCUAAAACAGCGCACAAAAGGGAGCAAAAAAAACUCCCCUGUCAACAAUAAAAAGGAUUUAAAAAGGAAAAAAAAAAAACUUUGGCUUGCAAUUGCAUAGUGGAUUCCGGAACUAUAACAUCUCUUUGGGAUCAGAAUGUGCCAACCUUGUGUCAUUUUCAGCGGAUAAUUUUCUCUGUCUCCUAUCCAUUGAGGUUGAUCUAAAAUACGCGCCAGACUCAUUAAACAGAACCAAUGAAAUCUAACUUUGUCUUUGAUAAAUGUCAAGAAAGAUCGAUAUGAUCAUGGUAAAUAACCAAAUGUAGAGCAAAAGUUUUAGUUUAAUGCAUCAUUGUAUAUGUUGUAUAUAUGCCGAACAUCUACACUUCCUAAGUGAUGAUAUUUCUACGAGAUCUCAUCUUGCUUAAUAUUAACCCUUUUUAGAUAUCAACGAAGUAGAUGUAACAAAGGCAAUACAACAAACAAAGAGAAUCAACGGCCGGUUGAGAGGCUUAAUCAUUUUUUUAAAGAUAACUCUUUUCAUAGUAGCCGCCUGAUAAAGUAUCUUAUCCCACUAGACAAGAAUCCAAUCAAGUAAAUAGGCUUGUCAAAUCUGUAAAUAACUUGUAAAUGUGUUACCAUUCUGUGUUGCUUAUGCUCAAACCGUGCUUGCAAAGUGAAACAAGAAAUUAAAGGCAUGGCUGUAGCACUAGAACUCAUGAUCAUGAUCUUCAUCAUGAACCUUUGUGCUACAAAUGCCACCCAAUCAACAGCACACAACAACACUUCUUGGCAAAACAACCAAGGUUCUGCACAAGAGAGCUACAAUUUUGUCGACGGAUCCCAUGUCAGAACCUUACUUGUACGUAAAGGUACCUCAAAGAGCUACCCAAAGUUUGGUUUCGGGUUUUUGAGAAAUGGUACAACUGAUGAGAUCUUCUAUCUCAUGACGGUCAGAUUCAUGGGAACGAUCACAUCCUCCUCUAAUCAUCAGAACCACCCGCCGGUUAUUCUCUGGUUCGCCAAUGGACAAUCCCCCGUCAAAGAGAAUGCCACACUUGAGUUUACUGCAGAUGGUGAUUUGAUCUUGAAAGAUGUAGAUGGUACCCGCGUUUGGUCUACAGAAACCUCAGGCAGCAAUGUUACACGCAUUACUUUAGAUGGAAAUGGAAACUUGAGACUUUAUGAUGCUGAAAAUCGACCGCAUUGGAUCUCAUUUCUUCAUCCAACUAACACAUGGCUGCCAGGACAGCGCUUGCAUGUUCACAAAAUGAUGGCUUCUACAAAUUCUCGACUACCAGUCUUUCCCAAGGCAAGUUCAUCCUAAGUCUAUCUCCCAAAGGCAUUGAAGUUUUUCUGAAUAUGAGUACUGUAAAAAGAUUUCAAACCAUUCCAUACCGAAAUUAUUUUCUGAAUAUGAGUUCCGCUGUACUCAAUAAAUCUGCCAUUCUUGUAUUCAAUAAAUCCGGCAGUCAUAUCACCUAUGAGGUCGCACCAAGGUCAAAAUUUCACUACAUGAGGCUGGAACCAAAUGGGCACCUUAAUAUUUAUCAGCUUGAUAAUGGGUACUCAGACAAUGCUGAUCUCUCAAGAGAUGAACAUUAUGGGGACUGUAUUUACCCCACUAAAUGUGGCAAUUAUGGGGUCUGCUCUAAUGGUGAAUGCACUUGUCCUGGAAGUUCAAGUUAUUUCAAGCAGUCAAAUGAUAGUGGGAACGGCUUUUCCUGUGCCGAAGUUACUCAUUUGUCUUGCCAACUCAAGCAUCUUCAAAGAUUUUUAAAGCUUGAAAAUGUUACUUACUUUGACUUUGUCCCUCAUCUCAUCAAUAUAGAUGCAGAGGGCUGCCAAAGGGCCUGCCUGGGCAAUUGUUCUUGCAAAGCUGCCUUGUUUCGGUACCAAGGAAGUCUCUCAACUGGUAAUUGUUCUUUACCAACUGAAAUUUAUACUCUGAGGAAUAGUACCAAAGUGAUUUCUGGUUAUAAUGACAUAACAUUCAUCAAGGUACAAUUGCCAUCGGAUCAAAAUAAACUUUCUCUGCUUUUCAUGUUGCUAUUGUCUGUUUCUGCCUUUUUACUCUUGGUUAUUGGAGCAAGUAUUUAUUUGUACAAGAGAUGGCGGGAAGGCAAAAGGAGAGACAAGUCCACUGAUGAAUCUUCAGUUCAUGUAGCCAACCAUUUGGUGAAAUUUUCAUCCAAAGCUAUGAAAUCUGCUACAAGGGACUUUCAGAUUAGGCUUGGUCGAGGAGGAUCCGGAUCUGUUUUUGAAGGGUUGCUUAAUGAUGGCACUAAAGUUGCAGUGAAACGCUUACAUCCUGGUGAGAACCGAGGCAAGAAAGAAUUUUUGUCUGAGGUUGAGACAAUAGGCAAUAUUCACCAUUUCAAUCUGGUAAGACUAGUUGGCUAUUGUGCUGAAAGAUCAAACAGAUUUCUAGUUUAUGAGUACAUGUGCAAUGGGUCACUUGAUAAAUGGAUUUAUCACAAAGACCGAAUUCAAACUCUUUCUUGGGACAUAAGAAAGA